rnacentral:lncRNA from 1 species
AUGAGUUAUUGUGUGGUUUACCAAAUCUUCAAGUCCAACCAUGCAAACUUAGCAAGCCUAGGACAGAACAUAAAUCAAGGAAAAAGAUACUUCUCAUUGUGAUUGUUUUGCCAUUGAGUAUUGCUCUAACGAUAGCAAUCACUCUAGCUCUCAAAUCUAAGCUGAUCGAAUGUAGAAAAAGAGGCACAGAGUUAUCAAAUGAUAGUAUCUUGUCAUCAGAAGCAACACUAAGAAGAUUUUUAUACUUAGAACUUUUACAAGCAACAGAUAAUUUUGCUGAAAACAACAUAAUUGGCAGAGGAGGUUUUGGUUCCGUUUAUGGAGCAAGACUUGAAGAUGGGAUGAAGAUUGCAAUAAAAGUGUUUCACCAGCAAUGUGCAAGCGCAUUGAAGAGUUUUGAGGCUGAAUGUGAAGUGUUAAAAAAUAUUCACCAUCGAAACCUUAUCAAAGUUAUCAGCAGUUGCUCGAACGAUGACUUCAAAGCAUUAGUCCUAGAAUACAUGUCCAACGGGAGCUUGGAGGAUUGGCUGCAUUCUAGCAAUUAUGUGCUGAAUAUAUUUCAGAGGUUGAACAUAAUGAUUGACGUUGCAUCAGCUUUAGAAUAUCUCCACUUCGAUCAUUCAACUGCUAUUAUUCAUUGUGACUUAAAGCCUAGUAAUGUAUUGUUGGACGAAAAUAUGGUUGCUCAUUUGAGUGAUUUUGGCAUAGCAAAGCUUUUAAGUGGAGAGGAUGAGUCUACGAUACGAACAAAAACCCUUGCCACUCUAGGUUAUAUGGCACCAGGUUUGCUUCAAACAACUUUCGUUUUUAGUUCAUUUUAAAUUUUCCAACUUAUUGAUUUUUACAAUCCUCACAUCAAAAUGUUAUUGAUUAUUUAUCUAAUUGUGAAAUUAAUUUGAUUCAUAGAGUAUGGCAUAGGAGGAGAAGUAUCUACAAAAAGUGAUGUUUAUAGCUAUGGGAUUAUGUUGAUGGAAACUUUUACCAAGAAAAAACCCACAGAUGAAAUUUUUGUUGGAGAAUUGAGCUUAAAGCGUUGGGUUAAUGACUUGCUUCCUAAUUCAUUAGUGGAAGUUGUGGACAAAACUCUGCUAAGUGGAGAGGAAAAACAUUCUGCAGCAAAGGAGCAAUGUCUGUUGUCUAUCUUUAGUUUGGCUCUGGAGUGUACAAUGGAAUCACCGGAAAAGAGGAUUAAUGCAAAAGAUAUUGUUACCGGAUUACUCAAGAUAAGAGACACAUUGAGUAAAAGGAUAGGAAAUUUAAGUUAAUUUCGUUUGCUUUCAUUGAUAGUUAAUUCGAAUUCAUGUAAUAAGUGUAAGAACCUUAUAUCUUUUACUUUGAUUUUUUUUUUCUUGAGAAAACUGUUGUAGUCAUCUUGUUUCCAUGGGCGGAGUUGAUUUAGUUCUUCCAAGAAAUGCUACUGAUGACAUUUGUUUUAUACUUUCUCUUUUUUUUUGCAUGUGUUUAGGUAGAAUAGUGGUUUGGUUGCACUCUAAGAAGUCUAACUACACUAAAAGAAUAUGAUUUAAUUUAUUAAACAAAACUUCAAGUUCAAGAAAAGUAUCUCAUUGCCCCCAAUGCUUUGGACACCUAUUGGUAGGUUUGUACGUGUCCUCAACUUUUUUUUGGAGCACAAAAUUCGAGUCCCAUAAAGGCUCAAACAUUCCUUUCCUUCAUCCCGAGGGCGCCUUCUGUCCUCUGUUUUCUGUUUCCACACACAAAUAGCAAAAAGAAAUUAGAAUGACAACUGGGACAUAUAUAAGAGUGAAAUAAUUAAAAAAAUUAUGCUUUUUUGUCUGUCGUGUUAAAAUCGUAAGUACCGAAGUACUGUGAAAGAGAUUAAUUUACAGAAACUGAAGCCAAGGGUUCAAAAAAAACUAUUGAUGUAGGUAGAAUGCAAUGUCAUAUUCAUACAGAGAUGAAGUAUAUUAUUUACGGCUGGUAAGGACUAAGAAUUGAUGUAGCUAGAAUGCAAAGAUGAUGAGGUAUGUUGUACACUAUUGUUUUUAUUCUACAAUCAAUCUUGACCCCUGAUGCUUGGCUCUCAAUCUUGUCCAUUGAUCUUCUCUGAUUUUGGAGACUUGAAGACCUUUCAGUAUCAUGCCUUGUUGUUGGUGUCUUCCGUGCUGUAGAAUUCAUAUACAAGUUUUCCCGCCGACUUGCCAAGUAUUUGUUCAUUGAUGCAUUUUAUCAAACAGUUGGCCUGCUCAGAGCAAACAGCUCCUGUUUUAACUCCCCCUCCGUAGCUCAACUAUCUGGGAAGACAAUUAAUUGAGCUUGUUUCACAAUUAUAUGAAUCUGAAAGUUCAAUUAUAUCCUCUAAUGGAGAGAACUCAUUGCCUCAGUAUGAUCACUGUGUCAUCAACCCACUCCCCGCUUCUUUGCUUGGUUGUUGCAGCAAGCAACAAUUUUACCACAGAUCAACAAUAGUUUGUCCAUUUGUUCCAGUGAGGUCGUCAUUAAAAAUUAAUUUUCAUAUUGAUUUUCUUAAUUAUAAAUAAUACUAAUGAUAUUUCAUAGUUAUAAAUAUAUUAGAAUUAAUCGAAAUCAUUUUUUAGUGCGGCAUGGCUAAAACUACCUUUUUUUUUUUUAAGUAAUUACUACUUCAAGGAAAAUACUCCUAUUUUCAAGGAAAAGUCAAGUACCCGUAGUUGUGAAGACUCGAGCUCACCCUCUUAUGAUAAAUCUUCUUAUCAAUUACAUAAAUAUCCUCUAAAUUUUUAGUUAACUAUUCAAAAUUCGAUGUUAUACGGGUAUUUCAUUUAUUUGAGUAGGGGUUCGGGGUCAAUUGGAUACAAAUUCAAAAUUAUCCUUACUUGAGAAGGUGAUAAAAAUUGGGGAUUUAGUUUGGAUGCAUUAGCUACAAAUAUUAAACUCAUACAUCUAAUUCAAAAUUAGAGGGCUGAUAUAUGUGCAUCCUCGUGCACAUUAUAGUGACACGUGUCACCAUCCUACAACCUAUCCAAUGAAAAAUUGACAUGCAUCUUGUGCGCUUCUGAUCAAAAUCCUGAAAAUUAAUCACAAAGUUAUACUUUUAUUAUAAAAAGAAUAAAGAAACUCCAAAAAAAAAAAAAGACUUACAUAUAUAAAUAGUUUGAAUAAUCUAGAUUCCAAGUUGUCUAUAUUAGCUUGAUCUUUUUAUAAAUAGUCAUCUUCGAAAAAAAAUUCCACCAACAUAUAUUUUAAUUUUAUGUUAAUUAAUAAAUAGAAAAAAAUCAUUUUAGAAUUAAUUAAAACAUUAUUUAUUGUUGCCAAAAAAAGGAAGAAUUUAGUGAUAAGAAAAAAGUGUCUCAAAUAUACGUUAAAAAAAUUAAUCAUGGUGGGUUCGAUUGAUUGAAUUUUUUUUUUUAAUCUUUUUCUUUUUUAAGAAUUAAGACAAUUGGAUUGAUUGAGUAAUAAUAAAAUAUAUUUAUUUGGCAAAUGGCAGGUAGGCUUUCUUCUGAUGCAGAUUGAUUAUAGAGAAUAUACAACAAUUUUAAGCUCGUCAGAUUCGGAACCUGCUUAUCUGUCGUGUGGGGAUCACUUCCGUGUCUUAUUUUUCUAGAAAAAUCUGGACCAUUAGGCAGUAGAGAAAUGUUGAUCUUGAUUCCUGAUCAGGAUCGAAGUUUGAUUCUAUCUAACAUGAUAUCAGAUUGCGAAGCAGGCUAGUAUGUAAAUUUCUUUUAUCUUUUAGAGGAAAAUGGGCAAGAGAAGAAGAUUUGGCAAAGGAAUUGCAACCGCAUUUCUAGUAUGUUCUGAUCAGAGAAGCGAAAUCCAUCACGGUCUUUUAUCUUUACCCAUGUGGAGAAAUCAAGGGAUUUCGAAUCAGAGAAGCGAUGGGAUUUAGUUCUGAUCUGGGAUUUUGGAGACUUAGGGAGUGUGCGGUCUUGGACCAACAUUGAUGACGAUGACGCUUCAAAUUCAAUGACUUGAAAGCAGAAAACAAAGACAGACAAAAACAGACAUGCACUACAGCAAGAAAGAUUGACUGAAUCUUGGGUUACUGUGUCUGUGGUCUCAAAUGAAACACAAGUGGGAAGCCUUGCUGCAGUUUCAGCUUUGGUUUGUGUUUGAAGUUUUGAAUGUAAAAAGAGAACCGAGCAUGUGGUUGCCGACAAGAAUGGCCUGAGGUUUCUUAAGCUUCAUUGUAAUGUUACAACUGCUACUAAUUUGGUGGGGUGGGAGGUCGCUGGGUCGCUGUCAGUCCAUUUGCUUCUUUUCUUUCUUUUUGUUAUUUGUUGAGUUUUUUCCAUUUCUACUUUUCUUAAUAUAUAAAUUAUCAUUUUUUUAACAUGCAAAAUAUAUAGAACAUUUUAUGAGUUUAUAAAUAAAAAUUAUAUUAUGGGAUAAUAGUGAAUGAGUUCCUGGUGCUUUGGAGUUCUUUAAAUUAAGGGCCCAGUUUGUCCAUUUGUUUUAGUUAGGUCCUUCUUAAAAAUUGAUUUUCUUAAUUAUAACUAAUACUAAUGAUAUUUCAUAGUUAUAAAUAUAUUAGAAUUAAUCCAAAAUAUUUUUUAGCGUGGCAUGGCUAAAACUACCUUUUUCUAUAAGUAAUCACUACUUUUGCAUUAAGGAAAAUAUUCCUAUUUAAAAAAAAAUUGAAUAUCUAUAGUUGUGAGGACUCGAACUCACUCGCUUAUGAUAAAUCUUUGUUGAUGCGAGAUUCUGGUUACCCACUCGACCACGUCCAGGAUCUCUGCUCAAUCAACUAACUCGACCACGAUCAGGAUCUCUCCUCGUAUGCUUUCUUCUUCAAAAAUUCCUGCGUACACAGAAACAAGUCAGAGCACGCCAGUUGUUUUCCCGGCGUAAACCCUCCGACGCUCAAGUCAGAUAUGAAGGUUUUGUGUUCCUGGGAACGUUAGCCACUAGUCUUAAGCUUUGCUUUUGGUAUCGAUUGCUGAAUGCUCUCUUUAUCUCAAUUUCCGUAUUAAAAGUUAACCCUUUUACCUUCGUUGGCUGCCUUUUUAUAGGCUCCACCUGAGUCCAGAUCCUCCCCUCCAUUCACGCCCGUUACCUUCCCACCUCUCGAAAGUGGAUGCUUUGUUUCCGUAAUCGUGGGUGAUUGCAUGGCCUUCGUGCCUCGAUUCUCAGGCUGGAGAGUACGUCUCGCCAACUGUCGUUGACUGGGUCUCCUCGCCUCAAACCUUAGCAGGAAUGGCUUUAUGCUUCUAACAAGAGACCGGCUUCGCGGAUGGCGUAUUCAUGGACGAGCAGAUAUUCCUGCUUAUGUUCCAAUGCUACCAGACCUCUGCUCAUCACGGCUGGUCUCGUCGAAGUACAUCCCCCAAACACCGGUCCCCCAGUUUCUGGUGUUGGGUAACAUAGUGAGCCAACAGUAGAAACUCGACAGUUCUUGCUCGCGCGAGAUAGGAAAAGACUGCCAAGAGUCGUGUCGCAUUUAAUGGCGGAUGAGGUGAUGUGGCAGAAAUCUACCCCUCCAUUUGAAUUUCAAACCGACGGUUACGAAACCCUAGGGAUUUGUGCCGUUAAAUGCCGGCAGCCCAAGAGUUUGUUCUUCAUUAGGAAAACCCAAAACCCCCAAAAGAGGAACUCGUCUUUUACUCCGUUUCUGUCUCUCCUGCGAAUGAGUCCUUCCUCUCCCUCGGCGUAAAAGCUUCCUUCCUUGUCUCUCUCCGACUAAGUCACAACUUCAGGUACUAUUUCUUUUUUCCUCGGUCGUGGAUAGUUGUAAACAAUUUCUUUUACAUUUUGCUUGGGUAGUGUUUGGUGGUGCAGUUCUGGUUAUAGUUUAGGGAAUGUCGAAAGGUAAGGAGAAAGUCAUUGAGAUUGAUGACGACGAGUUAGACUUCUUGCCUAGUCUGCUCGCCGAUUCUGCUUUCGACACCGGGAUCCCCUUAGAACCCGUUAGACCUAAUGUUGCGACUAGUGCUAGGAGGAUGUCCCCCCAAGUAACCUCCUCAACUGGAAAUAGCGACGACGAGGGUUCUUCUGGUUCGGAAGACACUUUGAGUGAAGAUCAGGGAAAUGAUUCUGGUGAGAUGUCCUCACCAGGAACAUCGUGACCAGAUAGGAGGGGCAUAGUAGGAGGUAGAGCUCUAUCACAGAAUUACACUAUUGAUUUUAUGACGUGCACGACCACAGUAGAUGAGCUAGUUAGUCUCCGGGCUAGAUACGGCAUCCCUGAUGAAAUUUCCCUUAGGAUCCCAGGAAAAAAAGAUACCCCCAGCCGGCCUCCUAGGGGAUAUAUUACUCUGUUUCUAGAGAGUUUUAAACUUGGGCUAAGGUACCCCAUACAACCCUACUUUGCCCGAAUACUCAAUGGGUUGAAUUUAGCUCCUGGUCAACUGAACCCCAAUGGGUGGUGAGUACUUUCUGGUCUGUUCAUAUUGUGAGACAGAUGUUGCCAAAGCGAGCCAACAAUUGACGAGGUGAAGCACCUGUACCAGCUAAAGAGCAGCCCCAAAGAUGUCGGCUGGUAUUACUUCCAGUCUAGUACCAAGACCAGGAAACCCAUAACCGAUCUUCCAACUGGUGGUGGUAGGACUUGGAAGAAAAAAUUCUUUUUUGCUGGGGGUCCCUGGGGUCAAGUUGCACAGAUUGACGAGAAGGAUUACCGUGUCCCACCUCAUUUCGUGGUCCCAGGUUGCCUACUCGCUUAAGAUGUUUUGUCUCCAUAGUCGUUCUCAUUUUGCUGAUUUGUUUCUAAUCCAAAAUCUGUUCGCAUUGCAGGUUCCUGGGGUGUGCACUACCAGCUUAAACCCGAGCCGCUCAAGCGAGUCGAAGCUGUACUGGCCAAUUUCUACACGAACCGAGAGCUGCUAACUACUUUCAAUUUGGUCGAAUCUCGUUUGGUGUCUACCGGCCAUAAAAUGGAGGAUGCUGUGAUCGGGGCUCUGACUCGGAAACGUCCCCAACCUCAUGCUACCAAGCAGGACCAGAAUAAAUAUGCUCCCACUGCGAAGCGGGUGAACAUUGUGCAGCAGGUUCCUCCCUUGAAGACCCUACCACCUCCUUCUGCCAAAGUCGGAGAAACUAGCGGAGCAGCCACCGAUCCCGCUUCCUCUUAUCCUCCAGUCGGGCCGAGAUCUCGUUUAUCUGACAAUCGAGCAAAACAUUUGGUCCCCUAUAUCAACGAGUUCUCUAAACUCGUGAGCAAGAGGGACCUAGAGGACUUUGACGACAGCACCUUGGGUGAGCUGGUGGGGGCCAUGCAAUAUAGCGCUUUCCAUCUCGACUGUAUGGCCACUUACUACAAGGCCAAGGUUGGUCGUUAUGACCGAAAGAUGAAGGAGGACAUUCAAUCGGCCAUGAUCAAAGCUGAUGCUGCCGAGAAGAAAGCAGGGGACUUGAAUCUCGAGAAUUUGAAGUUGAUAGAGCGAGAAUCUCUUGCUCAAGCAAAAGCCAUUACUCUCGAGGAUGAGCUAGCUAAGGUCAAGGAGGAUCUGCAAAGACAGCAGGCUAUGUACGAGGCCCAGCUCGAAUCUCUUCGGGAUUCCCACAAGGUUUAGGUCGAGAACCUGGAGAAGGAAGCUGAUAAUCAAUAUGACCAGGGGCUUCAGCACUCCUAUCAUUGCAUCAUGGCCGUCCUUGGGAAGCAGCAUCCGGAUAUGAAAAUGGACGAGCUUGCUACUGGUGUUGCUCAGCAUAUGGAUGAGGAGGCAGCAAAAGAGGACGCCGAAGAGGUGGAGCCAACUGAGGUUGAGGAGGGAAACACUCCUCCUCGUGCAAUCCUUGCUGAUGUCGCUGAGGCGAGUACCCCCCGAAUGCAACUGGUGAUACCCCCUGCCCCUGAGGUGGACCAGCCAACCAAGGCUGCUCGGCUUACUGACCCGCCGUCCUCUUGAUUGUAUUUUGUGUUGUAGUUGCUUUCUUGAAACGCUAUAUGUUAUGACUAGCAGUUUUUUCUGGUUGUUGAUUAAUAAAUAAGAAUGUUCUCAUUUGCUUUCUCGUCGUAAAUCAUUUUAAGUUUGAGGGUCUACUUGCCUUCUCUUGUACUAGCAGUUCUUGACACGCUUGGCUUCUGGUCUCGCCAUAGAACAUGCUUGUGACUUGGUGAGCCUUUGCAUGCCUUAGAAAUUUUUUCAAUGUUGGGAUUCUGCUCGCCUUCGCUUGGUCGAGCAGAUCUUGGCACGCUUGGCUUUUGGUCUCGCCAUAAAAACAGGCUUUGAAAAUUGGUGAGCCUUUGCAUGCCUUAGAAAUUUUUUCAAUGCUUGGGAUUUUGCUCGCCGUCGCUUGGUCGAGCAGAUCCUGGCACGCUUAGCUUUUGGUCUCGCCAUAAAAUAGGCUUUGAGACUUGGUGAGCCUUUGUAUGCCUUCGAAAUUUUUUCAAUGAUAGGGAUUCUGCUCGUCGUCGCUUGGUCGAGCAGAUCCUGGCACACUUGGCUUCUAGUCUCGCCAUAAAACAGGCUUUGAGACUUGGUGAGCCUUUGCAUGCCUUAGAAAUUUUUUCAAUGCUUGGGAUUCUGCUCGCCGUUGCUUGGUUGAGCAGAUCCUGGCACGCUUGGUUUCUGGUCUCGCCAUAAAACAGGUUUUGAGACUUGGUGAGCCUUUGCAUGCCUUAGAAAUUUUUUGCACAGUUACAAGUGAAUGAAAUUCCUCGACGUUUCAUUAAUUACAGAAUUCAACUUACAUAGGAAUGCAUAGCAACGAGAACAAAUUAAAGUAAUUUUUGAACAUGAGCAAGUCUUACUGGAAAUAUUUCCUGAGGUGCGCUGCGUUCCAUAGGCGUUUCACCUCGUGGCCAUCCGUGCGAACAAGCUUGUAAGCUCCGAGUCCCACUAUCUGCUUGACCCUGUAUAGCCCCUGCCAAUUCGGUCCAAGCACUCCUUGAGUCGAGUCUUUGGUGUUCUGAUUCACUCUCCUUAGCACCCAAUCUCCGACCCUAAACUGCCGUACAUUCACCUUCUGGUUAUAAUACCGAGCAACCCUCUGCUGGUAAAUGGCUAAUCGCUUCGAUGCUUGCUCCCUCUUCUCUACAAGCAAAUUCAGAUUCAAGCACAUCUGCUCGUUGUUAUCUUGCUCAUUGAAAUGAUCUGUCCGGUGCGUGGUCGUUCCUAUCUCGGCUGGUACGACCGCUUCAUGUCCGAAGGCCAAGGCGAACGGUGUUUCUCCAGUUGCUGUUUUGUAGGUUGUCCUGUAUGCCCAUAAAACACAUGAUAGCUCAUCAACCCAUGCUCCAUUUUUUGCUCCAAGCCUGGUUUUCAAAAGCCUCUUGAUCGUCUUGUUGGCUGCUUCUACUUGUCCAUUGGAUUGAGGGUGAGCAAGCGAGCAGUACUUCAACUCUAUCCCGAGGUUCUGGCAGAAAUCCCUGAAACUGUGAUUAUCGAACUGCCUGCCAUUAUCCAUUACCAAGGCAUAGGGGAUCCCGUACCGACAGACCAGGUUUCUCCAUACGAAGUCUGUUGUCUUCUUCUCUGUGAUCUUGCUGAGGGCUUCUACUUCUAUCCACUUCAUGAAGUAGUCUAUUGCUACUAUUCCAUGUGUUGUUGCUCCUCGUCCCCUUGGCAACGGCCCGAUCAGAUCAAUUCCCCACUGAGCAAAUGGCCAAGGGGAGGCUAUAGAGGUGAGCUUCUCUGGUGUUUGGCUGGAGAAACUUGCAAAACUCUGGCAGCUUAAGCAGCUCCUGGUCUUCUCCUGCGCAUCCUGGUGCAUUGUCGGCCAGAAAUAUCCCUGCCUUAGAACCUUAUGGGCAAGGGACCUCCCACCAGAAUGGUUUCCGCAAAUUCCUUCAUGUACUUCUCUCAGUACGUAGUCUGCGUUGUCCUCAUCUAAGCACCGAAGGAACGUGAGUGUAUAUCCUCGCCGAUAUAGCACCCCAUCAAUCAUUGUGUACCUUGAGUCUUGGGCUCUAAUCUUCCGAGCUCGUAGCUUAUCUGGUGGUAACACCCCGUCUCUGAUAUAUGAAAUUAUCGGAUCCAUCCACGAGCCUUUUUGUUCUAUCUGCAUCACCUUCAAAUUCUGCUCGAUGCUAGGGUUGGUUUUCACUUCCAAAGGGACCGUCUUAGGCAUUUUAGGGUCUGCUACAACUGUCAUCCUGGCCAGAAUAUCGGCUCGACUAUUUUGUUCCCUUGGGAUUUGUAUCAACUUAACCGCUUCGAACUUCCUCAUCAUCUGCCUGACUUUCUUCAAGUACUGCUCCAUCUUCUCAUCUCUCGGUUGAAAACUUUCACUGACAUGAUUUGCGACCAGCUGAGAAUAAGUUCUGAUCUUCACCCUAUCUGCUUUCAUUGCCUUAGCCAAUUCCAAACCUGCUAUCAAGGCUUCGUAUUCUGCCUGGUUAUUUGUGGCUGUGAACUCUAACUUUACAGCAUAAGAAAUCUCCUCCCCCUCUGGGUCUUUUAAGACAAUUUCUGCUCCUGAUCCUUGCUCACCUGAUGACCCAUCUACAGACAUCUGCCAUACUCGAGCUUUGCUGCUAUCUGUAGCGGUGUCCAGUUGGUCCAAACAUACUUCAAGCUCCGCGAAUUCUGCUAUGAAAUCGGCCGUUGCCUGAGCCUUUAUUGCUGCUCGGGGUUUGUAAUCUAUGUCGAACUCGCUAAGCUCUAUAGCCCACUUCACGAGCCGACCAGAAGCAUCUGGCUUGUGCAGAGUUUGACGCAAUGGCUGGUUUGUUAUUACCGUGACGGGGAAUGCUUGAAAGUACGGCCUCAGCUUCCGAGCAGCAACCACAAGGGCGAGUGUCCAUUUCUCCACCAAUGGGUAUCUGGUCUCGGCAUCGAGCAGGGUCUUGUUGGUGAAGUAUAUCGGGUACUGAACCCCUUCUUCUUCUCUUACUAGAACAGAACUUGCAGCAUGAUUUGAUACCGCCAAAUAUAAGAACAACCUAUCGUCAUCCCUUAGUGUGGACAGCAAAGGUGCUUGUUGCAAGUACUGCUUCAAGUUCUGGAAGGCUUCUUCACAUUCUGGGGUCCAUUCUGUAUUCUUUCCUCUCCUUAUCACUUGGAAAAAUGGCUGACACUUAUCUGUAGCCUUGGAUAUGAAUCGGCUUAAUGCCGCCAACCUCCCCGUAAGGCUCUGUGUCUCCUUCAGGUUACGAGGUGACCUCAUCUGCACGAUCGCCUGGAUCUUCUCAAGAUUUGCCUCGAUCCUGCUCGAACAUGGGGAUUUGGUUGUAUCCCGAGAAUGCGUCCAUGAAGCUGAGCAAGCCAUGUCCGGCUUUUAAGUCUACAAGCUGGUCAAUCUUUGGUAAUGGAAAGCUGUCUUUCGGGCACGCCUUGUUGAGGCCCGUGAAAUCCACACACAUCCUCCACUUGCCAUUAGCCUUUUUUACUAACACCACAUUCGAUAUCCACUCGGGAUAAUUGACUUCCCGAAUGAACCCUGCUUUCAAGAGCUUCUCCACCUCGCCGUUUAUAGCCUCAUACCUCUCCUGGUUGAAGCACCUCCUUUUCUGCCUUACUGCCCGAGCACCUUUCUUUAUUGCCAGUUUAUGACAUGCGACCUAAGGGUCGAUUCUUGGCAUGUCUUCAUGUGUCCAAGCAAACACAUCUGCAUGAGCCCGCAAGCAUUGCACCAACUCCUGCUUCUGCUAUUCUUUAAGCCUCAACCCAAUUCGGAUCGUUUUUCCCAGAUCCUUUGGUCCUAGGCUCACUGUCUUCAACUCCUCUACAGGUUCUUGUCUACCAGUCUUGGUUCCCACUCGGGUAUCAAGGGAUGUUAUCUGCAUUGCUUCCCUUGCUGACGAGGAGUAAUAGCUUCGUGCGAUUCUCUGGUCUCCUCAUACCACUCCAACUACCCCAUUCACCCGGUACUUGAGAGCUAGAUAAUGGUUGGAUGACACCGCUUUACUCAUCCUCAGAAAUGGUCGACCUAGGAUCAUCUGGUAAGGACCCUCUUCAUCGACUACCAAAAAAUCCAGCAUCAUAGUCCUUUCUGUCGGGGAGCUUCCAAUCGUGAUAGGCAGCUCAACCACGCCCAGGGGGACCAGCUUUCCUCCUCCAAAUCCCUUCAAGGAGGUAUUGGUGUGCUCCAACCUCAGGUCUGUUAUUCUCAUCUCCUCCAGAGUUGACUUAAACAACACAUCAACUGAGCUCCCUGUGUCAACCAGUAUCCGGUCAAACUUCUUGCUGGCGACGGUGGCCUUGAUGACUAAGGCAUCCUUGUGUGGGUAUAGAAUCCCUUAUUCAUCCUCAUCUGUCCACAUGAUUGGCACUUGUCAGACUCUUGCUCGUUUGGCUGCUGGGGUGUUGAAGAACACAUCUUUACUAGUCAUGGCAAAUUUAGCAUAAUUUUUCCUCGAUCUGUUGGAAUCUCCGGCCAACGUUGGACCCCCUAACAAUCACUCUUACUAUAGGCUGCCUGUGGCUCAAGUUCCUGUUACCCUGCUCCUCUUCACAUAUCGGGGCCACCGUCGGAAAAGUCCCAUCGAUAAACUCGUCCAGGUAUCGAUUUCUCACCAAAUCUUUAACCUGGGUCUUAAGGUCUCUUCAUUCUAUUGUGGUAUGGCCAUGAGUACCAUGGAACUUGCAAUAGUGCCCCUAUCCCUUCUGCUGGGUAGCUUUGUUAUUGGGGCUGGGAGGUACAGUAAUCCCCAGUCCUUUAUGGCCUCACAGACUUCGUCCAGUGGGAUAUUCAAGGAAGUAUACUGCCCAUAGUCCUGGUUCUGGUCGAUCAUAUGCACUGCCCUUUCUCUGUUUGUGCCAUUCUGAGUUGGAGGUGGUGGCAGCGCUUCUGGUCUGCUCCCCCUACUACCAUGGGGGUGUGGGUGAAGGUGACCGUAUGUCGCGUCAUGCCUUCUCCUAGGCUCCCUAGCUGGUGAGCGAGAAGGUUGCGCCCUGCUGUGCUGAUACUGUGGUGGCCUCUAAUGAGGUUGGUAAGCGGUUACCCGACCUCUUGUACCACUACCUAAGGCAUGGUGGUCCCUCCUCUUAAUCGGCCCAUUUCCUGGUACGGCUCUCUUCUCUUUCCUCUUUAAUCCUUCCAGCUGGUCUGUCUUAAUCCGUGCCGCCUUUUCCUCCUCUAUUUCUAUGUCUCUCUUAGCCUGCUCGUAAGCAACUGAAUAUGUCUGAAUAACUGGGCUUCUCAAGUUAUAUCACAUCCGUCUUAUCUUCACUCCUUCUUUCAAUCCCCUUAAUGCCUGAGGAUGGUUGAAGGCUCCCAAGUCGAGGACAGCACGGUGGAACCUUUUGAUGAAUUCCCGAAGGGUUUCCUCCUCUCUCUGCUUCAUGCUCGUUAACUCCAUCAUAUCAUCUUCCGGUGCCAUUACCCCACGAAACUGCUCUGCAAAUUCCUGGCACAUCUGCUCGAAGGCUUUAAUGCUCCCUCGAGGAAGUUUCCUGUACCACUCGCGUGCUCGUCCCUCUAGAGAUAGUGGGAACACCCUGCAUCUUUGGGCUUGAGAUAGUCCUUGCACCCCGGUCAUGUUGUUGAAGCGCUCUAUGUGCACCAACGGAUCAGUUCGCCCCAAAUAUCUGAGGUCUGGGAGGCGAAAAUCUCUUGAAAUGACUGCCCUCAUGAUCUCUGCCGAGAGCGGGGUUUCUCCGUCCAGCAUUAUCCUCCAACCAGGUGCUCUACUCCUUCCUUGCAUAUCAUCAAUUACUUGCGCUAGUUUGCGCACUUCCUUCUCUAGCUGCAUUGCACGACCAGGGUCACGUGCUGUAACUUGAUCCCGCUCUUUCUCUACAUCAUGUAAGUAUUGCCUGAGCUCUGUUUCCUCUGCAUUCACCACCCCAUCAUCCUCAUCAAAAAUCUAUCUUCUUGGGGAUUGCUCUUCUUCUCUAUGAAUUCCUCCCCGUAAAGAUAAGUUACCUCUCUCACCACCAAAUCUCCUGGUGGUCUGACUUCUCAUCAUACCAUCGUGCCCUGGUGCCACUCUGCCACCUCUCACCCUUUUCUCAUGGGUUCCCCUUCGUUCACUCCUUAGUUCAUGUAGGAUGGUUGUCAGGGUCUCCAUCUGCUUUUCCAUCCGUUCCAUUCGGUCAUGCAUGGCUUUUUCCCGUGCUUCAAUGGCUAUCUCCCUUAACGUCAUGGAUUCGUUAAGCCUCAUAUCACCUCCUUGUGCACUACUUCCUCCUACAUCCAUUGUUUCUUCUCUUGCUUUGUUUUUCCUUUCUCUGUCAACAGAAGUUUUUUUAUCAGCUCCCUACAGACGGCGCCAAAAUGUUGAUGCGAGAUUCUGGUUACCCACUCGACCACGACCAGGAUCUCUGCUCAAUCAACUAACUCGACCACGAUCAGGAUCUCUCCUCGUAUGCUUUCUUCUUCAAAAAUUCCUGCGUACACAGAAACAAGUCAGAGCACGCUGGUUGUUUUCUCGGCGUAAACCCUCCGAUGCUCAAGUCAAAUAUGAAGGUUUUGUGUUCCUGGGAACAUUAGCCACUAGUCUUAAGCUUUGCUUUUAGUAUCGACUGUUGAAUGCUCUCUUUAUCUCAAUUUCUGUAUUAAAAGUUCUAACCCUUUUACCUUCGUUGGCUGCCUUUUUAUAGGCUCCUCCUGAGUCCAGAUCCUCCCCUCCAUUCACGUCCGUUACCUUCCCACCUCUCGAAAGUGGAUGCUCCGUUUCCGUAAUCGUGGGUGGUUGCAUGGCCUUCGUGCCUCGAUUCUCGGGCUGGAGAGUACGUCUUGCCAACUGUCGUUGAUUGGGUCUCCUCGCUUCAAACCUUAGCAGGACCAUUAUGCUUCUAACAGGAGAUCGGCUUCGCGGAUGGUGUAUUCGUGGACGAGCAGAUAUUCCUGCUUCUGUUCCCAUGCUACCAGACCUCAGCUCAUCACGGCUGGUCUCGUCGAAGUACAUCCCCCAAACAAUCUUCAUAUUAAUUACGAAAAUAUCCUCUAAAUUUUAACUUAACUAUUCAUAAUUCAAUGUCAUUCGGAUAUUUCGUUUAUUUGAGUAGGGAUUAGGGGUCAAUUUGAUACAAAUUCAAAAUUAUCCUCAUUUGCGAAGGUGAUAAAAGUUAGGGAUUUAGUUUGGAUGUCACUAGCCACAAAUAUUAAACGCAUGCAUCUAAUUCAAAAUUAGAGGCAUUAUCGUUAUAUUGACAUGUGUCACCAUCCCACAACCUCUCCAAUGAAAAAUUGACAUGCAUCUUGUGUGCUUCUUAUCAAAAUCCUGAAAAUUAAUCACAAAAGUUAUAUUUUUAUUAUAAAAAGAAGAAAGAAACUCCAUGAGUGAAGAAAAAAAAAAAAGACUUACAUUAAUAGUUUGGAUAAUCUAGAUUUCAAGUUGUCUAUAUUAGCUUGAUAUUUUUAUAAAUAUCAAGAUUUCAAGUUGUCUAUAGUAGCUUGAUAUCUUCUAAAAAAAACUCCAUCAACAUAUAUUUUAAUUUUACGUUAAUUAAUAAAUAGAAAAUCCAUUUUAGAAUUAAUUAAAGCAUUAUUUAUUGUUGCCAAAGAAGGAAGUAUUUAGCGAUAAGAAAAAAGUGUCUCAAAUAUAUGUUUAAAAAAAAAUAAUCAUGGUUGGUUGGACUGAUUGAAUUUUUCUUUUCUUUUUUCUUUUUUAAGAACUAAGACAAUUGGAUUGAUUGAGUAAUAAUAAAAUAUAUUUAUUUGGCAAAUGGCAGGUAGGCUUUCUUCUGGUGCAGAUUGAUUAGAGAGAAUAUAUAACAAUUUUAAGCUCGUAAGAUUCGGAACCUGCUUAUCUGUCGUGUGGGAAUCACUUCCGUGUCUUAUUUUUCUAGAAAAAUCUAGACCAUUGGAUUUACCAUUGGGCAGUAGAGAAAUGUUGAUCUUGAUUCCUGAUCAGGAUCGAAGUUUGAUUCUAUCUAACAUGAUAUCAGAUUGCGAAGCAAGCUAGUUGUGAGUAACUUGUUCUAUUUUGAUGGAAGAAACACAAGUUCUAAUAAAAAAUUCUAAGUAUACAUUUUUUUUUUUAAUUUUUUUAUUGUGAUCAAUAUAACUAGUCAAAUCUAUUUUUAAACAUUUUUUUUAAAUAUUUUGUUAACAAUGAUAUGAAAAUAUUCGAACCCCUCCUCAUAUAGUAAAGUGAAUUACUAUCCAACGAUCCAACUAACGUCUUCAAAUUGUAAAUUGCAAAUCGUGUGUUUGCUCCAUUACAGAGUUUCUUCAAUUUAAAAUAGAGAAUCGUUUGUGUUCUAGAUUAAUCGUGGGUCUAUAUCCAAAUCUAAAAAUUGACUAACUUGAUUUCUAUUAAAUUCUUAACCCUAACAAGAAAAAUAGAAGAUUAAAAAUGACUAAUUUGGUUUCUAUUAAUUUGAGUAACGAUUAAUAUUUAUCAUUCAAUAGUCACUUAUAUUAUCAAAAUCUUGGGUCGAAAAUAUUAGGAUAGGUGAUAAUUGGAAUUAAGUUGUAGAUAAGAUAGAAAUGGAUUUGGAGAGAGAUUGGAAUCCUGGGUAAAUCCGGUACACGUUGGUGUGUUAAAUUCUCGUUGACUUCACGUUGACCGAGGCAUUAUUGGAAGAAACAAGCAAGCUUAUUUUCUUCUCUCAUUUUUAACCUUUGUCUAAAUUUAUUGGUGUGAGGCCUUUGAGAUGGUAAAGUGUUAAAUCUGAGAAGAGUACCCACACUAUUACUCUUAUUUUAUCACGUUUUAUCACAAUAUUACUCUUAUAGUCAAUGUUUGAUUCGCACGAAAAAAAAUUUGCGAGGAUUGUGAGGGUUGAUGCAAUAUAAUUUAGAUGCAAAGUGUUUACAAGUGCGAUGCUUCGUAAGUGUACUCGAAUCAUUAUAAACUCACGUUAUUUUCAUAGUGAUUAUUUCAUUUGCACGUGAAUAUAAUCAUAUAUGUGGAGAAUUUUUUUUCCUAAAUUAUGGUCUUAUUUAGUAUUGAGAUGUUAUAUCUUUUAAAUUAUAAUUAAUAUUAGUAAAAAAACUGCAACUAUAAAAUAAAAGUUAAUAUUAUGUCCUGAAUAUAAUUGUUAAAUAAUAAUUUUGACAAAAUUAGUGAAGACAUACAGAUUUUUUUAUCAUAUAAGUGUAAAAUUCUAUCAACUUAGCUUUUAAGUUAUACAGCAUCUAUUGUUUACCAAAUACUUUAGUGUUGUAACUUUUAAGUUAUAACUGUCUAACCUUUAACCUCAAUCUCAAACGAGGCUUAUAAAGAUCAAGGAUUUCCUCAUAAAAAUUAUUACGUCAUGUGAUUGCUUAUUUAAUUUAUAUUUUCGUCAUUUAUCUUUAUUAAUUAAACAUGCACAUAUUAUUUCCUUUUAUUUUCUGCUUGGUAACCCGUAAAUACUAAUCCAGUACUACUAAUUUCAGACAGAAAAUUUUGAACUCUAGGCUGCAGUUUGACUCAAAAUGAUGGUCACUGGCUUCGCACCAUUUUACCGGUAUACAUUUCUACAAACUGAACAAGGCUAUUGAUUAUUAUUAUUAUUAUUUUAAUUUGUUUAUAAAUUACUAUUUUAAUUUUCACUUUUUAUUGGGUUGUUUAACGGAUUGGUGAAGCUGGUGGUCGUUGAUGCACUCACAAGGUACAAUUUUAUUUUAUAAUUUCAAAUUCGUAUUUUAAAACGCAGGUACAUUAUGUAUAUACAUAAUUAUUGAUUUUCGUAUGAGGGUGUUUUGAAAUAUUGCUAAAAGACCAAACUUUAAUAAACUAUUUUUGAUCUUUUUUUUUUUUCCUAAAGUUUGGGUGAUAUGCGCAUUUUAAAUUCACGUGGAACAAAAGUUAAUGUAUGUAUAAAAAUUCUUUUAUUUUACUGAGCAAAAUAGGCAAGCGAAAAAGUUUUGGCAAAUGAGUUGCAACUGAAUUCAAAACCAAUACAAUGCGAGCAUAGGAAAGAGGCCAGUGUUUAGGAUUUGAAUUUAGGUAGCGUUUACUUUUUGGAUUGGAUUGGGAAUCCUGGGGAGUGGGAAUCCUAGGAUUGAGAGUGUGGAGUGGGAGUGGGAGUAGGUUGUUUACUUACACUGGAAUGGAAGCAUGGAAUGGAGAUCAGAAUCCAAUUUAUGUGUUUACUUUGUCUUGGAUUGGGAGUAAAUAGUUUCAAAUUACAAUUUUAUCCUUAUUUAAAGAAUUAUAAUUUUAAUUACAAAACUAAUAAAAUAUAUAUUUAAUGAAUAAUAUUUAUUUUAUUAUAUUUGUAAAUUUAUUAUAAUUAUUAAUAUUCUUAAUUAUGAACAAUAAAUUAUUAAUUGUAAUUUUAAUAUAAAAUGAAAUGUUAUUUUAUUUAAUAUAAUUAUAUUAAAUUUAUUAUUAUAUAAAAUAAUAAUAUAAUAUUAUUUAGUACAAAAUUAAUAUUUUCUUAGAAUAAAGUAUUUAUUAUUAUUAUUAAAUAAAAUAUAGUACUAUUAUUUUUAAAAUAAAUAUAAUAAUAUUAUAUUUAUUAAUUCUCUAUUAAUAUAAUAAUAUUAUUUUAAAAUAAUUUUAACUUAGAAUCAAUGUAAAUUAUUAUUUAGUUAAAUAUAAUAUUAUUAUUUAAAUAAAUAUAAUAUUAUUAUUUAAAUAAAUAUAAUAUUAUUUAUUUUAUUUUAUUAAUUAUAAAACAUAAAAUAAAAAAAAAAAGGGUAGAAAUGGGAGAGGUGGGAGUGGAUUCCCACUCCCACCUCCCCCAAUGGGAGUCCCACUCCCACUCCCCACUCCAAAAAUGGGUGGGGCCCACGGAGUGGGACUCCCAAUUCCUUCUCAUUUUAAGUAAGUAAACGCUGGAGUGGGAGGAAUCCACACUCCUCACUCCCACUCCAGCAAGUAAACACAACAUUAGUAUUAAGCUGAAUUUUAUGGUAAGCUCUUUUAUAGUACUGUGAUUGAUAAGCUCAGCCCCGGAUUUGCUUUUGCUUUUGCUUUUACUUCAAGUGAAAGAGAGAGGAAACCUUUUGUUUUUUUCUUUGGUUUUCAACUAUGUUACCUAUACAAAGAGUCAAGAUACCUGCCAUAAGUGAUGGUGUUAAAAAGAUUAAGCAGCGCACACAAUCUUACUGUCGUCUAGACCAUCCAGUGAUGACUCUAGUCUUUUGGUUACGUUAGCUUUAGUUGAAAGAAGGGCCAAUUUAACAAAGACUAGAUUUGAUGGCUUACUAUGUUUAAUGUAAUGCUAAUUCUCAGGGAAUCUAAUGUUAUAACUUAUAAGACGAUCUCCUAUGAUGAAUAACAGUAACACAUUACUGUGAUUGAGAAAACUCAGUUACAAUAAACUAUUCAUUUACUCAUUGCGGAGAUUGAAUAGCAAAUAGAGAAUAGAAUGAAGCAGAGGAAUCUCAUUGCCAAUAAAAUUGACCCUCUUUAAUGUUAUAUGGCACAGGUGUGGAGGAAGAACAAGUUACUUGCAGUUUUUAUUGUAAAAUAUACAGGUAUGACCAUGAUCAUUACAGUUGGGUUUUGAUAAUUUCAGAUGCUUUUUAAAAAAAAAAAAAAUUAUGACAUCUUUGAUUUACGGUAGUUUUGCAGAAAAAAAAAUAUAAAAAUUAAGAGGGAUGAGUUAAACUGACGAUUACAAUCAUUCCAGCAAUGCUGAUGAGUGAUACAUCACUUGAAAUUUACUUGUCAGUUGCUGAAAUGAUGAAAAAAAAACAAUAAACGAUAACAGUAAUAAUGUUCCGUUGCUGAAAUUCAAUUUUGACUUUCUACUCUUGGCUUUUAUGGAAAGUAAAAUGACUUGUAUAUUAUCCUCAUACAAUCCACUCUACAUAAUGAUAUCAUUUUAAUAAGGCAAUGGCUGAUGAUCUCCAUUUAAAAACUACAUCAUUUUUUUUGCUUCAUUUAACUUUUUGGUUGUUGAAAAUAACCUUAAUUAUCAAAUAAUUGGAGAAAGAGUAAAGAACAUUUAACAAAUUUAUGUGCAAAAAAAAAAAAGGAGAAGUUGAAGAGAAAGGGUGCUUGCAGAAGUGGGUGUCAAAGAUAAAUCGGUCCAUAAGAAUUAUUGUGGUUAUUUUUUUGGCAAUAUAAGAACUUAUGCGAUAGCAUUUUUUAUGGGUGCAUAUAACCUCCCUUUAAAAAUAUAUAUAAUAAUUACUGCUUAAUAUAGUAUUAAAUACAAAAAUAUCAAUAUUUGACUACUUAAAUUUAUAUCAUUAGGUCCUUAAAAUUUAAAAUGGAAGAUAUGAAAGGAAAUAUAUAUAAAUUUCAUUGUCCUGGUAAAGGGCCCUCUUAUAAUCUUAUAAUAUUUGAACUUUGAUAGAUUUUUUGAAACAAAUGUACUUUUAUUUGUGUACAAUCAAUAUUUACUCAUUUAUUAUAUUUUAAUUUAUUAACUAUUAAUCAUGUAAGUAUACUUAGUCAGAAAAAUUAUAUCAAGAGAAAAUUCUAAUUUCACGCAAAAACAAAUACCAAAACAAAUAUCUCAAUUUCUAUACUAUUCACUUUCCUGUAGAAUCAAUUAUUUAAAAUGCAAGUUUGUGGCUACAGAAAACUCGCCAAAGAAAAAAGAUAAUAACAAUUGAGCAUUGAUAGCAAAACUAAUGCAUCCAAUUCUUCUUGACUUGAUGAGAUGGCGCCAUAACGUAGACACAAGUACCUAAAUUGACCGGCACUGAGUGAUGUGAAUACUACCAGCCAGUUCAUCUCUUCCAGUCUUGCUUAAUCACAAUCACAAACACCACGAGAUCGACAUUUGCAUUAUAUAUAUCUUCUGCAAUCGAAACACCUUGCAUUACCAAAUAAGCCCGUAACAGACAAAGCAAUCUUUCAUGGAGAGAAACCUUAGUCUCAGUAUGAUCACUGUGUCAUUAACCUACUGCCUGCUUCUUUGCUUGGUUGCUGCAGCAGCAGCAGCGGCAAGCAACAAUAUUACCACAGACCAACAAGCUCUUCUUGCCCUGAAAGAUCAUAUAAUUUAUGAUCCUACCAGCCUUUUAGCUCACAAUUGGACCUCGAAUACCUCUGUUUGUACCUGGAUUGGCAUCACUUGUGAUGCCAAUAGCCAUAGAGUCAAAACCUUAGAUAUUUCUCAAUUCAAUCUACAAGGCACCAUCCCUCCUCAACUUGGAAAUCUCUCUUCACUCACAACACUUAAUCUUAGUCAUAACAGGCUUUCUGGAAGUGUUCCCUCCUCCAUCUACACCAUGCAUACGCUAAAAUUUCUUGACUUCACUGAUAACCAGCUCUCUGGUUCAGUGUCUUCCUUCGUCUUCAACAUGUCUUCAAUAUUAGUAAUUCGUUUGACCAAUAACAUAUUUUCUGGUGAGCUUCCGAAAAAUAUUUGCAACUAUCUUCCUUAUUUGAAGGCCCUUUUCUUAAACAAAAACAUGUUUCAUGGCAAAAUUCCUUCUGCUUUAUCAAAGUGCAAACAACUGCAACAAUUAAAUUUGCAGUUCAAUAAUUUAUCCGGUGCAAUACCAAAAGAAAUCGGCAACUUGACUAUGCUCAAAGGGAUAUAUCUCCUCUACAACAAACUCCACGGUAUGUUCACAAUACUAUAUAAAUAUUUUAAUUUAUCACUUAUUAUCUUUCUUGAAUAAUUUAGUUAAGAUCUUGUAAGAGAGAUUUUUUGCAUCUACGUUAAUUUACCAGGUGAGAUACCCCACGAAAUCGCUAAUCUUCCAAAUCUAGAGGCUUUAGCGCUUGGAAUCAACAACGUAGUUGGUGUGUUACCAGCUCCCAUCUUCAACAUGUCAACACUGAAGGUACUUAUCCUCAUAAAUAACUCUCUCUCCGGAAGCCUUCCAUCAAGAGUAGACCUUUCACUUCCAACUGUUGAGCAACUUAACUUGGCACUUAAUAGAUUUUCUGGAACCAUUCCUAGUUCCAUCACCAAUGCUUCUAAGCUCACCUUUCUAGAGUUGGGAGCAAACACAUUUUCGGGGUUUAUUCCAAACACAAUUGGUAAUUUAAGAAACCUUAAGUGGCUCGGCUUGGCUAAUAACUCCUUGACAUCUUCAACCUCAAAAUUGAGCUUUCUUUCCUCUUUGGCAAAUUGCAAGAAAUUAAGAUUCGUAAACGUAAUAGGCAAUCCACUGGACGGCUUCCUUCCAAGUUCAAUAGGUAAUCUUUCUGUGUCUUUGGAAACACUUGGCAUCGGCAAUUGCAGUAUUAGUGGCAACAUUCCUCCAGCAAUUAGCAAUUUAAGCAACUUGUUGACCUUAGUAUUAGACGGCAAUAAAUUGACUGGACCAAUCCCAACUACAUUCGGCCAACUGCAGAAACUCCAAGGCUUAGAUCUUGCAUUCAAUAAGUUGGUAGGUUCAUUCCCAGAUGAGCUUUGCCAUCUGGCAAGGCUGGAUCAAUUGGUCUUAUUUGGCAAUAAGCUUUCAGGAUCUAUACCUUCAUGCUUAAGUAACCUCACUUCUCUAAGAUCUCUCUAUUUAGGGUCCAAUAAGUUUACUUCUGUUUUUCCCUCAACCUUCUGGAGCCUAAAAGACAUCUUGUUCUUUGACUUUUCAUCAAAUUUCUUGGUUGGUCCUCUUUCUUUAGAUAUAGGAAAUUUGAAGGUGCUUCUAGGAAUAAGUUUAUCAAAAAAUAAUUUAUCCGGUGAUAUCCCAGCCACAAUUGGAGGACUGAAAGAUCUUCAAUUUAUGGACCUAGCAUAUAAUAGAUUGGAAGGCCCAAUUCCUAAAUCAUUUGGUGACUUGAUAAGUUUAGAAGUUCUGAAUUUAUCAAAUAAUAAAAUCUCUGGGUCUAUUCCAACAUCCAUGGAGAAACUCUUUUACCUCGGAGAGUUAAAUCUCUCUUUCAAUAAACUAGAAGGUGAGAUUCCUAGUGGAGGAACUUUUGCCAACUUCACAGCUGAGUCAUUUAUGGGAAAUGAGUUUUUGUGUGGUUUACCAAAUCUUCAAGUCCAACCAUGCAAAGUUAGCAAGCCGAGGACAGAACAUAAAUCAAGGAAAAAGAUACUUCUCAUUGUGAUUGUUUUGCCAUUGAGUAUUGCUCUAACAAUAGCAAUCACUCUAGCUCUCAAAUCUAAGCCGAUCGAAUGUGGAGAAAGAAGCACAGUGUUGUCAAAUGAUAGUAUCUUGUCAUCACAAGCAACACUAAGAAGAUUUUCAUACUUAGAACUUUUACAAGCAACAGAUAAUUUUGCUGAAAACAGCAUAAUUGGCAGAGGAGGUUUCGGUUCCGUUUAUGGAGCAAGACUUGAAGAUGGGAUGAAGAUUGCAAUAAAAGUGUUUCACCGGCAAUGUGCAAGCGCAUUGAAGAGUUUUGAGGCUGAAUGUGAAGUGUUAAAAAAAAUUCGCCAUCGAAACCUUAUCAAAGUUAUCAGCAGUUGCUCGAACGAUGACUUCAAAGCAUUAGUCCUAGAAUACAUGUCCAACGGGAGCUUAGGGGAUUGGCUGCAUUCGAGCAAUUACGUGCUGAAUAUUUUUCAAAGGUUGAACAUAAUGAUUGACGUUGCAUCAGCUUUAGAAUACCUCCACUUCGAUCAUUCAACUCCUAUUAUUCAUUGUGACUUAAAGCCUAGUAAUGUAUUGUUGGACGAAAAUAUGGUUGCUCAUUUGAGUGAUUUUGGCAUAGCAAAGCUUUUAAGUGGAGAAGAUGAGUCUACGAUGCGAACAAAAACCCUUGCCACUAUAGGUUAUAUGGCACCAGGUUUGCUUCAAACAACUUUUUUUUUUAAGUUCAUUUUAAAUUUUCUAAAUCAUUGAUUUUUACGAUCCUCAUAUCAAAUUGUUAUUGAUUAUUUAUCUAAUUGUGAAAUUAAUUUGAUUCAUAGAGUAUGGCAUAGGAGGAGAAGUAUCUACAAAAAGCGAUGUUUACAGCUACGGGAUUAUGUUGAUGGAAACUUUUACCAAGAAAAAACCCACAGAUGAAAUUUUUGUUGGAGAAUUGAGCUUAAAGCAUUGGGUUAAUGACUUGCUUCCUAAUUCAUUAGUGGAAGUUGUGGACAAAACUCUGCUAAGUGGAGAGGAAAAACAUUUUGCAUCAAAGGGGCAAUGUCUGUUGUCUAUCUUUAGUUUGGCUCUGGAGUGUACAAUGGAAUCACCGGAAAAGAGGAUUAAUGCAAAAGAUAUUGUUACCGGAUUACUCAAGAUAAGAGACACAUUGAGUAAAAGGAUAGGAAAUUUAAGUUAAUUUCGUUUGCUUUCAUUGAUAGUUAAUUCGAAUUCAUGUAAUAAGUGCAAGAAUCUUAUAUCUUUUCCUUUGAUAUAUUCUUUUUCUUGAGAAAACUGUUGUAGUCAUCUUGUUUCCAUGGGAAGAGUUGAUUUAGUUCUUCCAAAAAAUGCUACUGAUGACCUUUGUUUAAUACUUUCUCUUUUUUUGCACGUGUUUAGGUAGAACAGUGGUUUGGCUGCAGGCUAAUAAGUCAAGCUACGCCAAAAGCGUAUGAUUUAAUUUAUUAAACAUAACUUCAAGUUCAAGAAGUGUUUCUCAUUGCCACCAAUGCUUUGGACACCUGUUGGAAGGUUUGUUGUCCUCAGCUUUUGUUUAGAGCAAAAGUUCGAGUCCCAUAAAGGCUCAAACAUUCCUUUCCUUCAUCCCGAGGGCGCCUUCUGUCCUCUGUUUUCUGUUUCCACACACAAAUAGCAAAAAGAAAUUAGAAUGACAACUGGGACAUAUAUAAGAGUGAAAUAAUUAAAAAAAUUAUGCUUUUUUGUCUGUCGUGUUAAAAUCGUAAGUACCGAAGUACUGUGAAAGAGAUUAAUUUACAGAAACUGAAGCCAAGGGUUCAAAAAAAAACUAUUGAUGUAGCUAGGAUGCAAUGUCAUAUUCAUACAGAGAUGAAGUAUAUUAUUUACGGCUGGUAAAGACUAGGAAUUGAUGUAGCUAGAAUCCAAAGAUGAUAAGGUAUGUUGUGCACUAUUGUUUUAUUCUACGGUCAAUCUUGACCCUUGGUGCUUGGCUCUCAAUCUUGUCCAUUGAUCUUCUCUGAUCUUGGAAACUUCAAGACCUUUCACUCUCAUGCCUUAUUAUUGGUGUCUUCCAUGCUGUAGCUUUCAAAUACAAGCUUUCCCGCCAACUUGCCAAUUAUUUGUCCGUUGGUGCAUUUUAUCAAACAGUUUGGAUACUUAUACCAAACGCCUUCUGUUUUAACUCCCCCCCUCAAGCUCAAGCAUCUGGGAAGACAUUAAUAAGCUUGUUUCUCAAGUAUAUAUAUCUGAAAAUUAAAUUUUAUAAAUUAUAUUCGGACUCUACAUUUUCUAAUGAACAUUGGUUUGGCUUAUAAGCUUAUUAUACUCAGGUUUGGUAGGAGCCAUAUCACAAUGUUAACGCUAACCAGCAGUACUGCCAAAGCUGGCCAACUCAGCCUGCAAGUUCAUAGCAACCAUAGUUACAGUCCUAGUCCGGUACAAAAAUCGUAAAUAUCAUUUACAUUACAAUGGUGUGGGGGGGGGGGGGGGGGUUUGUUGGGUGGCUGGAGAGGGAAUCAACAAAGAUCUAGAACGAAGGGUAGGCUUGUAUCCGUAACCCAUGUCACAGUGUUAAUGCUAACCGUGGACCUUAUUAUAUUAGUUGCUGGACUAUUAUUACUUUUGAAUUGCCAUCUUUGAAUUUACGUUCAUUUCUGCCUCGACAAGAUGUUUGUAAAAAUAUGCUAAUUAUUAAUGUGCCGUGUACAAAUAAGCAUGUUACUGUGCAAGGAUUGUAGUCAUGAUACAGUGGUGCAAAAUGUACAUGCUACUUCUUCUUUUCCUCAGUUAGGAUCACCGUCGUCACCAUUUAAUUCUAAGUCCACCCAUGCGGCCUAUGCAAUUGAAAUCAUGUGACCAUGUAAUUUUAGGUUCUGAUCUUCCUUGUGGGGUUAAACCUCAAAACUGUGACCAUUUUGGGACUUUUAAUCAGUUCCAAUCAUUUUCUGGUUCCCAUUCGUCCACCCAAGCCUUGAUUCCCCCGAUAUAGCAUUGCAAUAUAUAUAGGAAUAUUAAGGUUGUGUACAGUUUUUUUCUUUUCUGUUUUUAAUUUGAUAUAAAUUAUCAAUCAUGAAUCUACAUAAAGUUUCAACUAGGCUACUACCACAAUAAACAUUUGGAUGAACUAUUAUUGAAACCUUAUUGAGAAGUAGGACAUGUCGCAUACCAAUGCACUGACAUAUCUUCAAAUAGUGGUAACUCCACACAACAUGGCACAAUAAAUUAAGAGUUAUAUAGAUAAAAUCUUUCACUCUUUGGUAAUCAUCAAUGUCGGCAUGACAAUGCGUCCCACAAAUAUGGCUCCUUAUCAAAAUUCAUAAAUCAAAACAAAAAUAGAGAAUCAUAUUUGUUCUAGAUUGUAGUGAUGGUUGUUGAUGCACUCACAAUUUACAAUUUUAUUUAAUAUCUUCAAAUUCGCAUUUUAAAAUGCCCAAAUGUUUGUGUAUACAUAAUUAGUAAUCGAUUCUCAAGCAUGGCCAUUUAAAAGCAUUGCUGAAAGACAAAAUUUUAAUUUACUAUUUUUUGUCUUUUAAUUUUCUUUAAGUUUUUAAUGAUUCCGCAUUUUAAAAUCCUGUGGAACGUGUAUGUAAAAUUCUUUUAUCUUUUAGAGGAAAAUGGGCAAGAGAAGAAGAUUUGGCAAAGGAAUUGCAACCGCAUUUGGAGCUAGUUUUAAUUUUGUCUUUUAAUUCUUUUACACUUGGCUUUUGUUAUUGAUGUCAACUUCGAUGUGUGUGAAGACUCGAGCUCACUCCCUUAUGAGCUAGUUUUAUUUUUCUACUUUCACAUUAAGAAAAAUACUCCUAUUUUUAAGGAAAAGUCAAGUACCUGUAGUUGUGAAGACUCGAGCUCACUCCCUUAUGAUAAAUCUUCAUAUUAAUUACGUAAAUAUCCUCUAAAAUUUUAAAUUAGCUAUUCAAAAUUUGAUGUUAUACGGGUAUUUCAUUUAUUUGAGUAGGGGUUGGGGGUCAAUUGGAUACAAAUUCAAAAUUAUCCUUACUUGAGAUGGUGAUAAAAAUUGGGGAUUUAAUUUGGAUGUCAUUAGCUACAAAUAUUAAACUCAUACAUUUAAUUCAAAAUUGGAAAGCUGAUAUAUGCGCAUCAUCCCACAACCUCUCCAAUGAAAAAUUAACACGUUUCUUGUGUGCAUUUGAUCAGAAUCCUGAAAAUUAAUCACAAAAUUGUCCUGGAAAAAAAAAUGCUUACAUAAAUGGUUUGAAAAAUCUAGAUUUCAAGUUGUCUAUAUUAGCUUGAUAUUUUUAUAAAUAGUCAUCCUCUCAAAAAAAUUCCAUCAAAAUAUAUUUUAAUUUUAUGUUAAUUCAUAAACAUGAAAAAAUCAUUUCAGAAUUAAUUAAAACAUAAUUUAUUGUUUCUCAAAAAAGGUAGAACUUAGUGAUAAGAAAAAAGUAUCUCAAAUAUAUGUAAAAAAAAAAAAAUCUUGGUUAGUUGGAAUGAUUGAAUUUGUUUUUUUUUUCUUUUUUAAGAAUUAAGACAAUCGGAUUGAUUGAGUAAUAAUAAUAUAUAUUUAUUUGGCAAAUGGCAGGUAGGCUUUCGUCUCAUGCAGAUUGAUUAGAGAGAAAAUAUAACAAUUUUAAGCUCGUCAGAUUCGAAGCUGCUUUCCUGUCGUGUGGGGAUCACUUCCGUGUCUUAUUUUUCUAGAAAAAUCAGGACCAUUGGAUUUAUGCGAAUCGUACUGAACAUUGGAAUUGAUGUAUAAGAAAAAAAUUCUGUAGUUUAAGAAGAACAAAAAGGCAUGUUGAAUAGAUUACAAUAGUUUAAGGAAAAAAAUUAUUCAAUUGGGAAUUUUUUUUUCUUUAAUUUUUGUUGUACUUGAUUGAGAUUUCUCCUUAGUCCUUAGAGUUUUAAGUUUGGAAACCGUAGGAUCAGUAAUUUCGUACUUCCUUUGCAAGCUGAGUAUAAGGAUGAAAUUCUUUUAAGAAAUUAAAAAAGAUAAAAAAAAAGCAUACCAAUAGGUAAUUAUAAAUAACCACAAAUAAAUAUAAACAAAAUGUUUAUGAAGUAAAUUAAACAUGCUCAUAUUAUUUUCUUUUAUUUUCUGCUUGGAAACCCAUAAAUACACUAAUCCAGUAUUACUAAUUUCAGACAGAAAAUUUUGAAUUUAACCAGUAUACACUAAUCCAGUAUUAUUUUUAUUAUUAUUUUAAUUUGUUUAUAAAUUACUAUUUUAAUUUGUUUAUAAAUUACUAUUUUAAUUUUCACUUUUUAUUGGGUUGUUUAACGGAUUAGUGAAGCUGGUGGUCGUUGAUGCACUCACAAGGUACAAUUUUAUUUUAGAAUUUCAAAUUCGUAAUUUAAAAUGCAGGCACAUUAUGUAUACAUAAUUAUUGAUUUUCAUAUGUGGGUGUUUUGAAAUAUUGCCAAAAGACCAAACUUUAAUAAACUAUUUUUGAUCUUUUUUUUUCCUUUGUACCUAAAGUUUGAGUGAUAUCCGCAUUUUAAAUUCAUGUGGACCAAAAGCUAAUGUAUGCACAAAAUUCUUUUAAUUUUUUCCGAGAAAAAUGGGUAAGAGAAGAAGAUUUUUCUCUUGAAAAAGAAAAAAUAAUACGUUGCAAGCAUAGGAAAGAGGCCAGUGUUUUGGAUUUGAAUUUAGUAUUGGGUUGAAUUUUAUGCUAAGCUCUUUUAUAAUACUUUAUAGAAUAAAAAUGUAAGGGAUAUUUGGCUAGGCAUGUACUUUAUAGAAUAAAAAUGUAAUAAUGUAAGUCAGUGCAAUGAUCUGCUGUCAUAGUAGUUAUAAAUAUUUAUGUGUAAUACAGUAACAUGAUGCUUAAUCAGUUAAAAAAAAAUUGUAUAUCUUUUUUUAUUUUUUUUAUUGUGAUCAAUAUAACUAGUCAAAUUUAUUUUUAAAUAUUUUUUUAAAAAUAUUUUUAUCGUGUGUUUGCUCCAUUACAGGGUUUCUUCAAUUUAAAAUAGAGAAUCAUUUGUGUUCUAGAUUAAUCGUGGGUCUAUAUCCAAAUCCAAAAAUUGACUAACUUGAUUUCUAUUAAGUUCUCAACCCUAACAAGAAAAAUAAAAGAGUAAAAAUGACUAUUUUGGUUUCUAUUAAUUUGAGUAACGCUUAAUAUUUAUCAUACAAUAGUCACUUAUAUUAUCAAAAUCUUGGGUCGAAAAUAUUAGGAUAGGUGAUAAUUGGAAUUAAGUUGUAGAUAAGAUAGCCUUUCAAAAAAAAGAAAAGAAAAAAAGUUGUAGAUAAGAUAGAAAUGGAUUUGGAGAGAGAUUGGAAUCCUGGCUAAUCCGGUGCACGUUGUUGCGUUAAAUUCUCGUUGACUUCACGUUGACCGAAGCAUUAUUGGAAGAAACAAGCAAGCUUAUUUUCUUCUCUCAUUUUUUACUUUUGUCUAAAUUUAUUGAUGUGAGCCCUCUGAGAUGGUAAAGUGUUAAAUCUGAGAAGAGUACCCACACACCCAUUUGUUGGAGGAUUAACAAUUAAAACACACUAUUUUAUUUCUUCAACAACACUCCUCACCAAUUACAACUCUUAUUUUUCACUCUCUACACCUUAGAGAUUUUGCUGCUUCACUUGAUGUUUAAACCAAAAGGGAGAGGGGGUAUUUAUAUAUGAAACAAACUAAUCACAACCAUUCAUUUAUUCAACUAAUAAACACAUCCUCACCAUCCAUUAAAACCUACCACUCACCUACUUCACCAACCACACCUAACACACCUAACACAAAUAAUUCAAACCUCACCAACCAUACCUACUCAUGGAACCUUCCAUGAGUUGGGCUUGAUUUAUUCAUCUUGGAUCAAGUUUAUGAUCCAACACCUCUCCUUAAACUUGAUCCUGUGACACCAAGCAAACUUCUGAAUCUUACAAAGUCUUCUUGUUUGAGUGGUUUAGUGAAGAUAUCAGCUGCUUGAUCUUGUGAUUUUACAUACUUGAUUUGCACUUCUUUUCUUGCAAUACACUCUCUUAUGAAAUGAUAGCGAGUGGCUAUGUGUUUACUUCGAUCAUGAAAGACUGGAUUCUUGGAUAGGGCAAUUGCUGAUUUGUUAUCAACACAAAUCUCAGUUGGCUCUUCUUGUGCCAAACUCAACUCCUUUAGCAAAUUUCUGAGCCAAAUUGCAUGACAAACACUUGAUGUGGCAGCUACAUAUUCAGCUUCACAGGUGGAUAGCGUGACAAUUGGUUGCUUCUUUGACAUCCAUGUGAAAGCAGUAUCUCCUAUGAAGAACACAAAUCCUGUGGUGUUAUUUCGAUCAUCUACAUCUCCACCCCAAUCGCUAUCGCUAUAUCCAACAAGCUUGUAGUCAUUAGAAAAUGAGUAUAGCAAGCCGAAAUUAGUUGUACCUUUGAUGUAGCGAAGGAUUCUUUUUGCAGCUUUAAAAUGGGUGGUCUUUGGAUUCUCCAUGUAUCGGCUCACAAGUCCAACAACAUAAAGGAUAUCUGGUCUUGUGCAUGUCAAAUAACGUAGGCUUCCAACCAAACUUUUAAAGAAUGUUGGAUCUAUAUCUUCGCCUUCAUCAUGUUUGGAUAACUUGACUCCGCAUUCCACUGGCGUGCUUAUAGGCUUACAAUCAUUCAUCUUGAACUUCUUGAGAAUCUCCUCUGCAUAGCUUUCUUGGGAGAUAAAUAUGCUUUCUUCCUUUUGCUUGACUUCAAUGCCGAGGUAAUAUGCCAUCAGUCCGAUGUCAGUCAUCUCGAACUCUUUGAUCAUCACUCUCUUGAACUCUUCAAACAAGCCUGGAUUACUUCCAGUGAAAAUGAGAUCAUCCACAUACAGGCACACAAUCAAAAUAUCUCCAUAUUUUUCUUUGACGUAGAGAGCAUGUUCAUAUGGGCAUUUGGUGAAGCCUUUCUCUUGAAAAUACUUGUCAAUUCUGCUAUUCCAUGCCCUUGGUGCUUGCUUUAACCCAUAAAGAGCUUUCUUCAAUCUCAAAACUUUGUCCUCGUGUCCUUUCACCACAUAGCCUAAUGGUUGUUCGAUGUAAACUUCUUCUUCAAGGAAUCCAUUCAAGAAAGCAGACUUCACAUCCAUUUGAAAAAUCUUCCAUUUGUUCUGAGCAGCCAAAGAAAUAAUAAGUCUAAUAGUUUUAAGUCGAGCUACAGGAGCAAAUACCUCGUCAUAGUCUAUGCCAGCCUUUUGACUAUAGCCUUUUGCAACUAGCCUCGCCUUGUGCCUUUCAAUUUCUCCCUUCGCAUUUCUUUUUGUUUUAUACACCCAUUUGACACCGAUCGCCUUGUGACCUUUUGGAAGAGUAGUAAGCUCCCAAGUAUCAUUCUUCACAAUGGCUUUGAUUUCUUCAUCCAUUGCAAUUCUCCACUUCUCAUCUAGUGCAGCUUCUUGGAAGUUGACUGGCUCACAAUCAGCAAAGAGGCAAAAGAGAGUGAGAUUAUCAUGUCUCUCAGUUACCUCAUAGAGAUCUUGAAGACUCCUUGCACGUUCUUCGGUUCUUUCAUUUAAGAAAGACGGCGGUGAAUCUCCGCAUGUGGUUGGUGCUGGUGAGAUAGGUGGAGUGGCAGGCUCUUGUUGUUCGUCUACUUGUUUUACCUGUGUAUGAUCAUCUUCUUCAAUGGGAAAGAAGUUGAAGUCAUCCACACCAGAGCCAAAAUCUCAUUCUCCUUCUUCAUCAAAAAUUACAUCUCGACUGAUCACAAUCUUUCCGUUGUUUGGAUUGUAAAGCUUGUAUCCUUUGGAGUUGUUGUCGUAGCCGAUGAAGAUGAACAACUCACUUUUGUCAUCCAGCUUGGCUCUACUUUCGUCUGGUACAUGUACAUGGGCAAUGCUUCCGAAAACUCUUAGAUGGGUGAUGCCAGGUUUUCUUCCACUCCAAGCUUCUUGUGGCGUCUUGCCCCACACGCUUCUUGUUGGAGAUCGAUUGGAUAAGUAGAUUGCACAUGCAACUGCUUCAGCCCAAAAUUCUUUAGGUAGCCUCUUACUCUUAAGCAUGCUUCUUGCCAUGUCGAGGAUGGUUCUGUUCUUCCUUUCUGCAACACCAUUUUGUUGGGGGGAUCUUGGAACUGUCAAAGGGCGUCGAAUUCCAUUUGCUUCACAAAACUCUAAAAAUUCUUUGGAAGUGAACUCUCCACCUCGAUCAGAUCUCAUGGCUUUAAUCUGGUAUCCACUUUCUUUUUCAACUGCAGCUUUAAACUUCUUGAAAGCUUCAAAGACUUCUGAUUUUUGCUUCAAAAAAUACACCCAAGUUUUUCUUGAAAAAUCAUCUAUAAAAAGAAUGAAGUAGUUACUUUUACCAAGGGAGUUUGGCUUGAAUGGACCGCACACAUCAGUAUGAAUGAGCUCGAGUGGCUUCUGAGCUCUUGAGUUUGACUCCUUUGGAAAGCUCUUUCUGAACUGCUUGCCAAGUAAACAUCCUUCACAAAGUUGAUCAGGGUGAUUGAUGUAUGGUAAGCCUUUCACCAUGUUCUUCUUAGAGAGUAGCUCCAGUCCUCUAAAGUUGAGAUGCUCAUAUCGAAGAUGCCAAGUCCAGGAUUGAUCUUUGUGACAGGCUUUGAGACAUUUUGCAACAUCAUUUUGAAUAUUUAAAGGAAACAUUCUAUUCUUUGACAUUCUCACUUUUGUAUUUAGAUUUCCUUUUUCAUCUCUUAGAAAAAGACUAUAAUCUUUUAAGUGAAUAUCAUAGCCCUUUUUCUAAAAGUUGACCUAAACUAAGAAUGUUGCUUUUCAUAUUGGACACAUAGUAAACAUUCGAAAUUAUUUGGUGGCUACCAUCUUUUGCACGAAAAAGAAUGUUACCUCUACCCUUCACUGGUACUUUUGAAUCAUCUCCAAAAGUGACACUGCCAUUCACAAAUUCACUUAGUUGCACGAACAUGCUUCUGUUUCCACUCAUAUGAUUGCUAGCACCUGUGUCAAGAUACCAUGUAUUUUCUUGACCUCCAUUUGUGUCAUUGCGUGCUAGUAAAAGUGUGUCAUCUUCACCAUUUUUCUCUUCAGCAUAGUUCACUCUCUCUUUAAUUCUGGUGCUUGGAGCUCUGCAUUCUGAAGCAUAAUGCCCAAACUUUUGACAAUUAUAGCACUGUACUUGGGAUUUGUCAUACCUCGAUCUUGAAUUGCCUCUGCCUUGUUCUCUGGUUGAGCUUUCUCCUUUGGCAUAAUUGGAGUUGUUGUUGUUGAAAUUCCAACCUCGUCCAUGACCACGACCUCUACCUCGUCCUCGACCUCUACCUCGGACAUAGUGCCUUCUCUCAUUGUCGGAGCUUUCUUCUCUUUUCUUUGGAUUGACUUCCAUCUUGAGAAGUUGUUCUUCGAUUCCUUGCUUCUUUUUUUGUUUUUCUUCAUAGGCUUGCAACCUUCCUUGAAGUUGCUCGAUCGUCAUAUCCUCCAGAUCUCUUGUUUCUUCAAUUGUCAUAACAAUAUGAUCAAACUUCGAGUCUACUGAUCGAAGUAUCUUUUCAAUGAUCCUUACCUCUUUUAACUCCUCGCCAUUUCUUUUUAAUUCAUUGGAAACGGUCACAACUCGAGUAAAGUAGUCAGAAAUUGACUCCGACACCUUCAUGUGUAAGGACUCAAAUUCUCCUCGUAAUGUUUGGAGACGAACCUUCUUAACUUGCUCUGCUCCUUUGUAAGAGGUCUUUAGUUUCUCCCAUGCUUCUUUUGAGGAGGUUGUACCAGCAAUCUUUUCAAAAGCAUCUUCAUCUAAUGAUUGAAAGAUGAGAUACUUUGCUUUAUUCUCUUUCUUCUUCAAGUCUUUUAAAUUCUCCUUCUGCGCCGCAGUUAAAGUGGCUUCAUUUUCUGGCACAAUAAAGCCUUUCUCCACGACAUCCCAUACGUCAUGUGCACUCAAUAGAGCCUUCAUUUUAAUACUCCAAUUGUCAAACUUACUUCCUUUUAAUUGUGGAACUUGAAAUGACAUCAUCAUACCACCGUUUGCCAUAACUCACAAAUUGAGUGAGAAUUUGGAGAUUCUGAAUGCACAGAUGGAUCCGGCACGUCGAAAAACCUUGGGAAGGACUCGAGUCAACUUUCGGUCAACGGUCAACGUCGGUCAACGGUCAACACCGGCUUGGUAGUCUCGGUUCGGUCCGGAUUGGUUCAGCUCGAGUUGGCUCGGUUCGACUUGAUUCGGUUCAGCUCGGCUCGGCUUGGUUCAGUUCGGCUCAGCUUGGUUCAACUCGGUGAGUCGACUCAGCUUCAGGACAUAAAACUUCCGGCGGCAGGUGUGGGCGCGUACGGUCUCGGAUCGGGAUGAUUUUUGCGGCGUCACGUUCCUCUCGUCGAGAUCUUCGAUUUGAUAUGCUAUAUGACUAUAUAUAGCAUCAAACACUAGCUCUGAUACCACUUUGUUGGAGGAUUAACAAUUAAAACACACAAAAAACACACUAUUUUAUUUCUUCAACAACACUCCUCACCAAUUACAACUCUUAUUUUUCACUCUCUACACCUUAGAGAUUUUGCUGCUUCACUUGAUGUUUAAACCAAAGGGGAGAGGGGGUAUUUAUACAUGAAACAAACUAAUCACAACCAUUAAUUUAUUCAACUAAUAAACACAUCCUCACCAUCCAUUAAAACCUACUACUCACCUACUUCACCAACCACACCUAACACACCUAACACAAAUAAUUCAAACCUCACCAACCAUACCUACUCAUGGAACCUUCCAUGAGUUGGGCUUGAUUUAUUCAUCUUGGAUCAAGUUUAUGAUCCAACACCAUUAUCCUAUUACUCUUAUUUUAUCACAUGCAGAGACGUCAACGUUUGAUUCGCACGGAAAAAAAUUUGCGAGGAUUGUGAGGGUUGAUUCAAUAUAAUUUAGAUGCAAAGUGUUUACAAGUGCGAUGCUUCGUAAGUGCACCCGAAUCAUUAUAAACUCACCUUAUUUUCAUAGUGAUUAUUUCAUCUGCAUGUGAAUAUAAUCAUAUGUGGAGAUUUUUUUUUUCCCUAAACGAUGAUCUUCUCUAGUAUUGAGGUGUUAUAUCUUUUAAAUUAUAAUUAUUAUUAGUAAAAAACUGCAACUAUGAAAAAUAAAUUUAAUAUUAUGUCCUGAAUAUAAUUGUUAAAUAAUAAUUUUGACAAAAUUAAUGAAUAUAUACAGAUUUUUUUAUCAUAUAAAUGUAAAAUUAUAUCAACUUAGCUUCUAAGCUAUACAACGGUUACUAUUUACUAAAUACUUUAGUGUCGUAGUUUUUAAGAUAUAUUUAUCCACCCUCAAUCCCAAACAUAACCUGUAAGGAUAAAAAAUUUCAUCCUAAAAAUUAUACGUCUUGUGACUUAUUUAAUUUAUAUUUUUGUUAUUUAUAUUUAUUAAUUAUAGUCAUCUUUUAAUAAAUUACAAUUGAAGGAAGGUGGUUGAUGUUGUCGAGACACACACACAAAGAUAUAUUGGAAGUGCUUAUGUCCACUCGAAGUUGUGGGGAGUUAAUGCAUGUAUUGAUUUAUUGGGAGUGUUAAUGCAUGUAUUGAUUGAUUGAGUGAUUGAAUACUGUUUGAUUGCUUCAUAUCAAUUCUAGAAAGUUUAUUUCUUUGUGAAAUUUCAACGAAACGUGUUUUUUAGAAUAAUAAGGGUGUUUUAAGUAAUUUUAAAAAAUGAAUGGACUAAUUAGAAUUAAUUAUUAGGUAAUUAACUCGAAUUGUAGAGGGUAAGCAAACAUUUAUCCUAAUUAUAUUAUGAUAAAUCCUUUUCCAAUUAGAAUUAGGAAACCAUAGAUAUACUGAAUUUUUUUUUAUUUCCCUUCGCGAAAACGGAUCAGAGAAUUAGAAAACAAUCCUAGUGAUACUAUUGUUAGGUUUAAAACACUGCAUAGAUGGUAAAAACAUUGGAAUUGAUGUAGAUUAAUUUGUUAAUUGCUAUCGUACUGAACAUUGUUUUAUGCAAAUUAAUUUGAGAAUUAGAAAAAAGUUUGUUGCAUGCAAACUUUUUGUUUUAUGCAAAUCGUACUGAACAUUGGGACUGAUGUUUAAGAAAAAAAUUCUGUAGUUAAAGAAAAACAAAAAGGCAUGUUGAAUAGAUUACGAUAGUUUAUUCAAUUGGGAAUUUUUUUUCUUUAAUUUUUGUUGUACUUGAUUGAGAUUUCUCUUUAGUCCUUUCGUACUUCCUUUGUAAGCUGAGUAUAAGGAUGAAAUUCUUUUAAGAAAUUAAAAAAGAAAAAAAAGCAUGCCACUACGCAAUUAUAAAUAACCACAAAUAAAUAUAAACAAAAUGUUUAUGAAGUAAAUUAAACAUGCACAUAUUAUUUUCUUUUAUUUGCUGCUUGGAAACCCAUAAAUGCACUAAUCCAAUAUUACAAUUAAUUUCAAACAGAAAAAAUUGAACUCUAGGCUGCAGUUUGACUCAAAAUGAUGACCACUGGCUUCGCACCAUUCAACCGGUAUACAUUUCUACAAACCGAACAACGCUAUUGAUUUUUAUUUUUUUUUUUAAUUUGUCUAUAAAUUACUAUUUUAAUUUUCACUUUUUAUUGGGUUGUUUAACGGAUUAGUGAAGCUGGUGGUCGUUGAUGCACUCAUAAGGUACAAUUUUAUUUUAGAAUUUCAAAUUCGUAUUUUAAAAUGCAGGCACAUUAUGUAUACAUAAUUAUUGAUUUUCAUAUGUGGGUGUUUUGAAAUAUUGCCAAAAGACCAAACUUUAAUAAACUAUUUUUGAUUUUUUUUUUCCUUUUUACCUAAAGUUGGAGUGAUAUCCGCAUUUUAAAUUCAUGUGGAACAAAGCUAAUGUAAGCACAAAAUUCUUUUAUUUUUUCCGAGAAAAAUGGGUAAGAGAAGAAGAUUUUUCUCUUGAAAAAUGAAAAAAAAUACAAUGCAAGCAUAGGAAAGAGGUCAGUGUUUUGGAUUUGAAUUUAGUAUUGAGCUGAAUUUUAUGCUAAGCUCUUUUAUAGUACUGCGAUUAAUAAGCUAGCUCAGGAUUUGCUUUUGCUUUUACUUCAAGUAAAAGAAAGAGGAAGCCUUUUGUUUUUUUGUUUGAUUUUUGACUAUAUAUGUUACCUAUAUAGAGAGUUGAGGUAGCAGCCUUAAGUGAUGGUGAUAAAAAGAUUAAGCAGUGCACACAAUCUUACUGUCAUCCAGACCAUCCAGUGAUGGCUCUAGUUUUUUUGUUACGUUAGCUUUAGUGGAAAGAAGGGCCAAUUUAACAAAGACUAGAUUUGGUGGCUUACUAUGUUUAAUGUAAUGCUUAUUCUCAGCGCACACAAUCUUACUAUGUUUAAUGUAAUGGUUAUGUUGAAUGAUCUUCUAUGAUUGUGAGUAGUAUAGUAUAAUUGAAAAGGGCCUGGGCUCCUAUGAUGAAUAACAGUAACACAUUACUGUGAUUGAGAAAACUCAGUUCCAAUAAACUCUUCAUUUACUCAUUGCGGAGAUCGAAUGGCAAACAGAGAAUAGAAUGAAGCAGAAGAAUCUCAUUGUUAGGUUUUGAUGAUUUCAGAUGCUUUUUUUUUAAAAAAAAAUUGUGACAUCUUUGAUUUACGGCAGUUUUGCAGAAAAAAAAAACAUAUAAAAAUUAAGAGGGAUGAGUUAACUGACGAUUACAAUCAUUACAGCAAUGCUGAUGAGUGAUAUAUCACUUGAAAUUUACUUGUCAGUUGCUGAAAUGAUGAAAAAAAACCAACAAACGAUAACAGUAAUAAUGUUCCCUUGCUGAAAUUCAAUUUUGACUUUCGACUCUUGGCUUUUAUGGAGAGUAAAAUGACUUGUAUAUUAUACUCAUACAAUCCACUCUACAUAAUGAUAUCGUUUUAAUAAGGCAAUGGCUGAUGAUCUCCAUUUAAAAACUACAUCAAUUUUUUUGCUUCAUUUAACUUUUUGGUUGUUGAAAAUAACCUUAAUUAUCAAAUAAUUGGAGAAAGAGUUAAGAACAUUUAACAAAUUUAUGUGCAAAAAAAAAAAAAAAAGGAAGAAGUUGAAGAGAAAGGGUGCUUGCAGAAGUGGGUGUCAAAGAUAAAUCGGUCCAUAAGAAUUAUUGUGGUUAUUUUUUGGCAAUAUAAAAAUUUUUUAGCAAGUAAAAAUAAUUUUUUUUCCGAUUUACUAAAAAAUUAACUAAAAACUUCUGCGAUGUCAUUUUUUAUGGGUGCAUAUACCCUCCCUUUAAAAAAUUUAUAAUAAUUACUGCUUAAUAUAGUAUUAAAUACGAAAAAUAUCAAUAUUUGACUACUCAAAUUUAUAUCAUUAGGUCCUUAAAAUUUAAAAUGGAAGAUAUGAAAGGAAAUAUAUAUAAAUUUCAUUGUCCUGGGAAAGGACCCUCUUAUUAUCUUAUAAUAUUUGAAAUUUGAUAGAUUUUUUGAAACAAAUGUACUUUUAUUUGUGUACAAUCAAUAUUUACUCAUUUAUUAUAUUUUAAUUUAUUAACUAUCAAUCAUGUAAGUAUACUUAGUCAAAAAAAUUAUAUCAAGAGAGAAUUCUAAUUUCACGCAAAAACAAAUACCAAAACAAAUAUCUCAAUUUCUAUACUAUUCACUUUCCUGUAGAAUCAAUUAUUUAAAAUGCAAGUUUGUGGCUACAGAAAACUCGCCAAAGAAAGAAGAUAAUAACAAUUGAGCAUUGAUGGCAAAACUAAUGCAUCCAAUUCUUCUUGACUUGAUGAGAUGGCGCCAUAACGUAGAAACAAGUACCUAAAUUGACCGGCACUGAGUGGUGUGAAUACUACCAGCCAGUUCAUCUCUUCCAGUCUUGCUUAAUCACAAUCACAAACACCACGAGAUCGACAUUUGCAUUAUAUAUAUCUUCUGCAAUCGAAACACCUUGCAUUACCAAAUAAGCCCGUAACAGACAAAGCAAUCUUUCAUGGAGAGAAACCUUAGUCUCAGUAUGAUCACUGUGUCAUUAACGUACUGCCUGCUUCUUUGCUUGGUUGCUGCAGCAGCAGCAGCGGCAAGCAACAAUAUUACCACAGACCAACAAGCUCUUCUUGCCCUGAAAGAUCAUAUAAUUUAUGAUCCGACCAGCCUUUUAGCUCACAAUUGGACCUCGAAUACCUCUGUUUGUACCUGGAUUGGCAUCACUUGUGAUGCCAAUAGCCAUAGAGUCACAACCUUAGAUAUUUCUCAAUUCAAUCUACAAGGCACCAUCCCUCCUCAACUUGGGAACCUCUCUUCACUCACAACACUUAAUCUUAGUCAUAACAAGCUUUCUGGAAACGUUCCCUCCUCCAUCUACACCAUGCAUACGCUAGAAUUUCUUGACUUCACUGAUAACCAGCUCUCUGGUUCAGUGACUUCCUUCGUCUUGAACAUGUCUUCAAUAUUAGACAUUCGUUUGACCAAUAACAGACUUUCUGGUGAGCUUCCGAAAAAUAUUUAGAGCUAUCUUCCUCAUUUGAAAGCCCUUUUUUUGGACAAAAACAUGUUUCAUAGCAAACUUCCUUCUGCUUUAUCAAAGUGCAAACAACUGCAACAAUUAAAUUUGAAGUUCAAUAAUUUAUCCGGUGCAAUACCAAAAGAAAUCGGCAACUUGACUAUGCUCAAAGGGAUAGACCUCGGCUACAACAAACUCCACGGUAUGUUCAUAAUACUAUACAAAUAUUAUCUUUCUUGAAUACUUUAGAUAAGAUCUUGUAUGUGAGAUUUUUUUGCAUCUAUAUUAAUUUUCCAGGUGAGAUACCGCACGAAAUCGCUAAUCUUCCAAAUCUAGAGGCUUUAGCGCUUGGAAUGAACAACCUAGUUGGUGUGUUACCAGCUCCAAUCUUCAACAUGUCAACACUGAAUGUACUUAUCCUCAUAAAUAACUCUCUCUCCGGUAGUCUUCCAUCAAGAAUGGACCUUUCACUUCCAACUAUUGAGCAUCUUAACUUUGCACUUAAUAGAUUUUCUGGAACAAUUCCUAGUUCCAUAACCAAUGCUUCUAAGCUCACAUUUCUAGAGUUGGGAGGAAACACAUUUUCGGGCUUUAUUCCAAACACAAUUGGUAAUUUAAGAAACCUUGAGUUGUUCGGCUUGGUUUUUAACUACUUGACAUCUUCGAGCUCAAAAUUGAGCUUUCUUUCCUCUUUGGCAAAUUGCAAGAAAUUAAGAGUCAUAGGCUUAACAGGCAAUCCACUCAACGGCAUCCUUCCAAGUUCAGUAGGUAAUCUUUCUAUGUCUUUGAAAACACUUCACAUCGCCAAUUGCAGUAUUAGUGGCAACAUUCCUCCAGCAAUUAGCAAUUUAAGCAACUUGUUGGCCUUAGUAUUAGAAGGCAAUAAAUUGACUGGACCAAUCCCAACUACAUUCGGCCAACUACAGAAACUCCAAGGCUUAGAUCUCGCAUUCAAUAAGUUGGUAGGUUCAUUCCCAGAUGAGCUUUGCCAUCUAGCUAGGCUGGAUGAAUUGGUCUUAUUUGGCAAUAAGCUUUCAGGAUCUAUACCUUCAUGCUUAAGUAACCUCACUUCUCUGAGAUCUCUCCACUUAGGGUCCAAUAGGUUUACUUAUGUCAUUCCCUCAACUUUCUGGAGCCUAAAAGACAUCUUGUUCUUUGACUUUUCAUCAAAUUUCUUGGUUGGUCCUCUUUCUUUAGACAUAGGAAAUUUGAAGGUGCUUCUAGGAAUAAAUUUAUCAGAAAAUAACUUAUCGGGUGAUAUGCCAGCCACAAUUGGAGGACUAAAAAACCUUCAAAUUAUGGACCUAACAUAUAAUAGACUGGAAGGGCAAAUUCCUGAAUCAUUUGGUGACUUGACAAGUUUGGAGGUUUUGAAUUUGUCAAAUAAUAAAAUCUCUGGGUCUAUUCCAAAAUCCAUGGAGAAACUCUUUUACCUUCGAGAGUUAAAUCUCUCUUUCAAUGAACUAGAAGGUGAGAUUCCUAGUGGAGAAAUUUUUACCAACUUCACAGUUGAGUCAUUUAUGGGAAAUGAGUUAUUGUGUGGUUUACCAAAUCUUCAAGUCCAACCAUGCAAACUUAGCAAGCCAAGGACAGAACAUAAAUCAAGGAAAAAGAUACUUCUCAUUGUGAUUGUUUUGCCAUUGAGUAUUGCUCUAACAAUAGCAAUCACUCUACCUCUCAAAUCUAAGCUGACCAAAUGUGGAAAAAGAUGCACAGUGUUGUCAAAUGAUAGUGUCUUGUCAUCACAAGCAACACUAAGAAGAUUUUCAUACUUAGAACUUUUACAAGCAACAGAUAAUUUUGCUGAAAACAACGUAAUUGGCAUAGGUGGUUUUGGUUCUGUUUAUAGAGCAAGACUUGAAGAUGGGAUGAAGAUUGCAAUAAAAGUGUUUCACCAGCAAUGUGCAAGCGCAUUGAAGAGUUUUGAGGCUGAAUGUGAAGUGUUAAAAAAUAUUCGCCAUCGAAAUCUUAUCAAAGUUAUCAGCAGUUAUUCAAACAAUGACUUCAAAGCAUUAGUCCUAGAAUACAUGUCCAACAGGAGCUUGGGGGAUUGGUUGCAUUCCAGCAAUUAUAUGCUGAAUAUAUUUCAAAGGUUGAACAUAAUGAUUGACGUUGCAUCAGCUUUGGAAUAUCUCCACUUCGAUCAUUUACCUCCUAUUAUUCAUUGUGACUUAAAGCCUAGUAAUGUAUUGUUGGAUGAAAAUAUGGUUGCUCAUUUGAGUGAUUUUGGCAUAGCAAAGCUUUUAAUUGGGGAGGAUGUGUAUGUCAUGCGAACAAAAACCCUUGCCACUAUAGGUUACAUCGCACCAGGUUUGCUUCAAACAACUUUUUUUUAGUUCAUUUUAAAUUUUCUAAAUCAUUGAUUUUUACGAUCCUCAUAUCAAAUUGUUAUUGAUUAUUUAUCUAAUUGUGAAAUUAAUUUGAUUCAUAGAGUAUGGCAUAGAAGGAGAAAUAUCUACAAAAAGUGAUGUUUACAGCUAUGGGAUUAUGUCGAUGGAAACUUUUACCAAGAAAAAACCCACAGAUGAAAUUUUUGUUGGAGAAUUGAGCUUAAAGCGUUGGGUUGAUGACUUGCUUCCUGAUUCAUUAGUGGAAGUUGUGGACAAAACUCUAGUAAGUGGAGAGGAAAAACAUUUUGCCGCAAAGGAGCAAUGUCUGUUGUCUAUCUUUAGUUUGGCUCUGGAGUGUACAAUGGAAUCACUGAAAAAGAGGAUCAAUGCAAAAGAUAUUGUUACCAGAUUACUCAAGAUAAGAGACACAUUGAGUAAAAGGAUAGGAAAUUUAAGUUAAUAUCGUUUGCUUUCAUUGAUAGUUAUUUUGAAUUCAUGUAAUAAGUGUACGAACCUUAUAUCUUUUCCUUUGAUAUUUUUUUCCUUGAGAAAACUAUUGUAGUCAUCUUAUUUCCAUGGGCAGAGUUGAUUUAGUUCUUCCAAGAAAUGCUACUGAUGACCUUUGUUUUAUACUUUCUCUUUUUUUGCAUGUGUUUAGGUAGAACAGUGGUUUGGCUGCAGGCUAAGAAGACUAACUACACUAAAAGAAUAUGAUUUAAUUUAUUAAACAAAACUUCAAGAAAAGUAUUUCACUGCCCCCAAUGCUUUGGACACCUACUGGUGGGUUUGUACGUGUCCUCAACUUUUUUUUGGAGCACAAAAUUCGAGUCCCAUGGAGACUCAAACAUUCCUUUCCCACAUCUCGAGCACGCUAAAUUUAUCAGACUGACAACUGGGACAUAUACAAGAGUGAAAUGUUUAGAGCACUCUAAGUUCGAGUGAAAGAGAUUAAUUUACAGAAAAUAAAGCCAAGGGUUCAGAAAAAAGUGCAAAGAGAAUAAAGGAACGUCUGAGCUAUUUAAAGCUUCAUGGAAAGUUGAAGGCUCUCCAUAUUUUGUUAGAAGAUAGUAUGCAACAUUGAUCUCUGUGACAUACUCCGAGUGCCACGUUGGCGGUCGUCUCUCACGAGUUGACCGACGAAUUUCUUGAGCCUCGGACUCGACUAGUUCUUGUUCCUCGUGCUCUGGUGCUGCUUCAGAAGAAUUUGAAUCUUUUGAAUUAUUUUUCACAUAUACCGGUACAGUCUCUGACUUUUCUUUUACAGUGCUAUCAUCCUCAUCUUUCCUUUGCAAUUGAUCUUCUAUAAAAAUAACAUCUCUGCUGAUGACGAUCUUGUGGGCAGUGGGAUCCCACAGACGAUACCCUUUUACUCCAUCAGCAUAUCCCAAGAAGAUACAUCUUCUAGAUUUUGCAUCCAGUUUUGUUUUUUCUUGAGCAUUGUACAUCACGUACACAGGACAUCCAAAUGUAUGUAGGUAGGAAUAAUCAGCUGGCUUUCCAGUCUAUAUCUCCAUCGCUGUCUUCAGCCCAAUUACUGUAGAUGGUGAUCGAUUUACUAUAUAACAGGCAGUUUUGGCUGCUUCUACCCAAAAUGAAUUGGGUAGACCAGCAGUCCUCAACAUAGCUCUUAUCCGUUCUGUAAUAGUUCUAUUCAUCCGCUCUGCCACUCUAUUUUGUUGAGGAGUGUAUGCCACCGUGAACUGUCUCUGAAUACCUUCUUGCUUACAGAAAACAAGAAACUCGCCGUCUAUAUACUCUCCACCAUUAUCUGUCCUCAAGCACUUGAUCUUUUUACCAGAUUCAAGUUCUACCGUGCUUUUAAACACUGGAAAUACAUCUGACUUUUUCUUAAUUGGAUACACCCAACAUCUUCUGGAAUAAUCAUUAAUGAAAGUCACCAUGUACUUUGCACCUCCCAUGGAUAUAUCCGGUGAUUCCCAAAUAUCAAAAUGAAUCAAGUCUAUAAUGCAUUUACUUCUAGCAAUAGAUCUACUGAAUUUUAAUUUAUGCUGCUUACUUGUAACACAAUGCUCGCAAAAUGGUAAACUUACCGAUUUGAGCCCCGGAAGCAAUUUUCGCUCAAAGAGAAUCUUCAAUCCUUGUUCUGACAUGUGGCCAAGUUUGAGAUGCCACAUCAUCGUUGACUCUUCUCCAUUUGACGCGACACAUGCAUCAGCCUCUUGUAGUGUUUCUCCUUUAAGCAUGAAUAAAUUAGCACCGAUCUUUUCUGCCUUCAUCAAUACAAACGCACCUUUAACGAUCUUCAUAAUUCCAUUCUCCACAUGAGUUUUGUACCCAUGACUAUCCAUUUGUCCCAAAGGUAAAAGAUUUUUCUUCAGGCCGUUGACAUGUCGUACCUCCCUAAUUGUGCGAAUUGUACCAUCAAACAUUUUUAUUUUGAUAGUACCAAUACCAACGAUCUCCAAGGCAUGAUCAUUACCCAUAUAUACAGAUCCUCCUGAGAUAGGUUCAUAUGUGUGGAACCAUUCUCUCCGAGAGGUCAUGUGUCAGGUAGCUCCUGAGUCUAUAAGUCAGACAUCAGAUAGUCGUUUUCUGCCUUCUAAAACAGUUGUUGCCUCGCUGUAGAGAAUUUCGCCAUCAUCCGAGGUACUUACGACACAACCCUGAGCAUUUGAUGACUUAGGUUCUUUGCCCACUCUUGUCUUCUAAUUACUCCAACACUCUUUCUUGACGUGCCCUUUCUUGCCACAGUUGUAGCAUUUAACAUUCUUCUUACUUCUAGAUUUUGAUCUACCAUGAUUUUGACUCCCAUUGGGGCCACGUUCCGUUGAUCUCCCUCUCGUCACCGAUAGCGCCUCCGCUUGCUGCGAACUUGCUUGUCUGUUUUUCUUAUUUUUUCGUCUGCUUUCCUCAUUUAAUACAGAGGCUGCAACAUCGUCGAAAACUAGACUGUCCACUGGAUUGCUGUUCGUUAGGUUGAUGAUGAGUUGAUCAUACGAAUCUGGUAGACUUUGAAGUAGAAGCUCUGCACGUUCAUUCUCCUCUAUAUUAUGACCCAACGUUGUAAGUUGUGAAAAUAGAGUCUUCAAGGUGUUGAUGUGAUCGGUUACCAUUAUAGAUUCCGCCAUUUGAAGAGUAUAAAGUUUCCUCUUCAAGAAGAUUUUGUUGUGUAGUGACUUGGCCUCGUACAAUUUUGUGAGAGUAUCCUAAAUUUCCUUCGCUGUAUUUUUCUUUGCCACACUGGAUAAUACUCCGUCUGCAAGUGCCAAGUGUAGAUCAGAAAUGGCAUUGCCAUCUAUCUCGUUCCACUUGUCAUCAGUUAUCUCCAUGGGCCUUUCUCCAAUUGCUUCCAAGUAAUUAUUUUUCCUCAAUACAACUUUCAUCUUAAUUUUCCACAACGAAAAAUUAUUUUCGUUAAAUUUCUCAAUUUCAUACUUUGCUGUCAUUUUGUUGAUAAAUAUUGUACACAAACUAGUGUAUCACCUUGAAUAGUUGUGAGUAUGUGUAAGAAUGCACACCAGAAAAGUUCCUAGGAAAGACUGGAGGGGUCACAAUAGUCCCACUUAAAACUCAGACUCCUUAAGCUCUUAUCGCCUUUGUGACAGAACUUUCCUAGACAUGUAUAAAACCACACAAUUGCUUUACUCACACCACUAUUCCCUGCUUUGUACCGCCAAAUUCUUCGAUCGCUCCCACCGUUUCACGUGAAUAGUACUGUAUACGUGAACAGUACCGUGUACGUGAAUAGUAUCCCUUACGUGAACAGUACCCAACUCUAAAAAAUACAAUAAAUAGCUCUGAUACCACUGUUAGGAAAUUGGUGGGUGAAGCAGGACCGCAGCUAAUAUGAAAUUGGAAGAAAAUAAAGAACAAGGACAAAAAGAGGAUACCAGAAAUUACGUGGUUCGGCUUUUAACCUACGUCCACGGGCGAAAACAGAAGGAAAUAUUUUACUCGUAAAAAGGAGUUACAAGUAUUGUAGUAUUUUAGCUCACUUUCCAAAAUCCCAAUACACCCAAACUCUCAAAACACUAAAACAAGAGCUUAUAAUUUCAAGCUCUCUAAACUCUCUCUAAAUACAAGAAAACUCUUCUCAAAAUUGGAUAAGCAAAUGAGGGAAUGAGCCCCUCUAUUUAUAGCCAAAAUCUUGGCUACUAUUCACUUUUUUUUAAAAAUUAUUUAUUAUUGUUCAAAAUUUCAACAUUCAAAGUUUGAUAUUCAAACUUUGAAUAUCUAGAAUUUUGAAUUUGAUAUUCAAAGUUUGAAUAUCUAGAAGUUUGAAUUUGAUAUUCAAAGUUUGAAUAUCAAGACACCCAAUCUUGACACUAAAUUCACCAGACUGACAACUGGGGCAUAUAGAAGAGCGAAAUAACUGGGACAUAUACAAGAGUGAAAUGUUUAGAGCACGCUAAGUUCGAGUGAAAGAGAUUAAUUUACGGAAACUGAAGCCAAGAGAAUAAAGGACAACACUUACGUGAAGCGACAUAAUUGUAUUGAAAGCACAAUGUCAAAUUCAUACGGAGAUCUAGUAUAUUAUUUACAGCUGGUGAGGGCUAAGAAUUGAUGUAGCUAGAAUACAAAGACGAUAAGGUAUGUUGUGCACUAUUGUUUUAUUCUACGAUCAAUCUUGACCCUUGAUGCUUGGCUCUCAAUCUUGUCCAUUGAUCUUCUUUGAUUUUGGACACUUCAAGACCUUUCAGUAUCAUUCCUUGUUGUUGGUGUCUUCCGUGCUGUAGAAUUCAUAUACAAGCCUUCCCGCCGACUUGCCAAGUAUUCGUUCAUUGAUGCAUUUUUAUCAAACAGCUGGGCUACUUAUGCCAAACACCGCCUGGUUUAACUCCCCCUCUCUAGCUCAACUAUCUGGGAAGACAAUUAAUUGAGAUAUGAAUCAGAAAAUUAAAUUUUAAAAAUUGUAUUCGGACUCUACAUUUUGUAAUGAACAUUGGUUUGACUUGUUAUACAUUUAUGCGUACAUAAUUAAUAACCGAUUCUCAAGUGCGGACAUUCAAGAGCACUGCUUAAAGACCAAAUAUUUUGAUUUACUAUUUUUUGUCUUUCAAUUUUCUUUUAAGUUCUGAUGACGUCCGCAUUUUAAAAUCCUGUGGAACAAAGGCCUGACGUGCAUAUAAAAUUCUUUUAUUUUUUCAGAGGAAAAUGGGUUAGAGAAGAAGAUUUGGCAAAAGAAUUGCAACGGCAUUUGAAACUAGUCUUCGUCUUUUAAUUCUUUUAUAUUUGUUUUUGUUAUUGAUGUUAGCUUGGAUGUGAACCCGUGUGACUGAAUUCAACUUAUAUUUGUUUUUGUUAUUGUUAUUAAUUUUAUUUGUUUUUGUUAAAUUGGACCACCAACAAGGGCGGUCCAUUAUCAAAUCAACACGGUUUAAUUAUUAUUAUUUCUACACUUUUUUUAUGAACAAAUAUAAAAUAAAAGGACAUUUACACCCUCAAUUUUAGUGAAAUAGUCAUUAACACCCCUAAAUUUUUAAAAGUAGACAUCAAGAUCAUUUUUUUACCUUAAUACUCUUAUACGGUACCUCUAUUAUUCCCAAAAAUUGAUUCUAAUGUUUUAUAAUAAAUAAAAAUAAAACAUUAAAAUAAAUGUAAUAACAUAUAUAUUUUAAAAUAAUUUCAAUAUUUAAAAAAUAUUUUUAACAUUUUACAAUCUAUUAACUAUAUUUUAUUAUAUUGAAGUAAAUUUUAUAAUAAAUAGAAUCAUAUUAUUAAAAUAAAUGUAUUAAAAUUUAAAUGAUUUUGAAUAUCAUGUACAAUAAUAAUUUUAACAUUACUAAUAUGUCAGAUUUUUUUUUAAGAAUGUAUUUAGUGCAAAUAUUUCUUUCAAAUCUCCACAAUAAAUAAAAGAUUAAAAUAAAUAUAAUAAUUUACAUAUCUAAAUUUAUUAAAAUAUUUUAAUAUUGUUAGUCUACUGCAUAGAUCACAAUAUUUAUAUAAUAUUUGUAUUUAUUAAAAACUUUAAAAUCAAUUCUUUUGAGAAUAAUAGAGGUAAAGGGUAUAAUGGUCAAAAUGGGGACUUUGUACUCCUUUUUGAAAACUUGAAGGUGUUGGUGGCUAUUUUUCCAAACCUUCAGGGUGUAGAUGUCAUUUUUCCACAAAUAUAUGAGAAAAUUAUCAAGAAAUACAGUAUCUGAACUCUGAAGUAACAAGGAUCACCUUUUAUGAAAUCGAUUGCUUUUCAUGAUAGACUGUUACUAUUUUUCUACAAUAGAUUGAAUUUAGUAAAAAAUUGAUUAAGAUGUCUACUCAUGGAGAGUGAAAUUUAUGUUCAAUACUAAUUUCAACAUGCAUGCACCACCGAACGUGUUUCUCACGGAAAAGUUGCUUGGAUUUUUGGGACUUCCUGUUCAAAUAUUCAACACGGCAUGCACCACGCGAUUGAACAUGCAAAAGUAGGGGUCUAUUAUCAUUUCCAGCAUUAUAGAAAUCUUAAUUUUGUUCAUUAUUUAUUUUGAUCAGCACUGUUGAAUCUCCAUGUAUUGCCAAUCACUGGGAAACAACAUAUUCUUAUUAAUUAUAUCCUCUAAUGGAGAGAACUCAUUGUCUCAGUGUAAGAUCACUGUGUCAUUAACCCACAGCCUGCUGAUUUGCUUGGUUGCUGCAGCAAGCAAAAAUAUUACCACAGAUCAAAAAGCUCUUCUUGCCCCAAAAGAUCACAUAACUUAUGCUCCAACCAAUCUUUUGACCGAAAAUUGGACCUCAAAUACCUCUGUUUGUACGGGGAUUAGCAUCACUUGUGAUGUCAAUAGCCGCAGCCUUGGAUAUUUCUCAAUUCAAUCUACAAGGCACCAUUAUUCCAAACACAACUGGUAAUUUAAGAAACCUUAAGUGGCUCGGCUUGGCUUAUAAACUACUUGACAUCUUCAACUUCAAAAUUGAGCUUUCUUUCCUCUUUGGCAAAUUGCAAAAAAUUAAGAAUCUUAGGCUUACUGGAAAUCCACUUGACCGUAUCCUCUCACGUUCAAUAGGUAAUCUUUCUAUGUCUUAGGAAAGAUUUCACGUCGCCAAUUGCAGCAUUAGUGGCAGAAUUCCUCAAGUAAUCAGCAAUUUAAGCAACUUGUUGGCAGUUGUGCAAAAUUUUAAUAUACUCGCAAGUGCACGAAUCUAGAAAUAGAAUAAUGGUAAUGAGGUCAAACCCAUAGGGAUUGUUUUAAAAUGACAAAAGAAUAGCUGCUGGUCUAGAGGUGGCUUACUACAUUCAUACAAGAUCGUUUCUUGUUCUCUAAGAUGUGCAUUAUACUAAUAAUGCUAUACAAACUUAUCCAAAGGUCUAUUAAUUAAUUCAUUAAUCCAACGGCUUGUUAGGUUGUCCUUUCAUCCAUACAGCUGCAUGCUUGUCUUCAUAUACACUGAUCUUAUCCUCUAGAUCUGUUCAGGCUGAGUGAUCUCUCACAUUUGCCAUAUCAGAAGAUUACAUGCCAGUAAUGUCAUGUGAUGACCUGUUGCUUGGUGAUGUCGAAUGCCUGGCCUUUACUUCUCUGAGCAAAUUGAUCAAACAAUUUGUUCAUUUUAUCGAACACCUUCACCAACUAACAUUUUAUUUACUUUGGAUGGUUUUUAAGUGCAUUUAAUGAUUAUUUUUGCUCCAACUUCAGAUAAACCAAACGCCAGUAUAUUAGAAGAAGAAGUUAACUGGCAGCUAACCAGGUCAAAAUAGCGACUCUAUAUAAAAAAAAUAUAUAAAAUAAAAAAAUGGGACUUUAUUUAAUUAAUUGUUGGUCUAAAGCUGUUGGUAUCCGUUGGCCACGUUUCUGAAGAGUCAUCUCAAAUCGAAAUUUUUAACGAACAAAGGACAUUGCUGCUGGCUGCCGCCCGUGAGAUAAAAGUGCUAAAAUCCAAAAUGUUCCACCAUCAUUUAUUCUAAUUUUAAUUUUCCAAUGGAAAAAAUUACAUAAUUAAAAUGGCUUCUAAUAUCAUUUCCACACCUCAAUAUGUGUCACUAUCAUAAAGUUGUUCUCAUGAUUCAUGGAAAAUUUGGAUUACAGCACCUGUACUUUCUGAUGGUUCAUUAUUUAUUCUCAGGAAUCGAGUCUCCUUACAUUACCAAACUAAUAACAAACAGGAAUCUUUUAUCCUUUCACGGUGAGAAAUUACAGUCUUCGUAUGAUCGCAGUGCCAUUAACCCACUGCCUGCUUCUUUACUUGGUUGUUGCAGUAGCAGCAGCAAGCUACAUUACCACAGACCAACAAGCUCUUCUUGCCCUGAAAGCUCAUAUAAGUUAUGAUCCAACUAAUCUUUUGGCUCAAAAUUGGACCUCAAAUACCUCUGUUUGUAACUGGAUAGGCAUUACUUGUAAUGUCAAUAGCCAUAGAGUUACAGCAUUUGGAUGAAUUUUUAUUGAAACCUUUCUGAGAAGUAGGACAUGUCAGACAUCAAAGCACUGAGAUAUCUUCAAAUAGUGGUAACCCCACUCAUCAAGGCACAAUAAAUUAUACAGAUAAAAUCCUCCACUCUUUCGUAAUCAUCGGUGUAGGCACGGUGAUGCGUCGGACAGAUAUGGGUCGGAUCCACUCCAGCUCCAUAUCAAGAUUCAUAAACCAUGACAAAAAUAGAGAAUCAUAGGUGUUGCAGAUAGUGAUGGUUGUUGAUGCACUCGUAAUUUAAAAUUUUAUUUUAUAUCUUCAAGUUCGCAUUUUAAGUGUACAUUUUUUUUUUAUUUUGUGAUCAAUAUAACUUGUCAAAUCUAUUUUUAAAUAAUUUUUUAAAACAUUUUAUUAACAAUGAUAUGAAAAUAUUCGACCCCUUUUCAUAGUAAAGUGAAUUAUUAUCCGACAAUCCAACUCAUGUUUUCAAAUUGUAAAUUGCAAAUCGUGUGUUUGCUCCUGUUAGAGUGCAAUUUAUGCACUAGUUUUGCAUUGUUUACUUCCCUUAAUAUCGAUGUUUUGCACUUAAUAAUAAUGAUUUACUUGUGUUUUACUUUUGUAGGUGCAAUUCUAUUGAUUUGUGAUAAAAUUGAGCUAUAAGAUGAUGUUUAAAGAUGAUUGUUCUCUUGGAGAAAUGAUGAGCGUCAGAAGAACUUUGUUGAUAAGGCGUGAGCGCGUGCUGUCAACUACGGGCCUGCUGUUUUUAGUUUAACGUGUUUUGUAUUUUUGGUUAUUUUUGUAAUUACGAAUUUAAUAUUUCAGAUAUUAGUAUUUUAUUUUAAAUAGAAUUCUAGAGGAGAAGAGAGAGAGAGUAUUUAAGGGAGGAAUCUAUUGUGAAAAAAGGGGAUUUUGGAUUGGAGGAAAAGAAAAGAAACCCUAGAUCUAAUUUUUCUCUUCUCUCUAUGAAGAACUAAACUUAUUUUUCUGGUUGAAGGAUAAUGAAGCUUUGAUUCAUCACUACUGUGAGAUCUUUCUUGUGCUUUAAUUGUUUUAUUGCUUUUUGGGUAUUUGUUUAUUCUCUGAAUUAUUUUCAUGAUUAUGUUUGUUAAUUAGAUAAUUGGCCACUAUUUAAUUAUCAACUUAAUCUAUUGUUAAUUAAAGGAUUUAUCGUAUGAAGAAUUUAAUGUUUGUGACAAAUAACAUAGCAGAGAGUUGUGUUGUGAGAAUAAACAAUCUAAUUUAAAUGAAUCAUCAUAUGUGUUGAUUAGGAUUUAGGUCUCUCUGGUUUUUCAGGCUGUCAAUUGAUUAAAUCCUAUGAUCGUAUCUAGGGUUGUCCAUUGAUUAGGGAAAUAUCCAACGGUCGUACCUUGGUUAUCGACUAAUUAAGGAGAGAUUGGCUAUUAGAGGGUCUCAGUAGCUAUAACCGGUCUAUUCAUAAGUAAUAAUAAUUUAUAUUUGAAUCAAUGAUCAGUAGUCGAAUCAAGCUGAGUUAAUUCCUUCAACCGGAGCUUUCUCCAAUUUGAAUUACAACUUUAAUUUGCAUUCUUGUUAUUUUAAUUUGAUUUUUAUUAUUGUCAACAAUUCCCCCAUUUUACGUUUUACGUUUCAAAAGGAUUUAAAUAAUUACCGAUCUCUGUGGACACGACCCUGCUCAAUCACUAUACACAAUUUAUUUAGAGUAGGAAUUUAUUUUUGUUGGCUUCGACAACCAUCAAAUUUUGGCACUGUUGCCGGGGAUUGGUGUCAUUUAUUUAAUCCUUUUUACGUUUUACUUGGUGUAUGAUUCGUUCUUCUCGUACAGGUACACUUUCGUUUGAUCCUGAAAUUGAGAAGAUAGCUCGCCACCUGAGACAGCAGACGAAGCGAGCUAAGCAACGAUCCUCGUCACCUUUGCUUUCUGAAACAGAUACGGUGCUUGAUUUAGUUGAAUCAUCUAGCGAUUCGGAAGAACAAGUGAUGGAUAGAGUUGCACCUGUAGAAAGAACUCUUAGAGAGUUAGCUGAACCAGACUUGAAUCAACAACCACUCUGCAUUCAAUAUGUAGACUUGGAGGUAAAUUUUGAAUUAAAGUCUGGUCUUAUUCAUUUAUUACCCAAGUUUCGUGGUUUUGCAGGUGAAGAUCCUCAUAAACAUCUUAAGGAGUUUCAUGUUGUGUGUUCAAGUAUGAGGCCACAAGGCGUGACUGAAGAGCAGAUUAAGCUGCGUGCUUUUCCGUUCUCUGUAGAUGGGCUAGCUAAAGACUGGUUGUACUACUUGCCUCCUGGAUCGAUUACAACGUGGAAUGGUUUGAAGAAGCAAUUCCUCGAGAAGUACUUUCCUACUUCAAGAGCUGCCAACAUCAGAAAAGAUAUUUGUGGGAUCAGACAACUUCCUGGGGAGACUUUGUAUGAGUAUUGGGAGCGAUUUAAACAAUUGUGUGCCAGCUGUCCUCAGCAUCAGAUUUCUGAUCAACUUCUUAUUCAAUAUUUUUACGAAGGACUGUCAUUGAUGGAUAGGAGUAUGAUAGAUGCUGCUAGUGGAGGCGUGUUGGUGAACAAGACCCCUACUCAAGCAAGGGAGCUGAUAUCAAAUAUGGCUGCCAAUGCACAACAAUUUGGCAGCAGGCAAGAUCCCACUUCAAGGAAGGUAAAUGAGGUAAAUAUUUCUUCUGUUGAACAACGUUUAGAUAAACUUACUUCUCUUGUGGAAAAGUUUGUUGUAGGUAAUGUGCAACAUAUGAAGACUUGUGGCAUUUGUUACAAUAUGGGUCAUUCAAUUGAUAUGUGUCCUACACUUCAAGAAGAACCCGUUGAACAAGCCAAUGCAAUUCAAGGAUUUCCAGGCAUGCCUCAGAGGAGGUAUGAUCCUUAUGCACAAACAUACAAUCCGGGAUGGAAGGAUCAUCCCAACUUCAGCUAUGGAGUUAGGCCGUCAGGAUUCCCACAACAGUAUCCACCAAGACAACCAGCACCUCCACAGUCAAACUCCAAGUCAGGUAUAUCUCUUGAAGAAAUUGUUAAAUCACUUGCGACUAACACUCAACAAUUUCAGCAGGCAACUACAGCAAGCAUUCAGAAUUUGGAGAACCAAAUGAGUCAAUUGGCGAUUACAGUGAGCCGUCUGGAGUCUCAAGUAUUAGGGAGAUUGCCUUCACAAUCUGAGGUGAAUCCAAAGCAAAACAUUAGUGCUGUCAUCCUUAGAAGUGGGAAGGAGUUGCAAGAGCCUAGUAAGAAAGUGACAAAGCAUGUAGAAGAUGAGUUUGAGAAGAAUGAAUUGAUGCCUCAAUCUCAAGAUGUGGAACCCACCAGAGCGAAACCCCUACCUAUUGUGAUACCUCCUCCUUUUCCAAGCCGGUUUGCAAAAUCCAAGAAGGAGGAACAAGAGAAAGACAUCCUUGAGACAUUUCGCAAGGUUGAGGUAAAUAUUCCUUUAUUAGAUGCUAUAAAACAAAUACCUCGAUAUGCUAAAGUCCUUAAGGAACUGUGCACCUCCAAGAGAAAAUUAAGAGGAGAUGAAAAAGUUCACAUGGGGGAGAAUGUUUCAGCAGUUCUCCAAAAGAAACUACCUCCUAAGUGCAAGGAUCCAUGUAUGUUUACUAUCCCUUGUAAAAUUGGUAGUGUUAGAAUUGAAAAGGCUUUGUUAGAUCUAGGAGCUGCUAUUAAUGUCAUGCCUCGUUCCAUUUAUUCAUCUUUAAAUUUGGUCCAUUAAAAGAAACUGGCGUGAUAAUUCAACUAGCUGAUAGGUCUAAUGCAUAUCCUGAUGGGGUAUUAGAAGAUGUCUUAGUACAAGUUAAUGAGUUGGUUUUUCCUGCUGAUUUUUAUGUACUUGAUAUGGAAGAGGAUAACUCCUCUAAUUCUGUCCCAAUUUUGCUAGGAAGACCUUUUCUUAAGACUGCUAGGACUAAAAUGGAUGUACAUAAAGGGACUCUUACUAUGGAGUUUGAUGGAGAGGUUAUAGAAUUCAAUAUGAAUGAUGCCAUGAAAUAUCAUAGUGAGGAACAUUCGGUAUUUUCUGUAGAUGUUAUUAACCCGAUAGUGCAGGAAGUUAUUUACAAGGAAAAAACGACGACAUUUCAUGAUAGAAUGAUUUUGUGAAAGGAGUUCUCUGUUGGUCAAAAAGUUCUUCUUUUUCAUUCUAAGCUUAAACUUUUUUCGGGUAAAUUACGUUCUUGCUGGGUUGGACCUUUUAUUGUUACUAAUAUUUUUCCUCAUGGUGCAGUUGAGAUUCGGAGUCCGACCUCUGACAAAGUUUCUAAGGUUAAUGGUCAUCGCUUAAAACCUUUUUAUGAAGGUUUUUCGGUGAAUAUUGUGGAGGAUGUGGCUCUCGAGAGUCCCAAUUAUGGAGAUUGAUGCAUAAAUGUGUCUAGCCAAAGACAUAAAACAAAGGCGCUUUUUGGGAGGCAACCCAAAUGAUUUAUUUAUUUUGGUUUUUGUUAUAUCUUCUUUUAAUUUUGAUUCUUUUUUUUUUUAAUGUGUUUGCUUAUUUUGGUCAGAAUAAAAUUUUUGAUAAGGCGUGUCCACGUCUUAACUAAUAAGUACUUCUGUGAUUUUUAAAGUAAAAUGGUUUUAAGGUGUGCCCACGUGCUUAUUAAAAAAGUGCAUCUGAAAUUUUUGUUGUCUCAAAGUGAUUCAUCACAAAAAUAAAAAAAAAAUUAUUUAUUUAUUAUUUUUUUUUCUAUUUAUUUUUUUUUAAAAAAACGAAAAAAAAAGGAGAUUUUCUUUUGUUCUUUCUUUUAUAUAUUUAUUUAUUUAUUUAUAAAAAAAAUUCAAAAAAUCACUGUUAAAAAAAAAAAUUUACUGUUCAUAAAAUCCCUAAUUUUCCAGAACUUGUUUUCUUCUCCAACCGCUUGCAGCACACCAGCAGCAAAGCAGCCCGCCGGAAAACGCACCACCCCGCGCGCGCAGCACCAGCAUCGAGCACCAUCCCGCGAGCGCAGCACCAGCAUUCUGUGUCUCGCAGCCCAGCAGCGCGCAACGAAGUCCCACCAGCGCGCAACGCAGCCUCACCAGCGCGCAACGCAGCCCCAACGCACAGCAAACGAGCACGCCCCGCAACGCAGAUCCGCAGCUCUAGCCCGCCCGCGCAGCGCAAAUCAAUCCAGCCAUCACCAUCGCGCAGCGCAUCGGUCCCGCGCGCGCAACGCAACGCAGCAUCAGCAUCCCACGUCCAGCGAGCAGCAACCCGCGCGCGCAGAUCUAGUCUUCGCCCAGCAGCGCGCAGAACCAGCGUCAGCCUAGCUCUCGCGCGCAACACAGCCCACGCAGCACGCAGAUCUAGUAGCCCCAGCGCGCGCGCACAACACAAUCAGCGCCAUCCCGCGUCCAUCAAGCAAGCUCCAGCCGAGCAGCAAUCGCAACGCAACCAACGUACGACCUAUAUUCCAGCUGGAUAAAUCGAAAUCCGUGAGUGCAAUUAUUGUAACAAUGCCGAAGAGAAAAGCAUCAACUUCCAAGUCAUCUAAAAAGACACCCGUCGCAAAUAAAUCCAAGAUUGCCGGUCCCACUACGGUUCCUUGGAACACAAUUUCAGAUUCACGCCAAGCCGUGAGACAAAGCUCGAAACAUGGAAAAGGCAUGAGUGUUUUGCCACUUGCAGAAUCCAAUCUUGGAGGGUGCCUCGCAUUCGCGACUCAACAAGAGAAAGAGAGGUACAAAGAUAUUUUCACGCACAAAAUACUUCCAGCUAAGUAUAUUCCUUACCUGACUCUUGAAAAAUUGAAUGUUAAGGAUAAUUUUGAUUCUUUGAUAGAUAAGAUUGGGUUGCGUAAGUUUGUUGAUGUUGAUUGUUUGGGUUAUGUUGAGUUGAUUAGGGAGUUUUAUGCUACUUUUCAAUUUAAUAUGUCGAAUGAUUUUACUUUGCAUACCCCGGAUGUCAUAAAGUUUAGGUUAAUGGGACGAAAUUUUUCACACUCUAUCACGGAUUUUAACCUAGCUUUAGGAUUCAUUGAUGAUGAUUAUUCUUCUAGUGAUGCAUAUUUAGGAACAACUUGUGACUUUAGCGAAAAUUUUGAGCCUUAUGGUCUUUGCCGUAAUUUAUCUGUUGAUCACAAUGCUUAUGACCCAAGUAAAUCAAAGAGUUCUUUCUUACGUGAUCCUGUUUUGAAAUGUGUGCAUCGAUUCUUAGCAUAUAAAUUUUUAGGCAAGAAAGAUCACUCAGGAGUUUUCUCUAAAACUGAAUUUUAUUUUAUCUGGUGCAUGUUAAAUGAUGUGAGGCCUAAUUUAGGUUUUUGGUUAGCGGAUUAAUUUCAAAGUGUGCUUAAACGGUAUAUGACUUUAUUUCUUGGUCCAUACAUUACUCUGUUAGCUGUAAACCUACCUAUGUGUGCUUGAUCUUGACAAUAAUGAUUUGCAUCUUGCUUGAUUUUUGGAUAUGUCUGAGUUUGAAAGAACAGGUGUGGUCGAAUUCAAGGAGGGGAGAUUUCAGUUUACUGAACCAGCACCCACUCAACCUCCGAAGAAGCUUUAUGCUAGAAGUGGUGCUACCUCUGAUGACGAGUUUGACGACGACACUGCUGCCCCGCCAACUAUUCCUUCUACAUCCGCACCACCUUUGAGCAUUCAGUUAGAGAAAAUGGAGCACAAGCUGCACAAGAUGGAGCAGAAUUUGGCCGCACACUUCGAGAGUGUGGGAUUUACCCCACCAUUUCCGCCAAGCCCAUAGACGUUAUGUGGAUCAAAGUUCACAAUUCAGGGAAGUUUCUUUUUGCCCUUAAUCUUUUAUCCUUACGCUUUAAUUUUUGUGUGAGCUUUGAUUAUCUUACAUUGGGGACAAUGUAAGUUCUUGGUGUGGGGGAGGGAUUUUUGCAUUAUUGAUGUCUGAAAUUAUUGUUUUCACUCUACUCAUCCUUAAAUGAUUUUGGAGUUAGUAUGCUUUAUAUAUUAUUAAUUUUCUUUUCCUUUCUCUCUCACUACUCUUUUCCCAUCUAUCUCAAAUUAUUUACAUCUAUUUUUUUUUCUAUCAUACUCUUUCAUCACUCACAUUUUAUCUUUCAUUUUUUUUACUACAUACAUCUUUCUCGCUUAUUAUCCUUUUUACCUUUCCUUUUAUAUCUCACUCAUACCUUCUUCUCAUUCUACACCACUAUUGAUGGUUGAUUCGUUUGAAGAGUGUACAGGAUUUGAUGGCAAAUUUACCAACUUUGUGAGGAUUUAAGCCUAUGAGCAACCACUUUGCUCUAAUUAUUUUUUGUUAUGUGAAUAUCAAUCCUAGUUUGUUUAUUCUAGAACUUGCUUUGUUAUGCAUGUUGAAGCCACAUUACGGGAUUUUAUGCAUUAAAAUGAUAAGGGCAAACCCUUUUCUAUUUUUCUAUUCUCCCAUUUUUUUUUCUCUAUCCGAAGACCUUUAUUUGCUAUCUUGGUUUGAGCCUUAACCAUUACCCAUCUAAUUCUCUCCGUCUACUUAACCAUUUUUCUUCUUUUUGAGCCUCAAUUUAAUGAGAUUUUUUUUGGACUCAUUGUGUGGAUAUAUUUUGUUGCUUUUUCUACCUUGUAUUAAAGUUUCUCAAUUAGAUCAACAAGCAUUAUGCUUGAAUUGAAUUGUGCAAGGUUCGUUUCUUUUGUUUGAUUCAAAAACAAAAAAAAAAAGAAAAAGAAAAAGAAAAAGAAAAAUCGAAAAAAAAAGAAAAAAAAUGUUUACAUUCUUGGUGACAUGAGUAGAAAUAAGCAUUUUGAUAUCAUAAGUUCAUUCAAUGAGUUCAUUCUUCUCAUUUUGAUCUCUUUUUCUUUCGUAAACCUUUCUUUUUCAUUCAACCUAUUUAACCCCAUUACAACCCUUUUAAGACCCUUAGAUUUUUGCAUUUUAUUCAUGUUUUGUGGAUUGAGAUGUGAUAUAUGAGCAAGCUUAUGGUAAUAGCAUUCUUUGAUUUGAUUUGAGUGAAUAAAUGACACCCUAAAUACUUUGAGUGCAUGGAGUGAAGUUAUUGAGAGGGCUAUUAAAUAUUGUUGCACUUGAAUUUUGAAUGGAUCUUCUUGGUGGUUGAAUGUUCUUAUUCUAUCUUAUGAAAUUCUAUGCUUUAAAAUCCUUGUCUCUAGAAUGUUGAUCGACUUAAUUUCUUGAGGUAUGCUUGCCUAAAAUUGUUUUUGGAUGAGUUGAGAUGAGAAUUGAGUGGAACUUUGGGAUUAAUCUUGAGUUAUAUGCUUGAGGACAAGCAUCAUCUUGGUGUGGGGGAAUUUGUUAGAGUGCAAUUUAUGCACUAGUUUUGCAUUGUUUACUUCCCUUAAUAUCGAUGUUUUGCACUUAAUAAUAAUGAUUUACUUGUGUUUUACUUUUGUUGGUGCAAUUCUAUUUAUUUGUGAUAAAAUUGAGCUAUAAGAUGAUGUUUAAAGAUGAUUGUUCUCUUGGAGAAAUUAUGAGCAUCAGAAGAACUUUGUUGAUAAGGCGUGGGCGCGUGCUGUCAACUACGGACCUGCAGUUUUUAGUUUAACGUGUUUUGUAUUUUUGGUUAUUUUUGUAAUUAUGAAUUUAAUAUUUCAGAUAUUAGUAUUUUAUUUUAAAUAGAAUUCUAGAGGAGAAGAGAGAGAGAGUAUUUAAGGGAGGAAUCUAUUGUGAAAAAAAGGGAUUUUGGAUUGGAGGAAAAGAAAAGAAACCCUAGAUCUAAUUUUUCUCUUCUCUCUAUGAAGAACUAAACUUAUUUUUCUGGUUGAAGGAUAAUGAAGCUUUGAUUCAUCACUACUGUGAGAUCUUUCUUGUGCUUUAAUUGUUUUAUUGCUUUUUGGGUAUUUGUUUAUUCUCUGAAUUAUUUUCAUGAUUAUGUUUGUUAAUUAGAUAAUUGGGCACUAUUUAAUUAUCAACUUAAUCUAUUGUUAAUUAAAGGAUUCAUCGUAUGAAGAAUUUAAUGUUUGUGACAAAUAACAUAGCAGAGAAUUGUGUUGUGAGAAUAAACAAUCUAAUUUAAAUGAAUCAUCAUAUGUGUUGAUUAGGAUUUGGGUCUCUCUGGUUUUUCAGGCUGUCAAUUGAUUAAAUCCUAUGAUCGUAUCUAGGGUUGUCUAUUGAUUAGGGAAAUAUCCAAUGGUCGUACCUUGGUUAUCGACUAAUUAAGGAGAGAUUGGCUAUUAGAGGGUCUCAGUAGCUAUAACCGGUCUAUUCAUAAGUAAUAAUAAUUUAUAUUUGAAUCAAUGAUCAGUAGUCGAAUCAAGCUGAGUUAAUUCCUUCAACCAGAGCUUUCUCCAAUUUGAAUUACAACUUUAAUUUGCAUUCUUGUUAUUUUAAUUUGAUUUUUAUUAUUAUCAACAAUUCUCCCAUUUUACGUUUUACGUUUCAAAAGGAUUUAAAUAAUUACCGAUCUCUGUGGACACGACCCUGCUCAAUCACUAUACACAAUUUAUUUAGAGUAGGAAUUUAUUUUUGUUGGCUUCGACAACCAUCAGCUCCAUUACAGAGUUUCAUCAAUUUGAAAUAGAGAAUCAUUUGUGUUCUAGAUUAAUCGAGGGUCUAUAUCCAAAUCUAAAAAUUGACUAACUUGGUUUCUAUUAAAUUCUUAAUCCUAACAAGAAAAAUAGAAGAUUAAAAAUGACUAAUUUGGUUUCUAUUAAUUUGAGUAACGAUCGAAUUACCUCAUUUAUUAAGAUUUAUCAAAAUCCUAUGUCAAAAUCCAUUAAUAAUAUAGGUUGGAUGAUGAAAUAGUCACUUAUUAUUAUUUUUGACUUCAUAAAUAGAUGAACGGAUGUUAUUUUUGGAUUCUGGAGAAUCCAAAAUAUCAGGAUAUGUGAUAAAUGGAAUUAAGUUGUAGAUAAGAUAGAAAUGGAUUUGGAGAGAGAUUGGAAUCCUGGGUAAUCCGGUGUACGUUGUUGUGUUGAAUGCUCGUUGACUUCACGUUGACUGACACAUUAUUGGAAGAAGUGAGCAAGCUUAUUUUCUUCUCUCAUUUUUAAAUUUGUCUAAGUUUAUUGAUGUGAGGCCUUUGAGAUUGUAAGUUUCAAAUCUGAGAAGAAUAACCACACACCCAUUAAUAAAUUUGUGAGGAUUGUGAGGGUUGAUGCAAUAUAAUUUAGAUGCAAAGUGUUUACAAGUACGAUGCUUCAUAAGUGUUCUUCAAUCAUUAUAAACUCACGUUAUUUUUAUAAUGAUUGUUUCAUCUGCACAUGGAUAUAAUCAUAUGUUGAGAUUUUUUCCUAAAUUAUGGUCUUAUUUGGUAUUGAGGUGUUAGAUCUUUUAAGAUACAAUUACUAUUGGAAAAAAUAGUGCAACUAUGAAAUAAAAGUUAAUAUUGUGUACUAAUUAUAAUUGUUAAAUAAUAAUUUUGACAAAAUUAGUGAAGAUAUAUAGUUUUUUUUUUAUCAUAUAAGUAUAAAAUCAAAUCAACUUAACUUCUAAACUAUAUAGCAGCUACUGCUUACCAAAUAUUUUAGUGCUGUAGCUUUUAAGUUAUAACUGCCUAACCUCAGUCUCAAACAAUGGCUAUAAAGAUCAAAGAUUUCCUCAUAAAAAUUAUACGUCUUGUGAUUGCUUAUUUAAUUUAUAUUUUUUUAUUUAUCUUUAUUAAUUACAAUCAUCUUUUAAUAAAUUACAAUUGGAGGAAGUUGAUGUUCGAAGUGCUUAUGUCGACUCGAAGUUGUUGGGAAUUAAUGCAUGUAUUGAUUUAUUGGGAGUGUUUAAAUGAUUUUGUGAUUUACUUGAUUGAUUGAUUGAAUAUUGUUUGAUUACUUUGUAUCCAUUCUAGAAAGUUUAUUUCUUUGUGAAAUUUCGACAAAAUAUGUUUUUCUUUUUAAAUAAUAAGGGUGUUUUAAGUAAUUUUUAAAAAUAAAUGGACUAACUAGAAUUAAUUAUUAGGUAACUAACUCGAACUGUACAAGGUAAGCGAACAUUUAUGCUGAUUAUAUCAUGAUAAAUCAUUUUCCGAUUAGAAUUAGGAAACCAUUAGCAUAUUGACUUUUUUUUUUUUUUUUUUCAAUCUCCCUUUGCGAAAACGGAUUACAGAAUUAGAAAACAAUCCUAAUGAUAUUAUUGUUAGGUUUAAAACACGGCAUAGAUAGUCAAAAGCUAACUAGUCUGCAGUAAUUUGUUAAUUGCUAUCGCCUCUCCAUGCGUGGUGAAUAAUUUGUUGCAUGCAAACUUUUUCCAUUUUAAAUAAACACAACGCGAUGUUUAUCUGCUCCGCGUUUUGCAAUCUGUUUAUUCGUUGUUUAUUUGCUUCGUAAGUCCUCAAACUUUGAUAACCAAAAAUUUCACCAAACUAUGAAAAUUAUUCUGCAGGUUAGUUUUUAUUUUCGGAAUAAUUAUUUGAGAAUACUAAAACACAAUAUAAAAUAAGAAAAUAGGGGGUUAAAAUUUGAAAAAAAAAAACAAAAGGGCAUGUUGGAUAGAUUACUGUGGUUUAAGAAAAAAAAUUAUUCAGUUGGGAAUUUUUUUUCUUUAAUUUUUGUUUUACUUAAUUGAGAUUUCUCCUUAAUCCUUACAGUUUUAAAUUUGGAUAACAUAGGAUUAGUAAUUUAGUACUUCCUUUGCAAGCUGAGGUUAAGGAUGAAAUUCUUUUAAGAAAAAAAGAUAAAAGAGCAUAACAAUAGUCAAUUAUAAAUAACCACAAAUAAAUACAAACAAAAUGUUUAUGAAGUAAAUUAAAAAUGCACAUAUUAUUUUUUAUUUUAUUUCUUACUAAUCUGUGUAUUUGCUGCUUGAAAAACCAUAAAUACACAGAUGACCAUUGGCUUCGCACCAUUUAAUCGGGAUACAUUUCUACGUACAAACUGAACAAGGCUAUUGAUUUUUAUUUAUUUAUAAAUUACUAUUUCAAUUUUCACUUUUUAUUGGGUUGUUUAAUGGAUUAGUGAGGCUGGUGGUCGUUGAUGCACUCACAAGGUACAAUUUUGUUUUCAAAUUUCAAAUUCGUAUUUUAAAAUGCAGCACAUUAUGCAUACAUAAUUAUUGAUUUUCAUAUGUGGGUGUUUUGAAAUAUUGCUAAAAGGCCAAACUUUAAUAAACUAUUUUUGAUCCUUUUUUGUUUCUUUUUUCCUAAAGUUUGAGUGAUAUCCGCAUUUUUAAAAGCUAAUGUAUGCAAAAAAUUCUUUCAUUUUUCUGGGGAAAAUAGGUAAGAGAAAAAGUUUUGGCAAAUGAGCUGCAACUGAAUUCAAAACCAAUACGAUGCGAGCAUAGGAAAGAGGUCAGUGUUUUGGAUUUGAAUUUAAAGAGGUCAGUGUUUUGGAUUUGAAUUUAGUAUUGAGCUGAAUUUUAUGUUUAACACAUGAUUCUAUUAUAGUACUGCGAUUAAUAAGCUCAGCCCCGGAUUUGCUUUUGCUUUUGCUUUUACUUCAAGUGAAAGAAAGAGGAAACCUUUUGUUUUUUCUUUGGUUUUUGACUAUGUUACCUAUACAGAGAGUCAAGAUAUCAGCCAUAAGUGAUGGUGUUAAAAAGAUUAAGCAGCGCACACAAUCUUACUGCUGUCUAGACGAUCCAAUGAUGACUCCAGUCUUUUGGUUACAUUAGCUUUAGUUGAAAUAAGGGCCAAUUUAGCAAACACUAGCUUUGGUGGCUUAUUAUGUUUAAUGUAAUGCUUAUUCUUAAGGAAUCUAAUGUAUAUAAGAUGAUUGAAUGAUCUUCUAUGAUUGUGAGUAGUAUAGGAUAAUUGAAAAGAGUCUGGUGUUAAAGGCUUACAGUUUUAAGCCUUUUAAACCAUGCGAUUUUAAAGUUUUACCGGAUUUUCCCGCACUUUAAAAUUUUAGACUGAAACAUUUUUGUAUAUAUAUACAUAAAAAUAUAUAUAUAUAAAUAUAUAAAUUAAGAGGGAUGAGUUAACUGAAGAUUAUAAUCAUUACAACAAUGCUGAUGAGUGAUACAUCACUUGAAAUUUACUUGUCAGUUGCUGAAAUGAUGAAAAAAAAAAUAAACAAUAACAGUGAUAAUGUUCUCUUGCUGAAAUGACUUGUAUAUUAUACAAUCCACUCUACUUAAUGAUAUCGUUUUAAUAAAUGUUUGAUGAUCUCCAUUUAAAAACUACUUCAAUUUUUUUCUUCAUUUAAGUUUUUGGUUGUUGAAAAUAACCUUAAUUAUCAAAUAAUUGGAGAAAGAGUAAAGAACAUUUAACAAAUUUAUGUGCAAAAAAAAAAAAGGGAGAAGUUGAAGAGAAAGGGUGCUUGCAGAAGUAGGUGUCAAAGAUAAAUCGGUCCAUAGGAAUUAUUUUGGUUAUUUUUUAGCAAUAGAAAAAUUUUUUAGCAAGUAAAAAUUAAUUUUUUUCCGCUUUACUAAAAAAUUAACUAAAAACUUAUGCGAUAGCAUUUUUUAUGGGUGCAUAUACUUCCCUUUAAAAAAAAUAUAAUAAUUAAUGCUUAAUAUAGUAUUAAAUACGAAAAUAUCAAUAUUUGACUACUCAAAUGUAUAUCAUUAGGUCCUUAAAAUUUAAAAUUGAAGAUACAAAAGGUAAUAUAUAUAAAUUUCAUUCUCAUGGGAAAGGAUCAUCUUAUAAUCUUAUAAUAUUUGAGCUUUGAAAGAUUUUUUUGAAACAAAUGUACUUUUAUUUGUGUACAAUCAAUAUGUACUUAUUUAUUAUAUUUUUAUUUAUUAACUAUCAAUCAUGUGAGUAUAUUUAGUCAGAAAAAUUAUAUCAAGAGAGAACCCUAAUUUCACGUAAAGACAAAUACAAGACAAAUAUGGCAAUUUCUAUACUAUUCACUUUCCUGUAAAAUCAAUUAUCUAAAAUGCAAGUUUGUGGCUUCAAAAAACUCGCCAAAGAAAGAAGAUAAUAGCAAUUGAGCAUUGAUAGCAAAUCUAAUGCAUCCAAUUCUUCUUAACUUGAUGAGUGACGUGAAUGCUACCAGUCUGUGACACCCAAAUUUUUAUUAUUUUAUUUAUUUUUUUAAUGGAAUUUGUAAAUGACGUUUUUGCCCUUAUAAAAAGGGUUAUUCAUGGAAUAAUUUUUAGGAAAGGGUUAUUUUUCCAAAUUCAAUAGGGUUUCUUAAGACUCCCUAUAAAUUCAUAUUUUUCUCCUUUCAUAACCCUAAAAGCACGACGUUUCUUCUUUUUCUAUACUGCUCAUUACACUCUUACCCAAACCCUAAGAUUCAAACCUUUGGUUAAGAGAGAAUCAAAGCGAUUGGUAAGUUUAUUCCCCUUAUUCUCUACAAGAUUCCCAAUCACUCUAUCUAGGGUCUAUAUUGGCAUGAUUUUAGAUUGUUAUAGAUCAUAAUACAUGAUUUAGAAUGUGUUUAGGCUUUGUUUAGAGUUUUGAUUUAUUAUGAGUUUAGUUAAUCAACCUUGACGUAUUAAGCACAUAGAAUAGUUCCAUAGAAUAUUAUGUUAUUCUAAGUUUUAGAUUAAGAGUUAAAAUUCUAAGCAUCAGACUUGUACGGGUACGAAUUAGAAAAAUCGGGUUCUUAGAAUAAGUUAUUAAUUGUCAUAUCUUGUAUUUGUUUAAGGUGAUUGAGGCUCUUAGAGGGUUAGAGGUGUGUUAAUUCAAAUUCUUUUGUCGAGGUAAGUAACUUCAUUCCUAAUGUACUGGAUAUAUAUAUAUAUAUAUGAUUAUUUUGAUAUUAUUAUAAGUACACAAAUUUUUUUACUACUUAGAAGAUUAAUUGAUUUUCAUAACAAAAUCAGUUUGUGUAAAUGUUUUCAAACCUAAAUUCCUUUUAAUAAAUUAUUUUGUAAAGGCUUUUAAAUAUGUAAGUUAUUUUAUGACAUGACUACCUUUUAUAAUUUUGUCUAUGAAAUAUUUGCAAGCCUAAAUUGUGGUUAUGGACUUUCAUGAAACUAAUACGAAUGUUUUGUACCUAUGUAUGAUUUCAAUUAUUUAUGAUUGUACGGGGGCCACCUCUUGGGACUAUAUGGGGGCCACCUCUUGAAAUUCAAAGCAUCACAAAAGUGCCACGUAUAAGUCAUUAUGUUUUGGCUCAUUAUCUGUAGUUAUUCUGAUUCUGAUUCUGAUGGUAUAAUACAAUAUAUGUCUGUUCUGGACCAGUACUAGGUUUUUGUUUUGAGUGUGCACAUGAUAUUCUGACUCUGUUUCUGGCCGGGUCACUAGGACUAUAGGUGACACUAUGUGACAUGAGCUAACCUUUUGUUUUCUGUGAAUGUGAUAUAUGAUUUGCUUUUGUAAAUAACUAUGCUUUUGAUAUUCUGAGUUACAAUGAAUUUAAAUUAUUUUAUAGUGAUAUAUCGUUUUAUGAAAUUUAUGGAUUAUGAUAUAUGUUUUAAUUAAAAGAAGGCUUGCAAUAUUUUUGGUAUUGAUAGGUCUAGUGUGUUAGGAAUAUUUUUACUUACCGAGUUGACGGCUCACCCCUCGUCAUUACUUUUUGCAGAUUAAGUUUCUUUUGAGAGCUGCGCUUAGCUUUGGAGUUAGUAAUUUUCUGUUUCCGUUUGCCAUUUGAAUAAGAGGAGAAAUAAACUCAUGUUUCUAUUUAGUUUAUUUAUGUUAUGAAUGUGUAAUUUGGAGUUUGAGACUUUUGUUAUUUUUUUUAUGUCCUCGGGAGAGAUUAUUUAGUAUUAGACGUUUGAAUUUGUGGAUUUAUUUGAAUAAGAAUUUGAGGUAUUUCAGUUUGAAACUUAUGAGUAAAGAUUAUGAUUUGUAAGUAACAUCCUUCUUCACGUGCUCCGCACGUGUUAGAUUUGGGGUGUUACAAUUGUGGUAUCAGGGCAUUAGGUUUGGGAUUCUGUAAACUUUAUUUGAGGCUAGAUUUCUUAAGCACAAUCAAUUAGUUCAAUGGUAUUGCUUGCCAUGAGGUUAUCGGAAAGAGUAGAUCUUUAAGGCGAGGAGUAAUUUUGGUCUUUUUGAUUUUCUAGUUGCUUGUGACUUUGUAAUAACUCCUUGAUAUAGGAUUUUGGUAUUAACGUAGAAUGAAAUAUUUGUUUGCUCUUGUUGUCAAUUACUAACUUUUCUCAAUUAUACUAUUUACUCAGUACUUUGUGCUAUAGCAAGCCCUUUAACUAUGAAUUAUUUACCAUUUUAUUUAUUUAUUUAUUUUUAUUCUUCGUGUUAUAGUCAAAAGAUGUCACGUAGGGGAGGUGCUAGGCAUGCCUUUAGCUCGAGAGAUGUUUUAGGUAUCGUUGAUGACGCUGACCUAACCUUGCGCGAGAUGGCUAACGAAGGGAAUCCUAUGAUGCGCGCAAUGGUUAGAUUGAUGGAACAACAAAGUAAGUUGAUUCAAGAUAUGGCUAGAGGUAAAGUUGGGGCACAUGAGAUUGUGCCAGUUGAAAGACAAGGUGGUGGAAGAGAUCAGGGAGGUAUGAUGAGCUUAGAGCGGUUUAGGAAAUUGAGACCACCUACCUUUCAGGGGGCUGCCAAUCCUAUGGUUGCAGAGGCAUGGCUAAAACAGAUGGAGAAGAUAUUUAUGGCUAUGGGUUGUAAUGAUGAUUAGAGGGUGAUAUUGGCCUCAUUGGUCCUUUAGGGUGAGGUAGACCACUGGUGGGAUGCCAAAUCCCGUCUUUUGAGGGCCGGGUUGCAAGAUGCACCUAUUACUUGGGAGUUAUUUCUGAAGGCUUUUCAUGAAAAAUAUUUUCCUGAACGAGUUCGACAUCAGAUGGAGGCUGACUUCCUGAAAUUGACUCAAGGAACAAAGCAUGUUGCGGAGUAUGAGGAGCAAUUUACUGCUCUAUCUCGUUUUUCUCGUACCUUAGUUGCUAAUGAGGGUAGUAAGUGUAGGAAAUUCUUGGAAGGCUUACAUCCAAACAUAAAAAGACGGUUGACCAUCCUUAAGCUUAAUAAUAAUGCCCAUUUGGUGGAUAGUACGAUUAUUGCAGAGAGGGAUAUAAUUCAAUCUCAAGUUGCACGAUCUAAUCGACAUAAUAACCAGCCAAUAAAACAUGAUAGUAAUGGUAGUGAAGGUGAACAUAAGUGCACUCUAAUGGUGGGUCUAUUCAAGAGAACAAACCAUUCUGUAAUCGUUGUGACAAGUACCAUAAUGGCACGUGUUAUUUAAAGAUAUGAGCUUGUUUUGGCUAUGGACAGAUUGGGCAUAAGGUUAUAAAUUGCCCAAAAAAGCACAGUGGUAACAUAGAUUCUGCCGAGAACCAAAGGAAAAAGCCACGUGUCUUCGCCAUGGUGGAGCAAGAUAUUAAAAAACCGAAUAACGAAGCCUCAGGUGCAUUACCUAUUUUCCAUAGAAAGCCUUGAAUUUUUGAGUAAUUGGUAUUGUGCUUUUCCUCCAUCCUUUCUUAUUGGAUGCAUCGUAGCUAGAGUUUUUAGCCUAAUAAUCACUACUAGAAAAAUAGGCUUUACUGACGCUAAAUUAGUGUCAGUAAUUACUUUUCCUGACACUUAUUAAUUGUGUCAAUAAUGCUCCAGCCAUAAUACACUGACACUAAUUUCUAGUGUCAGCGAUUUUUGUGUCAGUAAUUCAUGUCAUUAUGGUAUCACGAAAAUAAUGACACGAUAGCGUUAGUAUUUAAUGAUACUAUUUAUAUGUCAGUAAUUUAUGAGACUACAGUAUCAAGAGCACACUGACUCAAUAACAUCAAAAAUUACUACUGCUAUUUUAAACAUUUAGUGUCAGUAUUUAGUGAUGUUAUGGUUCUUUUGGUUAAUAGUAUACUUUGAUUUUAAUUAUAUUUUCCUAUUUGUUUUACAACUGAAAGAAAACUCAAAAUAUAUUAAAUAUACAAAAUCUCGCAACACAAUUGCAUAAGAAACAUCUCAAAUACAUCACUCAAAUUCAUAUCAUUAAACUACAUCAUUGUUUGGAAAAGAAAAAUAUAAAUACUAAAUUAAGUCUUGGACAAGCUCUUAACAACCAAGUACUAAGUUAAGAUUCAACAAAUAUUAACCAACAAAAAGAAGCACAUAAUGUCAUUGAACAUCCACAAGCGGCUUCAUUUUUCUUUUCCCACCUACAAGUACAUAAAAUCAAUUAGUAUACCACAAAAAGUAAUUCUUGAAUUUUUGGGAGAAAAAACAAUCAGGCCAAUUUCAGUGUUCAAAGAGACUAACAAAGAAUGGGGGCAAAAACAAUACAUAGCUCUCUUAGUGCAAGCUAAUUGUAAUAGGUAGUAUUGUGAAGAAUAUUUAUCUGCUAAGAAUUGAACUUGAGUGGAUUUUCCUACAGAUCUAUACACAACUCAACUUAAGAAGAAUAAAAAAAUAAAAAAAUAAAAAUCCUAAGGAUUAAGAAAGAUAAAUGGAGAUUUAUUAGUAUACAUCCAAAAUUAGAAACUCAUUAAACAAUCCAGGGGUAAAAAUUGAGGAAUAAGAAUAUAGCGUAUCUCAGGAUAAGACCAAAGACAUAAUAACAGAAACAUUUGAGGCAAACCACUACAAAGUUUUUACAUAAUAACCCAAAGCAAAGCAAACCAUUAUAAAAUUUUUACAUAAUAACCUAGAAACAAAACAGACGAAAAUUGGGCAAGUCCAUAUCCCAAACCUCUGUUAGGAAAAAUGUGUUCAGCAGACUCAUGGCUCCAACAAUAGAAAUUAACCCGUACACAAGGAAACAAAUUAAUUGAUAUAAAAAACAGUCAAAGACAAAGCCAACUAAGAAGAUUAACUAAUUUGGAGAUUGAAUUACAUAGUUAUUUUUACAAAAUAUAGCAUAAGCCCAUUGUAUUUCAUAGUAAGCAACUGCAAAAAUGCCUAGAGGCAAAUUCAUAAAGGAAGAGUAGAUAGAAGAAAAAAAAGACGAGGAAAUAAACAGCUUGAAACAAACAAAUCACCUAACACAUCAUGGGGAAUUGACUUGUUAACGUUAAAGAGCAAAAUAAAACUUGGCACCUUCAUUCGAAAAAGAACAGACGCUUACCCCUUACGGAGAAUGGCUUAGGUUUUUCUUUAGAGUUUCAGGCUGAUUUAUAAGAAUAUGAAGAAGAAAUGAUUAUGGAAGUUUGAUAGUGAUCAAGGAUUGAAUAUUGGGCUUAAAAUACAAAUUGGCAGUGAGGGCUGGUUUUCGAUCAUAAUGUUGAGAGACCACUAAUUCCCAAUACUUGUACCCUCUCACAGAAAAAUCCAAAUUUAAUAAACAUGAACUAAAUCCAGUGUAUUGAGUGUUAUUAUUUAAUGGAACAUAAAAUCUCUGGGUCAAAUAAUUCUAAAGUUAAACCAACAAUAAUCCCAAAAGCUAUAGUUGAUAAGAAAGGCCCAACAGUAUACUUCUAUCACACAAAAUUUGAAGAUAGAAAAAAGAAGGGCCUUUUUGUUUUUUAACUGAAACUGAAAAAAGAUUCAGUAUUAACAAUUCAUAAAUUUUAAAGACGUUGGUUUUCCAUCUUAACACUGAAAACUUGGUGUUUAUAUAUCCGAAUAUAAUUAAGCCAAAAAUUUUAAUUUAUCACUAAAUAGGAAAACAACUAAAUAAGCUGCAUAGUUUUAUUUUCCAAUAAAUGCUUAUAAUAUUUAUUCAUUCCUUACCAUAUAAAAACCUAUCCUUCAUUAUUUAUUUAUUUUUUAUAGGAAACAGAGAAAUUAGUAUUAAUAAGAACAAUAAUUACAAAAUGUCAAAAGGGUGUCCACAAAAAAAGGCUAUUGAAGUAUCACAGACCAAUCUCCAAAUUAGGCAAGCACUCAGAUUCCAAGCUAAUACUCCAAAAAACAAAUCUAACCUCAAACUACCUGAUAAACAGCUCAAAAUGACAUAAUCCUCAACAUUCUUCAGACUAAUUGAUCAUGCAUCAAGGUAUGUUGGGAUCUACAAAUACAUUGAAAAGAUCUUUGCAAAUAACAGUACAACUAGAAAGCUUGGUGUUUACAUUCUUGAAAAUUCUUUUUAUUGCUGACAAUAGAAAGGGAUUCCUUUUUCUGCUUAUUUCCUAAAAAUACUAAUAUAUGCUGCCCCACUAUACUCACAAGUAAUCUUACACAAAUGCUCUUUAGACAAGAUUAGUAUUUGCUACCUUUCACCCCAAUUACAAAACCAUAGAAACUCACCACCUAGACAAAUUUUAAAUUGUCUCUAUAGUUGGCUAUUAAAAACUGCUAAAUUUGUUUGCAGCCAUGCCCAAAAAUUUCAAGAACAUUGAACACAACGUAUUAUAGGUACAAACAAGAUAAAAUGAUGUUCCAGGAUUCACUCGACAUGUCAUCCAAGGUGAUACAAAACGGUAGAACUAUAGAACUAGGACAAAACUUGCAGCAAGAUAAUGGCAAUUUCCCCCUUUCGUGUAAGAUAAUCAUAUUAUUCUUCAAAGAGAGACGCACAAAAAAAAAAUGCUUGUUGAAAACAAGCAAGCAUAUGGGUAUGAGUCUAUUGUUGUUUAUCUGUGAAUCAUGUUAAUAACCAGCCACAGAAAAAUAGUAAACAAUAGUUUUCACACAAUCGAUGCAUAUUAACACAAGCCACGGAUUAUGAUUUCACUAACCAUUGCACACAAAGGUUCCAGACCAAUUUUAGAAGGAGGUUCUACAAGUUACUUUCCUUCAACUACUUGAAAAUCAAUCAUUAACUAAAGAAAUACACAUGAAAUUAGUUUAAAUAAUAGGAAAGGUAAAGGAGACAUUUUAUAAAAACUCUUAAAUGUGGUACUAUGAUUUCCACAGACUGUGCAACAAAAAUAAAAUUGGAUGAACUAUAAUAAGUGAGAAGACAUAUUGUAAUUCUAUCAUCAAAGAAAGAUAAGCUUAAUCAUUUUUAAUUUUUUCUCAAAUAUCCAGUAGUACCUUAAGGUAAUAGGACAAGAUCGCAGAAGUUGUCAUGAAGAGUGUAAAGCACUAAAUAACAAAAAUUAUACUAAUAAAUAAAACUCAAUUUAUUUUCUCCCUCAAUCAAUUGCUUUGAGCUUACUAUGAAUUCAACUAUGAAUUUGAGGAAAAAAUACAGACCUCAGUUUGUCAACUUCUUGUUCAUGAGAUUCAGCCGCAGUAAAUGCAAACCUCCAUUUCUCGUCAAGCAUUGUUAACCUCUACGACAAAUUGAAGGUAAGAAGAUGAACAAAAUAAGUGUAAUGUGCAGGAAAAAAAAUGAAGUCUAUGGGUACAACAACACUUCAAGAUUUUUCAAGUUCUAGUUCAUUUAAAUAGACAUUCCUUGAACUUCAGUAGCAAAGAAAGUACAUUAUAGCAACAAUUUCAAUUCAUUUCAAUCUUUAGAAUUUUUUAUUUUAAAAAAAUAAAUUCCUUCAAACUAGUGAAAGGAAAAUAAAAGUGUGUUUACAGAAGAAAAAUCAUGGAAUGAAUUAAUGACCAUGCAAGUGAGGAAACACAGAAAUUUCUGAAUAAGAGCGAAACUAACCGUGCAAAUGAACAAAGAAAAUGUAAGUCUUCAAGUGCUACAACAAGCAAAACUACCUAAAAACAAGCAUUUUCUUCUUGAAUUAAAGACAAAUCAUGAACUUUGUGCAAUCUCAAAACAUUCAGACAAGCAUGAACUUAGUUAAUUCAUAUCAUAGUCAUUGUCUCUAUUAAAAAUCUUCCAACUAAAAAAAAUAAAAAAAUAAACAUGUUGGUUUCUAUAACAUAAUUUGCCUAUCUUUACAUGAAACAGAGCAAUAAAUAACACUUAAUAAUUAUGAAAUACACAGCCAUUCAAUCUAUAUAAUAUAGAAAUAAAGGAAAAAAAAGAAAAAAAUUCAAAUUACAAUUAAAUAAACAAAAAAUAGAUAUGGAAAAGAAAUCCCACCAAGACUGCACUACUGGGAGAAUUUCUCAACAUCUGCAACAACCCAUAAAAUUAAAAUUAACAAAAAACCCUAAUAAUCAUAAGCUAAAAUAAAACAAAUUUAUUAAUUAAUUUGACAAAGAAAAUAAAAUAUUAAGCCAUUACCAGCAGUUAAAGCCUUAAUCAAGGCAACCUGUUUGCCCUUAAAGUCAUUGAAAAUCUCCUUCACAGGUCUAAGUAUAAGGUGUGGUAUCCCUUCCAUAGCAAGAAAAUUAACUAAUUUCUCAAUAAUUUUAUUCAAAUUCAAGCAAAUGGGUUUUGAAUAUUGAACAAAAAAAAGUGAAAUUUGACCAUAAAAAGAAAAAAAAUUGAUAAAAGAAGCCUCGAUUACGGUUUUGGUCCGUUUUUCAAUUUGAGAAAAAAAAGGAAAAAGGGAAUAAAAGCCUCACUUAGGGUUUUAGCUUUAUAUUAUCUAUUUGAGUUAAAUGAACGAGUUUGUGAAUGGAAAGAAAAAAAAGGAAGAGAUCGAGAAGAGAAAAAGGAAAGAGAAAGGGAAAGAGAAAGGCAAGAGACAGUUUUGGGUUUGAGUUUGGGUUAGAGAUUUGUGUGUAUAAAAGACAGGGAGAUGGGGACAAUUGCUAAGUUUGGGAUAUGUUUUACUUUCGUUUUACAUGUUUUAAAUUCUUAAUUUAGUACCUGCAGUGUCGAACCACUUGAACGGAAGUGAUAGUGGCAACGGCGUGGGGGUGGGCGCAGCCAUGGGGGUUGGGCGCGGCCGUGGGCGUGGGCGUUUGGGCCUGGUCAUUCUCCAUCUUUCACGAUAGAGAAGAAGAAGUCAAGAAAGGCAAGGAAAUUACGCAGCAGCUACGACAUGGGCUCUAUUGCACAAUGGAAAAGGGGAAUUAGGGUUUGGUUUUUUAUAUGUUAAUAUUUUAUAUAACAUUGUAAUUCCAACUCAAUUUUAUGGGGUCCAGUGGUUUGCAAUCUAAACGUAAAAGUUUUGAGUUUUAGAAAUCCCAGGUUCGAGUUAAAAUCAAAACAAAUUUUAAUGAUUCUUUUUAGAUCUCUGAUGCUGAAGUAUCAGUGAUCUCUAAUAUUUAAUUUACUGAUACAUUAGUAUUAAUAAUUUGUGACAUUUAUUUGUUAAAAGUGGAAAAUGGUGCAUAGUUAGGUAAUUACUGACACUUUUUUUAAAGUGCCAGAAACAAAGUGUCAGUAAAAGUCAUUUUUGUAGUAGUGAAUUUCUUUUUUCAUCCAUUGAAUUUCUAUGGUACAUUAGUAGGAUAUGAGGUGUGAUUUUAUAAGGCCAUUAGGAUUAACUUAUGGUUGGAUGGAGUAGGGACUAAUAUGAUAUUUAGUAGGAUAUGGGAUGAAGAUUGCAAUAAAAGUGUUUCACCAGCAAUGUGCGAGCGCAUUGAAGGGUUUUGAAGUUGAAUGUGAAGUGAUAAAAAAUAUUCACCAUCGAAACCUUAUCAAUGUUAUUAUUAGUUGUUCGAACGAUGACUUCAAAGCAUUAGUCCUAGAAUACAUGUACAACGGGAGCUUGGAGGAUUGGCUGCAUUCUAGCAAUUAUGUGCUUAAUAUUUUUCCCAGGUUGAACAUAAUGAUUGACGUUGCAUCAGCUUUAAAAUAUCUCCACUUUGAUCAUUCAACUCGUAUCAUUCAUUGUGACUUAAAGCCUAAUAAUGUGUUGUUGGAUGAAAAUAUGGUUGCUCAUUUGAGUGAUUUUGGCAUAGCAAAGCUUUUAAGUUGAAGAUGAGUCUACGAUGCGAACAAAAACCCUUGCCACUAUAGGUUAUACGGCACAAGGUUUGCUUGAAACAACUUUUUUUUAGUUUAUUUUAAAAUUUCCAAAUUAUUGAUUUUUACGAUCCUCAUAUCAAAAUGUUAUUGAUUAUUUAUCUAAUUAUGAAAUAAUUUGAUUCAUAGAGUAUGGCAUAGAAGGAGAAAUAUGUGCAAAAAGUGAUGUUUACAGCUACGGGAUUAUGUUGAUGGAAACUUUUACCAAGAAAAAACCCACAGAUGAGAUUUUUGUUGGAGAAUUGAGCUUAAAGCGUUGGGUUAAUGACUUGCUUCCUAAUUCAUUAGUGGAAGUUGUGGACAAAAUUCUGCUAAUUGAAGAGGAAAAACAUUUUGCCGCAAAGGAGCAAUGUCUGUUCUCUAUCUUUAUUUUGGCACUAGAGUGUACAAUGGAAUCACCGGAAAAGAGGAUCAAUACAAAAGAUAUUGUUACCAGAUUACUCAAGAUAAGAGACACGUUGAGUAAAAGGAUAGGAAAUUUAAGUUAAUUUUGUUUGCUUUCAUUGAUAGUUACUUUGAAUUCAAGUAAUAAGUGUAAGAAUCGUUUAUCUUUUCUUUUGAUAUUUUUUUCUUGAGAAAACUGUUGUAGUCAUCUUUUUUCAAUGGGCAGAGUUGAUUUAGUUCUUCCAAGAAAUGCUAUUGUUGAUCUUUGUUACAUACGUUUGUCUUUUUUUGCAUGCAUUUAGGUAGAAUAGUGGUCUAGCUGCAGGCUAACAAGUCAAGCUACGCUAAAAGCGUAUGAUUUAAUUUAUUAAACCUAACUUCAAGUUCAAGAAUUGCAUCUCAUUGCCACCAAUGCUUUAGACACCUAUUCGUAGGUUUGUGUCCUCAACUUUGUUUGGAGCAAAAGUUCCAGUCCCAUGGAGGCUCAAAUAUUUCUCUCCUACGUCCCGAACACGCUAAAUUCAUCAGCCUCUUGAACCCUCUCCUGAGGGCGCCUUCUGUCCUCUGUUUUCUGUUUCCAUACACAAAUAGCAAAAAGAAUUCAGACUGAUAACUGGGUAUCUAAGAAUAUAUAAGAGUGAAAUAAUUAAAAAAAAUUGUGCUUUUUUGUUUGUCGUGUUAAAAUCGUAAGGUAUCUAAGUACUAUGAAAGAGAUUAGUUUACGAAAACUGAAGCCAAGGGUUCAUAAAAAAAAGUGCAUAGAGAAUAAAGGACAACGCUUAUGUAAAGCGACAUAAUUGUAUUGGUAGCACAAUGUCACGUUCAUACAGAGAUCAAGUACAUUAUUUACAGCUGGUAAGGGCUAAGAAUUGAUGUAGCUAGAAUACAAAGAUGAUAUGGUAUGUUGUGCACUAUUGUUUUAUUCUACAAUCAAUCUUGACCCUUGAUGCUUGGCUCUCAAUCUUGUCCAUUGAUCUUCUCUGAUCUCGAAAACUUCAAGACCUUUCAAUCUCAUGCCUUAUUAUUGGUGUCUUCUAUGCUGUUAAUUUCAAAUACUAGCUUUUCCGCCAACUUGCCAAUUAUUUGUUCAUUGGUGCGUUUUGUCAAACAGUGUGGAUACUUAUACCAAACGCUUUCUGUUUUAACUACCCCUUUCAAGCUCAAUUAUCUGGGAAGACACUAAUAAGCUUGUUUCUCAAGUAUAUGUAUCUGAAAAUUAAAUUUUCAAAAUUAUAUUCGGACUCUACAUUUUCUAAUGAACAUUGGUUUGGCUCAUAAGCUUAUUAUACUUGGGCUUGGUAGGAUUAUCGGUCGGUAGAUGAACAAGUGUUAGAGCUUUCGAAUUUAUGCCAAUUAAAAAAAAUCUAUAUAAAUUUUCCACUAGGCUAUUACCACAAUAAACAUUUGGAUGAACUAUUAUUGAAACCUUAUUGAGAAGUAGGACAUGUCGCAUACCAAUGCACUGACAUAUCUUCAAAUAGUGGUAACUCCACACAACAUGGCACAAUAAAUUAAGAGUUAUAUAGAUAAAAUCUUUCACUCUUUGGUAAUCAUCAAUGUCGGCAUGACAAUGCGUCCCACAAAUAUGGCUCCUUAUCAAAAUUCAUAAAUCAAAACAAAAUAGAGAAUCAUAUUUGUUCCAGAUUGUAGUGAUGGUUGUUGAUGCACUCACAAUUUACAAUUUUAUUUAAUAUCUUCAAAUUCGCAUUUUAAAAUGCCCAAAUGUUUGUGUAUACAUAAUUAGAUAAAAUCUUUCAUUCUUUGGUAAUCAUCAAUUUCACUAUUAUUCGCUUUAUUAUGUUUGUUUCUUGCAGUAUGUUAAAAGAUUAUGUUGUGAAUUUGUUUUACAGGCCGCCCGUAAGUCUGCGCCCACUGUUGUGAAUUUGUGUAUACAUAAUUAGUAAUCGAUUCUCAAGCACGGACAUUUAAAAGCACUGCCGAAAGACAAAAUUUUAAUUUACUAUUUUUUGUCUUUUAAUUUUCUUUAAGUUUUAAUGAUUCCGCAUUUUAAAAUCCUGUGGAACGUGUAUGUAAAAUUCUUUUAUCUUUUAGAGGAAAACGGGCAAGAGAAGAAUAUUUGGCAAAGGAAUUGCAACCGCAUUUGGAGCUAUAUUUAAUUUUGUCUUUUAAGUCUUUUACACUUGUUUUUGUUAUUGAUGUUAGCUUGGAUGUGUGUGCGUGUGCGACUGAAUUCAACUUACAUGCUAUUGAUGCAGCCACCAAAAAGGGGUGGUCCAUCAUCAAUCAACAAGGUUUAUUAUUAUUUUCAUAUGGAUUUUCUUAAUUAUAAAUAAUACUAAUGCUAUUUCAUAGUUAUAAAUAUAUUAGAAUUAAUCGAAAUCAUUUUUUAGUGUGGCAUUGCCAAACUACCUUUUUUUAUAAGUAAUUACUACUUUCACAUUAAGAAAAAUACUCCUAUUUUUAGGGAAAAAUCAAGUACUUGUAGUUGUGAAAACUUGAGCUCACUCGCGUAUGAUAAAUCUUCAUAUUAAUUACAUAAAUAUCCUCUAAAAUUUUAAAUUAACUAUUCAAAAUUCGAUGUUAUACGGGUAUUUCAUUUAUUUGAGUAGGGGUUAGGGGUCAAUUGGAUACAAAUUCAAAAUUAUCCUUACUUGAGAAGGUGAUAAAAAUUGGGGAUUUAAUUUGGAUGUCAUUAGCUACAAAUAUUAAAUUCAUACAUUUAAUUCAAAAUUGGAGGGUUGAUAUAUGCGCAUCAUCGUGCACGUUAUAGUGACACUGCGUCACCAUCCCACAACCUCUCCAAUGAAAAAUUAACACGUUUCUCGUGUGCAUUUGAUCAGAAUCCUGAAAAUUAAUCACAAAAUUGUACUUUUAUUAUAAAAAGAAUAAAGAAACUCCUGAAAAAAAAAUACUUACAUAAAUGGUUUGAAAAUUCUAGAUUUCAAGUUGUCUAUAUUAGCUUGAUAUUUUUAUAAAUAGUCAUCCUCUCAAAAAAAUUCCAUCAAAAUAUAUAUUUUAAUUUUAUGUUAAUUCAUAAACAUGAAAAAAUCAUUUCAUAAUUAAUUAAAACAUAAUUUAUUGUUUCUCAAAAAAGGUAGAACUUAGUGAUAAGAAAAAAGUAUCUCAAAUAUAUGUAAAAAAAAAAAAAAUCUUGGUUGGUUGGAAUGAUUGAAUUUGCUUUUCUUUUUCUUUUUUAAGAAUUAAGACAAUCGGAUUGAUUGAGUAAUAAUAAUAUAUAUUUAUUUGGAGGUAGGCUUUCGUCUCAUGCAGAUUGAUUAGAGAGAAAACAAAACAAUUUUAAGCUCGUUAGAUUCGAAGCUGCUUACCUGUCGUGUGGGGAUCACUUCCGUGUCUUAUUUUUCUAAAAAAGUCUGGACCAUUGGAUUUAUGUGAAUCGUACUGAACAUUGGAAUUGAUGUAUAAGAAAAAAAUUUUGUAGUCGUUUAAGGAAAAAAAUUAUUCAAUUGGGAAUUUUUUUCCUUUAAUUUUUGUUGUACUUGAUUGAGAUUUCUCCUUAGUCCCUACAGUUUUAAGUUUGGAAACCGUAGGAUUAGUAAUUUCGUACUUCCUUUGCAAGCUGAGUAUAAGGAUGAAAUUCUUUUAAGAAAUUAAAAAAGAUAAAAAAAAGCAUACCAAUAGGCAAUUAUAAAUAACCACAAAUAAAUAUAAACAAAAUGUUUAUGACGUAAAUUAAACAUGCUCAAUUAUUUUCUUUUAUUUUCUGCUCGGAAACCCAUAAAUGCACUAAUCCAGUAUUACUAAUUUCAGACAGAAAAAUUUGAAUUUAACCGGUAUACAUUUCUACAAACCAAACAAGGCUAUUAUUUUUAUUAUUAUUUUUUUUUUUUUAUAAAUUACUAUUUUAAUUUUUCACUUUUUAUUGGGUUGCUUAACAGAUUAGUGAAGUUGGUGGUCGUUGAUGCACUCACAAGGUACAAUUUUAUUUUAGAAAUUGAAAUUUCGUAUUUUAAAAUGCAGGCACAUUAUGUAUGCAUAAUUAUUGAUUUUCAUAUGUGGGUGUUUUGAAAUAUUGCUAAAAGACCAAACUUUAAUAAACUAUUUUUGAUCUUUUUUUUUCCUUUGUACCUAAAGUUAGAGUGAUAUCCGCAUUUUAAAUUCAUGUGGACCAAAAGCUAAUGUAUGGACAAAAUUAUUUUAUUUUUCCGAGAAAAAUGGGUAAGAGAAGAAGAUUUUUCUCUUGAAAAAGAAAAACUAAUACGUUGCAAGCAUAGGAAAGAGGCUAGUGUGUUUGGAUUUGAAUUUAGUAUUGAGUUCAAUUUUAUGCUAAGCUCUUUUAUAAUACUGCGAUUAGGGAGCCCUUAAGUUACAUGUAAUAUAACUUACACUCGCUCACUUAAAUAGUGGGUGGGUUGGGGGCCCACUCACUGUUCAUGUGAGUGAGUGUAAGUUCCAUUAUAUGUAAUUUAGCACUUGCCUUGCGAUUAAUAAGCUCAGGAUUUGCUUUUGCUUUUACUUCAAGUAAAAGAAAGAGGAAACCUUUUGUUUUUUGUUUGAUUUUUGACUAUAUAUGUUACCUAUAUAGAGAGUUGAGAUGGCUGCCUUAAGUGAUGGUGAUAAAAAGAUUAAGCAGCGCACACAAUCUUACUAUCGUCCAGACUGUCCAGUGAUAGACUCUAGUUUUUUGGUUACAUUAGCUUUAGUGGAAAGAAGGGCCAAUUUAACAAAGACUAGAUUUGGUGGCUUGUUGUAAUGCUUAUUCUCAGGGAAUCUAAGGUUAUAAGAUGAUUGAAUGAUCUUCUAUGAUUGUGAGCAGUAUAUUAUAAUUGAAGAGAGCUUGGGCUCCUAUGAUGUAUAACAAUAACACAUUACUAUGAUUGAGAAAACUCAGUUACAAUAAACUCUUCAUUUAUUCAUUGCUGAGAUUGAAUGGCAAAUAGAGAAUAGAAUGAAGCAGAGGAAUCUCAUUGCCUGUAAAAUUGAGCCUAUUUAAUAUUACUUGUAGUUUUUAUUGUAAAAUAUACAGGUAUGACCAUGAUCAGAUGCUUUUUUUAAAAACAAAUGAGACAUCUUUGAUUUAUGGUAGUUUUAGAGAAAAAAAAAACAUAUAAAAAUUAAGAGGGAUGAGUUAACUGACGAUUACAAUCAUUACAGCAAUGCUGAUGAGUGAUACAUCACUUGAAAUUUAUUUGUCAGUUGCUGUAAUGAUGGAAAAAAACAAUAAACAAUAACAGUAAUAAUGUUCCCUUGCUGAAAUUCAAUUUUGACUUUCGACUCUUGGCUUUUAUGGAGAGUAAAAUGACUUGUAUAUUAUCCUCAUACAAUCCACUCUACAUAAUGAUAUCAUUUUAAUAAGGCAAUGGCUGAUGAUCUCCAUUGAAAAACUUUUUGUUUUAUUUAACUUUUUGGUUGUUGAAAAUAACCUUAAUUAUCAAAUAAUCAGAGAAAGAGUAAAGAACAUUUAACAAAUUUAUGUGCCAAAAAAAAAAGGAGAAAUUGAAGAGAAAGGAUGCUUGCAGAAGUGGGUGUCAAAGAGAUAAAUCGGUCUAUAAGAAUUAUUGUGGUUAUUUUUUUGGUGCCUUGGAGUUCUUUAAAUUAAGGGCCCAGUUUGUCCAUUUGUUUCAGUUAGGUCCUUAUUAAAAAUUAAUUUUAAUAUUGGUUUUCUUAAUUAUAACUAAUACUAAUGAUAUUUCAUAGUUAUAAAUAUAUUAGAAUUAAUCCAAAACAUUUUUUAGUGUGGCAUGGCUAAAACUACCUUUUCUAUUAGUAAUUACUACUUUUGCAUUAAGGAAAAUACUCCUAUUUUUAGAAAAAAGUCAAGUACCUAUAGUUGUGAGAACUUGAGCUCACUCGCUUAUGAUAAAUCUUCAUAUUAAUUACGAAAAUAUCCUCUAAAUUUUAACUAAACUAUUCGAAAUUCAAUGUUAUUCGGAUAUUUCGUUUAUUUGAGCAGGGGUUAGGGGUCAAUUUGAUACAAAUUCAAAAUUAUCCUCAUUUGCGAAGAUGAUAAAAAUUAGGGAUUUAAUUUGGAUGUCACUGGCCACAAAUAUUAAACUCAUGCAUCUCAAAAUUAGAGGGCUGAUAUAUAUGCAUUAUCGUUAUAUUGACAUGUGUCACCAUCCCACAACCUCUCCAAUGAAAAAUUGACAUGCAUCUUGUGUGCUUCUUAUCAAAAUCCUGAAAAUUAAUCACAAAGUUAUAUUUUUAUUAUAAAAAGAAGAAAGAAACUCCAUAAGUGAAAAAAAAAAAGACUUAAACAUAAAUAUUUUAGAUAAUCUAGAUUUCAAGUUGUCUAUACUAGCUUGAUAUUUUUAUAAAUAUCAAGAUUUCAAGUUGUCCAUAGUAGCUUGAUAUCUUCUAAAAAAAUUCCAUCAACAUAUAUUUUAAUUUUACGUUAAUUAAUAAAUAGAAAAUUCAUUUUAGAAUUAAUUAAAACAUUAUUUAUUGUUGCCAAAGAAGGAAGUACUUAGCGAUAAGAAAAAAGUGUCUCAAAUAUAUGUUAAAAAAAAAUCAUGGUCGGUUGGACUGAUUGAAUUUUUUUUUCUUUUUCUUUUUUAAGAAUUAAGACAAUUGGAUUGAUUGAGUAAUAAUAAAAUAUAUUUAUUUGGCAAAUGGCAGGUAGGCUUUCUUCUGAUGCAGAUUGAUUAGAGAGAAUAUGCAGCAAUUUUAAGCUUGUCAGAUUCGGAGGCUGCUUAUCUGUCGUGUGGGGAUCACUUCCAUGUCUUAUUUUUCUUGAAAAAUCUGGACCGUUGGAUUUACCAUUAGUCAAUAGAGAAAUGCUGAUCUUGAUUCUUGAUCAAGAUCGAAGUUUGAUUCUAUCUAACAUGAUAUCAGAUUGCGAAGCAAGCAAAUUGAAAGUAACUUGUUCUAUUUUGAUGGAAGAAACACAAUUUCUAUUGUUCUAAUAAAAAAUUUUAAUUAUACAUAUUUUUCUUUUGCCACUUGGGUUUGUAGUCCAGUGGUGAACUAUUGGCCUUAAAGUUAAGUAUGACUAUGAGGGCAAUGGUUCGAGUGCCCACGAACUCAAACUCCCUCAAUUAAACAUAAUUAUGUGGAGAUUACUUAUAACGUCUUUCUCUCUUGUGAAAUCUGAGUGGAGUAGAAAUAUCCCUUUCCCGUGAGGGUUAUUUGGCUAGGCAUGUACUUUAUAGAAUAAAAAUGUAAUAAUGUAAGUCAGUGCAAUGAUCUACUGUCAUAGUAGUUGUAAAUAUCUAGGUGUAAUACAGUAACCUGAUGCUUAAUCAGUUAAAAAAAAUGUAUAUCUUUUUUUUAUUUUUUUCAUUGUGAUCACUAUAACUAGUCAAAUUUAUUUUUAAAUAUUUUUUAAAAAAAUAUUUUAUUAACAAUGAUAUGAAAAUAUUCGAACCCCUUCUCAUAGUAAAGUGAAUUACUAUCCAACUGAUGCCUUCAAACUGUAAAUUGCAAAUCGUGUGUUUGCUCCAUUACAGGGUGUCUUCAAUUUAAAAUAGAGAAUAAUUUGGUUCUAGAUUAAUCGUGGGUCUAUAUCCAAAUCCAAAAAUUGACUAACUUGAUUUCUAUUAAGUUCUCAACCCUAACACGAAAAAUAGAAGAUUAAAAAUGACUAUUUUGGUUUCUAUUAAUUUGAGUAACACUUAAUAUUUAUCAUACAAUAGUCACUUAUAUUAUCAAAAUCUUGGGUCGAAAAUAUUAGGAUAGGUGAUAAUUGGAAUUAAGUUGUAGAUAAGAUAGAAAUGGAUUUGGAGAGAGAUUGGAAUCCUGGCUAAUCCGGUGCACGUUGUUGCGUUAAAUUCUCGUUGACUUCACGUUGACCGAAGCAUUAUUGGAAGAAACAAGCAAGCUUAUUUUCUUCUCUCAUUUUUUACUUUUGUCUAAAUUUAUUGAUGUGAGGCCUCUGAGAUGGUAAAGUGUUAAAUCUGAGAAGAGUACCCACACACCCAUUAUCCUAUUACUCUUAUUUUAUCACAUGCAGAGACGUCAACGUUUGAUUCGCACGGAAAAAAAUUUGCUAGGAUUGUGAGGGUUGAUGUAAUGUAAUUUAGAUGCAAAGUGUUCACAAGUGCGAUGCUUCGUAAGUGUACUUGAAUCAUUAUAAACUCACCUUAUUUUCAUAGUGAUUAUUUCAUCUGCAUGUGAAUAUAAUCAUAUGUGGAGAUUUUUUUCCUAAAUUAUGAUCUUCUCUGGUAUUGAGGUGUUAUAUUUUUUAAAGGUUAAUGUUAAGUUACAUGCAUGUAACUUACAACCCUCUCACAUGAAUAGUGAGUGGACCCACACCAUUCACUAUUCAUAUGAGAGGGUUGUAAGUUACAUCCUCUUUUAAAUUAUAAUUAUUAUUAUAAAAAAACUGCAACUAUGAAAAAAAAUUAAUAUUAUGUCCUGAAUAUAAUUGUUAAAUAAUAAUUUUGACAAAAUUAAUGAAUAUAUACAGUUUUUUUAUCAUAUAAGUGUAAAAUUAUAUCAAAUUAGCUUUUAAAUUAUACAGUGGCUACUGCUUAUCAAACACUUUAGUGUUGUAACUUUUAAGUUAUAACUGUCUAGCCUUUAACCUCAAUCUCAAACGAGGCUUAUAAAGAUCAAGGAUUUCCUCAUAAAAAUUAUACGUCUUGUGAUUGCUUAUUUAAUUUAUAUUUUCGUUAUUUAUCUUUAUUAAUUAUAGUCAUCUUUUUAUAAAUUACAAUUGGAGAAAGUUGGUUGAUGUUGUUGACACACACACACACAUACAAAGAUAUAUUGGAAGUGCUUAUUAUGUCGACUCGAAGUUGUGGGGAGUUAAUGCAUGUAUUGAUUUAUUGGGAGUGUUUAAAUUAUUUUGUGAUUUACUUGAUAGAUUGAUUGAUUGAAUAUUGUUUGAUUGCUUCAUAUCAAUUCUGGAAAGUUUAUUUCUUUGUGAAAUUUCAACGAAAUAUGUUUUUUAAAAUAAUAAGGGUGUUUUAAGUAAUUUUGAAAAAUAAAUACACUAAUUAGAAUUAAUUAUUAAGUAAUUAACUCGAACUGUAGAGGAUAAGCAAACAUUUAUCCUAAUUAUAUUAUGAUAAAUCCUUUUCCAACUAGAAUUAGGAAACCAUAGAUAUACAGAUUUUUAUUUUUAUUUCCCUUUGCGAAAACGGAUUAGAGAAUUAGAAAACAAUCCUAGUGAGACUAUUGUUAGGUUUAAUAUUUUGUCGAAUUUGGAAACUUUUUGUCGAAUUAGAAAACAUGCGUGGUGAAUAUUUUGUCGCAUGCAAACUUUUUGUUUUAUGCAAAUCGUACUGAACAUUGGGACUGAUGUUUAAGAAAAAAAUUCUGUAGUUAAAGAAAAACAAAAAGGCAUGUUGAAUAGAUUACGAUAGUUUAUUCAAUUGGGAAUUUUUUUUCUUUAAUUUUUGUUGUACUUGAUUGAGAUUUCUCCUUGGUCCUUACAGUCUUAAGUUUGGAUACCGUAGGAUUAGUAAUUUCGUACUUCCUUUGCAAGCUGAGUAUAAGGAUGAAAUUCUUUUAAGAAAUUAAAAAAAAAUGAUAAAAAAGGCAUACCAGUAGGCAAUUAUAAAUAACCACAAAUAAAUAUAAACAAAAUGUUUAUGAAGUAAAUUAAACAUGCACAUAUUAUUUUCUUUUAUUUUCUGCUUGGAAACCCAUAAAUACACUAAUCCAGUACUACUAAUUUCAGAUAGAAAAAUUUGAACUCUAAGCUGCAGUUUGACUCAAAAUGAUGAUCACUGGCUUCGCACCAUUUAACCGGUAUACAUUUCUACAAACUGAACAAGGCUAUUGAUUUUUAUUAUUAUUUUAAUUUGUUUAUAAAUUACUAUUUUAAUUUUCACUUUUUAUUGGGUUGUGUAACGGAUUAGUGAAGCUGGUGGUCGUUGAUGCACUUACAAGGUACAAUUUUAUUUUAUAAUUUCAAAUUCGUAUUUUAAAAUGCAGGUACAUUAUGUAUACAUAAUUAUUGAUUUUCGUAUGAGGGUGUUUUGAAAUAUUGCUAAAAGACUAAACUUUAAUAAACUAUUUUUGAUCUUUUUUUUUCCUAAAGUUUGGGUGAUAUGCGCAUUUUAAAUUCAUGUGGAACAAAAGUUAAUGUUUGUAUAAAAAUUCUUUUAUUUUUUUGAGCAAAAUAGGCAAGCGAAAAAGUUUUGGCAAAUGAGUUGCAACUGAAUCCAAAACCAAUACAAUGCAAGCAUAGGAAAGAGGCCAGUGUUUAGGAUUUGAAUUUAGUAUUAAGCUGAAUUUUAUGGUACGCUCUUUUAGAGUACUGUGAUCGAUAAGCUCAGCCCCGGAUUUGCUUUUGCUUUUGCUUUUACUUCAAGUGAAAGAAAGAGGAAACCUUUUGUUUUUUCUUUGGUUUUCAACUAUGUUACCUAUACAGAGAGACAAGAUACCUGCCAUAAGUGAUGGUGUUAAAAAGAUUAAGCAGCGCACACAAACUUACUAUCGUCUAGACCAUCCAGUGAUGACCCUAGUCUUUUGGUUACGUUAGCUUUAGUUGAAAGAAGGGCCAAUUUAACAAAGACUAGAUUUGAUGGCUUACUAUGUUUAAUGUAAUGCUAAUUUUCAGGGAAUCUAAUGUUAUAACUUAUAAGAUGAUCUCCUAUGAUGAACAACAGUAACACAUUACUGUGAUUGAGAAAACUCAGUUACAAUAAACUCUUCAUUUACUCAUUGAGAAGAUUGAAUAGCAAACAGAGAAUAGAAUGAAGCAGAGGAAUCUCAUUGCCAAUAAAAUUGACCCUCUUUAAUGUUAUAUGGCACAGGUGUGGAGGAAGAACAAGUUACUUGCAGUUUUUAUAGUAAAAUAUACAGGUAUGACCAUGAUCAUUACAGUUAGGUUUUGAUGAUUUCGGAUGCUUUUUUUAAAAAAAAAAAAAUUGUGACAUCUUUGAUUUACGGUAGUUUUGUAGAAAAAAAAUAUAUAAAAAUUAAGAGGGAUGAGUUAAACUGACGAUUACAAUCAUUCCAGCAAUGCUGAUGAGUGAUACAUCACUUGAAAUUUACUUAUUAGUUGCUGAAAUGAUGAAAAAAAAAAACAAUAAACGAUAACAGUAAUAAUGUUCCCUUGCUGAAAUUCAAUUUUGACUUUCGACUCUUGGCUUUUAUGGAGAGUAAAAUGACUUGUAUAUUAUACUCAUACAAUCCACUCUACAUAAUGAUAUCGUUUUAAUAAGGCAAUGGCUGAUGAUCUCCAUUUAAAAACUACAUCAAUUUUUUUGCUUCAUUUAACUCUCUGGUUGUUGAAAAUAACCUUAAUUAUCAAAUAAUUGGAGAAAGAGUUAAGAACAUUUAACAAAUUUAUGUGCAAAAAAAAAAAAAAAAAGGAGAAGUUGAAGAGAAAGGGUGCUUGCAGAAGUGGGUGUCAAAGAUAAAUCGGUCCAUAAGAAUUAUUGGGGUUAUUUUUUGGCAAAAUAAGAACUUAUGCGAUAGCAUUUUUUAUGGGUGCAUAUAACCUCCCUUUAAAAAAAUAUAUAAUAAUUACUGCUUAAUAUAGUAUUAAAUACAAAAAUAUCAAUAUUUGACUACUUAAAUUUAUAUCAUUAGGUCCUUAAAAUUUAAAAUGGAAGAUAUGAAAGGAAAUAUAUAUAAAUUUCAUUGUCCUGGUAAAGGGCCCUCUUAUAAUCUUAUAAUAUUUGAACUUUGAUAGAUUUUUUGAAACAAAUGUACUUUUAUUUGUGUACAAUCAAUAUUUACUCAUUUAUUAUAUUUUAAUUUAUUAACUAUUAAUCAUGUAAGUAUACUUAAUCAGAAAAAUUAUAUCAAGAGAAAAUUCUAAUUUCACGCAAAAACAAAUACCAAAACAAAUAUCUCAAUUUCUAUACUAUUCACUUUCCUGUAGAAUCAAUUAUUUAAAAUGCAAGUUUGUGGCUACAGAAAACUCGCCAAAGAAAGAAGAUAAUAACAAUUGAGCAUUGAUAGCAAAACUAAUGCAUCCAAUUCUUCUUGACUUGAUGAGAUGGCGCCAUAACGUAGACACAAGUACCUAAAUUGACCGGCACUGAGUGAUGUGAAUACUACCAGCCAGUUCAUCUCUUCCAGUCUUGCUUAAUCACAAUCACAAACACCACGAGAUCGACAUUUGCAUUAUAUAUAUCUUCAGCAAUCGAAACACCUUGCAUUACCAAAUAAGCCCGUAACAGACAAAGCAAUCUUUCAUGGAGAGAAACCUUAGUCUCAGUAUGAUCACUGUGUCAUUAACCUACUGCCUGCUUCUUUGCUUGGUUGCUGCAGCAGCAGCAGCGGCAAGCAACAAUAUUACCACAGACCAACAAGCUCUUCUUGCCCUGAAAGAUCAUAUAAUUUAUGAUCCGACCAGCCUUUUAGCUCACAAUUGGACCUCGAAUACCUCUGUUUGUACCUGGAUUGGCAUCACUUGUGAUGCCAAUAGCCAUAGAGUCACAACCUUAGAUAUUUCUCAAUUCAAUCUACAAGGCACCAUCCCUCCUCAACUUGGAAACCUCUCUUCACUCACAACACUUAAUCUUAGUCAUAACAGGCUUUCUGGAAGCGUUCCCUCCUCCAUCUACACCAUGCAUACGCUAAAAUUUCUUGACUUCACUGAUAACCAGCUCUCUGGUUCAGUGUCUUCCUUCGUCUUCAACAUGUCUUCAAUAUUAGUAAUUCGUUUGACCAAUAACAUAUUUUCUGGUGAGCUUCCGAAAAAUAUUUGCAACUAUCUUCCUUAUUUGAAGGCCCUUUUCUUAAACAAAAACAUGUUUCAUGGCAAAAUUCCUUCUGCUUUAUCAAAGUGCAAACAACUGCAACAAUUAAAUUUGCAGUUCAAUAAUUUAUCCGGUGCAAUACCAAAAGAAAUCGGCAACUUGACUAUGCUCAAAGGGAUAUAUCUCCUCUACAACAAACUCCACGGUAUGUUCACAAUACUAUAUAAAUAUUUUAAUUUAUCACUUAUUAUCUUUCUUGAAUAAUUUAGCUAAGAUCUUGUAAGAGAGAUAUUUUGCAUCUACGUUAAUUUACCAGGUGAGAUACCCCACGAAAUCGCUAAUCUUCCAAAUCUAGAGGCUUUAGCGCUUGGAAUCAACAACCUAGUUGGUGUGUUACCAGCUCCCAUCUUCAACAUGUCAACACUGAAGGUACUUAUCCUCAUAAAUAACUCUCUCUCCGGAAGUCUUCCAUCAAGAGUAGACCUUUCACUUCCAACUGUUGAGCAACUUAACUUGGCACUUAAUAGAUUUUCUGGAACCAUUCCUAGUUCCAUCACCAAUGCUUCUAAGCUCACCUUUCUAGAGUUGGGAGCAAACACAUUUUCGGGGUUUAUUCCAAACACAAUUGGUAAUUUAAGAAACCUUAAGUGGCUCGGCUUGGCUAAUAACUCCUUGACAUCUUCAACCUCAAAAUUGAGCUUUCUUUCCUCUUUGGCAAAUUGCAAGAAAUUAAGAUUCGUAAACUUAAUAGGCAAUCCACUGGACGGCUUCCUUCCAAGUUCAAUAGGUAAUCUUUCUGUGUCUUUGGAAACACUUGGCAUCGGCAAUUGCAGUAUUAGUGGCAACAUUCCUCCAGCAAUUAGCAAUUUAAGCAACUUGUUGACCUUAGUAUUACACGGCAAUAAAUUGACUGGACCAAUCCCAACUACAUUCGGCCAACUGCAGAAACUCCAAGGCUUAGAUCUUGCAUUCAAUAAGUUGGUAGGUUCAUUCCCAGAUGAGCUUUGCCAUCUGGCAAGGCUGGAUCAAUUGAUCUUAUUUGGCAAUAAGCUUUCAGGAUCUAUACCUUCAUGCUUAAGCAACCUCACUUCUCUAAGAUCUCUCUAUUUAGGGUCUAAUAAGUUUACUUCUGUUAUUCCCUCAACCUUCUGGAGCCUAAAAGACAUCUUGUUCUUUGACUUUUCAUCAAAUUUCUUGGUUGGUCCUCUUUCUUUAGAUAUAGGAAAUUUGAAGGUGCUUCUAGGAAUAAGUUUAUCGAAAAAUAAUUUAUCCGGUGAUAUCCCAGCCACAAUUGGAGGACUGAAAGAUCUUCAAUUUAUGGACCUAGCAUAUAAUAGAUUGGAAGGCCCAAUUCCUAAAUCAUUUGGUGACUUGAUAAGUUUAGAAGUUCUGAAUUUAUCAAAUAAUAAAAUCUUUGGGUCUAUUCCAACAUCCAUGGAGAAACUUUUUUACCUCGGAGAGUUAAAUCUCUCUUUCAAUAAACUAGAAGGUGAGAUUCCUAGUGGAGGAACUUUUGCCAACUUCACAGCUAAGUCAUUUAUGGGAAAUGAGUUUUUGUGUGGUUUACAAAAUCUUCAAGUCCAACCAUGCAAAGUUAGCAAGCCGAGGACAGAACAUAAAUCAAGGAAAAAGAUACUUCUCAUUGUGAUUGUUUCGCCAUUGAGUAUUGCUCUAACAAUAGCAAUCACUCUAGCUCUCAAAUCUAAGCUGAUCGAAUGUGGAGAAAGAAGCACAGUGUUGUCAAAUGAUAGUAUCUUGUCAUCACAAGCAACACUAAGAAGAUUUUCAUACUUAGAACUUUUACAAGCAACAGAUAAUUUUGCUGAAAACAGCAUAAUUGGCAGAGGAGGUUUCGGUUCCGUUUAUGGAGCAAGACUUGAAGAUGGGAUGAAGAUUGCAAUAAAAGUGUUUCACAGGCAAUGUGCAAGCGCAUUGAAGAGUUUUGAGGCUGAAUGUGAAGUGAUAAAAAAAAUUCGCCAUCGAAACCUUAUCAAAGUUAUCAGCAGUUGCUCGAACGAUGACUUCAAAGCAUUAGUCCUAGAAUACAUGUCCAACGGGAGCUUAGGGGAUUGGCUGCAUUCGAGCAAUUACGUGCUGAAUAUUUUUCAAAGGUUGAACAUACUAAUUGACGUUGCAUCAGCUUUAGAAUACCUCCACUUCGAUCAUUCAACUCCUAUUAUUCAUUGUGACUUAAAGCCUAGUAAUGUAUUGUUGGACGAAAAUAUGGUUGCUCAUUUGAGUGAUUUUGGCAUAGCAAAGCUUUUAAGUGGAGAAGAUGAGUCUACGAUGCGAACAAAAACCCUUGCCACUAUAGGUUAUAUGGCACCAGGUUUGCUUCAAACAACUUUUUUUUUUUAAACUUCAUUUUAAAUUUUCUAAAUCAUUGAUUUUUACGAUCCUCAUAUCAAAUUGUUAUUGAUUAUUUAUCUAAUUGUGAAAUUAAUUUGAUUCAUAGAGUAUGGCAUAGGAGGAGAAGUAUCUACAAAAAGCGAUGUUUACAGCUAUGGGAUUAUGCUGAUGGAAACUUUUACCAAGAAAAAACCCACAGAUGAAAUUUUUGUUGGAGAAUUGAGCUUAAAGCAUUGGGUUAAUGACUUGCUUCCUAAUUCAUUAGUGGAAGUUGUGGACAAAACUCUGCUAAGUGGAGAGGAAAAACACUCUGCAGCAAAGGAGCAAUGUCUGUUGUCUAUCUUUAGUUUGGCUCUGGAGUGUACAAUGGAAUCACCGGAAAAGAGGAUUAAUGCAAAAGAUAUUGUUACCGGAUUACUCAAGAUAAGAGACACAUUCAGUAAAAGGAUAGGAAAUUUAAGUUAAUUUCGUUUGCUUUCAUUGAUAGUUAAUUCGAAUUCAUGUAAUAAGUGUAAGAAUCUUAUAUCUUUUCCUUUGAUAUAUUUUUUUUCUUGAGAAAACUGUUGUAGUCAUCUUGUUUCCAUGGGCAGAGUUGAUUUAGUUCUUCCAAAAAAUGCUACUGAUGACCUUUGUUUAAUACUUUCUCUUUUUUUGCAUGUGUUUAGGUAGAACAGUGGUUUGGCUGCAGGCUAAUAAGUCAAGCUACGCCAAAAGCGUAUGAUUUAAUUUAUUAAACAUAACUUCAAGUUCAAGAAGUGUUUCUCAUUGCCACCAAUGCUUUGGACACCUGUUGGAAGGUUUGUUGUCCUCAGCUUUUGUUUAGAGCAAAAGUUCGAGUCCCAUAAAGGCUCAAACAUUCCUUUCCUUCAUCCCGAGGGCGCCUUCUGUCCUCUGUUUUCUGUUUCCACACACAAAUAGCACAAAGAAUUUAGAAUGACAACUGGGACAUAUAUAAGAGUGAAAUAAUUAAAAAAAUUAUGCUUUUUUGUUUGUCGUGUUAAAAUCGUAAGUACCGAAGUACUGUGAAAGAGAUUAAUUUACAGAAACUGAAGCCAAGGGUUCAAAAAAAACUAUUGAUGUAGCUAGAAUGCAAUGUCAUAUUCAUACAGAGAUGAAGUAUAUUAUUUACGGCUGGUAAGGACUAGGAAUUGAUGUAGCUAGAAUCCAAAGAUGAUAAGGUAUGUUGUGCACUAUUGUUUUAUUCUACGGUCAAUCUUGACCCUUGGUGCUUGGCUCUCAAUCUUGUCCAUUGAUCUUCUCUGAUCUUGGAAACUUCAAGACCUUUCACUCUCAUGCCUUAUUAUUGGUGUCUUCCAUGCUGUAGCUUUCAAAUACAAGCUUUCCCGCCAACUUGCCAAUUAUUUGUCCGUUGGUGCAUUUUAUCAAACAGUUUGGAUACUUAUACCAAACGCCUCCUGUUUUAACUCCCCCCUCAAGCUCAAGCAUGUGGGAAGACAUUAAUAAGCUUGUUUCUCAAGUAUAUGUAUCUGAAAAUUAAAUUUUAUAAAUUAUAUUCGGACUCUACAUUUUCUAAUGAACAUUGGUUUGGCUUAUAAGCUUAUUAUACUCAGGUUUGGUAGGAGCCAUGUCACAAUGUUAACGCUAACCAGCAGUACUGCCAAAGCUGGCCAACUCAGCCUGCAAGUUCAUAGCAACCAUAGUUACAGUCCUAGUCCGGUACAAAAAUCGUAAAUAUCAUUUACAUUACAAUGGUGUGGGGGGGGGGGGGGGGGGGGGGGGGGGGUGGCUGGAGAGGGAAUCAACAAAGAUCUAGAACGAAGGGUAGGCUUGUAUCCGUAACCCAUGUCACAGUGUUAAUGCUAACCGUGGACCUUAUUAUAUUAGUUUCUGGACUAUUAUUACUUUUGAAUUGCCAUCUUUGAAUUUACGUUCAUUUCUGCCUCGACAAGAUGUUUGUAAAAAUAUGCUAAUUAUUAAUGUGCCGUGUACAAAUAAGCAUGUUACUGUGCAAGGAUUGUAGUCAUGAUACAGUGGUGCAAAAUGUACAUGCUACUUCUUCUUUUCCUCAGUUAGGAUCACCGUCGUCACCAUUUAAUUCUAAGUCCACCCAUGCGGCCUAUGCAAUUGAAAUCAUGUGACCAUGUAAUUUUAGGUUCUGAUCUUCCUUGUGGGGUUAAACCUCAAAACUGUGACCAUUUUGGGACUUUUAAUCAGUUCCAAUCAUUUUCUGGUUCCCAUUCGUCCACCCAAGCCUUGAUUCCCCCGAUAUAGCAUGGCAAUAUAUAUAGGAAUAUUAAGGUUGUGUACAGUUUUUUUCUUUUCUGUUUUUAAUUUGAUAUAAAUUAUCAAUCAUGAAUCUACAUAAAGUUUCAACUAGGCUACUACCACAAUAAACAUUUGGAUGAACUAUUAUUGAAACCUUAUUGAGAAGUAGGACAUGUCGCAUACCAAUGCACUGACAUAUCUUCAAAUAGUGGUAACUCCACACAACAUGGCACAAUAAAUUAAGAGUUAUAUAGAUAAAAUCUUUCACUCUUUGGUAAUCAUCAAUGUCGGCAUGACAAUGCGUCCCACAAAUAUGGCUCCUUAUCAAAAUUCAUAAAUCAAAACAAAAAUAGAGAAUCAUAUUUGUUCCAGAUUGUAGUGAUGGUUGUUGAUGCACUCACAAUUUACAAUUUUAUUUAAUAUCUUCAAAUUCGCAUUUUAAAAUGCCCAAAUGUUUGUGUAUACAUAAUUAGAUAAAAUCUUUCAUUCUUUGGUAAUCAUCAAUUUCACUAUUAUUCGCUUUAUUAUGUUUGUUUCUUUCAGUAUGUUAAAAGAUUAUGUUGUGAAUUUGUUUUACAGGCCGCCCGUAAGUCUGCGCCCACUGUUGUGAAUUUGUGUAUACAUAAUUAGUAAUCGAUUCUCAAGCACGGACAUUUAAAAGCACUGCCGAAAGACAAAAUUUUAAUUUACUAUUUUUUGUCUUUUAAUUUUCUUUAAGUUUUAAUGAUUCCGCAUUUUAAAAUCCUGUGGAACGUGUAUGUAAAAUUCUUUUAUCUUUUAGAGGAAAACGGGCAAGAGAAGAAUAUUUGGCAAAGGAAUUGCAACCGCAUUUGGAGCUAUAUUUAAUUUUGUCUUUUAAGUCUUUUACACUUGUUUUUGUUAUUGAUGUUAGCUUGGAUGUGUGUGCGUGUGCGACUGAAUUCAACUUACAUGCUAUUGAUGCAGCCACCAAAAAGGGGUGGUCCAUCAUCAAUCAACAAGGUUUAUUAUUAUUAAUUUCCAUAUUGAUUUUCUUAAUUAUAAAUAAUACUAAUGUUAUUUCAUAGUUAUAAAUAUAUUAGAAUUAAUCGAAAUCAUUUUUUAGUGCGGCAUGGCUAAAACUACCCUCUUCUUUUUUUUUAUAAGUAAUUACUACUUUCACAUUAAGAAAAAUACUCCUAUUUUUUAGGAAAAGUCAAGUACCUGUAGUUGUGAAGACUCGAGCUCACUCCCUUAUGAUAAAUCUUCAUAUUAAUUACGUAAAUAUCCUCUAAAAUUUUAAAUUAGCUAUUCAAAAUUUGAUGUUAUACGGGUAUUUCAUUUAUUUGAGUAGGGGUUAGGGGUCAAUUGGAUACAAAUUCAAAAUUAUCCUUACUUGAGAUGGUGAUAAAAAUUGGGGAUUUAAUUUGGAUGUCAUUAGCUACAAAUAUUAAACUCAUACAUUUAAUUCAAAAUUGGAGGGCUGAUAUAAGCGCAUCAUCCCACAACCUCUCCAAUGAAAAAUUAACACGUUUCUUGUGUGCAUUUGAUCAGAAUCCUGAAAAUUAAUCACAAAAUUGUCCUGGAAAAAAAAAUACUUACAUAAAUGGUUUGAAAAAUCUAGAUUUCAAGUUGUCUAUAUUAGGUUGAUAUUUUUAUAAAUAGUCAUCCUCUCAAAAAAAUUCCGUCAAAAUAUAUUUUAAUUUUAUGUUAAUUCAUAAACAUGAAAAAAUCAUUUCAGAAUUAAUUAAAACAUAAUUUAUUGUUUCUCAAAAAAGGUAGAACUUAGUGAUAAGAAAAAAGUAUCUCAAAUAUAUGUAAAAAAAAAAAAAAUCUUGGUUAGUUGGAAUGAUUGAAUUUGUUUUUUUUUUUCUUUUUUAAGAAUUAAGACAAUCGGAUUGAUUGAGUAAUAAUAAUAUAUAUUUAUUUGGCAAAUGGCAGGUAGGCUUUCGUCUCAUGCAGAUUGAUUAGAGAGAAAAUAUAACAAUUUUAAGCUCGUCAGAUUCGAAGCUGCUUUCCUGUCGUGUGGGGAUCACUUCCGUGUCUUAUUUUUCUAGAAAAAUCAGGACCAUUGGAUUUAUGCGAAUCGUACUGAACAUUGGAAUUGAUGUAUAAGAAAAAAAUUCUGUAGUUUAAGAAGAACAAAAAGGCAUGUUGAAUAGAUUACAAUAGUUUAAGGAAAAAAAUUAUUCAAUUGGGAAUUUUUUUUUUCUUUAAUUUUUGUUGUACUUGAUUGAGAUUUCUCCUUAGUCCUUAGAGUUUUAAGUUUGGAAACCGUAGGAUCAGUAAUUUCGUACUUCCUUUGCAAGCUGAGUAUAAGGAUGAAAUUCUUUUAAGAAAUUAAAAAAGAUAAAAAAAAGCAUACCAAUAGGUAAUUAUAAAUAACCACAAAUAAAUAUAAACAAAAUGUUUAUGAAGUAAAUUAAACAUGCUCAUAUUAUUUUCUUUUAUUUUCUACUUGGAAAUCCAUAAAUACACUAAUCCAGUAUUACUAAUUUCAGACAGAAAAAUUUGAAUUUAACCAGUAUACACUAAUCCAGUAUUAUUUUUAUUAUUAUUUUAAUUUGUUUAUAAAUUACUAUUUUAAUUUUCACUUUUUAUUGGGUUGUUUAACGGAUUAGUGAAGCUGGUGGUCGUUGAUGCACUCACAAGGUACAAUUUUAUUUUAGAAUUUCAAAUUCGUAAUUUAAAAUGCAGGCACAUUAUGUAUACAUAAUUAUUGAUUUUCAUAUGUGGGUGUCUUGAAAUAUUGCCAAAAGAUCAAACUUUAAUAAACGAUUUUUGAUCUUUUUUUUUCCUUUGUACCUAAAGUUUGAGUGAUAUCCGCAUUUUAAAUUCAUGUGGACCAAAAGCUAAUGUAUGCACAAAAUUCUUUUAUUUUUUCCGAGAAAAAUGGGUAAGAGAAGAAGAUUUUUCUCUUGAAAAAGAAAAACUAAUACGUUGCAAGCAUAGGAAAGAGGCCAGUGUUUUGGAUUUGAAUUUAGUAUUGGGUUGAAUUUUAUGCUAAGCUCUUUUAUAAUACUUUAUAGAAUAAAAAUGUAAGGGGUAUUUGGUUAGGCAUGUACUUUGUAGAAUAAAAAUGUAAUAAUGUAAGUCAGUGCAAUGAUCUGCUGUCAUAAUAGUUGUAAAUAUUUAUGUGUAAUAUAGUAACAUGAUGCUUAAUCAGUUAAAAAAAAAUUGUAUAUCUUUUUUUAUUUUUUUUUAUUGUGAUCAAUAUAACUAGUCAAAUUUAUUUUUAAAUAUUUUUUUAAAAAUAUUUUUAUCGUGUGUUUGCUCCAUUACAGGGUUUCUUCAAUUUAAAAUAGAGAAUCAUUUGUGUUCUAGAUUAAUCGUGGGUCUAUAUCCAAAUCCAAAAAUUGACUAACUUGAUUUCUAUUAAGUUCUCAACCCUAACAAGAAAAAUAGAAGAUUAAAAAUGACUAUUUUGGUUUCUAUUAAUUUGAGUAACGCUUAAUAUUUAUCAUACAAUAGUCACUUAUAUUAUCAAAAUCUUGGGUCGAAAAUAUUAGGAUAGGUGAUAAUUGGAAUUAAGUUGUAGAUAAGAUAGCCUUUCAAAAAAAAGAAAAGAAAAAAAGUUGUAGAUAAGAUAGAAAUGGAUUUGGAGAGAGAUUGGAAUCCUGGCUAAUCCGGUGCACGUUGUUGCGUUAAAUUCUCGUUGACUUCACGUUGACCGAAGCAUUAUUGGAAGAAACAAGCAAGCUUAUUUUCUUCUCUCAUUUUUUACUUUUGUCUAAAUUUAUUGAUGUGAGGCCUCUGAGAUGGUAAAGUGUUAAAUCUGAGAAGAGUACCCACACACCCAUUAUCCUAUUACUCUUAUUUUAUCACAUGCAGAGACGUCAACGUUUGAUUCGCACAGAAAAAAAUUUGCGAGGAUUGUGAGGGUUGAUUCAAUAUAAUUUAGAUGCAAAGUGUUUACAAGUGCGAUGCUUCGUAAGUGCACCCGAAUCAUUAUAAACUCACCUUAUUUUCAUAGUGAUUAUUUCAUCUGCAUGUGAAUAUAAUCAUAUGUGGAGAUUUUUUUUUCCCUAAACUAUGAUCUUCUCUGGUAUUAAGGUGUUAUAUCUUUUAAAUUAUAAUUAUUAUUAGUAAAAAACUGCAACUAUGAAAAAGAAAUUUAAUAUUAUGUCCUGAAUAUAAUUAUUAAAUAAUAAUUUUGACAAAAUUAAUGAAUAUAUACAGAUUUUUUUAUCAUAUAAAUGUAAAAUUAUAUCAACUUAGCUUCUAAGCUAUACAACGGCUACUAUUUACUAAAUACUUUAGUGUCGUAGUUUUUAAGAUAUAUUUAUCCAACCUCAAUCCCAAACAUAACCUGUAAGGAUAAAAAAUUUCAUCCUAAAAAUUAUACGUCUUGUGACUUAUUUAAUUUAUAUUUUUGUUAUUUAUAUUUACUAAUUAUAGUCAUCUUUUAAUAAAUUACAAUUGAAGGAAGGUGGUUGAUGUUGUCGAGACACACACACAAAGAUAUAUUGGAAGUGCUUAUGUCCACUCGAAGUUGUGGGGAGUUAAUGCAUGUAUUGAUUUAUUGGGAGUGUUAAUGCAUGUAUUGAUUGAUUGAGUGAUUGAAUACUGUUUGAUUGCUUCAUAUCAAUUCUAGAAAGUUUAUUUCUUUGUGAAAUUUCAACGAAACGUGUUUUUUUAGAAUAAUAAGGGUGUUUUAAGUAAUUUUAAAAAAUGAAUGGACUAAUUAGAAUUAAUUAUUAGGUAAUUAACUCGAAUUGUAGAGGGUAAGCAAACAUUUAUCCUAAUUAUAUUAUGAUAAAUCCUUUUCCAAUUAGAAUUAGGAAACCAUAGAUAUACUGAAUUUUUUUUAUUUCCCUUCGCGAAAACGGAUUAGAGAAUUAGAAAACAAUCCUAGUGAUACUAUUGUUAGGUUUAAAACACUGCAUAGAUGGUAAAAACAUUGGAAUUGAUGUAGAUUAAUUUGUUAAUUGCUAUCGUACUGAACAUUGUUUUAUGCAAAUUAAUUUGAGAAUUAGAAAAUAUUUUGUUGCAUGCAAACUUUUUGUUUUAUGCAAAUCGUACUGAACAUUGGGACUGAUGUUUAAGAAAAAAAUUCUGUAGUUAAAGAAAAACAAAAAGGCAUGUUGAAUAGAUUACGAUAGUUUAUUCAAUUGGGAAUUUUUUUUUUUAAUUUUGUUGUACUUGAUUGAGAUUUCUCUUUAGUCCUUUCGUACUUCCUUUGUAAGCUGAGUAUAAGGAUGAAAUUCUUUUAAGAAAUUAAAAAAGAAAAAAAAGCAUGCCACUACGCAAUUAUAAAUAACCACAAAUAAAUAUAAACAAAAUGUUUAUGAAGUAAAUUAAACAUGCACAUAUUAUUUUCUUUUAUUUGCUGCUUGGAAACCCAUAAAUGCACUAAUCCAAUAUUACAAUUAAUUUCAGACAGAAAAAAUUGAACUCUAGGCUGCAGUUUGACUCAAAAUGAUGACCACUGGCUUCGCACCAUUCAACCGGUAUACAUUUCUACAAACCGAACAACGCUAUUGAUUUUUAUUAUUUUUUUAAUUUUUUUAUAAAUUACUAUUUUAAUUUUCACUUUUUAUUGGGUUGUUUAACGGAUUAGUGAAGCUGGUGGUCGUUGAUGCACUCAUAAGGUACAAUUUUAUUUUAGAAUUUCAAAUUCGUAUUUUAAAAUGCAGGCACAUUAUGUAUACAUAAUUAUUGAUUUUCAUAUGUGGGUGUUUUGAAAUAUUGCCAAAAGACCAAACUUUAAUAAACUAUUUUUGAUUUUUUUUUCCUUUUUACCUAAAGUUGGAGUGAUAUCCGCAUUUUAAAUUCAUGUGGAACAAAAGCUAAUGUAAGCACAAAAUUCUUUUAUUUUUUCCGAGAAAAAUGGGUAAGAGAAGAAGAUUUUUCUCUUGAAAAAGAAAAAAAAAUACAAUGCAAGCAUAGGAAAGAGGUCAGUGUUUUGGAUUUGAAUUUAGUAUUGAGCUGAAUUUUAUGCUAAGCUCUUUUAUAGUACUGCGAUUAAUAAGCUAGCUCAGGAUUUGCUUUUGCUUUUACUUCAAGUAAAAGAAUGAGGAAGCCUUUUGUUUUUUUGUUUGAUUUUUGACUAUAUAUGUUACCUAUAUAGAGAGUUGAGGUAGCAGCCUUAAGUGAUGGUGAUAAAAAGAUUAAGCAGCGCACACAAUCUUACUGUCGUCGAGACCAUCCAGUGAUGGCUCUUGUUUUUUUGUUACGUUAGCUUUAGUGGAAAGAAGGACCAAUUUAACAAAGACUAGAUUUGGUGGCUUACUAUGUUUAAUGUAAUGCUUAUUCUCAGCGCACACAAUCUUACUAUGUUUAAUGUAAUGGUUAUGUUGAAUGAUCUUCUAUGAUUGUGAGUAGUAUAGUAUAAUUGCAAGGGGCCUGGGCUCCUAUGAUGAAUAACAGUAACACAUUACUGUGAUUGAGAAAACUCAGUUCCAAUAAACUCUUCAUUUACUCAUUGCGGAGAUUGAAUGGCAAACAGAGAAUAGAAUGAAGCAGAAGAAUCUCAUUGUUAGGUUUUGAUGAUUUCAGAUGCUUUUUAAAAAAAAACAAUUGUGACAUCUUUGAUUUAAGGUAGUUUUGCAAAAAACAAAACAUAUAAAAAUUAAGAGGGAUGAUUUAACUGACGAUUACAAUCAUUACAGCAAUGCUGAUGAGUGAUAAAUCACUUGAAAUUUACUUGUCAGUUGCUGAAAUGAUGAAAAAAAACAAUAAACGAUAACAGUAAUAAUGUUCCCUUGCUGAAAUUCAAUUUUGACUUUCGACUCUUGGCUUUUAUGGAGAGUAAAAUGACUUGUAUAUUAUACUCAUACAAUCCACUCUACAUAAUGAUAUCGUUUUAGUAAGGCAAUGGCUGAUGAUCUCCAUUUAAAAACUACAUCAAUUUUUUUUUGCUUCAUUUAACUUUUUGGUUGUUGAAAAUAACCUUAAUUACCAAAUAAUUGGAGAAAGAGUUAAGAACAUUUAACAAAUUUAUGUGCAAAAAAAAAAGAAGGAGAAGUUGAAGAGAAAGGGUGCUUGCAGAAGUGGGUGUCAAAGAUAAAUCGGUCCAUAAGAAUUAUUGUGGUUAUUUUUUGGCAAUAUAAAAAAUUUUUAGUAAGUAAAAAUAAUUUUUUUUUCGAUUUACUAAAAAAUUAACUAAAAACUUCUGCGAUAGCAUUUUUUAUGGGUGCAGAUACCCUCCCUUUAAAAAAAAUAUAAUAAUUACUGCUUAAUAUAGUAUUAAAUACGAAAAUAUCAAUAUUUGACUACUCAAAUUUAUGUCAUUAGGUCCUUCAAAUUUAAAAUGGAAGAUAUGAAAGGAAAUAUAUAUAAAUUUCAUUGUCCUGGGAAAGGACCCUCUUAUAAUCUUAUAAUAUUUGAACUUUGAUAGAUUUUUUGAAACAAAUUUAGAUAGAUUUUUUGAAACAAAUUUACUUUUAUUUGUGUACAAUCAAUAUUUACUUAUUUAUUAUAUUUUAAUUUAUUAACUAUCAAUCAUGUUAAUAUAUUUAGUCAGAAAAAUCAUAUCAAGAGAAAAUCAUGACCCCACGCACGGAUAAAUACGUUAAUUUCUAUACUAUUCACUUUCCUGUAGAAUCAAUUAUUUAAAAUGCAAGUUUGUGGCUACAGAAAACUCGCCAAAGAAAGAAGAUAAUAACAAUUGAGCAUUGAUAGCAAAACUAAUGCAUCCAAUUCUUCUUGACUUGAUGAGAUGGCGCCAUAACGUAGAAACAAGUACCUAAAUUGACCGGCACUGAGUGGUGUGAAUACUACCAGCCAGUUCAUCUCUUCCAGUCGUGCUUAAUCACAAUCACAAACACCACGAGAUCGACAUUUGCAUUAUAUAUAUCUUCAGCAAUCGAAACACCUUGCAUUACCAAAUUAACCAGCAACAAACAAAGCAAUCUUUCAUGGAGAGAAACCUUAGUCUCAGUAUGAUCACUGUGUCAUUAACCCACUGCCUGCUUCUUUGCUUGGUUGUUGCAGCAGCAGCAGCAGCAAGCAGCAAUAUUACCACAGACCAACAAGCUCUUCUUGCCCUGAAAGAUCAUAUAAUUUAUGAUCCGACCAACCUUUUAGCCCAUAAUUGGACCUCGAACACCUCUCUUUGUACCUGGAUUGGCAUCACUUGUGAUGCCAAUAGCCAUAGAGUCACAACCUUAGAUAUUUCUCAAUUCAAUCUACAAGGCACCAUCCCUCCUCAACUUGGAAACCUCUCUUCACUCACAACGCUUAAUCUUAGUCAUAAUAAGCUUUCUGGAAGCGUUCCCCCCUCCAUCUACACCAUGCAUACGCUAAAAUUUCUAGACUCCACUGCUAACCAGCUCUCUGGUUCAGUGUCUUCCUUCGUCUUCAACAUGUCUUCAAUAUUAGACAUUCGUUUGACCAAUAACAGACUUUCUGGUGAGCUUCCGAAAAAUAUUUGCAACUAUCUUCCUCAUUUGAAAGCCCUUUUUUUGGACAAAAACAUGUUUCAUGGCAAAAUUCCUUCUGCUUUAUCAAAGUGCAAACAACUGCAACAAUUAAAUUUGCAGUUCAAUAAUUUAUCCGGUGCAAUACCAAAAGAAAUCGGCAACUUGACUAUGCUCAAAGGGAUAUAUCUCCUCUACAACAAACUCCACGGUAUGUUCACAAUACUAUAUAAAUAUUUUAAUUUAUCACUUAUUAUCUUUCUUGAAUAAUUUAACUAAGAUCUUGUAAGUGAGAUUUUUUGCAUCUAUGUUAAUAACCAGGUGAGAUACCCCACGAAAUCGCUAAUCUUCAAAAUCUAGAGGCUUUAGGGCUUGGAAUGAACAACCUAGUUGGUGUGUUACCAGCUCCCAUCUUCAACAUGUCAACACUGAAGGUACUUAUCCUCAUAAAUAACUCUCUCUCCGGAAGUCUUCCAUCAAGAAUGGACCUUUCACUUCCAACUGUUGACCAUCUUAACUUGGCACUUAAUAGAUUUUCUGGAACCAUUCCUAGUUCCAUCACCAAUGCUUCUAAGCUCACCUUUCUGGAGUUGGGAGGAAACACAUUUUCGGGGUUUAUUCCAAACACAAUUGGUAAUUGUUGUUUGUGAAAGCAAAUCCAGAAAACCAAAACGGCAGAAGACUUUGCGUUUAGAAGCUGGAAACACUUAAACUCAAAACGGCACAGGAGCCUGCGUUUUGGUGAGUAAAAGAAAUGCACUCCUGGACGACGUAUGGGUUUGACGUUUAGAUUUAAGUGAUUCACGCGUAUAUCACGUGCUUGAGUUCAGCCUUGCAAAGUUCGUUAUAUGUCGUUAGGAGCACGAAGAGCUCACGUGAGGUGCUGGGGUUUUUCUGGGUUUAUUAGCUAAAGCUGUUAUGGAACAGCUGAUGUGGAAGCAACGGACUGGAGAGCAGAGAGAGCUAAAGAUAGAGAAGGGAACUGGUUAUAUAAGCUAGUUAUAAUCUGUCUUUUAGGGACUAAGCAUUUACUCUGUAAUUCAUCUGAAAGAAAUCAAUAAAGCUGUGUUCUUUCCCUCCCGUGGAUGUAAGCUAGAGAAGUCUAGCUGAACCACGUUAAGAUUCUUUGUUCUUUCUUUACAUUACUUUCUUUUGAUUCUUUAGACCAAUUUUGUUUACCAUUUAAGUUCCAUAGAUUUCAUCUUAGUCAUAGCUUUUCGGUAAGCCAUCUUGCUGCAUCUUGUUCUGUUGGCUGGAGAUCUUGGGGCAGAGUCUUGGGUUGCUCUAUCAGUCUUUAGCACCUGAGAUUCUACAGUAAUUUAAUAAACCUUGAGUGGCUCAACUUGGGUAAUAACUCCUUGACAUCUUCAACCUCAAAAUUGAGCUUUCUUUCCUCUUUGGCAAAUUGCAAGAAAUUAAGAGUCAUAGGCUUAACAGGCAAUCCACUCAAUGGUAUCCUUCCAAGUUCAGUAGGUAAUCUUUCUAUGUCUUUGAAAACACUUGUCAUCGGCAAUUGCAGUAUUAUUGGCAACAUUCCUCGAGUAAUUGGCAAUUUAAGCAACUUGUUGGCCUUAUCAUUAGAAGGCAAUAAAUUGACUGGAUCAAUUCUAAUUACAUUCGCCCGACUACAGAAACUCCAAGGCUUAGAUCUCGCAUUCAAUAAGUUGGUAGGUUCAUUCCCAGAUGAGCUUUGCCAUCUAGCUAGGCUGGCAGAAUUGGUCUUAUUUGGCAAUAAGCCAAAUAAGCUUUCAGGAUCUAUACCUUCAUGCCUAAGUAAUUUCACUUCUAUAAGAUCUCUCUAUUUAGGGUCCAAUAGGUUUACUUCUGUCAUUCCCUCAACUUUCUGGAGCCUAAAAGACAUCUUGUUCUUUGACUUUUCAUCAAAUUUCUUGGUUGGUACUCUUUCUUUCGACAUAGGUAAUUUGAAGGUGCUUCGAGGAAUAAAUUUAUCAGAAAAUAACUUAUCGGGUGAUAUGCCAGCCACAAUUUGAGGACUAAAAAACCUUCAAAUUAUGGACCUAGCAUAUAAUAGAUUGGAAGGGCAAAUUCCUGAAUCAUUUGGUGACUUGACAAGUUUGGAGCUUUUGAAUUUGUCAAAUAAUAAAAUCUCUGGGUCUAUUCCAAAAUCCAUGGAGAAACUCUUUUACCUCCAAGAGUUAAAUCUCUCUUUCUAUGAACUAGAAGGUGAGAUUCCUAGUGGAGGAAUUUUUGCCAACUUCACAGCUGAGUCAUUUAUGGGAAAUGAGUUAUUGUGUGUUUUGCCAUUGAGUAUUGCUCUAACAAUAGCAAUCACUCUAGCUCUCAAAUAUAAGCUUAUUGAAUGUAGAAAGGGAAGAACAGUGUUGUCAAAUGAUAGUAUCUUGUCAUCACAAGCAACACUAAGAAGAUUUUCAUACUUAGAACUUUUACGAGCAACAAAUAAUUUUUCUGAAAACAACAUAAUUGGCAUAGGAGGUUUUGGUUCUGUUUACGGUGGAAGACUUGAAGAUGGGAUGAAGAUUGCAAUAAAAGUGUUUCACCAGCAAUGUGCAAGCGCAUUGAAGAGUUUUGAGGCUGAAUGUGAAGUGUUAAAAAAUAUUCGCCAUCGAAACCUUAUCAAAGUUAUCAGCAGUUAUUCAAACAAUGACUUCAAAGCAUUAGUCCAAGAAUACAUGUCCAACUGGAGCUUGGGGGAUUGGAUGCAUUCUAGCAAUUAUAUGCUGAAUAUAUUUCAAAGGUUGAACAUAAUGAUUGACGUUGCAUCAGCUUUAGAAUAUCUUCACUUCUAUCAUUCAACUGCUAUUAUUCACUGUGACUUAAAGCCUAGUAAUGUAUUGUUGGACGAAAAUAUGGUUGCUCAUUUAAGUGAUUUUGGCAUAGCAAAGCUUUUAAGUGGAGAAGAUGAGUCUAUGAUGCGAACAAAAACCCUUGCCACUAUAGGUUAUAUGGCACCAGGUUUGCUUCAAACAACUUUUUUUUUAGUUCAUUUUAAAUUUUCCAAAUCAUCGAUUUUUACGAUCCUCAUAUCAAAAUGUUAUUGAUUAUUUAUCUAAUUGUGAAAUUAAUUUGAUUCAUAGAGUACGGCAUAAAAGGAGAAGUAUCUACAAAAAGUGAUGUUUACAGCUAUGGGAUUAUGUUGAUGGAAACUUUUACCAAGAAAAAACCCACAGAUGAAAUUUUUGUCGGAGAAUUGAGCUUAAGGCGUUGGGUUAAUGACUUGCUUUCUGCUUCAUUAGUGGAAGUUGUGGACAAAACUCUGCUAAGUGGAGAGGAAAAAUAUUUUGCAUCAAAGGAGCAAUGUCUGUUGUCUAUCUUUAGUUUGGCUCUGGAGUGUACAAUGGAAUCACCGGAAAAGAGGAUUAAUGCAAAAGAUAUUGUUACCAGAUUACUCAAGAUAAGAGACACAUUGAGUAAAAGGAUCGGAAAUUUAAGUUAAUUUCGUUUGCUUUCGUUGAUAGUUAAUUCAAAUUCAUGUAAUAAGUGUAAGAAUCUUAUAUCUUUUCCUUUGAUAUUUUUUUUUUUGAGAAAACUGUUGUAGUCAUCUUAUUUCCAUGGGUAGAGUUGAUUUAGUUCUUCCAAGAAUUAAUUGAGCUUGUUUCACAAGUAUAUGAAUCAGACAGUUAAAUUUUAAAAAUUAUAUUCGGACUCUACGUUUUGUAAUGAACAUUGGUCUGACUUGUUAUACAUUUAUGCGGACAUUCAAGAGCAAAUAUUUUGAUUUACUAUUUUUUGUCUUUCAAUUUUCUUUUAGGUUCUGAUGACGUGCGCAUUUUAAAAUCCUAAGGUACAUAUAAAAUUCUUUUAUUUUUCGGAGGAAAAUGGGUGAGAGAAGAAGAUUUGGCAAAGGAAUUGCAACGGCAUUUGAAACUAGUCUUUGUCGUUUAAUUCUUUUAUAUUCGUUUUUUUUAUUGAUGUUAGCUUGGAUGUGGGCGCGUGUGACUGAAUUCAACUUAUAUUUGUUUUUGUUAUUAAUUUUAUUUGUUUUUGUUAAAUUGGACCACCAAAAAGGGUGGUCCAUUAUCAAAUCAACACCGUUUAAUUAUUAUUAUUUCUACACUUUUUUUUAUGAACAAAUAUAAAAUAAAAGGACAUUUACACCCAAAUUUUAGUGAAAUAGUCAUCAACACCCUUAAAUUUUUAAAAAGAGACAUCAAGAUCAUUUUUUGAUCUUAAUACUCUUAUACAGUACCUCUAUUAUUCCUAAAAAUUGACUCUAAUGUUUUAUAAUAAAUAAAAAUAAAAGAUUAAAAUAAAUGUAAUAACAUAUACAUUUUAAAACCAUUUCAAUAUUUAAAAAAUAUUUUUAACAUUUUACAAUCUAUUAAAUAUAUUUUAUUAUAUUAAAGUAAAUUUUAUAAUAAAUAGAAUCAUAUUAUUAAAAUAAAUGCAUUAAAAUUUAAAUUAUUUUGAAUAUCAUGUAAGAUAAUAAUUUUAACAUUACUAGUAUGUCAGAUUUUUUUUUUAAUUGUAGAGUGUAUUUAGUGCAAAUAUUUAUUUCAAAUAUCUACAAUAAAUAAAAGAUUAAAGUAAAUAUAAUAAUUUACAUAUCUAAAUUUAUUAAAAUAUUUUAAUAUUGUUAGUCUACUGCAUAGAUCACAAUAUUCAUAUAACAUUUGUAUUUAUUAAAAACUUUAAAAUCAAUUCUUUUGAGAAUAAUAGAGGUAAAGGGUAUAAUGGUCAAAAGGGAAAUUUUGUAUCCCUUUCUGAAAACUUGAGGAUGUUGGUGACUAUUUCUCCAAAUCUUCAGCGUGUAGAUGUCCUUUUCUCCGACAGUAUCUGAACUUUGAAGUAAUAAGGAUCACCUUUUACGAAAUUAUAUUGCUUUUCAUGAUAGACUGUUACCAUUUUUCUACAAUAGAUUGAAUUUAGUAAAAAAUUGAUUAAGAUGUCUACUCAUGGAGAGUGAAAUUUAUGUUCAAAACUAAUUUCAACAGGCAUGCACCAUCGAACGUGUUUCUCACGGAAAAGUUGCUUGGAUUUUUGGGACUUCCUGUUCAAAUAUUCAACACGGCAUGCACCACGCGAUUGAACAUGCAAAAGUAGGGGUCUAUUUUCAUUUCCAGCAUUAUAGAAAUCUUAAUUUUGUUCAUUAUUUAUUUUGAUCAGCACUGUUGAAUCUCCAUGCAUUGCCAAUCACUAGGAAACAACAUAUUUUUAUUAAUUAUAUCCUCUAAUGGAGAGAACUCAUUGUCUCAGUAAGAUCACUGUGUCAUUAACCCACAGCCUGCUGAUUUGCUUGGUUGCUACUGCAAGCAAAAAUAUUACCACAGAUCAAAAAGCUCUUCUUGCCCCAAAAGAUCACAUAACUUAUGCUCCAACUAAUCUAUUGACCCAGAAUUGGACCUCAAAUACCUCUGUUUGUACGGGGAUUAGCAUCACUUGUGAUGUCAAUGGCCAUGAAGUUGCAGCCUUGGAUAUUUCUCAAUUCAAUCUACAAGGCACCAUUAUUCCAAACACAACUGGUAAUUUAAGAAACCUUAAGUGGCUCGGCUUGGCUUAUAAACUACUUGACAUCUUAAACUUCAAAAUUGAGCUUUCUUUCCUCUUUGGCAAAUUGCAAAAAAUUAAGAAUCUUAGGCUUACUGGAAAUCCACUUGACCGUAUCCUCUCAGGUUCAAUAGGUAAUCUUUCUAUGUCUUAGGAAAUAUUUCACAUCGCCAAUUGCAGCAUUAGUGGCAGAAUUCCUUAAGUAAUCAGCAAUUUAAGCAACUUGUUGGCUAGUGUGCAAAAUUUUAAUGUACUCGCAAGCGCAUGAACCUAAAAAUAGAAUAGUGGUAACGAGGUCAAACUCACAGGGAUUGUUAUAAAAUGACAAAAGAAUAGCUGCUGGUCUAGAGGUGGCUUAUUACAUUCAUACAAGAUCGUUUCUUGUUCUCUAAGAUGUGCAUUAUGCUAAUAAUGCUAUACAAACUUAUCCAAAGGUCUAUUGAUUAAUUCAUUAAUCCAACUGCUGGUUAGGUUGUCCUUUCAUCCAAACAGCUGCAUGCUUGUCUUCUUAUAUGCUGAUCUUAUCCUCUAGAUCUGUUCAGGCUGAGUGAUCUCUCACAUUUGCCAUAUCAGAAGAUUACAUGCCAGUAAUGUCUUGUGAUGAUCUGUUGCUUGGUGAUGUCGAAUGCCUGGCCUUUACUUCUCUGAGCAAAUUGAUCAAACAAUUUGUUCAUUUUAUCGAUGGUUUUUAAGUGCAUUUAAUGAUUAUUUUUGCUCCAACUUCAGAUAAACCAAACGCUAGUAUAUUAGAUGAAGAAGUUAACUGGCAGCUAACCAGGUCAAAAUAGCGACUCUAUAUAAAAAAUAUAUAUAUAUAAUAUAAAAUAUAAAAUGGGAAUUUAUUUAAUUAAUUGUUGGUCUAAAGCUGUUGGUAUCCGUUGGCCACGUUUCUGAAGAGUCAUCUCAAAUCGAAAUUUUUAACGAACAAAGAACUUUGCUUUUUUCCAUUGUUCACAUAUCUGCUGGCUGCCACCCGUGAGAUAAAAGUGCUACAAUCCAAAAUGUUCCACCAUUAUUUAUUCUAAUUUUAAUUUUCCAAUGGAAAAAAUUACAUAAUUAAAAUGGCUUCUAAUAUCAUUUCCACCCCUCAAUAUGUGUCACUAUCAGAAGGUUGUUUUCAUGAUUCAUGGUAAAUUUGGAUUACAGCACCUGUACUUUCUGAUGGUUCAUUAUUUAUUCUCAGGAAUCGAGUCUCCUUACAUUACCAAACUAAUAACAAACAGCAAUAUUUUAUCCUUUCAUGGAGAGAAAUUACAGUCUUCGUUUGACCGCAGUGCUAUUAACCCACUGCUUGCUUCUUCAGUUGGUUGUUGCAGCAGCAGCAGCAAGCAACAUUACAACAGACCAACAAGCUCUUCUUGCCCUGGAAGCUUAUAUAAGUUAUCAUCCAACUAAUUUUUUGGCUCAAAAUUGGACCUCAAAUACCUCUGUUUGUAACUGGGUAGGCAUUACUUGUGAUGUCAAUAGCCAUAGAGUUACGGCCUUGAAUAUUUCCAGCUUGAAUCUACAGGGUACCAUCCCCCCUCAACUUGGAAACCGAUCUUCACUGACAACACUUAAUCUUAGUCAAAACAAGCUUUAAGGCGACAUUCCCCCCCUUCAUCUUCACCGUGCAUGAGCUGAAAUUUCUUGAUUUCAGUGAUAAUCAGCUCUCUGGUUCUUUGUCUUCCUUUACCUUCAAUUUGUCUUCAAUAUUAGAUAUUCGUUUGGAUAGUAACAAACUCUCUGGUGAACUCCCAUUAAAUAUUUGCAAUUAUCUUCACUAUUUAAAAGUCCUUUUUUUGGCCGAAAACAUGUUUCACGGUCAAAUACCACUGGCUUUAUCCAAGUUCAAACAGCUACAACUGUUAAAUUUGGGGUUCAAUAAAUUAUCAGGAGCCAUACCGAAAGAAAUCAGCAACUUGACUAUACUUCGAAAGAUAUCUCUCAGAAAUAAUAAACUUCGCGGUAUAAAUGUUUAUAAUAUAUACUUUGUAAAUGCUCUUAUUAAUCAUUCUUGAACUUUCUUAGAUACUUUUGUCUAAAUAAGAUUUUGUAAAAGAGUUUUUUGCAUCUCUGUUAAUUUUGCAGGCGAGAUACCUCACGAAAUUGGGUAUCUUCCAAAUCUAGAGAAUUUGGUGCUUGGAUUCAACAACCUAGUAGGUGUUGUACCUGCUGCAAUCUUCAACAUGUCAACAGUGAAAGAAAUUUACCUAUUAGAUAACUCUCUCUUGGGAAGUUUUUCAUUAGGAAUAGACCUUUCACUUCCUAACGUUGAGAGACUGAACCUGGGGCUGAACAGAUUUUCUGGAACCAUUCCUAGUUUCAUCACCAACGCAUCUAAACUUGUAUAUCUAGAUAUGGGAACAAACUCUUUUUCGGGCAUUAUUCCGAACACAAUUGGUAAUAAUCUAAGAAACCUUGAGUGGCUCGACUUAACAUACAAUCGCUUGACAUCAUUAACUCUAGAAUUGAGCUUUCUUUCCUCUUUGACAAAUUGCAAGAAAUUAAGAUUCUUAGGCUUAACAGGCAAUCCACUUGACGGUGUCCUUCCAACUUCAAUAGGUAAUCUUUCUAUGUCUUUGGAAAACAUUUACAUCUCAAAUUGUAGUAUUGGUGGCAGCAUUCCUCAACUAAUCACCAAUUUAAGCAAUUUGUUGCUCUUAGAUUUAGAAGGCAAUAAGUUGACUGGAUCAAUUCCAGUCACAUUCGGCCGGUUGCAGAAACUCUAGGGUUUAUAUCUUCCAUUUAACAAGUUAGCAGGAUCAAUCCCAGACCAGCUUUGCCAUUUAGCUAGACUGAAUACAUUAGGUUUGGCUGGUAAUAAGUUUUCUGGAUCAAUCCCUUCAUGUUUAGGUAAUCUCACUUCUCUAAGGUCUCCCGACUUAGGGUCCAAUAGGCUUACAUCAGUCUUGCCCUCAACUUUUUGGAAUCUAAAAGACAUCUUGUUCUUUGACCUUUCAUCAAAUUCUUUGGAUGGUCCUCUUUCUUUAGACAUAGGAAAUUUAAGGGUUGUGAUAUCAAUAAAUUUAUCACGAAAUAACUUUUCAGGUGAUAUCCCAAGUACAAUUGGAGAUCUAAAAGACUUACAGAAUAUCUCCUUAGCAUGUAAUGGAUUGGAAGGUCUAAUUCCUGAAUCAUUUGGUUACUUGACAGGUUUGGAAAUUUUAGAUUUGUGAAAUAACAAAAUCUUUGGGUUUAUUCCGAUAUCUUUUGAAAAACUCUUGUACCUCAAAGAGCUAAAUUUGUCUUUCAACGAACUAGAAGGAGAGAUUCCUAGGGGAGGACCUUUUGCAAAUUUCACAGCUAAGUCAUUCAUGGGAAAUGAGAAAUUGUGUGGUUUACCAAAUCUCCAAUUCCCAAAAUGCAAGCGUCGGACACGUCGAAAAUCAAAGAAAAAGAUGCUUCUACUUGUGAUUGUCUUGCCAUUGAGUACUACUCUAAUAAUCGUAGUCCCUCUAGCUCUAAAAUAUAAAUCGAUAAGAGGUGGAAAGAGUAGUACUAGGUUGUUAAAUGAUGGUAUCUUGUCAUCACAAGAAACACUAAGAAGAUUUUCAUACCAAGAUCUUUUUCGUGCAACAGAAAAAUUUAGUAAAGACAAUCUAAUUGGCGUAGGAAGUUUUGGUUCUAUUUAUCGAGGAAGACUUCAUGAUGGAAUUGAGGUUGCAAUAAAAGUGUUUCACCAGAAUUGUGCAAUGGCAUUGAAGAGUUUUGAGGCUGAAUGUGAAGUGAUGAAAAAUAUGUUGGGAAAAUAUGCUCUUUAAAAGCAUAUGUGUUUAUUUAAUUGUAAUAAACAUUUUUUCUGAUUAAUAAAAGUAAUGAGGUAUUUUAUCCAAAUAUCUUAAUUGCAUUAAUAUUUUUAUUAAAGUCCAUUUAAUCAUAUUAUAUGUAUUUAUGUGAUCACCAUGUGGAUUCACAGAAGACAUAAAUACAAGUUAUCUUAUGAUUAAAUAAAUUUAGUUCGCAGUUGAUAAAUAAAGUUGGGCACUUUAUUUAGGUAUAGACUGUAAUGAAUUCAUUGAAUGAUUUGUCUUAAUCAUGUAUGAAUUUAUUGAUGUAGUACGACUACAUUGAACAGGAUCACAUAUGAGAUUUAAUUAACUUUGUAAUAACUGUCAGACUUAUUAAAUCUCAUAGGCAUUGAUUUUACUGUAAUCUUAAUCUUGAGUUAAUUAUGAUUUCAUGAUUGUAAUUGUUAUUCCAUUUGAGUUACCAAUAGGCAUGACACAUACUUGUAGUCUAGAUAACCUGGUAUCUUGGUGGGAGCAUUUAUGAGUAUUAGAGUUAUAGAUUAACAAUAUAGAAUUUGUAUAACACAUCUCUUGAUGGGUUUUCGGCACUUGAUCAUAGAAUUCUCUGGCCAGAGUGUGUCAACAUAUUUAGUAUGUUGAAAAUGAUCAUUAGAGAAAACCAGUAAGUAUCAAGAAACAAGAUGUAAUUAAAUUGAUUGGACAGUUGAGAUAUCGAUUUAAUUAAUGAAGUGGUACAAAGGAUUGUGCAGUAAAGAAAUCAAUAUGGCUUGGGACGAAUUAUUAUUCGAGCAUACAAUUCUGGAAGUCAGUUCCAAUCUUUUAGUGGAGUAGAUUUGGAAUUAAAUAAUUGGGCUAGUUUAAUUACAAGCCUAAUUAUUGUAGCCACUAUUGUAUGUUCCCAAAUGAUCCCCGGGUUAGCUCAUUUAAUUGACUGCACCACUACUGGACUAAUAAGUAAGAUAACUAGCUAUUUGGGUCAAAAAGCCUAAAUAUAUCAUUUAGCGGGAGGCUCCAUUUAAUUAGCUUUUGUAUAAGGGGCCUUAUGUUAUUUUACAAGGUGGGUCCCCUAUAGAAAAAACAAAUAACGUGAGUUUUGUUUUUUGAUUAUUUGGAGCCUAGGGUUUUCACUAAAGGGUGAUAUAAAAGGCUUAUUUUCUCUAAAGAAAAAAAAGCAGCCACUUUAUACAGAUCAGGAGAAUAAGAUUUUUCUCUCUAUUGUUGAGAGAAAAAUUUUCUCGUGCUAGUUGCUUUGGUAGUGAUAAAGGCGCCCACACGUCAAGUGCAGAUUGAACUUGAGUCAUAACCUGGAAGAUCAUUGAUGACAGUUCGUGAUCUAACAAGCGUGGUGGUGACGGAUCGUGAUCUAACAUGAGUGGUGGUGGCGGAUCGUGAUCUAGGAGUCUAAAUCACUUCAACGGAAAAAGCCAAAUCGGAUUUUCAAGGUACGAUUUCUAGAUUACAAAUUCUUAUAUAUUAUAUGAGAGCGAUCUUCAAAAGGUUUUAUAAAAAAUUUAAAAACCUAAUUUUUCCCCAACAAAAUAUUCGUCAUCGAAAUCUUGUCAAAAGAAUCAGUUGUUGUUCGAACGAAGAUUUCAAAGCAUUAGUUUUAUAAUAUAUGCCCAAUAGAAGCUUGGAGGAUUGCCUGCAUUCUACCAAUUGUUCGUUAAAUAUUUUUGACAAGUUGAACAUAAUGAUAGAUGUUGCAUCGACUUUGGAAUAUCUCCACUUCAAUCAUUCAACUCCUGUCAUUCAUUGUGACUUAAAGCCCAAAAAUGUAUUGUUAGAUAAAAACAUGGUUGCUCAUUUCAGUGAUUUUGGAAUUGGAAGGCUCUUAACUGGAGAUCGAUCAAUGAUACAAACAGAAACACUUGUCACAAUUGGUUAUAUGGCACCAGGUUUGCUCUGAAAUAAUUUUUGUUUUUUGGGUUUUCAUUCAGACUUUCCAAAUUAUUAUUUUUCCAUGAUCCUUCUAUCCUAAUGUUAUUGAUUAUUUAUCUAAUGAUAAAAUCAAUUUGGUUGAUAGAAUAUGGCAUAGAAGGAUGAGUAUCUACAAGAAGUGAUGUUUAUAGUUAUGGAAUUAUGUUAAUAGAAACAUUUACUAGGAAGAAACCCACAGAUGAAAUGUUUACUACAGAAUUGGGCUUAAAACUUUGGGUUAACAACUUACUACCUACUUCAUUGAUGGAAGUUGUGGACAAAACUCUUUUAAGUAGGGAAGAAGAAGAUUUUGCUGCGAUGGAGCAACGUGUGUUAUCAAUCUUGAGUUUAGCCAUGGAGUACGUGAUGGAAAUGCCAGAAAAAAGGAUCGAUCCAAUAGAUAUUGUAACUAAACUAUUGAAAAUAAGAGACACAUUGAGUAAAAGGUUAGCAAAUUUAGGUUAACCUUAUUUCUUGGCAUUGAUACUUGAAUCAAUAUGUACUUAAUUUGAAUCAAUGUAUGAGUGUAAGAAUAUGAUAUAUUUUCUUUUAAUUUUUUUUCCUGAGAGAAAUGUCAUAGCUGCCUUGUUUCAAAUUAAUUUUAUACUUUUUUUUUCUUUUUCUAAGAUCAUGCCAAUGAGUUGUAGGAAGAUCAGCUACAAAUUCAAAGCCGGCUAAGGCAUUUGAAGAUGGAGAGAUUGUUAGUUUUUUUCCCAUUAAAAUUAACAUAUAUCACUUAUCCCAACUAUUUUCAUAAUACCUAAUAAGCUCUUGGCACCAUAACUUUACCAUAUAACCCUUAUUUUGAAAUACACUUUUAUUCAUAUUAAUAUUAAUUAAAUAAAUCAUAUGAGUUGAAAUUAAAAUUAAAAAAAUUAAAUACCAAAAAUAAGAAAUAUACGUUUUAGUGUGCUAAAAAAAUUAAUAUUAAAAUAUUUUUCCUGUACUUUUUAUUAUUUUGUGAAUAUUUUUCUUAUAAUAUAUAUAUAUAUAUAUAUUAUUCUCAAAAUAAUGUAUCAAGCAAAUGACUUUUUUCUCUUCUUUUUCUUUAACUUUUUUUGUGCUAGUAGAGUUUUUAGAUAUUAUAAAAACAAUAAAAGAAUAAGUGAUAUAUAUUAAUUUCAGUUGGAAAUAACCGACAAUCCCCCUUUAAUUACGUGUCACACCCAACUUUUUUGCCAAUGUUGACAUUUGCCUAUAUCAGGUUUUUGAUGUGUACAGUGCAGGUUCAACUUAAGCCAUAAAUAAAACAACUUGAGAGAGCAAAAGAAUUGCAAGUUCUUGAUUUCAAAUCUCCAAGCAUAGGAAGCCAAAGCAUCUGCUUCUUUUGGGCAUGCUGCAAAUGAUGGUUCUAGUUCGAAUGUGACCUUUCAGUCAUCUCAAGGGCUAUUCAUUGGGGACAUCGACGUAACUUUACCCCACCUAGAGGUUUGAUAAUUGAUGGGUGUCGAAGCCAACAAAAAUAAAUUCUUAUUCUAAAUAAAUUGUGUAUAGUGAUUGAGCAGGGUUGUGUCCACAGAGAUCGGUAAUUAAUUAAAUCCUUUUGAAACAUAAAACGUAAAAUGGGGGAAUUGUUGACAAUAAUAAAAAUCAAAUUAAAAUAACAAGAAUGCAAAUUAAAGUUGUAACUCAAAUUGGAGAAAGCUCUGGUUGAAGGAAUUAACUCAGCUUGAUUCGACUACUGAUCAUUGAUUCAAAUAUAGAUUAUUAUUACUCAUGAAUAGACCGGUUAUAGCUACUGAGACCCUCUAAUAGCCAAUCUCUCCUUAACUAGUCGAUAACCAAGGUACGACCGUUGGUUAUUUCCCUAAUCAAUAGACAACCCUAGAUACGAUCAUAGGAUUUAAUCAAUUGACAGCCUGAAAAACCAGAGAGACCUAAAUCCUAAUCAACACAUAUGAUGAUUCAUUUAAAUUAGAUUAUUUAUUCUCACAACACAACUCUCUGCUAUGUUAUUUGUCACAAGCAUUAAAUUCUUCAUACGAUGAAUCCUUUAAUUGACAAUAGAUUAAGUUGAUAAUUAAAUAGUGGCCAAUUACCUAAUUAAUAAACAUAAUCAUGAAACUAAUUCAGAGAAUAAACAAAUACCCAAAAAGCAAUAAAACAAUUAAAGCACAAGAAAGAUCUCACAGUAGUGAUGAAUCAAAGCUUCAUUAUCCUUCAACCAGAAAAAUAGGUUUAGUUCUUCAUAGAGAGAAGAGAAAAAUUAAGAUCUAGGGUUUCUUUCUUUCUCCAAUCCCCAAAAUCCCCCCUUUUCACAAUAGAUUCCUCCCUUAAAUACUCUCUCUCUCUUCUCUUUUAGAAUUCUAUUUAAAAUAAAAUCCUAAUAUCUAAAAUAUUAAAUUCGUAAUUACAAAAAUAGCCAAAAAUAUAAAACACGUUAAACUAAAAACUGCAGGUUCGCAGUUGACAGCACGCGCCCACGCCUUAUCAACAAAGUUCUUCUGCCGCUCAUAAUUUCUCCAAGGGAACAAUCAUCCCUAAACAUCAUCUUGUAGCUCAAUUUUAUCACCAAUCAAUAGAAUUGCACCUACAAAAGUAAAUCACAAGUAAAUCACUAUUAUUAAGUGCAAAACAUCGAUAUUAAAGGAAGUAAACAAUGCAAAACUAGUGUAUAAAUUGCACUCUAACAAAUUCCCCCACACCAAGAUGAUGCUUGUCCUCAAGCAUAUAACUCAAGAUUAAUCCCAAAUCUCCACUCAAUUCUCAUCUCAACUCAUCCAAAAACAAUUUUAAGCAAGCAUACCUCAAGAAAUUAAGUCGAUCAACAUUUGAGAGAUAAGGAUUUUAAAGCAUAGAAUUUCAUAAGAUAGAAUAAGAACAUUCAACCACCAAGAAGAUCCAUUCAAAAUUCAAGUGCAGCAAGAUUUAAUAGCCCUCUCAAUAACUUCACUCCAUGCACUCAAAGUGUUUAGGGUGUCAUUUAUCCACUCAAAUCAAAUCAAAGAAUGUCAUUACCAUAAGCUUGCUCAUAUAUCACAUCUCAAUCCACAAAACAUGAAUAAAAUGCAAAAAUCUAAGGGUCUUAAAAGGGUUGUAAUGGGGUAAAAUGGGUGAAAUGAAAAAGAAAGGUUUAUGAAAGAAAAAGAGAUCAAAAUGAGAAGAAUGAACUCAUUGAAUGAACUUAUGAUAUCAAAAUGCUUAUUUCUACUCAAGUCACCAAGAAUGUAAACAUUUUUUUUUUCGAUUUUUUUUCUUCGAUUUUCUUUUUCUUUUUUUUCUUUUUCCUUUUCUUUUUCUUUCUUUUUUCAUUUUUUUCAUUUUUUUUUUGUUUUUUUUUUCGAAUCAAACAAAAGAAACGAACCUUGCACAAUUUAAUUCAAGCAUAAUGCUUGUUGAUCUAAUUGAGAAACUUCAAUAUAAGGUAGAAAAAGCAACAAAAUAUAUCCAUAUAAUGAGUCCAAAAAUCUCCUUAAAUUGAGGCUCAAAAAAAGAAGAAAAAUGGUUAAGUAGACGGAGAGAAUUAGAUGGGUAAUGGUUAAGGCUCAAACAAAGGUAGCAAAUAAAGGUCUUCGGGUAGAGAAAAAGGAAAAUGCGAGAAUAGAAAAAUGGUAAAUGGUUUGCCCUUAUCAUUUUAAUGCAUAAAAUCCCGUAAUGUGGCUUCAACAUGCAUAACAAAGCAAGUUCUAGAAUAAACAAACUAGGAUUGAUAUUCACAUAACAAAAAAAAAAAUAAUUAGAGCAAAGUGGUUGCUCAUAGGCUCAAAUCCUCACAAAAUUGGUAAAUUUGCCAUCAAAUCAUGUACACUCUUCAAAUGAAUCAACCAUCAAUAGUGGUGUAGAAUGAGAAGAAGGUAUGAGUGAGAUAUAAAAGGAAAGGUAAAAAGGAUAAUAAGCGAGAAAGAUGUAUGUAGUAAUAUGAAAAGUGAAAGAUAAAAUGUGAGUGAUGAAAGAGUAUGGUAAAAUAAAAAUAGACAUGAAUAAUUUGAGAUAGAUGGGAAAAAAGUAGUGAGAAGGAAAAGAAAAGAAAAAUAAUAAUAUAUGAAGCAUACUAACUCCAAAAUCAUUUAAGGAUGAGUAGAGUGAAAAUAGAUUAGUAGAGUGAAAACAAUAAUUCCAGACAUCAAUAAUGCAAAAAUCCCUCCCCCAUACCAAGAACUUACAUUGUCCCUAAUGUAAGAUAAUCAAAGCUCACAUAAAAGUUAAAGCGUAACGAUAAAAGAUUAAGGGCAAAAAGAAACUUUCCUGAAUUGUGAGCUUUGAUCCACAUAACGUCUAUGGGCUUGGCGGAAAUGGUGGGGUAAAUCCCACACUCUCGAAGUAUGCGGCCAAAUUCUGCUCCAUCUUGUUCAGCUUGUGCUCUAUUUUCUCUAACUGAAUGCUCAAAGGUGGUGCAGAUGUAGAAUGAAUAGUUGGCGGGGCAGCAAUGUCGUCGUCAAACUCAUCAUCAGAGGUAGCACCACUCCUAGCAUAAAGCUUCUUCGGAAGUUGAGUGGGUCCUGGUUCAGUAAACUGAAAUCUUCCCUCCUUGAAUUCAACCACACCUGUUCUUUCAAACACAGACAUAUCCAAAAAUUCCUCUCUUUCUCUUGUUGAGUCGCGAACGCGAGGCACCCUCCGAGAUUGGAUUCCGCAAGUGGCAAAACACUCAUGCCUUUUCCAUGCUUCGAUCUUUGUCUCACGGCUUUCAAUUUACCCGGCUGGAAUACAGGGCGUAGGCUGGUUGCGUUGCGUUGCUGCUCGGUUUGGGGCUAGUUACGCACUGCUGCUGCGUGGCUGUGUUGCGCGCAAGAGCUGGUUCGCGCUGCUGGUCUGCUGCUGCUCGGCUAUGUUGCACGCGCGGGACUGAUGCGCUGCGGGAUGGUGCUGGCUGGAUUGAUUUAGGCUGCGCGCGCGGGCUGGAGCUGAGAAUCUGCGUUGCUGGGGCUUGCGUUGCGGGUCUGUUGCGUGCUGCUCGUCUGCGUUGCGCGUGCGGAAUGGUGGUCGAUGCUGGUGCUGCGCGCGCGGGGCUUGCUUUGCGCGCUGUUGGGCUGCGAGAUGCAGGAUAGUGCUCGAUGCUUGCUAGUUCAGGCGGGCUGGUUUGCGUUGCAGGUGGGACUGAUGCGGUUGCAGCUGGUUCUGCGCGCUGGAGCUAAGGGUUGCUGCGGGAAAACGAAAAUCAACAAUGAAUUUUUUUGAAUUAGGGAUUUGUGAACAGUGAUUUUUGAUUUUUGGUUUUUUUUUUCGUUUUUUUAAAUAAAUAAAUAAAUAAAUAUAUAUAUAUAUAAGAAAGAAAAGAAGGGAAAAAAAACUUUUUUUUUCAUUUUUUUUAUAAAUAAAUAAAAAAUAUAUAUAAGAAAGAAAAUAAGGAGAAAAAAAGAAAACUCCUUUUUUUUCUUUUUUUUUUCUUUUUUUUAGUGAUGAAUCACUUUGAGACACUAAAAAUUUCAGAAGUACUUUUCUAAUAAGCACGUGGGCACGCCUUAAAACUAUUUUACUUUAAAAAUUACAGAAGUACUUAUUAGUUAAGACGUGGGCACGCCUUAUCAAAAAUUUUCUUCUGAUCAAAAUAAACAAACACAUUAUUAUAAAAAAAAAUCUGAAUCAAAAUUAAAAGAAGAUAUAACAAAAACCAAAAUAAACAAAUCAUUUGGGUUGCCUCCCAAAGAGCGCCUUUAUUUUAUGUCUUUGGCUAGACACAUUUAUGCAUCAAUCUCCAUAAUUGGGACUCUCGAGAGCCACAUCCUCCACAAUAUUCACCGAAAAACCUUCAUAAAAAGGUUUUAAGUGAUGACCGUUAACCUUAAAAACUUUGUCAGAGGUCGAACUCCGAAUCUCAACAGCACCAUGAGGAAAAACAUUAGUAACAAUAAAAGGUCCAACCCAGCAAGAUCGUAAUUUACUUGGAAAAAGUUUAAGCUUAGAAUGAAAAAGAAGAACUUUUUGACCAACAGAGAACUCCUUUCUCAAAAUCAUUCUAUCAUGAAAUGUUGUUAGAGUGCAAUUUAUGCACUAGUUUUGCAUUGUUUACUUCCCUUAAUAUCGAUGUUUUGCACUUAAUAAUAGUGAUUUACUUGUGAUUUACUUUUGUAGGUGCAAUUCUAUUGAUUGGUGAUAAAAUUCAUCCCUAAACAUCAUCUUGUAGCUCAAUUUUAUCACCAAUCAAUAGAAUUGCACCUACAAAAGUAAAUCACAAGUAAAUCACUAUUAUUAAGUGCAAAACAUCGAUAUUAAGGGAAGUAAACAAUGCAAAACUAGUGCAUAAAUUGCACUCUAACAAUAAUCCAACUUUCUCAAUGGAUUUGUCUAAUACAUUCAAUUUAUUUUUAUUCUGUACAUGUUUGGUUAAUUAUCUUGGUCUGUUAAGUUUAAGUCCAGUUGCAAGUCCCAUUUGGUUACGCAUUGUGUUCGUGUUGCUACUCAAUCCUUCAUAAAAUAGUUUAAGGUUUGGAAGUUAACUACUUUUAUUGAUUUCGUAUGACUUUUUGCUAGUUUAUCACUCACGGCAUAUAAUUAAUCAAUUCUUCCAGGCGUACCAUGACAUCUAGGACCAUAAGCAUUUGUGUGUUAAUGUAUUAAACUGAUCACUUAGAUCAAAUUUCAAUUUGGACUUGAAUUGCAGUUUUAGUGUCCUAUAUGAUUGGUCUUUCUCAAUUUUACCAAACAUAUGUUCGUUCUGAAAAUAUUAAAGUGGAUUUGAUAGUUUAAACAAUUUGAGGUUGGAUUUUGGCAGUUUGAAGUUGUAUAUUCUGGUACCAAUCAAGACAAGGAAGUGGAUGCCGAGUUUGAAACAACGAGUAGACAUCUGAAAGUCACGCCACAUUGGAUGAUCACACAAAAAUUGGACCUUACAGAGGAACAACACGGACAAAUUAAGCAGGAGCUGGAAAUGUAUAAAAUUUGAGCAGCUGUAGGAUCCAUAAAUGCAAAGAAUCAACCGGAUUAUUCGAACGAACGUACCUCUAAUGGUCUUUUUGGAAUGUCAACCAGUCAUGAAGUCCAAACGCGAAGUGGACGAGGAGGAGGCUGAUACUAAUUCUAGAAACUUCAAGAGCUUUCACUCCCAUGCCUUUUGAAUGUCUUUCUUGCUUCAGAAUUCAAAUGCAAGCUUUCCCUCUCAGUAUUUCUUCGUUGAGACAUUUUCUCGAACAGUUUUAUACUUAUGUCAAACAUCUUCUGAUAUAACUAGGAAGCCAGUAAGAUUGUUUUUCAAGUACGCUAAGCGGAAACAGUAGGCAAGGCCUUUGUCAUUAUAUCUGCCACUUGAUUUUUUCUGCCCACAUUCUUCUUAUUCAAUUCGUUUGUUCCAAUUUUGUCCCUAAUGAAGUGGUCUUAUAUCUCUAUACACUUUGCUCUUCCAUGAAAGACUAGAUUCUCUGCAAGUGCUAUUGCACUCUUGUUGUCACAUCACAACAGAGGAAUAAUUAAACAUACAAGGAUCUUAACCAGCUGAUCAUUUCUGCCGCUACAUGAGACAGGGCUCUGUAUUAUACUUUUGUACUUGAUUUUGAGACCACCUUUUGAUUCUUGGAGCUACAUGAGAUCAGAUUUCUUGCGGGGUAAAAAUAUUCAUGAAAACCCUCAAGUAUUUAUGACAUUUAAAUAAAAAUAGAGUUUGAUUUUUCUUUCAAGUAUGUUCCUACAUUAAUAUCUACUUAAAAACUGACAAUAUCAUUUAAAAAAAAUUAUUCUUCCACCUUUAAAAUUCAAUAUUAAAGAGUAAUUUGUCAUUUUUAAUUAGAGUUAGAGGCUUGUUUUAUUAUAUAUAUAAAAUCAUUCUCAGAUGCAAUAGUCCUCAUUUUUUUGUGCAGAUACACUAUUAAACCACGCAGUUCAAAAGUUAAUUAAAAUGAAUGGUUUAACAGUGUGUUUAUAUAAAAAAAAAUAAUAAUAAGGGCCUCGACAUUAGAGAUUAUAUAUAUUAUUCUAAUUAGGGAUCCCUAACCAUAUUAAAGUCAGGGGACAAGUUAAAAAAUAAAAAAUAAAAAUUUCAAUGUAUUUUGUCAUAUAAUGUAUUGAAAUCUGUAUUUUCUUUUGUCUUUUAUGCUGUGUUUACUUUUUGGAUUGGAGUGGGAAUCUUGAGAAGUGGAAAUCCUUGGAUUAGGAGUGUGGAGUGGGAGUGGGAGUAGGGUGUUUACUUAGACUAAAUGAAAGUAUGGAUUGUCAAUCAGAAUCCCAAUUAUUUGUUUACUUUGUCUUGGAUUGACAGUAAAUUGUUUUAAAUUAUAAUUUUAUCCUUAUGUAUAGAAUUAUAAUUUGUAAUUAAAAAAUUAAUAAAAAAUAUAUUUGGAAAAUAAAAUAAAUAUUUUAUUAUAUUUAUAAAUUAAUAAUAAUUACUAAUAUUCUUAAUUAUGUAAAUCAUAAUUUUUUAUUAAUUUUAAUUUAAAUUAUGUGAAUAAAAAUUAUUAAUAAUAGCAACACAAAUGAAAUAUUAUUAUUGAUAAUAUAGUACAAAAUUAAUAUUUUUUUAGAAUAAAAUAUUUAUUAUUAUUAAAUAAAUAAUUAAUAUUUAUUAAAAUUAAUUUUUAAUAUUAUUAAUUUAAAUAUAAUAUUUAUUUAUUUUUAUUUUAUUAAAUUUAAUAAAAUAAAUAUGAUAUAAUUAUUAUUUUUAAUAAAUAUUAUUUAUUUAUUUUAUUAAAUAUUAUUUAUUUUAUUUAUAAGGAUAAAAUGGGAAGAGGGGGGAGGGGAUUCCCACUCUCACCUCCCCCCAUGGGAGUGGGAAUCCCACUUCCCACUCCAAAAUUGGGUGGGACUCACAGAUUCCCACUCCCACUCCCCCCUUGUUUAAGGUAAGUAAACACUGGAGUGGGAGGAAUCCACACUCCACACUCCCACUCCAAAAAAUAAACACUGCCUUAGUUUAUCCCUAUUUUAAUAUGGUUGAAGAUUCGUAAUUAGAAACCCACUCUAAUUAUCUAUGUAUUUACUAUUUUUAAUACAUUCGCACAAAUAUUUAUAUACAAUAAAUGUAUUACUUAGCCCUGCCUGAUAAAAGAUCCCGGGUCCGGCUCUGAAGGAAGAUGCAAUAUCCUCCUGCUGACGCUUCAUUAACCUUUUUCCUUUCAUUUUAAACUUUCUGAAUUAUUGCCUUUCGUAAUUCUCAUAUCAUGCAUUGAGUAUUUAUCUAACUAUGAAAUUAAUUUGAUUAAUAGAGUAUGUUAUAGAAGGACGGGUAUCUAUUAAAAGUGAUGUUGUCGCGGAAUUGAGCUUGAAGUGUUGGAUUAAUGACUUGUUACCUAUUUCAUUGAUGGAAUUGUUGUGGACAUAAAUCUGCUAAGUGGAGAGGAAAGACAUUUUUGCUGUAAAGAAGCAAUGUGUGCUGUCUAUGGGAGCUGUAAUGAGUGGACUCUUCAACAAUGUACAAUAUUAUACAGUAUAUACAAAGACACACUAUCACACUAAAAAAUCUUGAGUUGACUCCUUAAUUUAUUUCAUCAAUCCCCACUUUUGAGUUAAUAUUAUUUAUCUUAAGAUUGUCCUUAAUGAAAAAUAAAAAUAAUUAAAAAAAUAAAUAUUUUUUCAUUCUAUCAAGUUCUUAGUAGAUUAAAUUCUUAUCUCUCACAAUUCUCUCAUCUUUUAAUUUAUUCAUAAUUUGAAUCAAAUAUUAACUCUUGAUCAAACCCCAAAUUAAAAUAAACAAAAUAUUAGAUUAUCACGUAAAAUCAAAACCAGUAUUAUCAAUAACAACAAAAAUCACCGCUUAUCCAUUAAAUUUAACAAAAACCAACAUUUAAAUUCAUCAAAUAUUGGCAGAGGUAGUGGAUUCAAGGUGAAGAAAAUAGAUGAUGGGAACGAACUCGUUGUUGAUGAAGUGGUGGGGGUGAUAAUUAUAUACGAGGGAGGGGAAGGUAGAGACAGAAUAAAAUAAUUUUUUUUUUGUUUCAAUAGAGAUAAUUCUACAAAAUAAUAAGAUUAAUUGAUAAGCGGGGUUGAUGAGAUAAUUUGAGGGGUUCAAAUAUCAUUACUCAUAUCCAUUUACAUGAAGCUAAUUAAAAAUAGUGAAGUAAUUAAAUACGCUAAUCAUACACAGCUGCCAUGUUAACUAUUAAAACAGCCUAAUGAGCUUAGCCUCAGUUUGAUCCUCUCCGUUGAUCUGCCAUUCCUAUCAUCACUACUUGCCACCUCGCAUUGUAUCAAAUCUCUUCUGUGUCCUCAUUGUACCCUCUCUUCGUAACACAUAAGCAGAAUCUAUUCUUGUACCAAAUUACCAAAUUACCACAAAACUGUUAGAGAGUCGGUGUGAUUUACUUACUGUUAAAUAAUAAAGAGAGUAAUUUUCUUUUUUUAAAUUUGAAUCUACCCGCCACUUCCAAGACAGAGAAAGCGUCGUCGUUUUAUGAUGGCUCCAUCAUCAUUUCCAUCUCCUCUCGAACGCACUGUCGCUUCAGCUCUUCUCCUGCUCUCCGUCUCCAAUCAAUCUCCCUCUCUCUCUUCCCCACUGUAAGACCUUCAUUAUUUCACUCUCAAAACUGUUUUUGUUUCUUAUUUGUUUUUCCUUAUUGAUUUGUUUGAUGUUUGUUUAAUGCAACGUGUAGGUUCGACACAGAUGGUGAAUUACUGCUGAAGAGCAAGAGCAGCAGCCGGGACGAAGAGAGCGUGAGCUUACUGUCGAGUGGAGAUUCAAAACGGUGCGUUUCGACGGUUACUAGUGAAGAUGCCUCCUCCAGUGAGAUCCGAGCUCACAAGCUGAGGAUCAUCGCUGUUGUGGCUCGCUGUCAUGAAGUGAAACUCAAGGUACAUGUUCUUCUGUUUGGUUUAAUAUAUAUGAUUAUGUAAAUGGUUUCGUAGUUCUUAGUUUGAAUUUGAUCUGAAAUUUUUUGUUUGAUAAUAAAAUGAAAUCACAUCUCUGUUUUCUACUUCGUAAACAGUCAUCUCUUCGGAAUCAAUUUUUUUGUUGUUCGUGUUGAAUUUUAUCAAAAGUGAUCAUUAAAACUUGUUUUUCUCAAAUUUAUGUUUGAUCUCUCAGUUUUUUUUUUUUUCUCGACUCUUCAAUUCAAUUUCACUGGAAAUUUACUAGAAGAUUCAAAUUCUGCUCUGUUUGGACCUGUUUCGUUUUGAAUUCUCGUAAUCAUUUGAAGGCUCAAGCUACUUAAAUUUUGUUAAAACUGUAGAACCUGAAGGGCACUUCAGUUGCUCAAACACCUUCAGCCUCUGCCCAAGAUUCAAGAUCAGAUUCCUAGAUGCUUGACUAUAGAUGACUUGAAAAAGGUUUAACCAAGAACUUCAAGUGAACAGAACAAUCAAUGGUUUAAGAAUCAAAGAAUCGAAAGAAACUAAAGAAUAAAGAACAGAAGAGAUUUAACGUGGUUCAGCUAAAACACUUAGCUUACAUCCACGGAGGAACAAGACUUCAGGCUUUUAUUGAAUGAACUCAAGAUUACAGAGAAUUACAGAUUGUAUCUCAUGGAAAAUUACCACCCUUAAACCCAGGAGUAACCCCCCUUUUAUACUCAUAAAUUGUAGCCAACUCUCUGCACCAGAAUCAGCUCCUUUUCAGUUGCUGAUAACUUCCUGGAAACUAAUCCCAGAUGCUCACGUGCAAGCCAUGCUUCAUUAACGACUUUAACCGCUUCUUUCAUUCGAAUCCAUUCACGUGAGUCUCAGGUGUUUCACUUAAGUCAAACGACAUUCCAAGACAUCGUUUCACUUAGCUUUGGUUUACACUCCGAAACGCACUCCCUCAAGUCGUUUUGAAUGUCACUGAAUUGCUUUCACUGGUUACUUUACAAAUCUCCACCUUGAAACAAUUCAUCCCUGUCAAUCUUUCUCCUCAACUUCAUGCAAGUUACAAACUGCAUAUUUCAGCUAUGUCCAAGCAGGUCUUAAACUUAGCUGAGGGUACCACCUUUGUAAGCAUAUCUGCAGGGUUGUUGCUGGUAUGUAUUUUUACCAUUUUUACAACUCCUUUUGAUAUUACAUUCCUUAUGAAAUGCAACUUAAUGUCGAUAUGCUUGGUCUUCUCAUGAUGAGCUGGAUUUUUGCUCAAGUAAAUGGCACUUGAGCUGUCACAGUGAAUAUCAACAACCUUCUGAGGUAUUCCUAACUCACUGAUUAAGCCUUUAAGCCAUAAAGCCUCCUUUACAGCUUCUGAGACUGCAGUAUACUCAGCCUCUGUAGUUGAUAAAGCCACUACAUGUUGCAAGCUUGCUUUCCAGCUUAUCAGACAUCCAUUCAACAUGAACAUGUAUCCAGUUUGUGACCUCCUUCUGUCCAGAUCUCCAGCAUAAUCAGAGUCAACAUAGCCCCAUAAACCAGCUUCAUUUAACUCUUGAUUCUUUCCAUAUAGCAACCCAAACUCCAAAGUUCCAUUUAGGUAUCUCAGCACCCAUUUAGCUGCCUUCCAAUGCUCUUUUCCAGGUGAAGCCAUAUACCUGCUUAUCAAGCUUAGAGCAUGUGAAAUAUAUGGUCUUGUGAGGACCAUUGCAUACAUCAUACACCCUACUGCAUUGGCAUAGGGUACCUUAGACAUCUCUUGCCUUUCUUCACUUGACUUUGGACACUGCUGGUUUGAGAGUUUAAAAUGAGAGGCUAGAGGUGUUAUCACUGGUUUACAGUUGCUCAUUCCAAAGGUAUUAAGUACUUUUUCCAAGUACUUCUUCUGAGACAAAAACAUAGUUCCCUUCCUUCAGUCUCUUGUUAUUUCUAUUCCCAAAAUCUUCUUGGCAUGACCCAGAUCCUUCAUAUCAAACUCAGAGUUCAGCAUCUAUUUUAAGGCUUCAACUUCUUUCCUCACUUUACAAGCAAUCAACAUAUCAUCAACAUAUAGUAGCAAGUAUAUGUGAUGAUCUGAAUCUAUUUGCUUGUAGUAUACACAACAAUCAAAAUUGCACCUCAUAAAUCCAUGUGAAAUCAUGAAUUCAUCAAACCUGAGGUACCAUUGCCUUGGGGACUGCUUUAAGCCAUACAAUGACUUCUUCAGCAAGCACACAUGGUCAGGGUAUUUAGAGCUUUCAAAACCUUCAGGUUGAGUCAUUAAAAUCUCCUCCUGUAGUCUCCCAUGUAAGAAAGCUGUUUUAACAUCAAGUUGAUCAAGCUCCAUGUCAUAUACAGCUGUUAGAGCUAACAAAACUCUUAUGGAAACAUGUCUGACCACUGGAGAGAAGACUUCCUUAAAAUCAACUCCUUCCUGCUGUGUAUAUCCCUUUGCUACUAACCUAGCUUUGAAUCUCCUAGGUUCAUCAGUUGUCGGCCCUUCUUUUACCUUGAAAAUCAAUUUGCACCCCACAAUCCUUCUUUUCUCAGGUUUCUUUACCAAUUCCCAGGUGUUGUUCUUGUACAGUGAGUCCAUUUAAUCUUCCAUAGUCCUCUGCCACUCUGAUUUAUAUGAACUCUUCAUAGCCUCUCUAUAGCUUGUUGGCUCAUUUUCCUCAAUCUCAUGUGAUGCUGCCAGUGCAUAUGCAAUGAGGUCUGCAUAACCAUAUCUUUGUGGAGGUCUUAUCUGUCUUCUCUCUCUAUCUUUGACCAGGUGAUAGUCUCUAAGUUGGGUUUGAGUGUGCUGUUGAGAUUGUGGCUCAGUGUUUCCACUACUGUCAUCUUUAUCUCCAUUAGAAUCUAUAGCUUCUUGUGAGGAUUUUAGAUUUGGAUGCUCCACCUCAAAAUGUAUACUCUCUGGAGUUUUAGUCUGAGGUUUAGUACCAUUUUCUUGUAGCUUUUUCUUGAGCACAGUCUCUUCAUUAAAGAUCACAUCCCUGCUGAUGAUGCACCUUGGUGGGGAUAGGUCUGUGCACCAUAACUUGUAACCCUUUACACCCUCUGGAUACCCGAUAAACUUCCCUUUCAGAGCUCUUGGAGAUAACUUCCCUUGCUUUACAUGUGCAUAAGCAUCACAUCCAAAAGCCUUAAGCUCUAUAUAGUUACCAGGUUUUCCAGACCACAUUUCUGAUGGUGUUUUAAAGUCAAUUGCAGCAGAUGGGCUAAGGUUCACCAAAAAACAGGCAGUCAGCAAGGUUUCUGCCCAUAGCCCUUUAGGAAGUUGGGACUGUAUCAUCAUGCAUCUGACUUUAUCCAUUAAAGUCCUGUUCAUCCUUUCAGCUAGGCCAUUUUGCUAUGGGGUUAACCUUACUAUUCUAUGUCUUGCAAUCCCUUCAUUUGCACAGAAACUGUCAAACUCUUGAUUACAAUACUCAAGGCCAUUGUCUGUUCUUAGUUUCUUAACCCUUUUCUCAGUUUGAUUUUCAACCAAUGCUUUCCACUCUUUAAAUUUCCCAAACACCUGAUCUUUACUUUUCAGCACAUACACCCACACUCUCCUAGAGUAGUCAUCUAUCAUUGUCAUAAAAUAUCUAUUUCCACCCAAAGAUGGAACCUGAGAAGGUCCCCAUAAGUCUGAAUGUAUAUAUUGCAGAAUCUCAGAUGUCUUAUGUAUAGAUUUCUUGAAGUUAUUCCUAGUGGAUUUACCUAGAAUGCAUUCUUCACAGAACACUAGCUCCCCAAUCUUAUCUUUCCCCAGAACACUCUGCUUAUUAAGUUCUUUCAGGCCUUUAAUACUCAUAUGCCCAAGUCUUAAGUGCCAUAGAGUAGUUUUAUCUAUGUCAGUGCUUUCAAUGGCAUUAGAGACCCCUGUUACAGACUCCCCAUCUAAGACAUAAACCCCAUUCUUUCUGGUCCCUUUCAUAACCAGUGCAGAUCUAUUAAGAAUCUUCAAUUCACCUGAUUCAAGCUUAAUGCUACAUCCCAUUUGAUCUAUCAUUCCUAAAGAAAUCAAAUUCCUUUUAAGUUCUGGAACAUGCCUAACUUGUCUGAUUUCUUUUACAGACCCAUCAUGUACCUUAAGAUGAAUUUUACCAAUCCCAAUGAUUUUACACACUGAAUUAUUACCCAUCAUUACUCUUCCUCCAUCAAAGUCUUGAUAAUUAGAAAAAUAACCCUUAUAUGGACUCAUAUAAAAUGUGCAACUAGAGUCAAGAAUCCACUUACCCUUUUGCAUAUCCUCAGUAGCAACACACACACCUGCUGACUCAUAGCCAUCUUCUUCUUCUUCAGCUGUAGCUGCAUUCCCAACCCUCUCCUUAUUCUUGUGCUUUAAGUCUGGGCAAUCCUUCUUGAAAUGUCCUUCCUUAUGGCAAUGGAAACAUUUCAAGUCUUUUGGCUUGGUCUUGGAUUUGGACUGCUUCUGAUUCUUUGCUGCAUUCUUAUUCUUUUCAAACUUCCCCUUUACUGUUAACCCAACUCCACUUUCUAUACUCACAGACUUUUGUUGCAACCCUCUAGUAUUUAAGGCUGCAUUUACCUCAUCCAGGGACAGUGUCUGCCUCCCAUACAUUAGGGCAUCCACAAAAUUAGAGUAUGAUUGUGGAAGUGAGCUUACCAAGAGCAGAGCUUUACUUUCAUCACUGAGGCUUUCAUCAAUUGUCUCCAGGGUGUCACACACUCUAUUGAAUUCAUCUAUAUGAUCAUCAAGAGAGGAUCCCUCUGCCAUCUUUAGAGUAAACAUCCUUUUCUUUAUAUGCAAUCUGUUGGUGUUAGAGUGCAAUUUAUGCACUAGUUUUGCAUUGUUUACUUCCCUUAAUAUCGAUGUUUUGCACUUAAUAAUAGUGAUUUACUUGUGAUUUACUUUUGUAGGAGCAAUUCUAUUGAUUGGUGAUAAAAUUGAGCUACAAGAUGAUGUUUAGGGAUGAUUGUUCCCUUGGAGAAAUUAUGAGCGGCAGAAGAACUUUGUUGAUAAGGCGUGGGCGCGUGCUGUCAGCUGCGGACCUACAUUUUUAGUUUAACGUGUUUUAUAUUUUUGGUUAUUUUUGUAAUUACGAAUUUAAUAUUUCAUAUAUUAGUAUUUUAUUUUAAAUAGAAUUCUAGAGGAGAAGAGAGAGAGAAUAUUUAACGGAGGAAUCUAUUGUGAAAAAGAGGGAUUUUUUGGGGGAUUGGAGAAAAAGAAAAAAACCCUAGAUUUAAUUUUCCUCUUCUCUCUAUGAAGAACUAAACCUAUUUUUCUGGUUGAAGGAUAAUGAAGCUUUGAUUCAUCACUACUGUGAGAUCUUUCUUGUGCUUUAAUUGUUUUAUUACUUUUUGGGUAUUUGUUUAUUCUCUGAAUUAUUUUUAUGAUUAUGUUUGUUAAUUAGGUAAUUGGCCACUAUUUAAUUAUCAACUUAAUCUAUUGUCAAUUAAAGGAUUCAUCGUAUGGAGAAUUUAAUGUUGGUGACAAAUAACAUAGCAGAGAGUUGUGUUGUGAGAAUAAACAAUCUAAUUUAAAUGAAUCAUCAUAUGUGUUGAUUAGGAUUUGGGUCUCUCUGGUUUUUCAGGCUGUCAAUUGAUUAAAUCCUAUGAUCGUAUCUAGGGUUGUCUAUUGAUUAGGGAAAUAACCAACGGUCGUACCUUGGUUAUCGACUAGUUAAGGAGAGAUUGGCUAUUAGAGGGUCUCAGUAGCUAUAACCGGUCUAUUCAUAAGUAAUAAUAAUCUAUAUUUGAAUCAAUGAUCAGUAGUCGAAUCAAGCUGAGUUAAUUCCUUCAACCAGAGCUUUCUCCAAUUUGAAUUACAACUUUAAUUUGCAUUCUUGUUAUUUUAAUUUGAUUUUAUUAUUGUCAACAAUUCCCCCAUUUUACGUUUUACGUUUCAAAAGGAUUUAAAUAAUUACCGAUCUCUGUGGACACGACCCUGCUCAAUCACUAUACACAAUUUAUUUAGAGUAUGAAUUUAUUUUUGUUGGCUUCGACACCCAUCAAAUUUUGGCGCUGUUGCCGGGGAUUGGUGUCAUUUAUUUAAUCCUUUUUACGUUUUACUUGGUGUAUGGUUCGUUCUUCUCGUACAGGUACACUUUCGUUUGAUCCUGAAAUUGAGAAGACAGCUUGCCAGCUGAGACAGCAGACUAAGCAAGCUAAGCAACGAUCCUCGUCGCCUUUGCUUUUUGAAACAGAUACGGUGCCUAAUUUAGUUGAAUCAUCUAGCGAUUCGGAAGAACAAGUGAUGGAUAGACCUGCACCUGUAGAAAGAACUCUUAGAGAGUUAGCUGAACCAGACUUGAAUCAGCAACCACUCUGCAUUCAUUAUGUAGAUUUGGAGGUAAAUUUUGAAUUAAAGUCUGGUCUUAUUCAUUUAUUACCCAAGUUUCAUGGUUUUGCAGGUGAAGAUCCUCAUAAACAUCUUAACGAGUUUCAUGUUGUGUGUUCAAGUAUGAGACCACAAGGCGUGACUGAAGAGCAUAUUAAGCUGCGUGCUUUUCCGUUCUCUGUAGAUGGGCUAGCUAAAGACUGGUUGUACUACUUGCCUCCUGGAUCGAUUACAACGUGGAAUGAUUUAAAGAAGCAGUUCCUCGAGAAGUACUUUCCUGCUUCAAGAGCUGCUAACAUCAGAAAAGACAUUUGUGGGAUCAGACAACUUCCUGGGGAGACUUUGUAUGAGUAUUGGGAGCGAUUCAAACAAUUGUGUGCCAGCUGUCCUCAGCAUCAGAUUUCUCAUCAACUUCUUAUUCAAUAUUUUUACGAAGGAUUGUCAUUGAUGGAUAGGAGUAUGAUAGAUGCUGCUAGUGGAGGCAUGUUGGUGAACAAGACCCCUAGUCAAGCAAGGGAGUUGAUAUCAAAUAUGGCUGCCAAUGCACAACAAUUUGGCAGCAGGCAAGAUCUCACUUCAAGGAAGGUGAAUGAGGUAAAUAUUUCUUCUGUUGAACAACGUUUAGAUAAACUUACUUCUCUUGUGGAAAAGUUUGUUGUAGGUAAUGUGCAACAGGUGAAGACUUGUGGCAUUUGUUACAAUAUGGAUCAUUCAACUGAUAUGUGUCCUACACUUCAAGAAGAACUCAUUGAACAAGCCAAUGCAGUUGGAGGAUUUCCAGGCAUGCCUCAGAGGAGGUAUGAUCCUUAUGCACAAACAUACAAUCUGGGAUGGAAGGAUCAUCCCAACUUCAGCUAUGGAGUUAAGCCGUCAGGAUUCCCACAACAGUAUCCACCAAGACAACCAACACCUCCACAGUCAAACUCCAAGUCAGGUAUAUCUCUUGAAGAAAUUGUUAAAUCACUUGCGACUAACACUCAACAAUUUCAGCAGGCAACUACAGCAAGCAUUCAAAACUUGGAUAACCAAAUGAGUCAAUUGGCGACUACAGUGAGCCGUCUGGAGUCUCAAGUAUGAGGGAGAUUGCCUUCACAAUCUGAGGUGAAUCCAAAGCAAAACGUUAGUGCUGUCAUCCUUAGAAGUGGGAAGGAGUUGCAAGAGCCUAGUAAGAAAGUGAAAAAGUAUGUAGAAGAUGAGUUUGAGAAGAAUGAAUUGAUGCCUCAAUCUCAAGAUGCGGAACCCACCAGAGCGAAACCCCUACCUAUUGUGAUACCUCCUCCUUUUCCAAGCCGGUUUGCAAAAUCCAAAAAGGAGGAACAAGAGAAAGAUAUCCUUGAGACAUUUCGCAAGGUUGAGGUAAAUAUCCCUUUAUUAGAUGCUAUAAAACAAAUACCUCGAUAUGCUAAAGUCCUUAAGGAACUGUGCACCUCUAAGAGAAAAUUAAGAGGAGAUGAAAAAGUUCACAUGGGGGAGAAUGUUUCAGCAGUUCUCCAAAAGAAACUACCUCCUAAAUGCAAGGAUCCAGGUAUGUUUACUAUACCUUGUAAAAUUGGUAGUGUUAGAAUUGAAAAGGCUUUGUUAGAUCUAGGAGCUUCUAUUAAUGUCAUGCCUCGUUCUAUUUAUUCAUCUUUGAAUAUUGGUCCAUUAAAAGAAACUGGCGUGAUAAUUCAACUAGCUGAUAGGUCUAAUGCAUAUCCUAAUGGGAUAUUAGAAGAUGUCUUAGUACAAGUUAAUGAGUUGGUUUUUCCUGCUGAUUUUUAUGUACUUGAUAUGGAAGAUGAUAACUCCUCUAAUUCUGUCCCAAUUUUGCUAGGAAGACCUUUUCUUAAGACUGCUAGGACUAAAAUGGAUGUACAUAAAGGGACUCUCACUAUGGAGUUUGAUGGAGAGGUUAUAGAAUUCAAUAUGAAUGAUACCAUGAAAUAUCCUAGUGAGGAACAUUCAGUAUUUUUUGUGGAUGUUAUUAACCCUAUAGCGCAGGAAAUUUUUUACAAGGAAAAGACGAAGACAUUUCAUGAUAGAAUGAUUUUGAGAAAGGAGUUCUCUGUUGGUCAAAAAGUUCUUCUUUUUCAUUCUAAGCUUAAACUUUUUCUGGGUAAAUUAUGUUCUUACUGGGUUGGACCUUUUAUUGUUACUAAUGUUUUUCCUCAUGGUGCAGUUGAGAUUCGGAGUCCGACCUCUGACAAAGUUUUUAAGGUUAAUGGUCAUCGCUUAAAACCUUUUUAUGAAGGUUUUUCGGUGAAUAUUGUGGAGGAUGUGGCUCUCGAGAGUCCCAAUUAUGGAGAUUGAUGCAUAAAUGUGUCUAGCCAAAGACAUAAAACAAAGGCGAUUUUGGGAGGCAACCCAAAUGAUUUAUUUAUUUUGGUUUUUGUUAUAUCUUCUUUUAAUUUUGAUUCAGAUUUUUUUUAAAAAUAAUGUGUUUGCUUAUUUUGGCCAGAAGAAAAUUUUUGAUAAGGCGUGCCCAGGUCUUAACUAAAAAGUACUUCUGUAAUUUUUAAAGUAAAAUAGUUUUAAGGCGUGCCCACGUGCUUAUUAAAAAAAUACUUCUGAAAUUUUUGGUGUCUCAAAGUGUUUCAUCACUAAAAAAAAAAAAAAUCUUUUUUUAAUUUAAUUUAAUUUAUUUUUUAUUUAAAAAAAAUGAAAAAAAAAAGAGAUUUUCUUUUGUUCUUUCUUUUAUAUAUAUAUUUAUUUAUUUAUUAAAAAAAAAAACCAAAAAUCGAAAAUCAUUGUUCACAAAUCCCUAAUUCAAAAAUUACUGUUGAUUAUCGUUUUACAGCAGCGCGCCUCAGCUCCAGCCUUCACCCCGCAAUGCAAGCAGCAGCCAGUGCGAACCAGUCGCGUGCAACGCAAGCCCCAGCAACCCAGAUUCUCAGCUCCAGCCGUGCGCAACGUAGCUGAGCAGCAGCAAACCAGCAGUGCGAACCAGCUCUCGCGCGCAAUACAACGCGAACGCAGCAGUGCGUAGAUCCAGCCCAGCAACGCAGCACGAACCACCAGCGCGCAACGCAAGCCCCCGCGCGCGCAACACCAGCAUCCCGUGUCUCGCAGCCCAGUAGCGCGAACCACCAGCGCGCAGCGCAACGCAGCACCCGCAAAGCAAGCCUCACCAGCGCGCAACGCAAGCCCGCAACGCAGCAACGAGCACACCCUGCAACGCAACCAGCUUACGCCCUGUAUUCCAGCCGGGUAAAUCGAAAUUCGUGAGUGCAAUUAUUGUAACAAUGCCGAAGAGGAAAGCAUCCACUUCCAAGUCAUCGAAAAAGACACCCAUCGUAAAGAAAUCUAAGAUUGCCGCUCCCACUACGGUUCCAUGGAACACAAUUUCAGAUUCACGCCAAGCCGUGAGACAAAGAUCGAAGCAUGGAAAAGGCAUGAGUGUUUUGCCACUUGCGGAAUCCAAUCUCGGAGGGUGCCUUGCGUUCGCGACUCAACAAGAGAAAGAGAGGUACAAAGAUAUUUCCAUGCGCAAAAUACUUCCAGCUAAGUAUAUUCAUUACCCGACUCUUGAAAAAUUGAAUGUUAAGGAUAAUUUUGAUUCUUUGAUAGAUAAGAUUGGGUUGCGUAUAUUUGUUAAUGUUGAUUGUUUGGGUUAUGUUGAGUUGAUUAGGGAGUUUUAUGCUACUUUUCAAUUUAAUAUGCCGAAUGAUUUUACUUUGCAUACCCCGGAUGUCAUUAAGUUUAGGUUAAUGGGAUGAAAUUUUUCACACUCUAUCACGGAUUUUAACCUAGCUUUAGGAUUCAUUGAUGAUGAUUAUUCUUCUAGUGAUGCAUAUUUAGGAACAACUUGUGACUUUAGCGGAAAUUUUGAGCCUUAUGGUCUUUGGCAUAAUUUAUCUGUUGAUCACAAUGCCUAUGACCCGAGUAAAUCAAAAAGUUCUUUCUUACGUGAUCCUGUUUUGAAAUGUGUGCAUCGAUUCUUAGCAUAUAAUUUUUUAGGCAAGAAAGAUCACUCAGGAGUUUUCUCUAAAACUGAAUUUUAUUUUAUCUGGUGCAUGUUAAAUGAUGUGAGGCCUAAUUUAGGUUUUUGGUUAGCGGAUCAAUUUCAAAGUGUGCUUAAACGGUAUAGGACUUUAUUUCUUGGUCCAUACAUAACUCUGUUAGCUAUAAACCUAUGUGUGCUUGAUCCCGACAAUAAUGAUUUGCAUCCUGCUUGCAAAAAGGAAUUUUUGGAUAUGUCUGUGUUUGCAAGAACAGGUGUGGUUGAAUUCAAGGAGGGGAGAUUUCAGUUUACUGAACCAGGACCCACUCAACUUCCGAAGAAGCUUUAUGCUAGGAGUGGUGCUACCUCUGAUGACGAGUUUGACGACGACACUGCUGCCCCGCCAACUAUUCCUUCUACAUCCGCACCACCUUUGAGUAUUCAGUUAGAGAAAAUGGAGCACAAGCUGAACAAGAUGGAGCAGAAUUUGGCCGCAUACUUCGAGAGUGUGGGAUUUACCCCACCAUUUCCGCCAAGCCCAUAGACGUUAUGUGGAUCAAAGCUCACAAUUCAGGGAAGUUUCUUUUUGCCCUUAAUCUUUUAUCCUUACGCUUUAAUUUUUAUGUGAGCUUUGAUUAUCUUACAUUGGGGACAAUGUAAGUUCUUGGUGUGGGGGAGGGAUUUUUGCAUUAUUGAUGCCUGGAAUUAUUAUUUUCACUCUACUCAUCUAUUUUCACUCUACUCAUCCUUAAAUGAUUUUGGAGUUAGCAUGCUUCAUAUAUUAUUAUUUUUCUUUUCUUUUCCUUCUCACUACUUUUUUCCCAUCUAUCUCAAAUUAUUCAUGUCUAUUUUUAUUUUAUUAUACUCUUUCAUCACUCACAUUUUAUCUUUCACUUUUCAUAUUACUACAUACAUCUUUCUCGCUUAUUAUCCUUUUUACCUUUCCUUUUAUAUCUCACUCAUACUUUCUUCUCAUUCUACACCAUUAUUGAUGGUUGAUUCAUUUGAAGAGUGUACAGGAUUUGAUGGCAAAUUUACCAACUUUGUGAGGAUUUGAGCCUAUGAGCAACCACUUUGCUCUAAUUAUUUUUAUUAUGUGAAUAUCAAUCCUAGUUUGUUUAUUCUAGAACUUGCUUUAUUAUGCAUGUUGAAGCCACAUUACGGGAUUUUAUGCAUUAAAAUGAUAAGGGCAAACCAUUUACCAUUUUUCUAUUCUCGCAUUUUCCUUUUUCUCUACCCGAAGACCUUUAUUUGCUACCUUUGUUUGAGCCUUAACAAUUACCCAUCUAAUUCUCUCCGUCUACUUAACCAUUUUUCUUCUUUUUUGAGCCUUAAUUUAAGGAGAUUUUUGGACUCAUUGUGUGGAUAUAUUUUGUUGCUUUUUCUACCUUGUAAUAAAGUUUCUCAAUUAGAUCAACAAGCAUUAUGCUUGAAUUAAAUUGUACAAGGUUCGUUUCUUUUGUUUGAUUCAUCACUAAAAAAAAAACAAAAACAAAAACAAAAGAAAAAAAAGAAAAAGAAAAAUCACAAAAAAAAAAUGUUUACAUUCUUGGUGACUUGAGUAGAAAUAAGCAUUUUGAUAUCAUAAGUUCAUUCAAUGAGUUCAUUUUUCUCGUUUUGAUCUCUUUUUCUUUCGUAAACCUUUCUUUUUCAUUUAACCUAUUUAACCCCAUUACAACCCUUUUAAGACCCUUAGAUUUUUGCACUUUAUUCAUGUUUUGUGGAUUGAGAUGUGAUAUAUGAGCAAGCUUAUGGUAAUAGCAUUCUUUGAUUUGAUUUGAGUGGAUAAAUGACACCCUAAACACUUUGAGUGCAUGGAGUGAAGUUAUUGAGAGGGCUAUUAAAUCUUGUUGCACUUGAAUUUUGAAUGGAUCUUCUUGGUGGUUGAAUGUUCUUAUUCUAUCUUAUGAAAUUCUAUGCUUUAAAAUCCUUGUCUCUCAAAUGUUGAUCGACUUAAUUUCUUGAGAUAUGCCUGCUUAAAAUUGUUUUUGGAUGAGUUGAGAUGAGAAUUGAGUGGAGAUUUGGAAUUAAUCUUGAGUUAUAUGCUUGAGGACAAGCAUCAUCUUGGUGUGGGGGAAUUUGUUAGAGUGCAAUUUAUGCACUAGUUUUGCAUUGUUUACUUCCCUUAAUAUCGAUGUUUUGCACUUAAUAAUAGUGAUUUACUUGUGAUUUACUUUUGUAGGUGCAAUUCUAUUGAUUGGUGAUAAAAUUGAGCUACAAGAUGAUGUUUAGGGAUGAUUGUUCCCUUGGAGAAAUUAUGAGCGGCAGAAGAACUUUGUUGAUAAGGCGUGGGCGCGUGCUGUCAGCUGCAGACCUACAGUUUUUAGUUUAACGUGUUUUAUAUUUUUGGUUAUUUUUGUAAUUACGAAUUUAAUAUUUCAAAUAUUAGUAUUUUAUUUUAAAUAGAAUUCUAGAGGAGAAGAGAGAGAGAGUAUUUAAGGGAGGAAUCUAUUGUGAAAAAUGGGGAUUUUUUGGGGGAUUGGAGAAAAGAAAGAAACCCUAGAUUUAAUUUUGCUCUUCUCUCUAUGAAGAACUAAACCUAUUUUUCUGGUUGAAGGAUAAUGAAGCUUUGAUUCAUCACUACUGUGAGAUCUUUCUUGUGCUUUAAUUGUUUUAUUGCUUUUUGGGUAUUUGUUUAUUCUCUGAAUUAUUUUUAUGAUUAUGUUUGUUAAUUAGGUAAUUGGCCACUAUUUAAUUAUCAACUUAAUCUAUUGUCAAUUAAAGGAUUCAUCGUAUGGAGAAUUUAAUGUUGGUGACAAAUAACAUAGCAGAGAGUUGUGUUGUGAGAAUAAACAAUCUAAUUUAAAUGAAUCAUCAUAUGUGUUGAUUAAGAUUUGGGUCUCUCUGGUUUUUCAGGCUGUCAAUUGAUUAAAUCCUAUGAUCGUAUCUAGGGUUGUCUAUUGAUUAGGGAAAUAACCAACGGUCGUUCCUUGGUUAUCGACUAGUUAAGGAGAGAUUGGCUAUUAGAGGGUCUUAGUAGCUAUAACCGGUCUAUUCAUAAGUAGUAAUAAUCUAUAUUUGAAUCAAUGAUCAGUAGUCGAAUCAAGCUGAGUUAAUUCCUUCAACCAGAGCUUUCUCCAAUUUGAAUUACAACUUUAAUUUGCAUUCUUGUUAUUUUAAUUUGAUUUUAUUAUUGUCAACAAUUCCCCCAUUUUACAUUUUACGUUUCAAAAGGAUUUAAAUAAUUACCGAUCUCUGUGGACACGACCCUGCUCAAUCACUAUACACAAUUUAUUUAGAGUAGGAAUUUAUUUUUGUUGGCUUCGACACCCAUCAGUUGGCGAGAGACUUUGUCAUAUAGAUUGUUUCCAGUUUUGCCCACAGAUCAGCCACUGUCUUUUCUUUGGCAACUUCUCUAAUAACAGAGUCUCCAAGACUCAAGAUUAUUGUGCUCCUUGCCCUUUUAUCUAUAUCAGUAGCCUGUUGAGGUGUUAGUGAUGAUAAAGCUUCCAUUCCCUCCUUCUUGGUGACUGGUUCUAAGGCAUCUCCCAGUCCCUGAGUUAUCAGUAGAGCCUCCAUCUUUACUUUCCACAUAUUGAAGUCGUUCUUGCCUGUAAACUUCUCCAGAUCAACUUUAGGGUGAGCCAUACUAGAAUCUGAUUAAAGAAACCCUGCUCUGAUACCAAUUGUAGAACUUGAAGGGCACUUCAGUUGCUCAAACACCUUCAGCCACUGCCCAAGAUUCAAGAUCAGAUUCCUAGAUGCUUGACUAUAUAUGACUUGAAAAAGGUUUAACCAAGAACUUCAAGUGAACAGAACAAUCAAUGGUUUAAGAAUCAAAGAAUCGAAAGAAACUAAAGAAUAAAGAACAGAAGAGAUUUAACGUGGUUCAGCUAAAACACUUAGCUUACAUCCACGGAGGAACAAGACUUCAGGCUUUUAUUGAAUAAACUCAAGAUUACAGAGAAUUACAGAUUGUAUCUCAUGGAAAAUUACCACCCUUAAACCCAGGAGUAACCCCCCUUUUAUACUCAUAAAUUGUAGCCAGCUCUCUGCACCAGAAUCAUCUCCUUUUCAGUUGCUGAUAACUUCCUAGAAACUAAUCCCAGAUGCUUACGUGCAAGCCAUGCUUCAUUAACGACUUUAACGCCUUCUUUCAUUCGAAUCCAUUCACGUGAGUCUCAGGUGUUUCACUUAAGUCAAACGGCAUUCCAAGACAUCAUUUCACUUAGCUUUGGUUUACACUCCGAAACGCACUCCCUCAAGUCGUUUUGAAUGUCACUGAAUUGCUUUCACUGGUUACUUUACAAAAACAUUUUAAUUAGCUUCAAUAAAUUUGUAAUUCACUUGCUCAUAGAUGUGAUCUCUCCGUUUCACCUAAAUUUUGCGCAUUGUUUGCUCAUAAUCUUUGUUUUUAACUUGAUUUUAAGAUUUUAUUUUCAAUUUUUAGCUCUUUCAUCCUGUUAUCAUUUAUUUUUCUAUAAUUAAUUUGAUUUCUCUUAGUCUGAAUAUGAAUUUAAAUUGUUUGCUUUUAGUUCUGUUCUGAGAUGUCCGCAGUUUGGAUUCGUAUUUCGGUUCAUUUUUAUCAAUAUUUUAUUACGAAACUUUUACACUCUAGUUUAUAGAAGUUUAAUUUCAAUUUGAAUUCGAUUUGUUGCUGGAAUUUUAAAUUUAAUUUCACAACAAGUAUGAUGGAAGAUUCAAUUUCUGUUCUGCCUUUGAAUCUUCAUUUUGAAUUUCUUGUACACUUUUGAGUGUUCAAGCUAAAUUAUAUGCUUCUCCAGUUCAUAAUUCGGUUCCUAAAUUUAUUAUUAUUCAUCUGGUGUUUGUAAACUCUCUGUUUGAAUUUAAUAAUUUCAUGCAUUUUUUUCCUUCUUCUUCUCAGGUCAUGCGAAAGAGUCGCUCAAAGAUGAGCCAGAAAUUCACAGCCGAUAAGCCGCCACCGUCACGGCAACCAACGGAGAAGUCAACAACUUCCUCAGGAUCCUUCUCGACAGAGGCUGGAUCGUGCCUAUCAAGCACCGCGAGCGCCGUUUCGAGCUCGCAAAGCCGCUACUGGGUUGCGGCUCGUGGGAAGCCGAGGGUUAGAAGAACUAGCAGCGGCCCGUCUCACAUUGAGCGCCGAGCCGAAGCCAUUCUGAAGCUGCUUUCUUCCCACGGCUGUUCGUCAGAAAUCAAGAUCCGUCAAGCCCUGGGUGACAGUCCCGACACUAGCAAAGCACUGAGAAUGUGCGAGUUGGCUUGGCUCUUUAUUUCGCGUUUGAUUUAAACCGUUAGAUCAUACGAAAUCUCUUUUACUAACUUGUCGAUCCGACGGUUGUUGUAGCGUGUCCAAACGAAACAGUUUAAAUUCUAACCGUCUGAUUUAUUUAUUUGCAGGUUAUUGAGGAGUGAUGAAGUCAAGAGAUAUGGCACAGGAGGACGGCAGGACCCAUAUAUUUACUAGGUAUUAAUCUCCUUAUCAUUCGUUAUCUUACUUAAUUAUAGAACUACAUGAUAUUAUUAUACACUAAUCACAGUUCUCUUUUUUUUUUUUUUUUUUCUAAUUACUAACAUAUGAAACUCUAUUGCCUGUGAAAUUCAGGGAAUUUUGUUUGUGUAUAAUUAAUCAUUUCUUUUUUUGGGAUUAAUUUAUAAUUAAUUUUGCAGAUAGCAAGUAUCUAGAACGAGCAGGACCCAGCAACACCGGGUAAUAUAUAUAUAGCGAGACUUUGCAAUUGGUAAAUAUUAAGAGUGGCAGCCAUUAAAGUUGAUUAAUAUGCUAGUAUAAUAUUAGUAUUGACAUUAGGCAGAGACGGAGACUUUAGUGAAUAUUAUUGCUAUAUGAGUGUGGCGUACGCCUACGUAGUUAAUUACAAUUUCCAAAUCUCUGCGGGUUACUGAAAAUUUAAGUGCCUUGCAUAUUAUUGCUAUUAACCCAGUUUUUCAUGCUCGCUCGAAGCAUAUUGAAUUAGAUUAUUACUUCAUUCGAGAAAAGGUUGCUGAUGGUGCCUUGGUUACGAAGUUUGUCCCUUCUUCGUUACAAAUUGCAGAUGUUUUUACUAAGGCUUUGUCAAAAGCCAUGUUCCGCAAUUUCAGAUACAAGCUUGGCGUUCAUCAAAUGUCACUUGCCAGCUUGAGCGGGGAUGUUAAGCAAGCUGACCAAGAUUACCAAAAGGAAAGUCAUCAACGGUCAAGUCAACAACGGGUUUAUCACUCCACACAACUUGCUCACAUCAAAGCUAUUUGUCAAGGAAUAUCUCCAGCACGAUUUUUGCACUUGAAUGCCAAUAUCAUGUACGAAUAUUUCAUUCCUAUUUUAUAAAGAUAUUGUGCGAUAGUUUAGGAAGUAUUCACUUAUUUUCCUUUAAUAUUAUUAAGCUUUUUAACGGCUACUUUGUCUUUAUUUUGUAUGAAUAAUUCUGUAAAUUUCAUUAAAAAUAUAGAACAAGAAUUAUACUCUUCAUAGAAUUUCUUUCACUAAAUUAAUUAAAAAUAUAGAACAAGAAUUAUCCUCUUCAUAGAAUUUCUUUCACUAAAUUCAUCAGCCUCUUGAACCCUCUCCUGAGGGCGCCUUCUAUCCUCUGUUUUCUGUUACCAUACACUAAUAGACAAAAGCAUUUAGAAUGACAACUGGGACAUAUAUAAGAGUGAAAUAAUUGAAAAAUUAUGCUUUUUUGUUUGUCAUGUUAAAAUCGUAAAGUGCAUAAGUACUAUGAAAGAGAUUAAUUUACGGAAACUGAAGCCAAGGGUUAAAAAAAAAAGGUGCAAAGAGAAUAAAGGGCAACGCUUAUGUAAAGAGACAUAAUUGUAUUGGUAGCACAAUGUCACGUUCAUACAGGGAUCAAGCAUACUAUUUACAGGUGGUAAGUGCUAAGAAUUGAUGUAGCUAGAAUCCAAAGAUGAUAAGGUAUGUUGUGCACUAUUGUUUAUUCUACAAUCAAUCUUGACCCUUGAUGCUUGGCUCUCAAUCUUGUCCAUCGAUCUUCUCUGAUCUCGAAAACUUCAAGACCUUUCAAUCUUAUGCCUUAUUAUUGGUGUCUUCCAUGCUGUAGAUUUCAAAUACAAGCUUUCCCGCCAACUUGCCAAGUAUUUGUCCAUUGGUGCAUUUUAUCAAACAGUUUGGAUACUUAUACCAAACGCCUUCUGUUUUAACUCCCCCUCUCAAGCUCAAGCAUCUGGGAAGACAUUAAUAAGCUUGUUUCUCAAGUAUAUGUAUCUGAAAAUUAAAUUUUAUAAAUUGUAUUCGGACUCUACAUUUUCUAAGGAACAUUGGUUUGGCUUAUAAGCUUAUUAUACUCAGGCUUGGUAGGAUUAUCGGUCGGUAGAUGACCGAGUGUUAGAGCUUUCGAAUUUAUGCCAAUUAAAAAAAAAUCUACAUAAGUUUUCAACUAGGCUAUUACCACAAUAAACAUUUGGAUAAACUAUUAUUGAAACCUUAUUGAGAAGUGGGACAUGUCGCAUACCAAUGCACUGACAUAUCUUCAAAUAGUGGUAACUCCACACAACAUGGCGCAACAAAUUAAGAGUUACAUAGAUAAAUUGGGUUCCCAAGAUUUCUUGAUAGACGGUUAAUGACUAUUUUGAUGUCUGUUUUGCAGACUGAUCUGCGUUUCCAGAGCCAUGCAGUGCUGGCCCUGCAGGAGGCAGCCGUGGCUUAGGGCAUCUCUAAUGUAGCACUAAACCUAACACCAAAUCACAUUUUACACCAAAAAGCUUCUCCAAUGUAACACCAAAAUGGUGUAAUGAAUAGUAUUGCACCAAAUAUGGUGCAAUACUAUUCAUUUGCACCAUAUUUGGUGCUAGGAAAAAAAAUCUCAAAUAUCCUUAUUACUUUAUAUUAUUUACAUAUAUGUCCUAUUUUAUAUAAUAUUUUAAGUUAUUAUUAUUUUUUGUUAUUUUUUAAUUUUUGAAUAUUAUACUAAUAUUUUAAAUAAAAAAUAUUCAGAACAAAAAUUUAUAAUAAAAAUAAAAUGCCAAUAACAUUAAUUACUAGAUUACAUAUUACAAAAUAAAAAAUACAAAAUUAAAUUAACACAAAUUAAGAAAACUACUACUACUGGCAUAAAUUAGAACAAUUAUUUAGUAAUGUGGGAGAUCAUUAUUAGAUCCUCCAAUAUCAUUAAAAUAUUUUUCGAUAUUAAUGUAAUGUUUAAUUUUCAUAAUGCACUUAUUAUUGUUAUUGUAUUUUCUAUAUUAAUGUAAUGUUUAAUUUUUAUAAUGUACUAAUUUAGUUAAUUAAAUGUAAAUUUAAUAAUUUUCUAUAUUUUUUUUGUUAAUCGAUAUAAAAUUAUUUAUUACUUAAUUAUCUAUAUUAAUAGUAAUAUUUAUUGUGUUUGAAUUAAUUCUUGAGAAUUAAAAGAAUAAAAAGAAGAAUAUUCUUUUUGGUGUAAAUGGGUUGGAGAUGAAAUAUUAAUUUAAUGUGAAAAAGGUACAUUUUAGGUAUUGGUGUUAUACCAAAAUAGUGUUAUGCAUUGGAGAUGGCCUUACCUCCUUAAGGACACUAACCUCUGCGCCAUUCACGCAAAGCGUGUCACUAUUAUGCCCAAGGACAUACAGCUUGCCCGUAGGAUCCGUGGCGAGCGUGCUUAAGCGCAAUUGCCGCUUGCUUCAAUUGAAUGACUGGAAAGGGAAGGGGGAAGUUGUAAUGUGUUAAUUUGUAUGUGGGGUUGGUGGGGACGGCGUCGCUUUUUCUUAGUUUUUUUUUUUCUUUUUCCUCCCUUAAAAAUGGUGAAAUUACUUAUACUGGUUUUUCUAUUUUACAUUUUGAAUAUUAUUAAUUAAUAUAAUUCAGGGAAAUUAUCAUUCGUAUACCCUAUAUUUGUUCUGUUAUCAAAAAUACUAUAACACUUUGAGGGUGUAUCAAUCGUCUACCCUUAGUUGACAAAAUGUAUCAUCCGACCACCAAACCGUUAGUUGCCGUUUGAAAGUUAACGGAAUUAUAGUGAAUUAAUGAUUUUACCCUUGAAAAUUAUCACUUGUAUACCCUUAAAUUCUUUUUUUAUCACUCGUAUACCCUUAAAUUAUUACUUGUAUCAUAUGAAAAGACCAAAUUACUCUUCUGACGUCAUCAUACUUAAACAGCAACUAAUGGUUUGGUGGUCAGCUGAUAUAUUUUGUCAACUUAGGGUGGACGAUUGAUACACCCUCAAAGUGUUGAAGUAUUUUUGAUAAUGGAGUAAACUAAGGGUAUAUAAAUGAUAAUUUUCCUAUAAUUUAAGAUAACAAUUAGGGAUAAAACAAUAAUUUUUUAUUCAAGAUCAUUUCAUCAAUAUUCUGUUAAAUAUUCUCACAAUUUAACUUUAUCCUUAACAAAAAUUUAACUUUUUUUUUAAAACUAACGGAACCAAAUCCUAUAUAUAAAUGUAUAGUAUGCAUUAAUAAAUAAAUAAAACUUUGACGACCGGAGGGAAUGAAUAAAUAAAUAGAUAAAACUUUCGAAGCUCGUGAAUGUGCUAUUUUUGUGUUUUUUAGUAAUUGUUUAAUUGAAAAAAGAAAGCUUCGGGGAUUUAUUUUUGACGGGACGGCUGAGAUUUGUCGACCUUCCAGAGAAUGAGAACAGAUUUUCAAUUUGUUGAUAAGUAUUCCUACAGUCCAGCCCAAAAGUACCGGCUCAAUGAGUUCGGUCAUGUUUGGUAACAGGUAUCCAUCACUUUCAAAAUCCGGUCCUACCAACGUAUCGGCUUUCACUGGCUGUCGUAUCAUCCGUGAAUUCAUGGGAGAGUGAGACUACUCCAAUCUCCACGCGAGAAAUUUUAGAAUAUUUUUGUUAUAUUAUAAUUAAUUAAUACAUAUAUGACAUGUGUAAUUGAGUUUAAUAUAACCACCAUUUGUAUAAUAGUUUAUAAAAUAAAUGCACACAUAUCAUGAUAUUAUUUACUUAUUGUAUGGAUAAUGAAUGCACACAUUGCAUCACUCUUUGAUAAACAAAUUCAUAAUAUAUAUUAAUCUUUGUGGAAGUUAUGUCCAAAAAAUAAAUAUUGUAAAAAAAUUUUAAUUACUAAUUUUUUGGACAUUAAUAAAAAAAAUUAAUAUAUUAACUCCUCAUGGAGUAUUCAAAACAAUUAAUAUAAAUUUUUUUGUUUCUAUUUUACUUUUUUCGGUUUAAAUUGAUAAUUUAAUUUUUCUUUUUAUUAAUGUCCAAUAAAAAAGAAAUAUUAUUGUAGGAGUGUAAUAUUGUAAAAACAAGUCAAAAAGAACAAAAAGUAACAAUAAGGGUGUCAAUACUUAACGACAAUGAUGUUUUGAGAUAUUUUUAAAAAUAUAAGAAUUAAAUAGGUAUUAAUCUCAAAAUAUAGGGAUUAAACGAGAUUUUACCCUUAUUAAUUAUAGUCAUCUUUUUAUAAAUUACAAUUGGAGGAAGUUGGCUAAUGUUGUUGACACGCACGCACGCACACAUAAAGAUUUAUUGGAAGUGCUUAUGCCGGCUCGAAGUUGUUGGGAAUUAAUGCAUGUAUUGAUUUAUUGGGAGUGUUUAAAUGAUUUUGUGAUUUACUUGAUUGAUUGAAUAUUGUUUGAUUGCUUCAUAUCCAUUCUACAAAGUUUAUUUCUUUGUGAAAUUUCAACGACAUAUUUUUUUUUAAAAAAAAUAUUAAGGGUGUUCUAAAUAAUUUUCAAAAAUAUAUGGACUAAUUAGAAUUAAUUACUAGGUAAUUAACUUGAUCUGUACAGGGUGAAACAAUAUUUAUCCUAAUUGUAUCAUGACAAAUACUUUUCCGAUUAGAAUUAGGAAACCAUAAGUUUAUUGAAUUAUUUUUUUUUAUUUUCCUUUGGAGAAACGGAUUAGAGAAUUAGAAAACAAUCCUAAUGAUAUAAUUAUCAGGUUUAAAACAGUGCAUAAACAGUGAAAAGCUAAUUAGUCUGUAGAGUAAUUUGCUAAUUGUUAUCUCCUCUCUAUGCGCGCUGAAUAAUUUGUUGCAUGCAAACUUUUUAUUUUAUGCAAAUCGUACUUACUGUAACAUUGGAAUUGAUGUAUAAGCAAAAUUACAAUAAUAUUUAUGUCAAUAAAAAUAGUUUUUUUUUUCCUUUUUAAAUAAAGGAGAGCAACGGGAUGUUGCUCUGCUCUACAUUUUUGCUAUCAUUUUAUUCUUUUUUUUUUUUUUUUUUGGCUUCUUAAAGCCUCAAACUUUGAUAACCAAAACUUCACCGACCUCUGAAAAAAUCGGCAGAUUAGUUUUUAUUAUCGGAAUAAUUGUUUGAGAAUACUAAAACAAAAUAUAAAAUAAGAAAAUAUGGGGUUAAAUUUGGGGAAAACAAAAAAAUCCAAUUGGGAAUUUUUUUUCUUUAAUUUUUGUUUUACUUGAUUGAGAUUUCUCCUUAGUUCUUACAGUUUUAAGUUUGGAUGCCGUAGGGUUAGUAAUUUAGUACUUCCUUUGCAAGCUGAGUGCGAGAACGAAAAUCUUUAAAGAAAUUAAAAAAGAUUAAAAAAAAGCAUACCAAUAGGUAAUUAUAAAUAACCAUAAAUAAACAUAAACAAAAUGUUUAUGAAGUAAAUUACACAUGCACAUAUUAUUUUCUUGUUUUAUUUCUUACUUGUCUAUUUUAUUUGCUGCUUGAUAACCCUUAAAUACUAAUCUAGUACUGCUAAUUUCAGACACAAAAUUUUUAACUCUAGGCUGCAGUUUUACUCAAAAUGAUGACCGCUGGCUUCGCACCAUUUAACCGGCAUACAUUUCUACAAAUUGAACAAGGCUAUUGAUUUUCAUUAUUAUUUUUUUAUUUAUUUAUAAAUUACUAUUUUAAUUUUCACUUUUUAUUGGGUUGUUUAACGGAUUAGUGAAGUUGGUGGUCGUGAUGCACUCACAAGGUACAAUUUUAUUUUAUAAUUUCAAAUUUGUAUUUUAAAAUGCAGGUACAUUAUGUAUACAUAAUUAUUGAUUUUCGUAUGUGGGUGUUUUGUAAUAUUGCUAAAAGACCAAACUUUAAUAAACUAUUUUUCAUCUUUUUUUUCCUUUUUUCCUAAAGUUUGAGUGAUAUCCGCAUUUUAAAUUCAUGUGGAACAAAAGCUAAUGUAUGCACAAAAUUCUUUUAUUUUUUCGGAGAAAAAUGGGUAAGAGAAGAAGAUUUUUCUCUUGCAAAAGAAAAACUAAUACGAUGCAAGCAUAGGAAAGAGGUCAGUGUUUUGGAUUAGAAUUUAGUAUUGAACUGAAUUUUAUACUAAAUAGUACUGCGAUUAAUAAACUCAUGAUUUGCUUUUGUUUUUACUUCAAGUGAAAGAAAGAGGAAACCUUUUGUUUUUUGUUUGAUUCUUGACUAUAGAUGUUACCUAUAUACAGAGUUGAGGUAGCUACCUUAAGUGAUGGUGAUAAAAAGAUUAAGCAGCGCACACAAUCUUAUUGUCGUCCAGACCAUCGAGCUGUGAUGACUCUAGCUUUUUGGUUACAUUAGCUUUAGUGGAAAGGAGGGCCAAUUUAAUAAAGACUAGAUUUGGUGGCUUACUAUAAUGCUUAUUCUCAGGGAAUCUAAUGUUAUAAGAUGAUUUAAUGAUCUUCUAUGAUUGUGAGUAGUAUAGUAUAAUUGAAAAGAGCCUGGGCUCCUAUGAUGAAUAUAUAAUAGUAACACAGUACUGUGAUUGAAAAAAACACAGUUACAAUAAACUCUUCAUUUAUUCAUUGCGGAGAUUGAAUGGCAAACAGAGAAUAAAAUGAAGUAGAGGGAUCUCAUUGCCAGUAAAAUUGACCCUCUUUAAUGUUAUAUGGCACAGGUGUGUGUACAGCAAGAGCAAGUUACUUGCAGUUUUUAUUGUAAAAUAUACAGGUUAUGACCAUGAUCAUUGUAGUUAGGUUUUGAUGAUUUUAGAUGCUUUUUUUUAUUUUUUUUAAAUUGUGACACCUUUGAUUUAUGGUAGUUUUGCAGAAGAAAAAAAUAUAUAUAAAAAUUAGGAGGGAUGAGUUAACUAACAAUUGCAAUCAUUGCAGUAAUGUUGAUGAGUGAUACAUCAUUUUAAAUUUACUUGUCAGUUGCUGAAAUGAUGAAAAAAAAACAAUAAACAAUAGCAGUAAUAUUUUUAUGGAAAUUCUUGGUUUUUAUGGAAAUACUCUUGCUGAAAUUCUAAGUUUGACUUUCAACUCUUGGUUUUUAUGGAAAGUAAAAUGACUUGUUUGUUAUAUUCAUACAACCCACUCUACAUAAUGAUUUCAUUUUAAUAAAUGGUUGAUGAUCUCCACAGAAAAACUACUUCAAUUCUUUUUUUUUUAUUUAACUUUUUGGUUGUUGAAAAUAGCCUUAAUUUUCAAAUCAUUGGAGAAAGAGUAAAGAACAUUUAACAAAUUUAUGUGCCAAAAAUAAAGGAGAAAUUGAAGAGAAAGGGUGCUUGCAGAAGUGGGUGCAAAGAUAAAUCAGUCCAUAAGAAUUAUUGUGGUUAUUAAUUUUUUGGCAAUAUAAAAAUUUUUCAGCAAAUAAAAAUAGAUUUUUUCUGAUUUACUAAAAAAUUAAUUAAAAACUUCGGCGAUAGCAUUUUUUAUGGGUGCAUGUACCCUCCCUUUAAAAAAAAUAUAAUAAUUAAUACUUAAUAUAGUAUUAAAUACGAAAAUAUCAAUAUUUGACUACACAAAUUUAUAUCAUUAGGUCCUUAAAAUUUAAAAUUGAAGACACAAAAUGAAAUUUAUAUAAAUUUCAUUCUCAUAGGAAAGGAUCCUCUUAUAAUCUUAAAAUAUUUGAGCUUUGAAAGAUUUUUUAAAACAAAUGUACUUUUAUUUUUGUACAAUCAAUAUUUACUUAUAUAUUAUAUUUUUAUUUAUUACACUACUAGAAAAAUGGUCUUUUGUGACACUUGUCUUCUGACACUUUAUUAUAAAGUAUCAGUAAUUAGAUGUAUUUGGGGCAUUUUCCGUGUUUAACAUAUAAGUAUCACAAAUUGCUAAUACUAUGGUGUCAGUAAAUUUAAUAUCACAGAUUCGUGACACUAAAGUAUUAGUAGUUAAAAAAAUAAAAUUUUAAUUUUGUAUCUAGUAAUAAUCGAACCGAAGCCCCCUAAGCCAUAACCUUUUGAUUUUAACCGCUACACCACUCGGCCACAAAUUGCAUUUUUGAACUUAUAAAUUAAUAAAUAAAUAAAUAUUAAAACUUAAAACCUAAAACCUAAAAAAUUUUCAUGUAUGGUAUGUGUGAAACGUAAAACCUAAAAAUUUUUGUUAAGUCAAAAAUCUAUCUUAUGGCCGCCGAAGCUUUCUUCCUUCUCUCUCCUUCCCUCUCUCUCGCUCUCUUUCUCUCUCGAACAAUGAUCUACCUUGAAAGCCACCUCCGUCAACACCUUGAAAGCCGCCGUCCUUAAGCUAAAAUAUCCCUGAAAAGAACCCAGAAAGUGCUAUGAAGAAUUUGGGCAAAGCUAAGGUUAAUUUGAAAGUCCGAAUCAGUGUUGUGGUAACUCUUUGCCUCAUUCUCUAUUCUCAUUGUUUAAGUAUUUAUCUGUUAAUUGAUUGAUGUUUAUUGAGUGCAAAUGAGAGCUUGCACUUGUUUGGAAAUCUAGCCAUCUAGGGUUUUUGUUGCUUAUAAUCUAAUUUAUUGUUUAAUAAAAUAAAUAAAACUCAGCUUUAUUAUAGGUGGAAUUCAGUUUAUUAAGUGAAAGAAUGAUUACAAUUGGUGAUUAUGGAUUUAGGUUGAAUGCAAUUUGUUAAUUAAAAGAAUAAUGGCAAUCAACAGUCAUGGAUUUAGUAUGUAUUAUAUAUUUCGUUUAAUGGUGUGUAUGAAAACCCAAAACCUAAAAUUUUCUUAAGUAAAAAUCUCAGUUCUCCCUCACAACCUAUAAGCCCAUCACUCUCUCUCUCUCUCUCCCCCCUCUUUCUAGCUAACAACCCAAAACGUAUUGUGAAACCGCCAUUUCAAUCUUUCAAAGCUCAUUAGUUAGCUGGUCAUUGUGAAAAGUAAGGUUAUUGUUUGCUUUUAUGUCUAAUUUUACUUUAAACAUGGGGAUUGAUGAUAUUCGAGUUGCUGAACACUUGAUUUUGAGGUGAAAGAUUAAUUAAUAGUUUACGAAAUUAUGCUGAAAAUUUGAGGAUUGAUAGACUGUUGUUGUGAACUUGGUUGUUUCCGAACUUGACUAAAUGACUUUCAAUUGAUUUGAAAGUUUGAUUAAACUAAGUUUAAAUGAGAACAUUUUAAUUCUGGAAAUUUUGGAAUGAAUUGGGUUUAUAUUUGAUUUUGAAUGGAUUUCUCAAUAUGGUUGGUUGUUGUCCAAUUUUAUUAGAAAUUACAUAUGUACCAUGUUUGAUAUUGCAAACGUAUAGUCUAACAUAGUUAGAAUAAGUUGAAAUUCGGAUAGACUACAAUUCUAUUUGCAUACUUCGAAUCUGGAAAAUUUUAUUUUGAUUGAACCUGUAAUUUAUUUUUAAUGAUUUUUCAAACUCUGCUGCCUCUGCAGUAACUUCUUUUGACAUAAAUGUUCAUUAAUAUUUGAUCCUAUCAAACACCAGCCUAAUGAUAUCGGAAUAGCCUCAAAUUUUAAUAUGUUGUUGACUUAUAUGUCCACUUAAACUCUGGAAAGUAUCAUUCUAAUAUAUUUAGUAUUUUAAAUUUAAUAAAUAUUCAAACACCUGCUGCUACUUUUACAGUUUCAUAUGCAAUUUUAACUUAUAUAGUUUUAUCAUGUGAGAAGCAAAUGUAUGGUUGUCCAAAUGACUUGGAAAUUUUUUUUGUGGUGCAUUGAAAUGUCUAAUUAUGUUUUGUAAGUUUCAUAGCAUUCCAAAUUGAAUUAAAGAAAAUCUUAAAUUCAAGUUGUCAAUUUUUCCUAUUAAAUCUGAUUAGUGAUAAAUCUACUAACUUGCAGUACUUUUCAGGAAAAAAAAUGUGUCAACGCUGUGAAUUGCAAUGGGAGAAGAAAGUACUAAAGGCAUAAAUCUUUUUUCAUUAUAUUUGGGACUAUUCUUAAAGGUUAGUCUUUUCCUUUUUCCUUUUUUUCUUUUUUAUUUAAGGUAAUCAUAUUCAUUUUAAUUUUAAUUACAAUCAAUUUUGCGUUGUUAGACAACUUGCACCAACCAAUCCAACAACAAAUGAAGAUAACAUUUUUGAAAUGCAUUCAAUUUUUUAAAAUAGCAAAAAGAAAAGGAAAAAUGAUACUAGUUUAGGCUUUAGGAAAUUUGCAUCAUCAUUCUUGCACUGCAGCUGCCUCUAUCUCGGUGCUCUCGGAGAAGUAAUCUUGCUUGAUUUUGCGUGAUAGUUGAUACAAGCCCGUCCUAGCCAUUGCAAAAUUGACACUAAAAAGGUUCCAGUUUUUCAUAUUGUAGUUUGAAAAGUCUGCAAUGUUUGCUAUGCUGAUGCCCCAUUUGAAUGUUGGAGCCCAAAAAUGAAUGGUUUUAGGACUAGCCGGGUGGUUCCAGAAAGCUAGGAGCUUGUUAGCUAUUCUUUUUAAUUGAACUAAUUUAACUUAAAUAUUAGCCCGAUUAUUGAUUUCUAUGGUUUGCCAUUGAUUUGAGUUUGACAUUCUUGUUUUGUGUUGGUUUGAGUUUGACAUCCUAGUUUAAGACUUUGAAGGCUUCCAAGAAAUGAUUUUGGAUUAUGAGCAAAUGAGUAAUAGUUUGAAAAUUAAUUUACUCUAUCAAAUAUAUACUUAGUGUAGCAUAUUAAUUUUAAGAACUAUGGAUCAUUCCUUGAAUAUUCUAGUAAAUGUUUAUGUUAUAUAUGCAUGUCUUAAUAUAUAAUAAUUAUAUUUUGAAGUUUGUUUUUUUUUCCCCCUUUCUAGGUUUAGGAAAAAUGUUUAAAGUGAUUUUGGGUUAUGAUGUCAAUCAAGUUAAAGCAACAUUACUUGUGAGUGGAAAUAUAUAAUGAUUAUAUUUUUAUUCUACUUUUUUUUCUUCUUAAAGUUUUAUAAUUAGGCAAAAUUAAUGAAUACUUAAUUACAAUUUAGGGUGAUAUUCUUUAAAUGGUUCACAUGAAUAGAUUUAAGUAGUAUAAUAAAUCUCAUACUCACUUUAUAAAGGCUUAACUAAGUUUGCAAAUAUUAUUUCUUUUAGUAGUAAUAAUUUUGGAUUGAACUCUCAAAUUAUUGAAAUAUUUUAUGUCCAAACUUUAUUAUGCCUAAUAUAAAUAUGGAGAUUCAUAGUUAUUUUAUGCCCAGUUUAAGGAAACUGCAGUUUGAGGAAUUAUUUUUUGCCUUGUUAAAUAAGCUUUUAAAAUGAAUAAAUUGAGGAAAUGAGUGGUGAUUUAUUUAUAAUAGAGCAUUUGUGAUAGCUUUUAACUAUGCACAAAAAUCAUUUUGUAUAUGUAGAUAGAGUAACAUGCUUGUGCUGAAAGUAGAUAUUACAUUGAAAACUUCUUGUCUACUAUAGUUUGCUAUAUAUAUAACCUUUACCAAAAGAGAAUAAUUGAGUUUAUUUAUAAAUAGCUUAUGAGGAUUUUUUUUUCUUUCGAACAAAAUAAUUUUAUUUAUGUUAAUUGUUGUUUCUCUAAUGGCUGGAUAUUGGCAGCUAAUUUUUUUUUCUUUUCCAUGUAUUCAUAUGCAGAUUUGAUCAAUGUGUUUGAAGUGUUUAUUCUUCAACUUCACUUAUAUCCUAACCCAUACAGUCUAUUGAAUGGAGAAGCUGCUGAUGUGAUAACGCAAUUAUACUACUCAUAUUCAAAGAGUGAAAGACAGUCAUCCUUCUCAAUUUAGCUUCUCGAUUUAUUAAAUUUAGCCACAAGUAGUAGGCAUUUGAUUGGAUGGUAGAAAUUUUUAUGUAUUGAAUUUGGAUUAUUGAGUUAUGAGAGUAGGAUAUCUCAUAUUUUUGUUAUUGAAGUUUUGAAAUUUGUAAUAUAUACUAAUAAUAUUUAAAUGUGAAAUGAAAGAUUUUGUGAUAUAAAUCAAUUUCUUUUUGUUAUUUUGUGGUGCCUUUUAAUUUUACCAAUAAAUCAAUAGGCAAUGAUCCAAUUCAUUUUUUAAAAAAAUAAAUUAACUAGUGAUACUAUGGUAACAGUAAUCAUAGACACUAAUAAAAUAUCAAUAACUACUAACAUUAUGGUGUCAUAAUAUCGGUGAUACUGUAGUAAUAGUAAUCACUGACACCACUUACAAGUGUCACUAUUUUUCUGAAUCCCAGAUUACUGGCACAAUUAACAAGUGUCAGUGACAGUAAUUUCUGACACUAUUCUAAAGUCAGUAAAGACCAUUUUUCUAGUAAUGUUAACUAUCAAUCAUGUGAGUAUAUUUACUCAGAAAUAUCAUAUCAAUAGAGAAUCUUGAUCCCACGCACACGCAAAUAUGUUAAUUUCUAUACGCUUCACUUAACCUAUAGAAUCAAUUAUCUAAAAUGCAAGUUUGUGGCCACAAAAAAAGCCAAAGAAAGAAGAUAACAACAAUUGACUUGUCUAUUAUACUCAUACUAUCCUCUCGACAUAAUGAUAUCAUUUUAAUAAGGCAAUGGCUGAUGAUCUCCGUUGAAAAACUAAUUCAAUUUUUUUGCUUCAUUUAACUUUUUGGUUGUUGAAAAUAAGCUUAAUUAUCAAAUAAUUGGAGAAAGAGUAAAGAACAUUUAACAAAUUUAUGUGCCAAAAAAAAAAAAAAAAGAAGUUGAAGAGAAAGGGUGCUUGCAGAAGUGGGUGUCAAAGAUAAAUCGGUCCAUAAGAAUUAUUGCGGUUAUUUUUUGGCAAUGUAAAAUUUUUAUAGCAAGUAAAAAUUAUUUUUUUUCCGAUUUACUAAAAAAUUAACUAAAAACUUCUGUGUCAGCAUUUUUUAUGGGUGCAUAUACCCUCCCUUUAAAAUAAAUAAUAAUUAAUGCUUAAUAUAAUAUUAAAUACGAAAAUAUCAAUAUUUGACUACUCAAAUUUAUAUCAUUAGGUCCUUAAAAUUUAAAAUUGAAGAUACGAAAGGAAACAUAUAUAAAUUUCAUUCUCAUGGAAAUGAUUCUCUUAUAAUCUUAUAAUAUUUGAGUUUUGAAAUUUUUUUUGAAACAAAUGUAAUUUUAUUUGUGUACAAUCAAUAUUUACUUAUUUAUUAUAUUUUAAUUUAUUAACUAUCAAUCAUGUAAGUAUAUUUAGUCAGAAAAAUUAUAUCAAGAGAGAAUCCUAAUUUCACGCAAACACAAAUACAAGACAAAUAUGUCAAUUUCUAUACUAUUCACUUUCCUGUAGAAUCAAUUAUCUAAAGUGCAAGUUUGUGGCUACAGAAAACUCGCCAAAGAAAGAAGAUAAUAACAAUUGAGCAUUGAUAGCAAAACUAAUGCAUCAUUUUCUUCUUGACUUGAUAAGAUGGCGCCAUUACAAAAAAACAAGUACCUUAAUUGAUACUACUGGCCAGUUCAUCUCUUCCAGUCUUGCUUAGUUACAAUCACAAACACCACGAGAACGACAUUUGCAUUAUAUAUAUCUUCAGCAGUCGAAACACCUUGCAUUACCAAAUAAACCAGUAACAAACAAAGCAAUCUUUCCUGGAGACGAACCUUAGUCUCAGUAUGAUCACUGUGUCAUUAACCCACUGCCUGCUUCUUUGCUUGGUUGUUGCAGCAGCAGCAGCAGCAAGCAGCAAUAUUACCACAGACCAACAAGCUCUUCUUGCCCUGAAAGAUCAUAUAACUUAUGAUCCGACCAACCUUUUAGCCCAUAAUUGGACCUCGAAUACCCCUGUUUGUACCUGGAUUGGCAUCACUUGUGAUGUCAAUAGCCGUAGAGUCACAGCCUUAGAUAUUUCUCAAUUCAAUCUACAAGGCACCAUCCCUCCUCAACUCGGAAACCUCUCUUCGCUCGCAACGCUUAAUCUUAGUCAUAACAAGCUUUCUGGAGACGUUCCAUCCUCCAUCUACACCAUGCAUUCGCUAAAAUUUCUUGACUUCACUGAUAACCAGCUCUCUGGUUCAGUGUCUUCCUUCGUCUUCAACAUGUCUUCAAUAUUAGACAUUCGUUUGACCAAUAACAGACUUUCUGGUCAGCUUCCGAAAAAUAUUUGCAACUAUCUUCCUCAUUUGAAAGCCCUUUUUUUGGACAAAAACAUGUUUCAUAGCAAAAUUCCUUCUGCUUUAUCAAAGUGCAAACAACUGCAACAAUUAAAUUUGCAGUUCAAUAAUUUAUCCGGUGCAAUACCAAAAGAAAUCGGCAACUUGACUAUGCUCAAAGGGAUAUAUCUCCUCUACAACAAACUCCACGGUAUGUUCACAAUCCUAUAUAAAUAUUUUAAUUUAUCACUUAUUAUCUUUCUUGAAUAAUAUAGAUAAGAUUUUGUAAGAGAGAUUUUUUGCAUCUAUAUUAAUUUUCCAGGUGAGAUACCGCACGAAAUCGCUAAUCUUCCAAAUCUAGAGGCUUUAGUACUUGGAAUCAACAACCUAGUUGGUGUGUUACCAGCUCCCAUCUUCAACAUGUCAACACUGAAGGUACUUAUCCUCAUAAAUAACUCUCUCUCCGGAAGUCUUCCAUCAAGAAUAGACCUUUCACUUCCAACUAUUGAGCAUCUUAACUUGGGACUUAAUAGAUUUUCUGGAACCAUUCCUAGUUCCAUCACCAAUGCUUCUAAGCUCACCUUGCUAGAAUUGGGAGGAAACACAUUUUUGGGAUUUAUUCCAAACACAAUUGGUAAUUUAAGAAACCUUGAGUGGCUCGGCUUGGCUUUUAACUACUUGACAUCUUCAACCUCAAAAUUGAGCUUUCUUUCCUCUUUGGCAAAUUGCAAGAAAUUAAGAGUCAUAAACUUAGCAGGCAAUCCACUUGACGGCUUCCUUCCAAGUUCAAUAGGAAAUCUUUCUAAGUCCUUGGAAACACUUGUCAUCACCAAUUGCAGUAUUAGUGGCAACAUUCCUCCAGCAAUUGGCAAUUUAAGCAACUUGUUGGGCUUAGUAUUAGAAGGCAAUAAAUUGACUUGACCAAUUCCAAUUACAUUCGGCCGACUGCAGAAACUCCAAAACUUAGAUCUCGCAUUCAAUAAGUUGGUAGGUUCAUUCCCAGAUGAGCUUUGCCAUCUAGCAAGGCUGGGUCAAUUGGUCUUAUUUGGCAAUAAGCUUUCAGGAUCUAUACCUUCAUGCCUAAGUAAUCUCACUUCUCUAAGAUCUCUCUAUUUAGGGUCCAAUAGGUUUACUUCUGUUAUUCCCUCAACUUUCUGGAGCUUAAAAGACAUCUUGUUCGUUGACUUUUCAUCAAAUUUCUUGGUUGGUCCUCUUUCUUUAGAUAUAGGAAAUUUGAAGGUGCUUGUAAGAAUAGAUUUAUCAAAAAAUAACUUAUCCGGUGAUAUCCCAGCCACAAUUGGAGGUCUAAAAGGUCUUCAAAUUAUGGACAUAGCAUAUAAUAGAUUGGAAGGCCCAAUUCCUGAAUCAUUUGGUGACUUGAUAAGUUUAGAAGUUUUGAAUUUGUCAAAUAAUAAAAUCUCUGGGUCUAUUCCAACAUCCAUGGAGAAACUGUUUUUCCUCCAAGUGUUAAAUCUCUCUUUCAAUAAACUAGAAGGUGAGAUUCCUAGUGGAGGAAUUUUUGCCAACUUCACAGCUGAGUCAUUUAUGGGAAAUGAGUUAUUGUGUGGUUUACCAAAUCUUCAAGUCCAACCAUGCAAAGUUAGCAAGCCGAGGACAGAACAUAAAUCAAGGAAAAAGAUACUUCUCAUUGUGAUUGUUUUGCCAUUGAGUAUUGCUCUAACGAUAGCAAUCACUCUAGCUCUCAAAUCUAAGCUGAUCGAAUGUGGAAAAAGAAGCACAGUGUUGUCAAACGAUAGUGUCUUGUCAUCACAAGCAACACUAAGAAGAUUUUCAUACUUAGAACUUUUACAAGCAACAGAUAAUUUUGCUGAAAACAACAUAAUUGGCAUAGGAGGUUUUGGUUCUGUUUAUAGAGCAAGACUUGAAGAUGGGAUGAAGAUUGCAAUAAAAGUGUUUCACCAGCAAUGUGCAAGCGCAUUGAAAAGUUUUGAGGCUGAAUGUGAAGUGUUAAAAAAAAUUCGCCAUCGAAACCUUAUCAAAGUUAUCAGCAGUUGCUCGAACGAUGAUUUCAAAGCAUUAGUCCUAGAAUACAUGUCCAAUGGGAGCUUGGGGGAUUGGCUGCAUUCUAGCAAUUAUGUGCUGAAUAUAUUUCAAAGGUUGAACAUAAUGAUUGACGUUGCAUCAGCUUUAGAAUAUCUCCACUUCGAUCAUUCAACUCCUAUUAUUCAUUGUGACUUAAAGCCUAGUAAUGUAUUGUUGGACGAACAUAUGGUUGCUCAUUUGAGUGAUUUUGGCAUAGCAAAGCUUUUAAGUGGAGAAGAUGAGUCAACGAUGCGAACAAAAACCCUUGCCACUAUAGGUUAUAUGGCACCAGGUUUGCUUCAAACAACUUUUGUUGUUAGUUCAUUUUAAAUUUUCCAACUUAUUGAUUUUUACGAUCCUCACAUCAAAAUGUUAUUGAUUAUUUAUCUAAUUGUGAAAUUAAUUUGAUUCAUAGAGUACGGCAUAGAAGGAGAAGUAUCUACAAAAAGUGAUGUUUACAGCUAUGGGAUUAUGUUGAUGGAAACUUUUACCAAGAAAAAACCCACAGAUGAAAUUUUUGUCGGAGAAUUGAGCUUAAAGCGUUGGGUUAAUGACUUGCUUCCUACUUCAUUAGUGGAAGUUGUGGACAAAACUCUGCUAAGUGGAGAGGAAAAACAUUCUGCAGCAAAGGAGCAAUGUCUGUUGUCUAUCUUUAGCUUGGCUCUGGAGUGUACAAUGGAAUCACCGGAAAAGAGGAUUAAUGCAAAAGAUAUUGUUACCGGAUUACUCAAGAUAAGAGACGCAUUGGGUAAAAGGAUAGGAAAUUUAAGUUAAUUUCGUUUGCUUUCAUUGAUAGUUAAUCUGAAUUCAUGUAAUAAGUGUAGGAAUCUUAUAUCUUUUCCUUUGAUAUUUUUUUUUUCUUGAGAAAACUGUUGUAGUCAUCUUGUUUCCAUGGGCGGAGUUGACUUAGUUCUUCCAAGAAAUGCUACUGAUGAUCUUUGUUAUAUACUUUCUCUUUUUUUUGCAUGCGUUUAGGUAGAAUAGUGGUCUAGCUGCAGGCUAAUAUGUCAAGCUACGCCAAAAGCGUAUGAUUUAAUUUACUAAACAUAACUUCAAGUUCAAGAAGUGUUUUUCACUGCCACCAAUGCUUUGGACACCUGUUGGAAGGUUUGUUGUCCUCAGCUUUUGUUUAGAGCAAAAGUUCGAGUCCCAUAAAGGCUCACACAUUCCUUUCCUUCAUCGCGAGGUGAAGAAAUUAGAAUGACAACUGGGACAUAUAUAAGAGUGAAAUAAUUAAAAAAUUAUGCUUUUUUGUUUCACCGAAGUACUGUGAAAGAGAUUAAUUUACAGAAACUGAAGCCAAGGGUUCAAAAAAAAAGUGCAAAGAGAAUAAUUGUAUUAGUAGCACAAUGUCAUAGAGAGAUCAAUUAUAUUAUUUACGGCUGGUAAGGACUAAGAAUUGAUGUAGCUAGAAUGCGAAGAUGAUAAGGUAUGUUGUGCACUAUUGUUUUAUUCUAUAAUCAAUCUUGACCCUUGAUGCUUGGCUCUCAAUCUUGUCCAUUGAUCUUCUCUGAUUUUGGAGACUUGAAGACCUUUCAGUAUCAUGCCUUGUUGUUGGUGUCUUCCAUGCUGUAGAACCGCCGACUUGCCAAGUAUUUGUUCAUUGACGCAUUUUAUCAAACAGUUGGCCUGCUCAUAGCAAAUAGCUCCUCUUUUAGAGCUUUCGAAUUCAUGCCAAUUAAUUUUCAACUAGGCUAUUACCACAAUAAACAUUUAGAAAUCUAAAUUUGUUCAUUAUAUAUUCUGAUCAUCACUUGAACAUCCAUGCAGACUCCUAUUAAUUAUAUCCUCUAAUGGAGAGAACUCAUUGCCUCAGUAUGAUCACUGUGUCAUCAACCCACUGCCCGCUUCUUUGCUUGGUUGUUGCAGCAAGCAACAAUAUUACCACAGAUCAACAAUAGUUUGUCCAUUUUUUUCAGUAAGGUCGUCAUUAAAAAUUAAUUUUCAUAUUGAUUUUCUUAAUUAUAAAUAAUACUAAUGAUAUUUCAUAGUUAUAAAUAUAUUAGAAUUAAUCAAAAUCAUUUUUUAGUGCGGCAUGGCUAAAACUACCUUUUUUUUUUUUUUUAUAAGUAAUUACUACUUUAAGGAAAAUACUCGUAUUUUCAGGAAAAAGUCAAGUACCCGUAGUUGUGAAGACUCGAGCUCACCCUCUUAUGAUAAAUCUUCAUAUCAAUUACAUAAAUAUCCUCUAAAUGUUUAGUUAACUAUUCAAAAUUCGAUGUUAUAUGGGUAUUUCAUUUAUUUGAGUAGGGGUUAGGGGUCAAUUGGAUACAAAUUCAAAAUUAUCCUUACUUGAGAAGGUGAUAAACAUUGGGGAUUUAGUUUGGGUGUCAUUAGCUACAAAUAUUAAACUCAUACAUCUAAUUCAAAAUUGCAUCCAGGUUCAUUGCAGCUAAGGCUUGUGGAAUUUCAUCAGUAAGAUGUGAGUAGUCAUACCUACGUCGACAUUCAAUGGCUGUAUGUUUCUGUAAAUGACAAAUUUGGCAUAUGACAGUUUCUUCAUUGACUUCCUCAGCUUGUUGUUUGGAUUGAUUCUGAAUUUUGUGCCAAGGCUGUCCAGAAUUAUUUUGUCGAGGUUGCUGCCACUGUUGUCCCGAAUUUCCUUGCCAUGAUUGUUGCCCUUGUUGACUUGGAUUAUUGUUUGAUUUUUGCCAUGGCUGACUUGCAUUAUUAUUCCAACUUUUUCCACCAUUGUAGUUGAUUUUUUGACCACUUGAAUCAGCCAAAUUUUGUCCUCCUGCUGCUGUAAAACCACGACCUUUUGAGUUAAAGAAACCUCCAUUUCCACGACCUUUUCCCUUGCCUCAUUGGCUAAAAAAGGCUUGAGCCAGAUUGAUUGUAUUCUUCUUUUCUUCUUCAAAAUUAAUAAGAGUUUGUUCAUGAUUUUCGAGGGCCAUGACAAACUGCUUAAAUGAGGGAUAAGGUGGUUUCGAAAGUUGAGCAAGUUUGAAGUCUUGAUACCUGUAGCCAAGACCUCUUGCAAGACCAAAGACUUCAUCUAAGUCAUUCACUGGCUUAUUUAUUGCAGCCAAACAAUCACAGAUAUGCUUGUAUUUGCGCACAUACUCUUCAACUGAUAGAGAUCCCUUUUUAAACCGAGAGAAUUACUAUAUUUACACAAUUAACCUUGGCUAGAAUUAAUUGUGCAGAUUGGAUGAUAACUAGAGAAUAGAAAUGAAGAAAAGGAAGCACACAACACCGAGAAGAGUAAUAAUUAAUGCUGCCAUUGACGAAAUGUUUUAUAUUACUCUUCUUUCUUGGUAUUUAUUUAUUUACAAUUUUUAAUGUAAAUGUACAGUUGUUGGGCUAAUAUCUUAUUUACUUUUGAACGUAUUAGAUGCCUUUUUUUUUCUUGGUUCAUAAUAAUUUUGUAGAAAUUCCUCAAGUUUGCCUAAAUGAUAGCACAUAUUCAUAAUUGGAUUGAUUGAGUAAUAAUAAAAUAUAUUUAUUUGGCAAAUGGCAGUUAGGCUUUCUUUUGAUGCAGAUUAAUUAGAGAGAAUAUAUAACAAUUUUAAGCUCGUCAGAUUCGGAAGCUGCUUAUCUGUCGUGUGGGGAUCACUUCCGUGUCUUAUUUUUCUAGAAAAAUCUGGACCAUUGGAUUUCCCAUUAUUCAAUAGAUAAAUGUUUGAUCUUGAUUCUUGAUUAAGAUCGAAGUUUGAUUCUAACCAACAUGAUGUCAGAUUCAGAUUGCGAAGCAAGCAAAUUGAAAGUAACUUGUUCUAUUUUGAUAAACACAAGUUCUAAUAAAACAUUCUCAUAGUAAAGUGAAUUACCAUCCAACGAUCCAACUCAUGUUUUCAAAUUGUAAAUUGCAAAUCGUGCGUUUGCUCCAUUACAGCGUUUCUUCAAUCUGAAAUAGAGAAUCAUUUGUGUUUUGGAUUAAUCGUGGGUCUAUAUCCAAAUCUAAAAAUUGACUAAUUUAAUUUCUAUUAAAUUCUUAAUCCUAACAAGAAAAAUUGAAGAUUAAAAACGACUAAUUUGGUACCAUACCACUAUUGUAACAUAGGUAGAUCCUCUAUUAAUUGGAGUAAAGAUUGAAUUAUCUCAUUUAUUAAGGUUUAUCAAAAUCUUGUGUCAAAAUCUAUUAAUGAUAUAGGUUCAAGGAUGAAAGAGUCACUUCAUUACUUUUGAGUUCCCAAAUAGAUGAAUGGAUGUUAUUUUUGGAUUCCGGAGAGUCGAAAAUAUUAGGAUAGGUGCUAAAUCGAAUUAAGUUGUAGAUAAGAUAGAAAUGGAUUUGGAGAGAUUGGAAUCCUAGGUAAUCCGGUGCACGUUGUCGUGUUAAAUUCUCGUUGACUUCACGUUGACUGAAGCAUUAUUGGAAGAAACAAGUUUAUUGAUGUGAGGCCUUUGAGAUUGUAAGUGUUAAAUCUGAGAAGAAUACCCACACAACCAUUAUCCUAUUACUCUUAUAUCACGUGAAGAGAAUUCAACAUUUGAUUCACACGGAAAAAAUUUGUGAGGAUUGUGAGGGUUGAUGCAAUAUAAUUUAGAUACAAAGUGUUUACCAGUGCGAUGCUUCGCAAGUGUUCUUGAAUCAAUAUAAACUCACGUUAUUUUCAUAGUGAUUGUUUCAUCUGCACGUGGAUAUAAUCACAUGUCGAGAUUUUUUUUUCUUAAAUUAUGGUCUUAUUUAGUAUUGCGGUGUUAUAUCUUUUAAGGUACAAUUAUUGUUGGAAAAAAGUUGCAACUAUUAAAUAAAAUUAAUACUAUGUGCUAAAUAUAAUUGUUAAAUAAUAAUUUUGACAAAAUUAGUGAAGUUAUGUAGAUUUUUUUUCAUCAUACAAGUAUAAAAUCAAAUCAACUUAACUUCUAAGUUCUAUAUCAGCUACUGUUUAUCAUAUGUUUUAGUUCUGUAACUUUUAAGUUAUAGUUACCCAACCUCAAUUCUAAACCAGACCUAUAAAGAUCAAAGAUUUCCUCAUUAAAUUAUAUGUCUUGUGAUUGCUUAUUUAAUUUAUAUUUUUUUUAUUUAUCUUUAUUAAUUAUAAUCAUCUUUUUAUAAAUUAAAAUUGAAGGAAGUUGAUUGAUGUUGUUGACACACACACACACACACGCACGCACGCACGCACUCACAAAGAUCACCACAAGAAAAUAGAGUAUUGGCUACAAAUUCUAUUGCAACAAAACUUACUUUAUUGCUAAAAUUCAUAUCUUGCAACAAAAAUUAGUCUUUAUCGCUAUAGCUAAACAGAUUUUAUUCUUCUUAAUGAUGUGGAAUAGGCAAGAAAAUUAGAAUAUAUGGCAACAAAAUAUUUUCUUGCCCUAUGCUAUGUUUGGCAACAAAAGUGUUCUUGUUGCCUAACAAGCUUAAUGAAGGCAAAAUAUGUUUCGUUGCUCAAGUUUUUCCACAACAAACACUUGAAUCAGUUGCAACAAAUGAAAUAUUGUAAAAGGUUGUGAUUAGCGAGAAAAUUUGUUUUGUACUCUCAGAGUUUUUUGCAACAAGAUUAAUUUUGUUGCGCAAAGGUUAACAAAAAUAUUAAAUUAAUAAAUGAAAAUAUAAAGAUAAUAUAAAAGCAAACAUGACUUUGUGGGAGGCUUUUUAAUUUUUUAUUUCCGCGCCCUUUAUUUAAUAAACCGCGUGCUAACCGAAGUAAAGUUUCCAUCUCCAAUUUUUUCUUAAUUAAAAUAUUGCUUCUAGAAUAUUUCCACUUUACUCUUCGCUUGUUUCUUUUGCCCUGCCUUGGAGUCAUUCUCUCUGGCCAAGCUUUAAGCCAUUGAAGAGUUGUACUUGGAAGGCACCACUCAAGACAACGAUUUCUUCAAGUAAAUUUAGUUUUAUUUUAUAUAUUGGCCUGUUGAGUUUGAUUUUGUUUAGUGGGUUUUGCUUUAAUUAUUUAUUAAGUGGGUCUUUGUUUCAAUUUUUAAUUUGUUAAAUUAAAGUUAAUGGAUUUUUCAUGGUGAAGAACUUGAGUUUGUGGACAAUAGUCAAAUGAAUGUAGGAUCUAUGCCCAGUAAUAGGAUCUUUCAUGUUAUAAUUUCUUUGACAAAAUUAUAGUUAUAUUGAUUUAUUUUUAUGUUGAUUAUUAAUAAACUCUAAUGUAUAUUUUUAAUAAUUACUAGAUGGGUCCUGGACAUAGAGUUACCAAACGUGUAAGAGCAGAAAUUGUUGUCGCAUCUACAAUUCCCCAAUCUCAGCCUGUUAUGCCCAGCCAAGAGUUUGUGCAAGGUGUUGUUACAACUCUAGAAUUUGGUACUUAAAGAGUUUAAUUGGUAGGUUUUGUUUGAUCGACUAUUAGUAAGUACUUAUGAUUAUUAAUAUUCUUCAUCUGUCAUUUUUUUUAAUUAUAAACUGAGAUAUCUUUUUUUCCUAAAUUCAGUCAAAUUUUGAGAUUGAUUUGAACUUACCACAUGUUCGUCGAUGUGUGAAUAACAUUAUGGGUGGGAGAUAUCAUGAUAUGAGACAUUGGAUGUAUGAUCAUUACUUGGAUUAUCCAUCCUUUGAAGAGGCACUUAAGCAUUCAUAUCCAGGCAUAUGUCCAGAUGAUUGGGCUUGGCUUUGUCAUAACAUUUACAAUUCCGCAAGUUUCCAGGUCCAAUGAUAUUCAUAUUAUGAACUUUAAAUUGUCCAACUAGUUGUCAAUAUGCUUGUAUAUGUAUCUUAUUUUCCACUGUUAUAUUUUUUUAAUGUAGACUCAAUCUACCAAAAACAAAGCUAAUCGUGCUAAGCUUCCAUAUGUCCAUUGUGGGGGAUCAAGACCUUUUGUUAAUUAUCUUGAGGAUGACAUGGUUGAUGGUGAAAUAGAAUUAUUUCGCGUCACUCAUUUCAGCAAGACAAAAGGUUGGGUGAAUGAGGUGGCACACUUAAACCAUGUAAGAUGCUUUGUUGGAAACAAAAUUUUUAAUUUUAUUAUUUCUUAUCACCUACAUACUGUUGAUGAAAGUUUACUCAUUGAGUUUUUUUUCUUAAUUUUUCUUUCAUGCUCUAAUUAACUUUAUUAUUUGAAAUAUCAAAUAAUUAGAUUUAUAAGUAUAACAACAAGUUUUUUUUUUUUUCAAUUUAUGUCUUAAUACAAAUUAAUUCCAUGACCAAUGGAUUAAAUUUCAACUAUUUAAUUAAUAAAAUUCUUUUUUUUCUUCCUUCGUUUACUAACAAAGCUUUACGUAUAGGACCAAAUGGUAGAGAUACAACAACAACAACAAAUAGAUCCUCAAGAAGCAAAACCACUAACUCAAAGGGAAAUAUGCAUUGAAGUACUUGGAAAGAAAACAUGCUAUUUUCGAGGACUUGGCAACGGACCACGCCCAACUUCAAACCAUGGUGUUGAUACUUCUGAGGCUGAUAGAUUGCAUGGUAUUAUAUCUUCACAACAAAGUAGAUUGGAUUCACAAGAUGUUGAGCUUCAAGAACAAAAGAAGACUAUUGAUCAAUUGGAGUCCAGAUUGUCCCAAUUUGAGGGUAUGAUGCAGCAAUUUUUUUCUUCUCAAGGAUCCGCUUUUCGCUUUACAGAUUCAGCUACUCAAUGAUUACUCAUUUCAAUGAUGUCCUUAGAGUAUCUUGAACUUGUUAGUAUUUUGAAUUGGUCAUCACUUGAUCUUUUUGGUUACUGCUGGUGCAUGUCAUAUCUUUAAGGAUUUGGAGUUUGGAGCAGUUGUAAUUAGAGAUCGUUUAUAAUUUUUGCUCAUUACAUUUUUGGGAUAGAUGACAAUCCACUUUUGUAUUUGACUAUCAUAUGUGAUUCUUAAAGUCAGUUUUGUAUAUAUAUAUAUAUAGCUUGGAUACUGAAUGGGCCUUUAACUUUUAAAUUAGUUCAAUGACAUUAAUGAUUUUUUUGUUAGAUUUCUCAACAUAUAUUUGUAGUUUAUUAUUGUCAUGGUGGGGGAAAAAAUUGGUAUCUUUCCCAACGAACUUGGUUUGCUUCCUUUUAUACCAUGAUAUUAUUAAAAAAAAUUGUACUAUUUUUUAAUGACAAAAUUGAUUUGUUUCUAAAAAUAUUUAAAUAUUUAUUGCAAAUUUGUAAAAUUUUCAACAUAAAGAAACAAAGUAGUUUUGUUGCCUAAAAUGAUCUUAGCUAACAAACACCUUUGUUGGUACACGUUUUUUUUAUAAAAUGUACUUUAUUUCUUAGCAACAAAUUAGUUUUGUAGUAAAUAACUAUAUAGAAACAAAAUUAUUUUGUUGUGUAAAACUGUUUAGCGCAACAAAAAUGUUUGUUGCCAAAUUAUUCUCUAAACAAGUUGAAGACUCCUUCACAACGAAUCUGUUUUGUUGCGAAAGGAAGUUUGAGGCGAGAAAUGUUUUGAUAUGUUGUUAAACAUAGAGGGCGACAGUGCUAGGCCGACGACGGGCCGACAAGCUUGUUUUUGUAGCAAUAACCUAUGGCAACAAAAUUGGCACUUUAGGCAACAAAAUCUUUUUGUUGCAAAAAGCCAUUUCUGUUGUGGUGGAUAUAUUGGAAGUGCUUAAUUACGUCGACUCGAAGUUGUUGGGAAUUAAUGCAUGUAUUGAUUUAUUGGGAGUGUUUAAAUGAUUUUGUGAUUUACUUGAUUGAUUGAAUAUUGUUUGAUUGCUUCAUAUCCAUUCUACAAAGUUUAUUUCUUUGUGAAAUUUCAACGAAAUAUGUUUUUUUUUUUUUAAAUAAGGGUGUUCUAAAUAAUUUUAAAAAAUAUAUGGACUAAUUAGAAUUAAUUAUUAGGUAAUUAACUCAAUCUGUACAGGGUGAAACAACAUUUAUCCUAAUUAUAUCAUGAUAAAUACUUUUCUGAUUAGAAUUAGGAAAUCAUAGGUUUAUUGAAUUGUUUUUUUUUUCCUUUGCGGAAACGGAUUAGAGAAUUAGAAAACAAUCAUGUUGAUGUCAAAAUCUGAUCUAGUCGGUUAGCGACUUAACAUCAUAUUACUGCACCAGUAUUAAAUUUAUUUGGUAGAGAAUCGGCUGGUCAAUUGUCAAGAUGUCCUGCAAUCACUAGCGAUUAACCUACGAAUACAUGAAAUCAUAGAAGACGGUAAGAGCCACCAGAAGUUUUUUCGUCGUGAAUCUUCUGACGCUCAAGUCAGUUUAUAGGUUUACCAUAAUAAAAAUAAAUAAUUUCUAUUUAAAACAAAAAAUAGAGAUCAAAAGCUCAAAAAUAAAACCCAAUCCCAAUAUGAAAAUGAAUUUCUUUUUUUUUUUUAGCUUGGCCGAAUCCUUCUGCCUCCUAAAGAAACAUAAUAGAGGAGCAGGUAGCCAUGUUCCCUAGGUAACGCCCCACUCCCCUCUUUUAUUCCUCCCCCUCUCUUCCGUUUCCUUCUUUUGCUCACUAUCCUUUAUAAUUUUUUAUGCUUGUCUUCCCAAAAUAGCCUUUGAAUACACAAGUAAAUGUCUAGGCUUUGGUGAGGAUAGUUUGGUUAUUGCAUUUUACAAGUAAGAUGAGUGGUGGAGAAAAAUGAGGAGUGCAUAUAACUCUUCAGCAAAUCCCACCAACAAUUCAAUUUUCUUAAUUAAUUAAUCUCCUUUUUUAUCCCCAAACAAAUCCUAAUGAUACUAUUAUCAGGUUUAAAACAGUACAUAAAUAGUGAAAAGCUAACUAGUCUGUAGAGUAAUUGCUAAUUGCUUUCUCCUCUCUGAGCGCGCUGAAUAAUUUGUUGCAUGCAAACUUUUUAUUAUAUGCAAAUCGUACGUACUGUAACAUUGGAAUUGAUGUAUAAGCAAAAAUACAAGAAUAUUUAUGUCAAUAAAAAUAGUUUUUUUUUCCUUUUUAAAUAAACACAACGCGAUGUUGCUCUUCUCUACAUUUUUGCUAUCUCUUUAUUCUUUUUUUUUUUUUUUGGGCUUCUUAAAGCCUCAAACUUUGAUAACCAAAACUUCAUCGACCUAUGAAAAAAAUCUGCAGAUUAGUUUUUAUUAUCGGAAUAAUUGUUUGAGAAUACUAAAACAAAAUAUAAAAUAAGAAAAUAGGAGGUUAAAUUAGAGGGGGGGGAAAAAGGCAUGUUCUAUCGAUUACUAUAGUUUAAGGGAAAAAAAAAUCCAAUUGGGAAUUUUUUUCUUUAAUUUUUGUUUUACUUGAUUGAGAUUUCUCCUUAGUCCUUACAGUUUUAAGUUUGGAUGCCGUAGGGUUAGUAAUUUAGUACUUCCUUUGCAAGCUGAGUGCAAGAAUGAAAAUCUUUUAAGAAAUUAAAAAAGAUUAAAAAAAAGCAUACCAAUAGGUAAUUAUAAAUAACCAUAAAUAAACAUAAACAAAAUGUUUAUGAAGUAAAUUACACAUGCACAUAUUUUUUUUUUGUUUUAUUUCUUACUUGUCUAUUUUAUUUGCUGCUUGAUAACCCGUAAAUACUAAUCUAUUACUGCUAAUUCCAGACACAAAAUUUUUAACUCUAGGCUGCAGUUUUACUCAAAAUGAUGACCACUGGCUUCGCACCAUUUAACCGGCAUACAUUUCUACAAAUUGAACAAGGCUAUUGAUUUUCAUUAUUAUUUUUUAUUUAUUUAUAAAUUACUAUUUUAAUUUUCACUUUUUAUUGGGUUGUUUAACGGAUUAGUGAAGUUGGUGGUCGUGAUGCACUCACAAGGUACAAUUUUAUUUUAUAAUUUCAAAUUUGUAUUUUAAAAUACAGGUACAUUAUGUAUACAUAAUUAUUGAUUUUCGUAUGUGGGUGUUUUGAAAUAUUGCUAAAAGACCAAACUUUAAUAAACUAUUUUUCAUCUUUUUUUUUCCUUUUUUCCUAGAGUUUGAGUGAUAUCCGCAUUUUAAAUUCAUGAGGAACAAAAGCUAAUGUAUGCACAAAAUUCUUUUAUUUUUUCCUAGAAAAAUGGGUAAGAGAAGAAGAUUUUUCUCUUGAAAAAGAAAAACUAAUACGAUGCAAGCAUAGGAAAGAGGUCAGUGUUUUUGGAUUAGAAUUUAGUAUUGAGCUGAAUUUUAUACUAAACUCUUUUGUGGUGCUGCGAUUAAUAAACUCAUGAUUUGCUUUUGCUUUUACUUCAAGUGAAAGAAAGAGGAAACCUUUUGUUUUUUGUUUGAUUCUUGACUAUAGAUGUUACCUAUAUAGAGAGUUGAGGUAUCUGCCUUAAGUGAUGGUGAUAAAAAGAUUAAGCAGCGCACACAAUCUUACUGUCGUCCAGACCAUCCAGCUGUGAUGACUCUAGUUUUUUGGUUACAUUAGCUUUAGUGGAAAGGAGGGCCAAUUUAACAAAGACUAGAUUUGGUGGCUUACUAUAAUGCUUAUUCUCAGGGAAUCUAAUGUUAUAAGAUGAUUUAAUGAUCUUCUAUGAUUGUGAGUAGUAUAGUAUAAUUGAAAAGAGUCUGGGCUUCUAUGAUGAAUAUAUAAUAUUAACACAGUACUGUGAUUGAAAAAAACACAGUUACAAUAUACUCUUCAUUUAUUCAUUGCGGAGAUUAAAUGGCAAACAGAGAAUAAAAUGAAGCAGAGGGAUCUCAUUGCCAGUAAAAUUGACCCUCUUUAAUGUUAUAUGGCACAGGUGUGUGUACAGCAAGAGCAAGUUACUUGCAGUUUUUAUUGUAAAAUAUACAGGUUAUGACCAUGAUCAUUGUAGUUAGGUUUUGAUGAUUUUAGAUGCUUUUUUUAUUUUUUUAAAUUGUGACACCUUUGAUUUAUGGUAGUUUUGCAGAAGAAAAAAAUAUAAAUAAAAAUUAGGAGGGAUGAGUUAACUAACGAUUGCAAUCAUUACUGUAAUGUUGAUGAGUGAUACAUCAUUUGAAAUGUACUUGUCAGUUGCUGAAAUGAUGAAAAAAAACAAUAAACAAUAGCAGUAAUAUUUUUAUGGAAAUUCAUGGUUUUUAUGGAAAUACUCUUGCUGAAAUUCUAAUUUUGACUUUCAACUCUUGGUUUUUAUGGAAAAUAAAAUGACUUGUUUAUUAUAUUCAUACAAUCCACUCUACAUAAUGAUUUCAUUUUAAUAAAUGCUUGAUGAUCUCCACUGAAAAACUACUUCAAUUCUUUUGUUUUUUUUUAACUUUUUGGUUGUUGAAAAUAGCCUUAAUUUUCAAAUAACUGGAGAAAGAGUAAAGAACAUUUAACAAAUUUAUGUGCCAAAAAUAAAUGAGAAAUUGAAGAGAAAGGGUGCUUGCAGAAGUGGGUGCAAAGAUAAAUUAGUCUAUAAGAAUUAUUGUGGUUAUUAAUUUUUUGGCAAUAUAAAAAUUUUUCAGCAAAUAAAAAUUGAUUUUUUCCGAUUUACUAAAAAAUUAAUUAAAAACUUUGGCGAUAGCAUUUUUUAUGGGGCAUGUACCCUCCCUUUUAAAAAAAAAUAUAAUAAUUAAUACUUAAUAUAGUAUUAAAUACGAAAAUCUCAAUAUUUGACUACACAAAUUUAUAUCAUUAGGUCCUUAAAAUUUAAAAUUGAAGACACAUAAUGAAAUAUAUAUAAAUUUUCAACCUCAUAGGAAAUGAUCCUCUUAUAAUCUUAAAAUAUUUGAGAUUUGAAAGAUUUUUUAAAACAAAUGUACUUUUAUUUUUGUACAAUCAAUAUUUACUUAUUUAUUAUAUUUUUAUUCAUUAACUAUCAAUCAUGUGAGUAUAUUUACUCAAAAAUAUCAUAUCAACGGAGCAUCUUGAUCCCACGCACACGCAAAUAUGUUAAUUUCUAUACGCUUCACUUACCUCUAGAAUCAAUUAUCUAAAAUGCAAGUUUGUGGCCACAAAAAAAGCCAAAGAAAGAAGAUAACAAUUGACUUGUAUAUUAUACUCAUACAAUCCACUCGACAUAAUGAUAUCAUUUUAAUAAGGCAAUGGCUGAUGAUCUCCAUUGAAAAACUAAUUCAAUUUUUUUGCUUCAUUUAACUUUUUGGUCGUUGAUAAUAACCUUAAUUAUCACAUAAUUGGAGAAAGAGUAAAGAACAUUUAACAAAUUUAUGUGCAAAAAAAAAAAAAAAGGAGAAGUUGAAGAGAAAGGGUGCUUGCAGAAGUGGGUGUCAGAGAAAAAUCGGUCCAUAAGAAUUAUUGCGGUUAUUUUUUGGCAAUAUAAAAUUUUAUAGCAAGUAAAAAUUAAUUUUUUUCCGAUUUAUUAAAAAAAUAACUAAAAACUUCUGCGACAGCAUUUUUAUGGGUGCAUAUACCCUCCCUUUAAAAAAAAUAAUAAUUAAUGCUUAAUAUAGUAUUAAAUACGAAAAUAUCAAUAAUUGACUACUCAAAUUUAUAUCAUUAGGUCCUUAAAAUUUAAAAUUGAAGACACGAAAAAAUUGAAGAUAUGAAAGGAAAUAUAUAUAAAUUUCAUUCUCAUGGAAAGGAUUCUCUUAUAAUCUUAUAAUAUUUGAGUUUUGAAAUUUUUUUGAAACAAAUGUAAUUUUAUUAGUGUACAAUCAAUAUUUACUUAUUUAUUAUAUUUUAAUUUAUUUAUUAUAUUUAGUCAGAAAAAUUAUAUCAAGAGAGAAUCCUAAUUUCACGCAAACACAACUACAAGACAAAUAUGUUAAUUUCUAUACUAUUCACUUUCCUGUAGAAUCAAUUAUCUAAAAUGCAAGUUUGUGGCUACAGAAAACUCGCCAAAGAAAGAAGAUAAUAACAAUUGAGCAUUGAUAGCAAAACUAAUGCAUCCAAUUCUUCUUGACUUGAUGAGAUGGCGCCAUAACGUAGAAACAAGUACCUAAAUUGACCGGCACUGAGUGAUGUGAAUACUACCAGCCAGUUCAUCUCUUCCAGUCUUGCUUAAUCACAAUCACAAACACCACGAGAUCGACAUUUGCAUUAUAUAUAUCUUCAGCAAUCGAAACACCUUGCAUUACCAAAUUAACCAGUAACAAACAAAGCAAUGUUUCAUGGAGAGAAAGCUUAGUCUCAGUAUGAUCAUUGUGUCAUUAACCCACUGCCUGCUUCUUUGCUUGGUUGUUGCAGCAGCAGCAGCAGCAAGCAGCAAUAUUACCACAGACCAACAAGCUCUUCUUGCCCUGAAAGAUCAUAUAACUUAUGAUCCGACCAACCUUUUUGCCCAUAAUUGGACCUCGAAUACCUCUGUUUGUAACUGGAUUGGCAUCACUUGUGAUGUCAAUAGCCAUAGAGUCACAACCUUAGAUAUUUCUCAAUUCAAUCUACAAGGCACCGUCCCUCCUCAACUUGGAAACCUCUCUUCACUCACAACACUUAAUCUUAGUCAUAACAAGCUUUCCGGAAGCGUUCCCACCUCCAUCUACACCAUGCAUACACUAAAAUUUCUUGACUUCACUGAUAACCAGCUCUCUGGUUCAGUUUCAUCCUUCGUCUUCAACAUGUCUUCAAUAUUAGACAUUCGUUUGACCAAUAACAGACUUUCUGGUGAGCUUCCGAAAAAUAUUUGCAACUAUCUUCCUUAUUUGAAAGCCCUUUUUUUGGACAAAAACAUGUUGCAUGGCAAAAUUCCUUCUGCUUUAUCAAAGUGCAAACAACUGCAACAAUUAAAUUUGCAGUUCAAUAAUUUAUCCGGUGCAAUACCAAAAGAAAUCGGCAACUUGACCAUGCUCAAAGGGAUAGACCUCGGCUACAACAAACUCCACGGUAUGUUCAUAAUACUAUGUAAAUAUUUUAAUUUCUCACUUGUUAAUUUUCUUGAAUAUCUUAGAUAAGAUUUUGUAAGUGAGAUUUUUUGCAUCUAUGUUAAUUUACCAGGUGAGAUACCCCACGAAAUCGCUAAUCUUCGAAAUCUAGAGGCUUUAGUGCUAGGAAUGAACAACCUAGUUGGUGUGGUAUCAGCUAUAAUCUUCAACAUGUCAUCACUGAAGGUACUUAUCCUCAUCAAUAACUCUCUCUCCGGAAGUCUCCCAUCAAGAAUGGACCUUUCACUUCCAACUAUUGAGCAUCUUAACUUGGCACUUAAUAGAUUUUCUGGAACCAUUCCUAGUUCCAUCACCAAUGCUUCUAAGCUCUCCUUUCUAGAGUUGGGAGGAAACACAUUUUCGGGCUUUAUUCCAAACACAAUUGGAAAUUUAAGAAACCUUGAGUGGCUCGGCUUGGCUAAUAACUCCUUGACAUCUUCAACCUCAAAAUUGAGCUUUCUUUCCUCUUUGGCAAAUUGCAAGAAAUUAAGAUCCUUAAACUUAAUAGGCAAUCCGCUUGACGGCUUCCUUCCAAGUUCAAUAGGUAAUCUUUCCAUGUCUUUGAAAAUACUUCUCAUCGCCAAUUGCAGUAUUAUUGGCAACAUUCCUCGAGCAAUUGGCAAUUUAAGCAACUUGUUGGCCUUGACAUUAGAAGGCAAUAAAUUGACUGGACCAAUUCCAAUUACAUUCGCCCGACUGCAGAAACUCCAAGGUUUAUAUCUUCCAUUCAAUAAGUUGGUAGGUUCAUUCCCAGAUGAGCUUUGCCAUCUAGCUAGGCUGGCUGAAUUGGUCUUACUUGGCAAUAAGCUUUCAGGAUCUAUACCUUCAUGCUUAAGUAAUCUCACUUCUCUAAGAUCUCUCUAUUUAGGGUCCAAUAGGUUUACUUCUGUCAUUCCCUCAACUUUCUGGAGCCUAAAAGACAUCUUGUUCUUUGACUUUUCAUCAAAUUUCUUGGUUGGUCCUCUUUCUUUAGACAUAGGAAAUUUGAAGGUGCUUGUAAGAAUAAAUUUAUCAAAAAAUAACUUAUCCGGUGAUAUCCCAGCCACAAUUGGAGGAUUGAAAGAUCUUCAAAUUAUGGACCUAGCAUAUAAUAGACUGGAAGGCCUAAUUCCUGAAUCAUUUGGUGACUUGAUAAGUUUAGAAGUUUUGAAUUUGUCAAAUAAUAAAAUCUCUGGGUCUAUUCCAACAUCCAUGGAGAAAAUCUUUUACCUCCGAGACUUAAAUCUCUCUUUCAAUAAACUAGAAGGUGAGAUUCCUAGUGGAGGAAUUUUUGCCAACUUCACAGCUGAGUCAUUUAUGGGAAAUGAGUUAUUGUGUGGUUUACCAAAUCUUCAAGUCCAACCAUGCAAAGUUAGCAAGCCGAGGACAGAACAUAAAUCAAGGAAAGAGAUACUUCUCAUUGUGAUUGUUUUGCCAUUGAGUAUUGCUCUAACAAUAGCAAUCACUCUACCUCUCAAAUCUAAGCUGAUCGAAUGUGGAAAAAGAUGCACAGUGUUGUCAAAUGAUAGUGUCUUGUCAUCACAAGCAACACAAAGAAGAUUUUCAUACUUAGAACUUUUACAAGCAACAGAUAAUUUUGCUGAAAACAACAUAAUUGGCAGAGGAGGUUUUGGUUCCGUUUUUGGAGCAAGACUUGAAGAUGGGAUGAAGAUUGCAAUAAAAGUGUUUCACCAGCAAUGUGCAAGCGCAUUGAAGAGUUUUGAGGCUGAAUGUGAAGUGUUAAAAAAUAUUCGCCAUCGAAACCUUAUCAAAGUUAUCAGCAGUUGCUCGAACGAUGACUUCAAAGCAUUAGUCCUAGAAUACAUGUCCAACGGGAGCUUGGAGGAUUGGCUGCAUUCUAGCAAUUACGUGCUGAAUAUAUUUCAUAGGUUGAACAUAAUGAUUGACGUUGCAUCAGCUUUAGAAUAUCUCCACUUCGAUCAUUCAACUCCUAUUAUUCAUUGUGACUUAAAGCCUAGUAAUGUAUUGUUGGACGAAAAUAUGGUUGCUCAUUUGAGUGAUUUUGGCAUAGCAAAGCUUUUAAGUGGAGAAGAUGAGUCUACGAUGCGAACAAAAACCCUUGCCACUAUAGGUUAUAUGGCACCAGGUUUGCUUCAAAUAACUUUUUUUUUUAGUUCAUUUUAAAUUUUGCAACUUAUUGAUUUUUACGAUCCUCACAUCAAAAUUUUAUUGAUUAUUUAUCUAAUUGUGAAAUUAAUUUGAUUCAUAGAGUACGGCAUAGAAGGAGAAGUAUCUACAAAAAGUGAUGUUUACAGCUAUGGGAUUAUGUUGAUGGAAACUUUUACCAAGAAAAAACCCACAGAUGAAAUUUUUGUUGGAGAAUUGAGCUUAAAGCGUUGGGUUAAUGACUUGCUUCCUACUUCAUUAGUGGAAGUUGUGGACAAAACUCUGCUAAGUGGAGAGGAAAAACAUUUUGCAUCAAAGGAGCAAUGUCUGUUGUCUGUCUUUUGUUUGGCUCUGGAGUGUACAAUGGAAUCACCGGAAAAGAGGAUUAAUGCAAAAGAUAUUGUUACCAGAUUACUCAAGAUAAGAGACACAUUGAGUAAAAGGAUAGGAAACUUCAGUUAAUUUCGUUUGCUUUCAUUGAUGGUUAAUUCAAAUUCAUGUAAUAAGUGUAAGAAUCUUAUAUGCUUUCCUUAGAUAUAUAUUUUUUUUUUUGAGAAAACUGUCGUAGUCAUCUUGUUUCCAUGGGCAGAGUUGAUUUAGUUCUUCCAAAAAAUGCUACUGAUGACCUUUGUUUAAUACUCUCUUUUUUUGCAUGUGUUUAGGUAGAACAGUGGUUUGGCUGCAGGCUAAGAAGACUAACUACACUAAAAGAAUAUGAUUUAAUUUAUUAAACAAAACUUCAAGUUCAAGAAAAGUAUUUCACUGCCCCCAAUGCUUUGGACACCUACUGGUAGGUUUGUACGUGUCCUCAACUUUUUUUUGGAGCACAAAAUUCGAGUCCCAUGGAGACUCAAACAUUCCUUUCCCGCAUCCCGAGCACGCUAAAUUCAUCAGACUGACGACUGGGACAUAUACAAGAGUGAAAUGUUUGGAGCACACUAAGUUCGAGUGAAAGAGAUUAAUUUACGGAAACUAAAGCCGAAGGUUCAAAAAAAAGUGCAAAGUGAAUUGAUGCACAAUGUCAUAUUCAUACAGAGAUCAAUUAUAUUAUUUACAGCUGGUAAGGGCUAAGAAUUGAUGUAGCUAGAAUACAAAGAGGAUAAGGUAUGUUGAGCACUAUUGUUUUUAUUCUACAAUCAAUCUUGACCCUUGAUGCUUGGCUCUCAAUCUUGUCCAUUGAUCGUCUCUGAUUUUGGAGACCUCAAGACCUUUCAGUAUCAUGCCUUGUUAUUGGUGUCUUCCGUGCUGUAGAAUUCAUAUACAAGCUUUCCCGCCGACUUGCCAAGUAUUCGUUCAUUGAUGCAUUUUUAUCAAACAGCUGGGCUACUUAUACCAAACACCGCCUGGUUUAACUCCCCCUCUCUAGCUCAACUAUCUGGGAAGACAAUUAAUUGAGAUAUGAAUCAGAAAGUUAAAUUUUAACAAUUAUAUUCGGACUCUACAUUUUGUAAUGAACAUUGGUUUGACUUGUUAUACAUUUAUGCGUACAUAAUUAAUAACCGAUUCUCAAGUGCGGACAUUCAAGAGCACUGCUUAAAGACCAAAUAUUUUGAUUUACUAUUUUUUGUCUUUCAAUUUUCUUUUAAGUUCUGAUGACGUCCGCAUUUUAAAAUCCUGUGGAACAAAGGCCUGAGGUGCAUAUAAAAUUCUUUUAUUUUUCAGAGGAAAAUGGGUGAGAGAAGAAGAUUUGGCAAAAGAAUUGCAACGGCAAUAUGAAACUAGUCUUUGUCUUUUAAUUCUUUUAUAUUUGUUUUUGUUAUUGAUGUUAGCUUGGAUGUGUGCGCGUGUUGUUAACAUAUAUGUUUACAUAAUGUUGAUUUUGAUGAUAACAAACAAAAUUAAGAAUGAUUAAUCUUUUAAGCUCAAAUUAUUUAAUAUUCUUUUUAAAUAAAUCAUUAUUUUCACAUUAUAAAUGUUUCAUAUUUAAUGGAAAAUUGAUUUUAUGAAAUUGGUUGUUUUUCAAAGUUUAUGGUUUAAUUGAAAGAAUUUUGAAAACUUUGAAAUAAACAAGUAUUGCUUGAAAUUUUAGUAAAGGACUUAUUUGAAAAGUGUCUUAGCAUUUUUGGCUAUAUCAUAAUUUCAGAAAGUUUUGGGAUUAACAAAGCAUUACUUAGAAAUUCUGAAAUUGGACCUAUUUGCAAAGUUUCAUAACGUUUUGGGCCUUAAUAUAGUUUUGUAAAGUUUGGGAGUCAAAAUGUAAUUUUAGAAAAUAAUUUCACUGUAGCAUCACUGUAGUAAACGGCUAACCGUUUAUUUAAAACGGCUAACCGAUAAUUUUCAGAAAGCAUAUUUUGCAUAGUAUUGUUAAAAUGAUGAUUCUGAAACAUAACGGUGAACCGUUUACUGAAAACGGUUAACCGAUUAUUUUCAGAUUGCUAACCUUGAACCGUUUAGUAAGAACGGUUAAACCAAAUUUGUUUUGCAGGUCUCUGGAAUUUAACGGCGAAAGGGUAAUACUAAACGAUAAACCGUUUAUUUGAAAAUUGGUCCAACGGUAACUUUGACCAGCCUAAACGGUUAACCGUUAAUGGUUAACGGCGAACCAUUUUCGAGCAGACAGUCUAUAACGGCUAGUUUUUCAGCUCCAACUAUAAAUAAGCUCAAUCCAAUUCAAACAAGAUAAAUUCCAACGAUCAUCAUUGAGCAAAAUAUUGAGAAUACAACUUUCAUUGAGCUUUAAAUCCUUGUAUUCAUCUCAUUCAUUCACACAUUGAGCUUUCACUUGUGAUCAAACACAUUGUGUGAGAGAGAUUCAUUUGAAAUCCUCUUUGUAAAAUCAAGUUAAAAGAUUGUAAGUGUUGGGAUACACUUGAGUUAAGAGAUUGGGGAUAAUCUCUUGUUGUAAAGGUCCAUUGACACCUUGGAAGUCAAUUGUAAGCGUUUGAAGCCUAGGGAGGCUAGCUUAGUGAAAUCCUCAAGCCCAGUGAGCUUGGAGGCGUGGACGUAGGCGGGGUUUGCCGAACCACGUAAAAAUCAUUGUGUUUGUUUUCUCUUCCCUUAGUCUUUUAAUAUUGUGCAUGAUUGAAUUUAUUGUUUUCAAUUUGAUUAAGGCAAUAAAUUAAAUUGUUGUGCGAAUUGUAUUGCAUAAAUUUUAAAAUCCCAAUUCACCCCCCUCUUGGGUUGCCUAGUUAGUAUUUCACGUGUGACUGAAUUCAACUUAUAUUUGUUUUUGUUAUUGUUAUUAAUUUUAUUUGUUUGUGUUAAAUUGGACCACCAAAAAGGGCUGUCCAUUAUCAAAUCAACACGGUUUAAUUAUUAUUAUUUCUACACUUUUUUUAUAAACAAAUAUAAAUAAAAGGAUAUUUACACCCCAAAUUUUAGUGAAAUAGUCAUUAACACUCCUAAAUUUUUAAAAAAAGAUAUCAAGAUCAUUUUUUGAUCUUAAUACUCUCAUACGGUACCUCUAUUAUUCUUAAAAAUUGACUCUAAUGUUUUAUAAUAAAUAAAAAUAAAACAUUAAAAUAAAUGUAAUAACAUAUAAUUUUAAAAUAAUUUCAUUAUUUAAAAAAUAUUUUUAACAUUUUACAAUCUAUUAAAUAUAUUUUAUUAUAUUAAAGUAAUUUUAUAAUAAAUAGAAUCAUAUUAUUAGAAUAAAUGCAUUAAAACUUAAAUUAUUUUGAAUAUCAUGUAAGAUAAUAAUUUUAACAUUACUAGUAUGUCAGUUUUUUUUUAAUUGUAGAAUGUAUUUAGUGCAAAUAUUUAUUUCAAAUCUCUACAAUAAAUAAAAGAUUAAAAUAAAUAUAAUAAUUUACAUAUCUAAAUUUAUUAAAAUAUUUUAAUAUUGUUAGUCUACUGCAUAUAUCACAAUAUUUAUAUAACAUUUGUAUUUAUUAAAAGCUUUAAAAUCAAUUCUUUUGAGAAUAAUAGAGGUAAAGGGUACAAUGGUCAAAAUGGGGACUUUGUACCCUUUUUUGAAAACUUGAAAGUGUUGGUGGUUAUUUUUCCAAACCUUCAGGGUAUAGAUGUCCUUUUUCCACAAAUAUAUGAGAAAAUUAUCAAGAAAUACAGUAUCUGAACUUUGAAGUAACAAGGAUCACCUUUUAUGAAAUCGAUUGCUUUUCAUGAUAGACUGUUACCAUUUUUCUACAAUAGAUUGAAUUUAGUAAAAAAUUGAUUAAGAUGUCUACUCAUGGAGAGUGAAAUUUAUGUUCAAAACUAAUUUCAACAAGCAUGCACCACCGAACGUGUUUCUCACGGAAAAGUUGCUUGGAUUUUUGGGACUUCCUGUUCAAAUAUUCAACACGGCAUGCACCACGCGAUUGAACAUGCAAAAGUAGGGGUCUAUUUUCAUUUCCAGCAUUAUAGAAAUCUUAAUUUUGUUCAUUAGUUAUUUUGAUCAGCACUGUUGAAUCUCCAUGUAUUGCCAAUCACUAAGAAACAACAUAUUCUUAUUAAUUAUAUCCUCUAAUGGAGAGAACUCAUUGUCUCAGUAAGAUCACUGUGUCAUUAACCCACAGCAUGCUGAUUUGCUUGGUUGCUGCAGCAAGCAAAAAUAUUACCACAGAUCAAAAAUCUCUUCUUGCCCCAAAAGAUCACAUAACUUAUGCUCCAACUAAUCUUUUGACCCAAAAUUGGACCUCAAAUACGUCUGUUUGUACGGGGAUUAGCAUCCCUUGUGAUGUCAAUAGCCAUGAAGUCGCAGCCUUGGAUAUUUCUCAAUUCAAUCUACAAGGCACCAUUAUUCCAAACACAACUGGUAAUUUAAGAAACCUUAAGUGGCUCGGCUUGGCUUAUAAACUACUUGACAUCUUCAACUUCAAAAUUGAGCUUUCUUUCCUCUUUGGCAAAUUGCAAAAAAUUAAGAAUCUUAGGCUUACUGGAAAUCCACUUGACCGUAUCCUCUCAGGUUCAAUAGGUAAUCUUUCUAUGUCUUAGGAAAGAUUUCACAUCGCCAAUUGCAGCAUUAGUGGCAGAAUUCCUCAAGUAAUCAGCAAUUUAAGCAACUUGUUGGCUGGUGUGCAAAAUUUUAAUAUACUCGCAAACGCAGGAAUCUAGAAAUAGAAUAAUGGUAACGAGGUCAAACCCACAUGGAUUGUUAUAAAAUGACAAAAGAAUAGCUGCUGGUCUAGAGGUGGCUUACUACAUUCAUACAAGAUCGUUUCUUGUUCUCCAAGAUGUGCAUUAUACUAAUAAUGCUAUACAAACUUAUAUACUGAUCUUAUCCUCUAGAUCUGUUCAGGCUGAGUGAUCUCUCACAUUUGCCAUAUCAGAAGAUUACAUGCCAGUAAUGUCAUGUGAUGACCUGUUGCUUGGUGAUGUCGAAUGCCUGGCCUUUACUUCUCUGAGCAAAUUGAUCAAACAAUCUGUUCAUUUUAUCGAACACCUUCACCAACUAACAUUUAAUUUACUUUUGAUGGUUUUUAAGUGCAUUUAAUGAUUAUUUUUGCUCCAACUUCAGAUAAACCAAACGCUAGUAUAUUAGAAGAAGAAGUUAACUGGCAGCUAACCAGGUCAAAAUAGCGACUCUAUAUAAAAAAUAUAUAUAUAAAAUAAAAAAUAAAAAAUGGGACUUUAUUUAAUUAAUUGUUGGUCUAAAGCUGUUGGUAUCCGUUGGCCACGUUUCUGAAGAGUCAUCUCAAAUCAAAAUUUUUAACGAACAAAGAACUUUGCUUUUUUCCAUUGUUCACAUUGCUGCUGGCUGCCACCCGUGAGAUAAAAGUGCUACAAUCCAAAAUGUUCCACCAUUAUUUAUUCUAAUUUUAAUUUUCCAAUGGAAAAAAUUACAUAAUUAAAAUGGCUUCUAAUAUCAUUUCCACAUCUCAAUAUGUGUCACUAUCAGAAGGUUGUUUUCAUGAUUCAUUGUAAAUUUGGAUUACAGUACCUGUACUUUCUGAUGGUUCAUUAUUUAUUCUCAGGAAUCGAGUCUCCUUACAUUACCAAACUAAUAACAACCAGCAAUCUUUUAUCCUUUCACGGUGAGAAAUCACAGUCUUCGUAUGAUCGCAGUGCCAUUAACCCACUGCCUGCUUCUUUACUUGGUUGUUGCAGUAGCAGCAGCAAGCAACAUUACCACAGGCCAACAAGCUCUUCUUGCCCUGAAAGCUCAUAUAAGUUAUGAUCCAACUAAUCUUUUGGCUCAAAAUUCGACCUCAAAUACCUCUGUUUGUAACUGGAUAGGCAUUACUUGUAAUGUCAAUAGCCAUAGAGUUACAGCCUUGAAUAUUUCCAGCUUGAAUCUACAAGGUACCAUCCCCCCUCAACUUGGAAACCUUUCUUCACUGACAACACUUAAUCUUAGUCAUAACAAGCUUUCCGGCGACAUUCCCCCCUCCAUCUUCACCAUGCAUAAGCUGAAAUUUCUUGAUUUCAGUGAUAAUCAGCUCUCUGGUUCUUUGUCCUCCGUCACCUUCAACUUGUCUUCAGUAUUAGAUAUUCGUUUGGAUAGUGACAAACUCUCUGGUGAACUCCCAGUAAAUAUUUGCAAUUAUCUUCACUAUUUAAAAGUCCUUUUUUUGGCCAAAAACAUGUUUCACGGUCAAAUACCACUGGCUUUAUCCAAGUGCAAACGGCUACAACUGUUAAAUUUGGGGUUCAAUAAAUUAUCAGGAGCCAUACCGAAAGAAAUCAGCAACUUGACUAUACUUCGAAAGAUAUCUCUCAGAAAUAAUAAACUUCGCGGUAUAAAUGUUUAUAAUAUAUACUUUGUAAAUGCUCUUAUUAAUCAUUCUUAAACUUUCUUAGACACUUUUGUCUAAAUAAAUUUCGUAAGAGAGUUUUUUGCAUCUCUGUUAAUUUUGCAGAUGAGAUACCUCACGAAAUUGGGUAUCUUCCAAAUCUAGAGAAUUUGGUGCUUGGAUUCAACAACCUAGUAGGCGUUGCACCUGCUGCAAUCUUCAACAUGUCAACAGUGAAAGAAAUUUACCGGUUAGAUAACUCUCUCUCGGGAAGUUUUUCAUCAGGAAUAGACCUUUCACUUCCUGAACAGAUUUUCUGGAACCAUUCCUAGUUUCAUCACCAACGCAUCUAAACUUGUAUAUCUAGAUAUGGGAACAAACUCUUUUUCGGGCAUUAUUCCGAACACAAUUGGUAAUAAUCUAAGAAAACUUGACUGGCUCGACUUAACAUACAAUUGCUUGACAUCUUUAACUCUAGAAUUGAGUAGUACUAGGUUGUUAAAUGACGGUAUCUUGUCAUCACAAGGAACACUAGGAAGAUUUUCAUACCAAGAUCUUUUUCGUGCAACAGAUAAAUUUAGUAAAGACAAUCUAAUUGACAUAGGAAGUUUUGGUUCUGUUUAUCGAGGAAGACUUCGUGAUGGAAUUGAGGUUGCAAUAAAAGUGUUUCACCAGAAUUUGUGCAAUGGAAUUGAUGAGUUUUGAGGCUGAAUGUGAAGUGAUGAAAAAUAUUCGUCAUCGAAAUCUUGUCAAAAUAAUCAGUAGUUGUUCGAACGAAGAUUUCAAAGCAUUAGUUCUAUAAUAUAUGCCCAAUGGGAGAUUGGAGGAUUGCUUGCAUUCUACCAAUUGUUCGUUAAAUAUUUUUGGCAGGUUGAACAUAAUGAUAGAUGUUGCAUCGGCUUUGGAAUAUCUCCACUUCAAUCAUUCAACUCCUAUCAUUCAUUGCGAUUUAAAGCCUAGUAAUGUAUUGUUAGAUGAAAAUAUGGUUGCUCAUUUGAGAUUUUGGAAUUGGAAGGCUCUUAACUGGAGACAAAUCAAUGAUACAAACAGAAACACUUGCCACAAUUGGUUAUAUGGCACCAGGUUUGCUCUGAAACAAUUUUUUUUUUUUUUUUUUUGGGUUUUCAUUUACACUUUCCAAAUUAUUAUUUUUCCAUGAUCCUUCUAUCCUAAUGUUGUUGAUUAUUUAUCUAAUGAUAAAAUCAAUUUGGUUGAUAGAAUAUGGCAUAGAAGGACGAGUAUCUACUAGAAGUGAUGUUUAUAGCUAUGGAAUUAUGUUAAUAGAAACAUUUACCAGGAAGAAACCCACAGAUGAAAUGUUUACAACAGAAUUGAGCUUGAAGCUUUGGGUUAACAACUUGCUACCUGCUUCAUUGAUGGAAGUUGUGGACAAAACUUUUUAAGUAGGGAAGAAGAAGAUUUUACUGUGAAGGAGCAGUGUGUGUUAUCAAUCCUGAGUUUAGCUAUGAAGUGUGUGAUGGAAAUGCCAGAAAAAAGGAUCAAUGCAAUAGAUAUUGUAACUAAAAUAUUGAAAAUAAGAGAUGUAUUGAGUAAAUGGUUAGCAAAUUUAGGUUAAUCUCAUUUCUUGGCAUUGAAACUUUAACUUGAAUCAAUAUAUACUUAAUUUGAAUCUUUGUAUGAGUGUAAGAAUAUGAUAUAUUUUCCUUUGAUUUUUUUUUUUGAGACAAACAUCGUAGCUAUCUUGUUUCAAAUUAAUUUUAUGCUUUUUUUUUCUUUUUCUAAGAUCAUGCCUAAGAGCCGUAGGAAGAUCAGCUACAAAUUCAAAGCCGGCUAAGGCAUUUGACAAUGGAGAGAUUGUUAGUUUUUUCUCCAUUGAAAUUAAUAUAUAUCACCUAUCCCAACUAUUUUCAUAAUGUCUAAUAACCUCCUGGCACCAUAAUUUUACCAUAUAACCCUUAUUUUUAAAUGCACUUUUAUUUAUAUUAAUAUUAAUUAAAUAAAUCAUAUGAGUUGGAAUUAAAAUUAAAAAAUUAAAGACCAAGAAUAAGAAAUAUACGUUUUAGUGUGCUUAAAAAAUUAAUAUUAAAAUAUUUUUUUUUUGUACUUUUUAUUGUCCAACCAAUGUUGACAUUUGCCUAUAUCAGGUUUUUUAUGUGUACAGUGCAGGUUCAACUUAAGCCAUUAAUAGAACAACUUGAGAGAGCAAAAGUAUUGCAAGUUCUUGAUUUUGAAAUCUCCAAGCAUAGGAAGCCAAAGCAUCUGCUUCUUCUGGGCAUGCUGCAAUGCUGGUUCUAGUUCGAACGUGACCUCUCAGUCAUCUCAAGAAGGGCUAUUCAUUGGGGACAUCGAGGUAACUUUACCCCACCCGGAGGUUUGAUAAUUCAACUUUUUUAAUAGAUUUGUCUAAUACAUUCAAUUUGAUUUUAUUAUGUACAUGUUUGGUUAAUUACCGUGUUCUGUUAAGUUCAAGUCCAGUUGCAAGUCCCAUUUGGUUUUGCAUUGUGUUCGUUCCGCCACUGAAUCCUUCAUAAAAUAGUUUAAGGUUUGGAAGUUGGUUGGAUAAAUAGUGCUAUAAUGGUAGUUACUUUCUUUUAUUUCGUUUGACUUUUCGCUAGUGUAUCACUCCUAGCAUAUAAUUAAUCAAUUCUUCCAGGCAUACCAUGACUUGAUUGUGAUGCUGUGGAUUAUCUAGGACCAUAAGCAUUUGUGUGUUAAUGUAUUAAACUUUUGCCAUACCUUUAACCAAUCUCAUAUGCAAGUAAAUAUGAUCACUUAGAUCAAAUUUCAGUUUAGACUUGAAUUGAAGUUUUAGUGUCCUGUAUGACUGGUCUUUCUCAAUUUUAUCAAACAUAUGUUUCCUUCUGAAAAUAUUAAAGUGGAUUUGAUAGUUUAAGCAAUUUGUGGUUGGAUUUUGGCAGUUUGAAGUUGUAAUUCUGGUACCAAUCAAGACGAGGAAGUGGAUGCCAAGUGUGAAACAACAAGUGGGCAUCUGAAAGUCACGCCACAUUGGAUGAUCCCACAAAAAAUGAAUCUUACAGAGGAACAACAUGGACAGAUUAAGCAGGAGCUAUAAAUGGAUAAAAUUUGAGCAGCUGGAGGAUCCAUAGAUGCCAAUAAACAACCGGAUUAUUCGAACGGACGUACCUCUAAUGGUCUAUCUGGAAAGUCCAGCGGGCAUGAAGUCUAAACGUGAAGUGGAUGAGGAGGAAGAUGAUACUAAUUCUAGAAACUUCAAGAGCUUUCAUUCUCAUGCUUUAUGAAUUUCUUUCUUGCUUCAGAAUUCAAAUGCAAGCUUUCCCUCUCAGUAUUUCUUCAUUGAGACAUUUUUCUCGAACAGGUUUAUACUUGUGUCAAACAUCUUCUGUUAUAACUAGGAAGCCAGUAAGAUUGUUUUUCAAGUACGUUAAGCGGAAACAAUAGGCAAGGCCUUUUGUCAUUAUAUCUACCACUUGAUUUUUUCUGCCCAAGUACUUACUAUUCAAUUCGUUUGUUCCAAUUUUGUCCCUAAUGAAGUGGUCUUAUAUCCCCACAAACUUUGCUCUUCCAUGAAAGACGAGAUUCUGUGCAAGUGCUAUUGCACUCUUGUUGUCACAUAACAACAGAGGAAUAAUUAAACAUACAUGAAUAUGCACUUUAGUAAGCAAGGAUCUUAACCAGCUGAUCAUUUCUGCUGCUACAUGAGACAGGGCUCUGUCUUAUACUUUUGUACUAGAUUUUGAGACCACCUUUUGCUUCUUGGAGCUACAUGAGAUCAGAUUUCUUGCGGGGUAAAAAAAUUCAUGAAAACCCUCAAGUAUUUAUGACAUUUAUAUAAAAAUAGAGUUUGAUUUUUCUUUCAAGUAUGUUCCUACAUUAAUCUCUACUUAAAAACUGAAAUAUCAUUUAAAAAAAUAAUUAUUCUUCCACCUUUAAAAUUCAAUAUUAAAGAGUAAUUUGUCAUUUUUAAUUAGAGUUAGAGGCUUGUUUUAUUAUGUAUAUAAAAUAUUUCUUAGGUGCAAGAACCCUCAUUUUUUUGUGCGGAUAUACUAUUAAACCAUGCAGUUUAAAAGUUGAUUAAAAUGAAUGGUGUAAUAGUGUGUCCAUAUAAAAAAAAAAAAAACAUAAUAAGGGCAUUGGCAUUAAAGAACAUAUAUAUUAUCCCAAUUAGGGAUCCCUAACCAUAUUAAAGUCAGGGGACAAGUUAAAAACAAAAAACAAAAACUUCAAUGUAUUUUGUCAUAUAAUGUAUUAAAAUCUGUAUUUUCUUUUAUCUUUUAGUUUAUCCCUAUUUUAAUAUGGUUAAAGAUUCGUAAUUGGAAACCCACUCUAAUUAUCUAUGUAUUUCUUAUUUUUAAUACAUUCGCACAAAUAUUUAUAUACAAUAAAUGUAUUACUUAGCCCUGCCUGAUAAAAGAUCCCGGGUCCGGCUCUGAAGGAAGAUGCAAUAUCCUCCUGCUGACGCUUCAUUAACCUUUUUCCUUUCAUUUUAAACUUUCUGAAUUAUUGCCUUUCGUAAUUCUCAUAUCAUGCAUUGAGUAUUUAUCUAACUAUGAAAUUAAUUUGAUUAAUAGAGUAUGGCAUAGAAGGACGGGUAUCUAUUAAAAGUGAUGUCGUUGCGGAAUUGAGCUUGAAGUAAGUUUUGGAUAAAUCUGCCGUAAAGAAGCAAUGUGUGCUGUCUAUCUUGAGUUUUGGAUUAAUCUCCUUAUCAUUUGUUAUCUUACUUAAUUAUAGCACUAUAUGAUAUUAUUAUACACUAUUUACAGUUUUCUGUGUUUUUUUUUUUUUUCUAAUUACUAACAUAUGAAACUCUAUUGCCUGGGAAAUUCAAGGAAUUUUGUUUGUGUAUAAUUAAUCAUUUCUUUUUUGGGAUUAAUUUAUAAUUAAUUUUGCAGAUACCAAGUAUCUAGAAAGAGCAGGACCCAGCAAGACCGGGUAAUAGAUAUAUAGAGAGAGACUUUGCAAUUGGUAAAUAUUAAGAGUGGCAGCAAUUAAAGUUGAUUAAUAUGCUAGUAUAAUAUUAGUAUUGACAUUAGGCAGAGACGGAGACUUUAGUGAAUAUUAUUGCUAUAUGAGUAAUUUUUGUAUAUGAGCGUGGCUAAUUACAAUUUCCAAAUCUCUGCGGGUUACUGAAAAUUUAAGUGCCUUGCAUAUGACUAUUAACCCAGUUUUUCAUGCUCGCUCGAAGCAUAUUGAAUUAGAUUAUCACUUCAUUUGAGAAAAAGGUUGCUGAUGGUGCCUUGGUUACGAAGUUUGUCCCUUCUUCGUUACAAAUUGCAGAUGUUUUUACUAAGGCUUUGUCAAAAGCCAUGUUCCGCAAUUUCAGAUACAAGCUUGGCGUUCAUCAAAUGUCACUUGCCAGCUUGAGGGGGGAUGUUAAGCAAGCUGACCAAGAUUACUAAAAGGAAAGUCAUCAACGGUCAAGUCAACAACGGGUUUAUCACUCCACACAACUUGCUCACGUCAAAGCUAUUUGUCAAGGAAUAUCUCCAGCACGAUUUUUGCACUUGAAUGCCAAUAUCAUGUAGGAAUAUUUCAUUCCUAUUUUAUAAAGAUAUUGUGCAAUAGUUUAGGAAGUAUUCACUUAUUUUCCUUUAAUAUUAUUAAGCCUUUUAACGGCUACUUUGUCUUUAUUUUGUAUAAAUAAUUCUGUAAAUUUCAUUAAAAAUAUAGAACAAGAAUUAUACUCUUCAUAGAAUUUCUUUCACUAAAUUCAUCAGCCUCUUGAACCCUCUCCUGAGGGCACCUUCUGUCCUCUGUUUUCUGUUACCAUACACUAACAGACAAAAGCAUUCAGAAUGACAACUGGGACAUAUAUAAGAGUGAAAUAAUUGAAAAAUUAUGCUUUUUUGUUUGUCAUGUUAAAAUCGUAAAGUGCGUAAGUACUAUGAAAGAGAUUAGUUUACGGAAACUGAAGCCAAGGGUUAAAAAAAAAAAAGGUGCAAAGAGAAUAAAGGGCAACGCUUAUGUAAAGAGACAUAAUUGUAUUGGUAGCACAAUGUCACGUUCAUACAGGGAUCAAGCAUAUUAUUUACAGGUGGUAAGGGCUAAGAAUUGAUGUAGCUAGAAUACAAAGGUGAUAAGGUAUGUUGUGCACUAUUUAUUUAUUCUACAAUCAAUCUUGACCAUUGAUGCUUGGAUCUCAAUCUUGUCCAUUGAUCUUCUCUGAUCUCGAAAACUUCAAGACCUUUCAAUCUUAUGCCUUAUUAUUGGUGUCUUCCAUGCUGUAGAUUUCAAAUACAAGGUUUCCCGCCAACUUGCCAAGUAUUUGUCCAUUGGUGCAUUUUAUCAAACAGUUUGAUACUUAUACCAAACGCCUUCUGUUUUAACUCCCCCUCUCAAGCUCAACUAUCUGGGAAGACAUUAAUAAACUUGUUUCUCAAGUAUAUGUAUCUGAAAAUGAAAUUUUAAAAAUUAUAUUCGGACUCUACAUUUUCUAAUGAACAUUGGUUUGGCUUAUAAGCUUAUUAUACUCAGGCUUGGUGGGAUUAUCGGUCGGUAGAUGACCGAGUGUUAGAGCUUUCGAAUUUAUGCCAAUUAAAAAAAAAAAAAAAAGAAUCUACAUAAAGUUUCAACUAGGCUACUACCACAAUAAACAUUUGGAUCAACUAUUAUUGAAACCUUAUUGAGAAGUGGGACAUGUCGCAUACCAAUGCACUGACAUAUCUUCAAAUAGUGGUAACUCCACACAGCAUGGCACAAUAAAUUAAGAGUUAUAUAGAUAAAAUCUUUCACUCUUUGGUAAUCAUCAAUUUCACUAUUAUUCGGUUUAUUAUGUUUGUUUCUUUCAGUAUGUUAAAAGAUUAUGUUGUGAAUUUGUUUUACAGGCUGCCCGUAAGUCUGCGCCCACCACCGGUGGUGUUAAGAAGCCUCAUCGUUACCGUCCUGGAACCGUCGCCCUUCGGUUUGUUCUCUAAUUUAAAUUUCCGUUGUAUAGCUUUAGUUGUUCUUGUCUAAUUUUGUGGGUAAUUUUGUAUAGAGAAAUUCGCAAGUACCAGAAGAGUACCGAACUGCUUAUCAGGAAACUCCCAUUCCAGGGACUUGUUCGUGAAAUUGCUCAGGACUUCAAGGUACCUUGUUAUCGUUUUGGUUGUUAUCUUUGUUAUCUUUAAAUUGGGUUCCCAAGAUUUCUUGAUAGACGGUUAAUGGCUAUUUUGUUGUCUGUUUUGCAGACUGAUCUGCGUUUCCAGAGCCAUGCAGUGCUGGCCCUGCAGGAGGCAGCCGAGGCUUAGGGCAUCUCCAAUGUAGCACUAAACCUAACACCAAAUCAUCUUUUACAUCAUUUUUGGUGUAAAAUGCUUCUCCAAUGUAACACCAAAAUGGUGCAAUGAAUAGUAUUGCACCAAAUAUGGUGCAAUACUAUUCAUUUGCACCAUAUUUGGUGCUAGGAAAAAAAGUCUCAAGUAUCCUUAUUACUUUAUCUUAUUUACAUAUAUGUCAUAUUUUAUAUAAUAUUUUAAGUUAUUAUUAUUAUUGUUAUUUUUUAAUUUCAUUUUUUAAUUUUUGAAUAUUUUAAAUAAAAAAUAUUCAACACAAAAAUUUAUAAUAAAAAUAAAAUGCCAAUAACAUUAAUUACUAGAUUACAUAUUACAAAAUUAAAAAUACAAAAUUAAAUUAACACAAAUUAAAAAAGCUACUACUACUAGCAUAAAUUAAAACAAUUAUUUAGUAAUGUGGGAGAUCAUUAUUAGAUUCUCCAAUAUCAUCAAAAUAUUUUUCUAUAUUAAUGUAAUGUUUAAUUUUCAUAAUGCACUUAUUAUUGUUAUUGUAUUUUUCUAUAUUAAUGUAAUGUUUAAUUUUUAUAAUGUACUAAUUUAGUUAAUUAAAUGCAAUAUUUAUUAAUUUUCUAUUUUUUUGUUAAUCGAUAUAAAAUUACUUAUUACUUAAUUAUCUAUAUUAAUAGUAAUAUUUAUUGUGUUAAUUGAAUUAAUUCUUGAGAAUUAAAAGAAUAAAAAGAAAAAUAUUCUUUUUGAUGUAAAAUUUGGUGUAAAUGGGUUGGAGAUGAAAUAAUAAUUUAGUGUGAAAAAGGUUCAUUUUUAGUGUUGGUGUUACACCAAAAUGAUGUUAUGCAUUGGAGAUGGCCUUACCUCGUCGGUCACUUUGAGGACACCAAUUGAAUGACUGGAAAGGGAAGGGGGAAGUUGUAAUGUGUUAAUUUGUAUGUGGGGUUCGUGGGGACGACGUCGCUUUUUCUUAGAUAUUUUUUUUCUUUUUCCUCCCUUAAAAACAGUGAAAUUACUUAUACUGGUUUUUCUAUUUUACAUUUUGAAUAUUAUUAAUUAAUAUAAUUUAAGAUAACAAUCAGGGAUAAAACAAUCAUUUUUUAUUCAAGAUCAUUUUAUCAAUAUUCUGUUAAAUAUUCUCACAAUUUAACUUUAUCCUUAACAAAAAUUUAACUUUUUUUUUUAAACUAACGGAACCAAAUUCUAUAUAUAAAUGUAUAGUACGCAUUAAUAAAUAAAUAAAACUUUGACGACCGGAGGGAAUGAAUAAAUAAAUAGAUAAAACUUUCGAAGCUCGUGAAUGUGCUAUUUUGGUUUUUUUUUUUUAGUAAUUGUUUAAUUGAAAAAAGAAAGCUUCGGGAUUUAUUUUUGACGGGACGGCUGAGAUUUGUUGACCUUCUAGAGAAUGAGAACAGAUUUUCAAUUUGUUGAUUAGUAUUCCUACAGUCCAGCCCAAAAGUACCGGCUCAAUGAGUUCGGUCAUGUUUGGUAACAGGUAUCCAUCACUUUCAAAAUCCGGUCCUACCAACGUAUCGGCUUUUACUGGCUGUCGUAUCAUCCGUGAAUGCAUGGGAGAGUGAGACUACUCCAAUCUCCACGACAGAAAUUUUAGAAUAUAUCUAUUGUAUUAUAAUUAAUUGAUACAUAUAUGACAUGUAUAAUUGAGUAUAAUAUAACCACUAUUUAUAUAAUAAUUUAUAAAAUAAAUGCACACAUAUUAUGACAUUAUUUACUUGUUAUAUGGAUAAUAAAUGCACACAUGUCAUCAGUCUUUGGUAAACAAAUUCACAAUAUAUAUUAAUCUUUGUGGAAGCUAUGUCCAAAAAAUAAAUAUUGUAAAAAAAUUUUAAUUAAUAAUUUUUUGGACAUUAAUAAAAAAAAUUAAUAUAUUAACUCCUCAUGGAGUAUUCAAAACAAUUGAUAUAAAUUUUGUUGUUUCUAUUUUACUUUUUUGGUUUAAAUUGACAAUUUAAUUUUUCUUUUUAUUAAUGUCCAAUAAAAAAGAAAUAUUAUUGUACGAGUGUAAUACUGUAAAAACAAGUCAAAAAGAAUAAAAAGUAACAAUUAGGGUGUCAAUACUUAACAACAAAGAUGUUUUGAGAUAUUUUUAAAAAUAUAAGGAUUAAACGAGAUUUUACCAUUAUUAAUUAUAGUCAUCUUUUUAUAAAUUACAAUUAGAGGAAGUUGGUUAAUGUUGUUGACACGCACGCACACAUAAAGAUUUAUUGGAAGUGCUUAUGCCGACUCGAAGUUGUUGGGAAUUAAUGCAUGUAUUGAUUUAUUGGGAGUGUUUAAAUGAUUUUGUGAUUUACUUGAUUGAUUGAAUAUUGUUUGAUUGCUUCAUAUCCAUUCUACAAAGUUUAUUUCUUUGUGAAAUUUCAACGACAUAUUUUUAAAAAAUAAUAAUAAUAAGGGUGUUCUAAAUCAUUUUAAAAAAUAUAUGGACUUAUUAGAAUUAAUUACUAGGUAAUUAACUUGAUCUGUACAGGGUGAAACAACAUUUAUCCUAAUUGUAUCAUGACAAAUACUUUUCCGAUUAGAAUUAGGAAACCAUAGGUUUAUUGAAUUAUUUUUUUUUAUUUUCGUUUGGAGAAACGGAUUAGAGAAUUAGAAAACAAUCCUAAUGAUAUAAUUAUCAGGUUUAAAACAGUGCAUAAACAGUGAAAAGCUAAUUAGUCUGUAGAGUAAUUUGCUAAUUGUUAUCUCCUCUCUAUGCGCGCUGAAUAAUUUGUUGCAUGCAAACUUUUUAUUUUAUGCAAAUCGUACUUACUGUAACAUUGGAAUUGAUGUAUAAGCAAAAUUACAAUAAUAUUUAUGUCAAUAAAAAUAGUUUUUUUUUCCUUUUUAAAUAAACACAACGCGAUGUUGCUCUGCUCUACAUUUUUGCUAUCUCUUUAUUCUUUUUUUUUUUUUGGGCUUCUUAAAGCCUCAAACUUUGAUAACCAAAACUUCAUCGACCUAUGAAAAAAUCUGCAGAUUAGUUUUUAUUAUCGGAAUAAUUGUUUGAGAAUACGAAAACAAAAUAUAAAAUAAGAAAAUAGGGGGUUAAAUUAGAGGGGGAAAAAAAGGCAUGUUCUAUCGAUUACUAUAGUUUAAGGGAAAAAAAAUCAAUUGGGGAUUUUUUUUCUUUAAUUUUUGUUUUACUUGAUGGAGAUUUCUCCUUAGUCCUUACAGUUUUAAGUUUGGAUGCCGUAGGGUUAGUAAUUUAGUACUUCCUUUGCAAGCUGAGUGUAAGAAUGAAAAUCUUUAAAGAAAUUAAAAAAGAAAAAAAUAAAAAAAGCAUACCAAUAGGCAAUUAUAAAUAACCAUAAAUAAACAUAAACAAAAUGUUUAUGAAGUAAAUUACACAUGCACAUAUUAUUUUCUUGUUUUAUUUCUUACUUGUCUAUUUUAUUUGCUGCUUGAUAACCCUUAAAUACUAAUCUAGUACUGCUAAUUUCAGACACAAAAUGUUUAACUCUAGGCUGCAGUUUUACUCAAAAUGAUGACCACUGGCUUCGCACCAUUUAACCAGCAUACAUUUCUACAAAGGGAAAAGGACAUUCAACCCCCCAACGUUUAGGAAAAUGGACAAAAAACCCUUCAACGUUUCAAAAAGGACUUAUAACCCUCUUUCUGUUAACAAACACCGUUUGUUUUAACAGUAAAUUUAUUUUUAAUUUUUAAUUACUAUUAUACCCUUAUAAUAAAAAAAUUAAUGUAUUAAUUUGAGAUAUAUCACAAUUAAUAAUUUUUUAAAAGCUUAAAAUUAAGAUACAAUUAUUUUUUUGCCAAAAUUAUUUACUAUAAAUUAUACCUUUCUAACAAUAAUAAUAUCGUUUUGAUUCCUCAAAGAAAAAGAGUUUAAUCAAAUUUCGUUUUAUUAGUAAUAAUCACAUAUGAAAGAUUUUAUCAUUAGAAACGUAUAAUUUAUAGCAAAUAAUUUGGGCAAAAAUGUAAUUGUAUCUCAAUUUUUAGUUUUAAAAAAAUUAUUAAUUGUGACAUGUCUCAAAUCAAUAUAUUAAUUUAUAUUUAUUAUAAGGGUAUAAUAGUAAUUAAAAAUUAAAAAUAAAUUUACUGUUAAAACAAACGGUAUUUAUUAACGGAAAGAGGGUUAUAAGUCCUUUUUAAAAUAUUGAGGGGUUUUUUGUCCCUUUUCCUAAACGUUGGGGGGUUGAACGUCCUUUUCCCUUCUACAAAUUGAACAAGGCUAUUAAUUUUCAUUAUUAUUUUUUAUUUAUUUAUAAAUUACUAUUUUAAUUUUCACUUUUUAUUGGGUUGUUUAACGGAUUAGUGAAGUUGGUGGUCGUGAUGCACUCACAAGGUACAAUUUUAUUUUAUAAUUUCGAAUUUGUAUUUUAAAAUGCAGGAACAUUAUGUAUACAUAAUUAUUGAUUUUCGUAUGUGGAUGUUUUGAAAUAUUGCUAAAAGACCAAACUUUAAUAAACUAUUUUUCAUCUUUUUUUUCCUAAAGUUUGAGUGAUAUCCGCAUUUUAAAUUCAUCUGGAACAAAAGCUAAUGUAUGCACAAAAUUCUUUUAUUUUUUCCGAGAAAAAUGGGUAAGAGAAGAAGAUUUUUCUCUUGAAAAAGAAAAACUAAUACGAUGCAAGCAUAGGAAAGAGGUCAAUGUUUUGGAUUAGAAUUUAGUAUUGAGCUGAAUUUUAUACUAAACUCUUUUAUAGUACUGCGAUUAAUAAACUCAUGAUUUGCUUUUGCUUUUACUUCAAGUGAAAGAAAGAGGAAACCUUUUGUUUUUUGUUUGAUUCUUGACUAUAGAUGUUACCUAUAUAGAGAGUUGAGGUAGCUACCUUAAGUGAUGGUGAUAAAAAGAUUAAGCAGCGCACACAAUCUUACUGUCGUCCAGACCAUCCAGCUGUGAUGACUCUAGUUUUUUGGGUUACAUUAGCUUUAGUGGAAAGGAGGGCCAAUUUAACAAAGACUAGAUUUGGUGGCUUACUAUAAUGCUUAUUCUCAGGGAAUCUAAUGUUAUAAGAUGAUUUAAUGAUCUUCUAUGAUUGUGAGUAGUAUAGUAUAAUUGAAAAGAGCCUGGGCUCCUAUGAUGAAUAUAUAAUAGUAACACAGUACUGUGAUUGAAAAAAACACAGUUACAAUAAACUCUUCAUUUAUUCAUUGCGGAGAUUGAAUGGCAAAGAGAGAAUAAAAUGAAGCAGAGGAAUCUCAUUGCCAGUAAAAUUGAUCCUCUUUAAUGUUAUAUGGCACAGGUGUGUGUACAGCAAGAGCAAGUUACUUGCAGUUUUUAUUGUAAAAUAUACAGGUUAUGACCAUGAUCAUUGUAGUUAGGUUUUGAUGAUUUUAGAUGCUUUUUUUUUAUUUUUUUAAAUUGUGACACCUUUGAUUUAUGGUAGUUUUGCAGAAGAAAAAAAUAUAUAUAAAAAUUAGGAGGGAUGAGUUAACUAACGAUUGCAAUCAUUACAGUAAUGUUGAUGAGUGAUACAUCAUUUGAAAUUUACUUGUCAGUUGCUGAAAUGAUGAAAAAAAACAAUAAACAAUAGCAGUAAUAUUUUUAUGGAAAUUCUUGGUUUUUAUGGAAAUACUCUUGCUGAAAUUCUAAUUUUGACUUUCAACUCUUGGUUUUUAUGGAAAGUAAAAUGACUUGUUUGUUAUAUUCAUACAACCCACUCUACAUAAUGAUUUCAUUUUAAUAAAUGGUUGAUGAUCUCCACAGAAAAACUACUUCAAUUCUUUUUUUUUUUAUUUAACUUUUUGGUUGUUGAAAAUAGCCUUAAUUUUCAAAUCAUUGGAGAAAGAGUAAAGAACAUUUAACAAAUUUAUGUGCCAAAAAUAAAGGAGAAAUUGAAGAGAAAGGGUGCUUGCAGAAGUGGGUGCAAAGAUAAAUCAGUCCAUAAGAAUUAUUGUGGUUAUUAAUUUUUUGGCAAUAUAAAAAUUUUUCAGCAAAUAAAAAUUGAAUUUUCCGAUUUACUAAAAAAUCAAUUAAAAACUUCGGCGAUAGCAUUUUUUAUGGGUGCAUGUACCCUCCCUUUAAAAAAAAAUAAUAAUUAAUACUUAAUAUAGUAUUAAAUACGAAAAUAUCAAUAUUUGACUACACAAAUUUAUAUCAUUAGGUCCUUAAAAUUUAAAAUUGAAGACACAAAAUGAAAUAUAUAUAAAUUUCAUUCUCAUAGGAAAGGAUCCUCUUAUAAUCUUAAAAUAUUUGAGCUUUGAAAGAUUUUUUAAAACAAAUGUACUUUUAUUUUUGUACAAUCAAUAAUUACUUAUUUAUUAUAUUUUUAUUCAUUAACUAUCAAUCAUGUGAGUAUAUCUACUCAGAAAUAUCAUAUCAAGGGAGAAUCUUGAUCCCACGCACACGCAAAUAUGUUAAUUUCUAUACGCUUCACUUACCUGUAGAAUCAAUUAUCUAAAAUGCAAGUUUGUGGCCACAAAAAAAGCCAAAGAAAGAAGAUAAUAACAAUUGACUUGUAUAUUAUACUCAUACAAUCCACUCGACAUAAUGAUAUCAUUUUAAUAAGGCAAUGGCUGAUGAUCUCCAUUGAAAAACUAAUUCAAUUUUUUGCUUCAUUUAACUUGUUGGUUGUUGAAAAUAACCUUAAUUAUCAAAUAAUUGGAGAAAGAGUAAAGAACAUUUAACAAAUUUAUGUGCAAAAAAAAAAAAAAGAAAGGAGAAGUUGAAGAGAAAGGGUGCUUGCAGAAGUGGGUGUCAAAGAAAAAUCAGUCCAUAAUAAUUAUUGCCGUUAUUUUUUGGCAAUAUAAAAUUUUUAUAGCAAGUAAAAAUUAAUUUUUUUCCAAUUUACUAAAAACUUCUGCGACAGCAUUUUUUAUGGGUGCUUAUACCAUCCCUUUAAAAAAAAUAAUAAUAAUUUAAUGCUUAAUAUAGUAUUAAAUACGAAAAUAUCAAUAUUUGACUACUCAAAUUUAUAUCAUUAGGUCCUUAAAAUUUAAAAUUGAAGAUACGAAAGGAAAUAUAUAUAAAUUUCAUUCUCAUGGAAAGGAUUCUCUUAUAAUCUUAUAAUAUUUGAGUUCUGAUUUUUUUUUUAAACAAAUGUAAUUUUAUUUGUGCACAAUCAGUAUUUACUUAUUUAUUAUAUUUUAAUUUAUUAACUAUCAAUCAUGUAAGUAUAUUUAGUCAGAAAAAUUAUAUCAAGAGAGAAUCCUAAUUUCACGCAAACACAAAUAUAAGACAAAUAUGUCAAUUUCUAUACUAUUCACUUCCUGUAGAAUCAAUUAUCUAAAAUGCAAGUUUGUGGCUACAGAAAACUCGCCAAAGAAAGAAGAUAAUAACAAUUGAGCAUUGAUAGCAAAACUAAUGCAUCAUUUUAUUCUUGACUUGAUGAGAUGGUGGCAUUACAAAAAAAACAAGUACCUUAAUUGACGGGCACUGAGUGAUGUGAAUACUACCAGCCAGUUCAUCUCUUCCAGUCUUGCUUAAUCACAAUCACAAACACCACGAGAUCGACAUUUGCAUUAUAUAUAUCUUCAGCAAUCGAAACACCUUGCAUUACCAAAUUAACCAGUAACAAACAAAGCAAUCUUUCAUGGAGAGAAACCUUAGUCUCAGUAUGAUCACUGUGUCAUUAACCCACUGCCUGCUUCUUUGCUUGGUUGUUGCAGCAGCAGCAGCAGCAAGCAACAAUAUUACCACAGACCAACAAGCUCUUCUUGCCCUGAAAGAUCAUAUAACUUAUGAUCCAACCAACCUUUUUGCCCAUAAUUGGACCUCGAAUACCUCUGUUUGUACCUGGAUUGGCAUCACUUGUGAUGUCAAUAGCCAUAGAGUCACAGCCUUAGAUAUUUCUCAAUUCAAUCUACAAGGCACCAUCCCUCCUCAACUCGGAAACCUCUCUUCACUCACAACGCUUAAUCUUAGUCAUAACAGGCUUUCUGGAAACGUUCCCUCCUCCAUCUACACAAUGCAUACGCUAAAAUUUCUUGACUUCACUGAUAACCAGCUCUCUGGUUCAGUGUCUUCCUUCGUCUUCAACAUGUCUUCAAUAGUAGACAUUCGUUUGACCAAUAACAGACUUUCUGGUGAGCUUCCGAAAACUAUUUGCAACUAUCUUCCUCAUUUGAAAGCCCUUUUUUUGGACAAAAACAUGUUUCAUGGCAAAUUUCCUUCUGCUUUAUCAAAGUGCAAACAACUGCAACAAUUAAAUUUGCAGUUCAAUAAUUUAUCCGGUGCAAUACCAAAAGAAAUCGGCAACUUGACUAUGCUCAAAUGGAUAGACCUCGGCUACAACAAACUCCACGGUAUGUCCAUAAUAAUAUGUAAAUAUUUUAAUUUCUCACUUGUUAUUUUUCUUGAAUACUUUAGAUAAGAUUUGUAAGGGAGAUUUUUUUGCAUCUGUGUUAAUUUGCUAGGUGAGAUACCCCACGAAAUCGCUCAUCUUCGAAAUCUAGAGGAUUUAGUGCUUGGAAUGAACAACCUAGUUGGUGUGGUAUCAGCUACAAUCUUCAACAUGUCAACACUGAAGGUAAUUAUUCUCGCAAAUAACUCUCUCUCCGGAAGUCUUCCAUCAAGAAUAGACCUUUCACUUCCAACUAUUGAGCAUCUUAGCUUGGCACUUAAUAGAUUUUCUGGAACCAUUCCUAGUUCCAUCACCAAUGCUUCUAAGCUCACCUUGCUAGAAUUGGGAGGAAACACAUUUUCAGGCUUUAUUCCAAAUACAGUUGGUAAUUUAAGAAACCUUGAGAGACUCGGCUUGGCUAAUAACUCCUUGACAUCUUCCACCUCAAGAUUGAGUUUUCUUUCCUCUUUGGCAAAUUGCAAGAAAUUAAGAUCCUUAAACUUAAAUGGAAAUCCACUUGACGGCUUCCUUCCAAGUUCAAUAGGUAAUCUUUCCAUGUCUUUGAAAAUACUUCUCAUCGCCAAUUGCAGUAUUAUUGGCAACAUUCCUCCAGCAAUUAGCAAUUUAAGCAACUUGUUGGCCUUAGUAUUAGACCGCAAUAAAUUGACUGGACCAAUUCCAAUUACAUUCGGCCGACUGCAGAAACUCCAAGGCUUAUAUCUUGCAUCCAAUAAGUUGGUAGGUUCAUUCCCAGAUGAGCUUUGCCAUCUAGCUAGGCUGGCUGAAUUGGUCUUAUUGGGCAAUAAGCUUUCAGGAUCUAUACCUUCAUGCUUAAGUAACCUCACUUCUCUGAGAUCUCUCUACUUAGGGUCCAAUAGGUUUACUUCUGUUAUUCCCUCAACCUUCUGGAGCCUAAAAGACAUCUUGUUCUUUGACUUUUCAUCAAAUUUCUUUGUUGGUACUCUUUCUUUCGACAUAGGUAAUUUGAAGGUGCUUCUAGGAAUAAAUUUAUCAGAAAAUAACUUAUCGGGUGAUAUCCCAGCCACAAUUGGAGGAUUAAAAAACCUUCAAAUUAUGGACCUAGCAUAUAAUAGAUUGGAAGGGCAAAUUCCUGAAUCAUUUGGUGACUUGACAAGUUUGGAGUUUUUGAAUUUGUCAAAUAAUAAAAUCUCUGGGUCUAUUCCAACAUCCAUGGAGAAACUGUUUUUCCUCCGAGUGUUAAAUCUCUCUUUCAAUAAACUAGAAGGUGAGAUUCCUAGUGGAGGAAUUUUUGCCAACUUCACGGCUGAGUCAUUUAUGGGAAAUGAGUUAUUGUGUGGUUUACCAAAUCUUCAAGUCCAACCAUGCAAAGUUAGCAAGCCGAGGAAAGAACAUAAAUCAAGGAAAAAGAUACUUCUCAUUGUGAUUGUUUUGCCAUUGAUUAUUGCUCUAACAAUAGCAAUCACUCUAGCUCUCAAAUCUAAGCGGAUUGAAUGUGGAAAAAGAAGCACAGUGUUGUCAAAUGAUAGUGUCUUGUCAUCACAAGCAACACUAAGAAGAUUUUCAUACUUAGAACUUUUACGAGCAACAGAUAAUUUUGCUGAAAACAACAUAAUUGGCAGAGGAGGUUUUGGUUCUGUUUAUAGAGCAAGACUUGAAGAUGGGAUGAAGAUUGCAAUAAAAGUGUUUCAUCAGCAAUGUACAAGCGCAUUGAAGAGUUUUGAAGUUGAAUGUGAAGUGUUAAAAAAUAUUCGCCAUCGAAACCUUCUCAAAGUUAUCAGCAGUUGUUCGAACCAUGACUUCAAAGCAUUAGUCCUAGAAUACAUGUCCAACGGGAGCUUGGGGGAUUGGCUGCAUUCGAGCAAUUAUGUGCUGAAUAUAUUUCAGAGGUUGAACAUAAUGAUUGACGUUGCAUCAGCUUUAGAAUAUCUCCACUUCGAUCAUUCAACUCCUAUUAUUCAUUGUGACUUAAAGCCUAGUAAUGUAUUGUUGGACGAAAAUAUGGUUGCUCAUUUGAGUGAUUUUGGCAUAGCAAAGCUUUUAAGUGGAGAGGAUGAGUCUACGAUGCGAACAAAAACCCUUGCCACUAUAGGUUAUAUGGCACCAGGUUUGCUUCGAACAACUUUUUUUUUUUAGUUCAUUUUAAAUUUUGCAACUUAUUGAUUUUUACGAUCCUCACAUCAAAAUGUUAUUGAUUAUUUAUCUAAUUGUGAAAUUAAUUUGAUUCAUAGAGUACGGCAUAGAAGGAGAAGUAUCUACAAAAAGUGAUGUUUACAGCUAUGGGAUUAUGUUGAUGGAAACUUUUACCAAGAAAAAACCCACAGAUGAAAUUUUUGUUGCAGAAUUGAGCUUAAAACGUUGGGUUAAUGACUUGCUUCCUACUUCAUUAGUGGAAGUUGUGGACAAAACUCUGCUAAGUGGAGAGGAAAAACAUUUUGCAUCAAAGGAGCAAUGUCUGUUGUCUAUCUUUAGUUUGGCUCUGGAGUGUACAAUGGAAUCACCGGAAAAGAGGAUCAAUGCAAAAGAUAUUGUUACCAGAUUACUCAAGAUAAGAGACACAUUGAGUAAAAGGAUAGGAAACUUAAGUUAAUUUCGUUUGCUUUCAUUGAUAGUUAAUUCGAAUUCAUGUAAUAAGUGUAAGAAUCUUAUAUCUUUUCCUUUGAUAUAUUUUUUUUCUUGAGAAAACUGUUGUAGUCAUGUUGUUUCCAUGGGUAGAGUUGAUUUAGUUCUUCCAAAAAAUGCUACUGAUGACCUUUGUUUUAUACUUUCUCUUUUUUUGCAUGUGUUUAGGUAGAACAGUGGUUUGGCUGCAGGCUAAGAAGUCUAACUACACUAAAAGAAUAUGAUUUAAUUUAUUAAACAAAACUUCAAGUUCAAGAAAAGUAUUUCACUGCCCCCAAUGCUUUGGACACGUACUGGUAGUUUUGUACGUGUCCUCAACUUUUUUUUGGAGCACAAAAUUCGAGUCCCAUGGAGACUCAAACAUUCCUUUCCCACAUCCCGAGCACGCUAAAUUUAUCAGACUGACAACGGGGACAUAUACAAGAGUGAAAUGUUUAGAGCACGCUAAGUUCGAGUGAAAGAGAUUAAUUUACGGAAACUAAAGCCAAGGGUUCAGAAAAAAGUGCAAAGAGAAUAAAGGACAACACUUUUGUGAAGCGACAUUGUUGUAUUGAUAGCACAAUGUCAUAUUCAUACAGAGAUCUAGAAUAUUAUUUACAGCUGGUAAGGGCUAAGAAUUGAUGUAGCUAGAAUACAAAGACGAUAAGGUAUGUUGUGCACUAUUGUUUUAUUCUACGAUCAAUCUUGACCCUUGAUGCUUGGCUCUCAAUCUUGUCCACUGAUCUUCUUUGAUUUUGGACACUUCAAGACCUUUCAGUAUCAUGCCUUGUUAUUGGUGUCUUCCGUGCUGUGGAAUUCAUGUACAAGCUUUCCCGCCGACUUGCCAAGUAUUCGUUCAUUGAUGCAUUUUUAUCAAACAGCUGGGCUACUUAUACCAAACACCGCCUGGUUUAACUCCCCUUCUCUAGCUCAACUAUCUAGGAAGACAAUUAAUUGAGAUAUGAAUCAGAAAAUUAAAUUUUAAAAAUUAUAUUCGGACUCUACAUUUUGUAAUGAACAUUGGUUUGAAUUGUUAUACAUUUAUGCGUACAUAAUUAAUAACCGAUUCUCAAGUGCGGACAUUCAAGAGCACUGCUUAAAGACCAAAUAUUUUGAUUUACUAUUUUUUGACUUACAAUUUUCUUUUAAGUUUUGAUGACGUCCGCAUUUUAAAAUCCUGUGGAACAAAGGCCUGAGGUGCAUAUAAAAUUCUUUUAUAUAAAAUUUGGGGUUCAAUAAAUUAUCGGGAGCCAUACCGAAAGAAAUCGGCAACUUUAUUAUGCUUCGAACGAUAUCUCUCAGAAAUAAUAAACUUCGCGGUAUAAAUGUUUAUAAUAUAUACUUUGUAAAUGCUCUUAUUAAUCAUUCUUAAACUUUCUUAGAGACUUUUGUCUAAAUAAAUUUCGUAAGAGAGUUUUUUGCAUCUCUGUUAAUUUUGCAGAUGAGAUACCUCACGAAAUUGGGUAUCUUCCAAAUCUAGAGAAUUUGGCGCUUGGAUUCAACAACCUGGUAGGUGUUGCACCUGCUGCAAUCUUCAACAUGUCAACAGUGAAAGAAAUUUACCGGUUAGAUAACUCUCUCUCGGGAAGUUUUUCAUCAGGAAUAGACCUUUCACUUCCUGAACAGAUUUUCUGGAACCAUUCCUAGUUUCAUCACCAACGCAUCUAAACUUGUAUAUCUAGAUAUGGGAACAAACUCUUUUUCGGGCAUUAUUCCGAACACAAUUGGUAAUAAUCUAAGAAACCUUGACUGGCUCGACUUAACAUACAAUUGCUUGACAUCUUUAACUCUAGAAUUGAGCUUUCUUUCCUCUUUGACAAAUUGCAAGAAAUUAAGAUUCUUAGGCUUAACAGGCAAUCAACUUGACGGUGUCCUUCCAACUUCAAUAGGUAAUCUUUCUAUGUCUUUGGAAAACAUUUACAUCUCAAAUUGUAGUAUUGGCGGCAGCAUUCCUCAACUAAUCAGCUAUUUAAGCAAUUUGUUGCUCUUAGAUUUAGAAGGCAAUAAGUUGACUGGAUCAAUUCCAGUCACAUUCGGCCGGUUGCAGAAACUCCAAGGUUUAUAUCUUCCAUUUAACAAGUUAGCAGGAUCAAUCCCAGACCAGCUUUGCCAUUUAGCUAGACUGGAUACAUUAGGUUUGGCUGGUAAUAAGUUUUCUGGAUCAAUCCCUUCAUGUUUAGGUAAUCUCACUUCUCCACGGUUUCCCGACUUAGGGUCCAAUAGGCUUACAUCAGUCUUGCCCUCGACUUUUUGGAAUCUAAAAGACAUUUUGUUCUUUGACCUUUCAUCAAAUUCUUUGGAUGGUCCUCUUUCUUUAGACAUAGGAAAUUUAAAGGUUGUGAUAGGUAUAAAUUUAUCACGAAAUAACUUUUCAGGUGAUAUCCCAAGUACAAUUGGAGGUCUAAAAGACUUACAGAAUAUCUCCUUAGCAUGUAAUGGAUUGGAAGGUCUAAUUCCUGAAUCAUUUGGUUACUUGACAGGUUUGGAAAUUUUAGAUUUGUCAAAUAACAAAAUCUUUGGGUUUAUUCCGAUAUCUUUCGAAAAACUCUUGUACCUCAAAAGCUAAAUUUGUCUUUUAACAAACUAGAAGAAGAGAUUCCUAGGGGAGGACCUUUUGCAAAUUUCACAGCUAAGUCAUUCAUGGGAAAUGAGAAAUUGUGUGGUUUACCAAAUCUCCAAUUCCCAAAAUGCAAGCGUCGGACGCGUUGAAAAUCAAAGAAAAAGAUGCUUCUACUUGUGAUUGUCUUGCCAUUGAGUACUGCUCUAAUAAUCGUAAUCCCUCUAGCUCUCAAAUAUAAAUCGAUAAGAGGUGGAAAGAGUAGUACUAGGUUGUUAAAUGAUGUUAUCUUGUCAUAACAAGGAACACUAAGAAGAUUUUCAUACCAAGAUCUUUUUCGUGCAACAGAUAAAUUUAGUAAAGACAAUCUAAUUGACAUAGGAAGUUUUGGUUCUGUUUAUCGAGGAAGACUUCGUGAUGGAAUUGAGGUUGCAAUAAAAGUGUUUCACCAGAAUUUGUGCAAUGGCAUUGAAGAGUUUUGAGGCUGAAUGUGAAGUGAUGAAAAAUAUUCGCCAUCGAAAUCUUGUCUAAAUAAUCAGUAGUUGUUCGAACGAAGAUUCCAAAGCAUUAGUUCUAUAAUAUAUGCCCAAUGGGAGAUUGGAGGAUUGCUUGCAUUCUACCAAUUGUUCGUUAAAUAUUUUUGGCAGGUUGAACAUAAUGAUAGAUGUUGCAUCGGCUUUGGAAUAUCUCCACUUCAAUCAUUCAACUCCUAUCAUUCAUUGCGACUUAAAGCCUAGUAAUGUAUUGUUAGAUGAAAGUAUGGUUGCUCAUUUAGUGAUUUUGGAAUUGGAAGGCUCUUAACUGGAGAUCAAUCAAUGACAUAAACAGAAACACUUGCCACAAUUGAUUAUAUGGAACCAGGUUUGCUCUGAAACAAUUUUUUUUUUUUUGAGUUUUCAUUUAGACUUUCCAAAUUAUUAUUUUUUCCAUGAUCCUUCUAUCCUAAUGUUAUUGAUUAAUUAUCUAAUGAUAAAAUCAACUUGGUUGAUAGAAUAUGGCAUAGAAGGACGAGUGUCUACAUGAAGUGAUGUUUAUAGCUAUGGAAUUAUAUUAAUAGAAAUAUUUACCAGGAAGAAACCCACAGAUGAAAUGUUUACUACAGAAUUGAGCUUGAAGCUUUGGGUUAACAACUUACUACCUGCUUCAUUGAUGGAACUUGUGGACAAAACUCUUUUAAGAAGGGAAGAAGAAGAUUUUACUAUGAAGGAGCAGAGUGUGUUAUCAAUCCUGAGUUUAGCUUUGAAGUGUGUGAUGGAAAUGCCAGAAAAAAAGAUCAAUGCAAUAGAUAUUGUAACUAAACUAUUGAAACUAAGAGACAUACUGAGCAAAGGUUAGCAAAUUUAGAUUAACCUCAUUUCUUGGCAUUGAUAUUUUAACUUGAAUCAAUAUAUACUUAAUUUGAAUCGAUGUAUGAGUGUAAGAAUAUGAUAUAUUUUCCUUUGAUUUGUUUUUUCUUGAGAGAAAUAUCGUAGCUAUCUUGUUUCAAAUUAAUUUUAUGCAUUUUUUUUCUUUUUCUAAGAUCAUGCCUAAGAGCCGUAGGAAGAUCAGCUAAAAAUUCAAAGCCGGCUAAGGCAUUGGAAGAUGGAGAGAUUGUUAGUUUUUUCCCUAUUGAAAUUAAUAUAUAUCACCUAUCCCAACUAUUUUCAUAAUGUGUGAUAACCUCCUGCCACUAUAAUUUUACCAUAUAAUCCUUAUUUUUAAAUACACUUUUAUUCAUAUUAAUAUUAAUUAAAUAAAUCAUAUGAGUUGAAAUUAAAAUUAAAAAAUUAAAUGCCAAAAAUAAGAAAUAUACGUUUUAGUGUGAUAAAAAAAAUAAUAUUAAAAUAUUUUUCUUGUACUUUUUAUUAUACAACCAAUGUUAAGUUCAAGUCCAGUUGCAAGUCCCAUUUGGUCAUGCAUUGUGUUCGUUUCGCUACUGAAUCCUUCAUAAAAUAGUUUAAGGUUUGGAAGUUGGUUGGAUAAAUAGUGCCAUAAUGGUAGUUACUUUUUUUUAUUUCGUAUGACUUUUCGCUAGUGUAUCACUCCUAGCAUAUAAUUAAUCAAUUCUUCCAGGCAUACCAUGACUUGAUUGUGAUGCUGUGGAUUAUCUAGGAAGCAUUUGUGUGUUAAUGUAUUAAACUUUUGUCAUACUGUAUGACUGGUCUUUCUCAGUUUUAUCAAACAUAUGUUCCUUCUGAAAAUAUUAAAGUGGAUUUGAUAGUUUAAGCAAUUUGUGGUUGGAUUUUGGCAGUUUGAAGUUGUAAUUCUGGUACCAAUCAAGACAAGGAAGUGGAUGCCAAGUGUCAAACAACAAGUGGGCAUCUGAAAGUCACGCCACAUUGGAUGAUCCCACAAAAAAUGAACCUUACAGAGGAACAACAUGGACAGAUUGAGCAGGAGCUAUAAAUGGAUAAAAUUUGAGCAGCUGGAGGAUCCAUAGGUGACAAGAAACAACCGGAUUAUUCGAACGGACGUACCUCUAAUGGUCUAUCUGGAAAGUCCAGCGGGUAUGAAGUCUAUACGUGAAGUGGAUGAGGAGGAAGAUGAUACUAAUUCUAGAAACUUCAAGAGCUUUCAUUCUCAUGCUUUAUGAAUUUCUUUCUUGCUUCAGAAUUCAAAUGCAAGCUUUCCCUCUCAGUAUUUCUUCAUUGAGACAUUCUUCUCGAACAGGUUUAUACUUAUGUCAAACAUCUUCUGUUAUAACUAGGAAGCCAGUAAGAUUGUUUUUCAAGUACGUUAAGCGGAAACAAUAGGCAAGGCCUUUUGUCAUUAUAUCUGCCACUUGAUUUUUUCUGCGCAAGUACUUCUUAUUCAAUUCGUUUGUUCCAAUUUUGUCCCUAAUGAAGUGGUCUUAUAUCCCCACACACUUUGCUCUUCCAUGAAAGACUAGAUUCUGUGCAAGUGCUAUUGCACUCUUGUUGUCACAUCACAACAGAGGAAUAAUUAAACAUACAUGAAUAUGCACUUUAGUAAGCAAGGAUCUUAACCAGCUGAUCAUUUCUGCUGCUACAUGAGACAGGGCUCUGUAUUAUACUUUUGUACUAGAUUUUGAGACCACCUUUUGCUUCUUGGAGCUACAUGAGAUCAGAUUUCUUGCGGGGUAAAAAAAUUCAUGAAAACCCUCAAGUAUUUAUGACAUUUAUAUAAAAAUAGAGUUUGAUUUUUCUUUCAAGUAUGUUCCUACAUUAAUAUCUACUUAAAAACUGAAAAUAUCAUUUAAAAAAAUAAUUAUUACUCCACCUUUAAAAUUCAAUAUUAAAGAGUAAUUUGUCAUUUUUAAUUAGAGUUAGAGGCUUGUUUUAUUAUAUAUAUAAAAUCAUUCUUAGGUGCAAGAACCAUCAUUUUUUUGUGCGGAUACAGUAUUAAACCAUGCAGUUUAAAAGUUGAUAAAAUGAAUGGUUUAAUAGUGUGUCCAUAUAAAAAAAAAAAACAUAAUAAGGGCAUUGGCAUUAAAGAACAUAUAUAUUAUCCCAAUUAGGGAUCCCUAAUCAUACUAAAGUCAGGGGACAAUUUAAAAAAUAAAAAAACAAAAACUUCAAUACAGUAUAUUUUGUUAUAUAGUAUAUUGAAAUAUGUAUUUUCUUUUGUCUUUUAGUUUAUCCCUAUUUUAAUAUGGUUAAAGAUUUGUAAUUAGAAACUCACUCUAAUUAUCUAUGUAUUUACUAUUUUUAAUACAUUCACACAAAUAUUUAUAUACAAUAAAUGUAUUACUUAGCCCUGCCUGAUAAAAGAUCCCGGGUCCGGCUCUGAAGGAAGAUGCAAUAUCCCCCUGCUGACGCUUCAUUAACUUUUUCCUUUCAUUUUAAACUUUCUGAAUUAUUGCCUUUCGUAAUUCUCAUAUCAUGCAUUGAGUAUUUACCUAUAUGAAAUUAAUUAUUGAUUAAUAGAGUAUGGCAUAGAAGGGCGGGUAUCUAUUAAAAGUGAUGUUUACAGCUAUGGAAUUAUGCUAAUGGAAACAUUUACCAAGAAGAAACCCACAGAUGUUGUCGCGGAAUUGAGCUUGAAGUGUUGGAUUAAUGACUUGUUACCUAUUUCAUUGAUGGAAUUGUUGUGGACAUAAAUCUGCUAAGUGGAGAGGAAAGACAUUUUUGCCGUAAAGAAGCAAUGUGUGCUGUCUAUCUUGAGUUUGGCUUUGGAGUGUACCAUGGAAUCACCCGAAUAGAGGAUCGAUGCAAAAGAUAUUGUUACUAGACUUUUGAAGAUAAGAGAUAAGUUGACUAAAAGUUAAGCAAAUUUAAAUUAACUUCUUCUCUUUUCUUUUCUUUUCUUUUCAUUGUAAUGAACUUUAAUCCAUGUUAUGAGAAGACUCUUACAGCAAGAAGUGUAAGAACAUUGAAUAUUUUCCUCAGAUAUUUUGUUGAGAAAACUAUUGUAGCCAUCUUUUUCCCAUGGGAGCUGCAAUGAGCAGACUCUUCAACAAUGUGCAAUAUUAUACAGUAUAUUCAAAGACACACUAUCACACUAAAAAAUCUUGAGUUGACUCCUUAAUUUAUUUCAUCAAUCCCCACUUUUGAGUUAAUAUUAUUUAUCUUAGGAUUGUCCUUAUUGAAAAAUAAAAAUAAUUAAAAAAAUAAAUAUUUUUUCAUUCUCUCAAGCUCUUAGUAGAUUAAAUUCUUAUCUCUCACAACUCUCUCAUCGUUUUAAUUUAUUCAUAAUUUGAAUCAAAUAUUAACUCUUGAUCAAACCCCAAAUUAAAAUAAACAAAAUAUUAGAUUAUCACACAAAAUCAAAACCAGUAUUAUCAAUAACAACAAAAAUUACCGCUCAUCCAUUAAAUUUAACAAAAACCAACAUUUAAAUUCAUCAAAUAUUGGUGGAGGUAGUGGAUUCAUGGUGAAGAAAAUAGAUGAUGGGAAUGAACUCGUUGUUGAUGAAGUGGUGGGGGUGAUAAUUAUAUACGAGGGAGGGGAAGGUAGAGACAGAAUAAAAAUAAUAUUUUUUUUGUUUCAAUAAAGAUAAUUCUACAAAAUAAUAAGAUUAAUUGAUAAGCGGGGUUGAUGAGAUAAUUUGAGGGGUUCAAAUAUCAUUACUCAUAUCCGUUUACAUGAAGCUAAUUAAAAAUAGUGAAGUAAUUAAAUACGCUAAUCAUACACAGCUGCAAUGUAUUAAAACAGCCUAAUGAGCUUAGCCUCAAAUUGACCCUCACCGUUGAUCUGCCAUUCCUAUCGUCACUACUUGCCACCUCGCAUUGUAUCAAUAUCUCUUCGUAACACAUAAACAGAAUCAAUUCUUGUACCAAAUUACCAAAUUACCACAAAACUGUUAGAGAGUCGGUGUGAUUUACUCACUGUUAAAUAAUAAAGAGAGUAAAUUUUAUUUUUAUUUUUUUUAAAUUUGAAUCUACCCGCCACUUCCAAAACAGAGAAAGCGUCGUCGUUUUACGAUGGCUCCAUCAUCAUUUCCAUCUCCUCUCGAACGCACUGUCGCUUCAGCUCUUCUCCUUCUCUCCGUCUCCGACAAACCUCCCUCUCUCACUUCUCCACUGUAAGAUCUUCAUUAUUUCACUCUUAAAACUGUUUUUGUUUCUUAUUUGUUUUUCCUUAUUGAUUUGUUUGAUGUUUGUUUAAUGCUGCUGAAGAGCAAGAGCAGCAGCCGGGACGAAGAGAGCGUGAGCUUACUGUCGAGUGGAGAUUCAAAACGGUGCGUUUCAACGGUUACUAGUGAAUAUGCCUCCUCCAGUGAGAUCCGAGCUCAUAAGCUGAGGAUCAUCGCUGUUGUGGCUCGCUGUCAUGAAGUGAAACUCAAGGUACAUAUUCUUCUGUUUGGUUUAAUAUAUAUGAUUAUGUAAAUGGUUUCGUAGUUCUUAGUUUGAAUUUGAUCUGAAGUUGUUUGUUUGAUAAUAAAAUGAAAUCACAUCUCUGUUUUCUACUUCGUAAACAGUCAUCUCUUCGGAAUCAAUUUUUUGUGUUGUUCAUGUUGAAUUUUAUCAAAAGUGAUCAUUAAAACUUGUUUUUCUCAAAUUUAUGUUUGAUCUCUCAGUUUUUUUUUUCUCGACUCUUCAAUUCAAUUUCACUGGAAAUUUACUAGAAGAUUCAAAUUCUGUUCUGCUUGGACCUGUUUCGUUUUGAAUUCUCGUAAUCAUUUGAAGGCUCAAGCAACUUAAAUUUUGUUAAAACAUUUUAAUUAGCUUCGAUAAAUUUGUAAUUCACUUGCUCAUAGAUGUGAUCUCUCCGUUUCACCUCAAUUUUGCGCAUUGUUUGCUCAUAAUCUUUGUUUUUAACUUGAUUUUAAAAAAUGAUUUUAAGAUUUUAUUUUCAAUUUUUAGCUCUUUCAUCCUGUUAUCAUUUAUUUUUCUAUAAUUAAUUUCAUUUCUCUUAGUCUGAAUAUGAAUUUAAAUUGUUUUCUUUUAGUUCUGUUCUGAGACUUUGCAAUUGGUAAAUAUUAAGAGUGGCAGCAAUUAAAGUUGAUUAAUAUGCUAGUAUAAUAUUAGUAUUGACAUUAGGCAGAGACGGAGACUUUAGUGAAUAUUAUUGCUAUAUGAGUAAUUUUUGUAUAUGAGCGUGGCGUAGGCCUACGUAGUUAAUUACAAUUUCCAAAUCUCUGCGGGUUACUGAAAAUUUAAGUGCCUUGCAUAUGACUAUUAACCCAGUUUUUCAUGCUCGCUCGAAGCAUAUUGAAUUAGAUUAUCACUUCAUUCGAGAAAAGGUUGCUGAUGGUGCCUUGGUUACGAAGUUUGUCCCUUCUUCGUUACAAAUUGCAGAUGUUUUUACUAGGGCUUUGUCAAAAGCCAUGUUCCGCAAUUUCAGAUACAAGCUUGGCGUUCAUCAAAUGUCACUUGCCAGCUUGAGGGGGUAUGUUAAGCAAGCUGACCAAGAUUACCAAAAGGAAAGUCAUCAACGGUCAAGUCAACAACGGGUUUAUCACUCCACACAACUUGCUCACGUCAAAGCUAUUUGUCAAGGAAUAUCUCCAGCACGAUUUUUGCACUUGAAUGCCAAUAUCAUGUAGGAAUAUUUCAUUCCUAUUUUAUAAAGAUAUUGUGCAAUAGUUUAGGAAGUAUUCACUUAUUUUCCUUUAAUAUUAUUAAGCCUUUUAACGGCUACUUUGUCUUUAUUUUGUAUAAAUAAAUCUGUAAAUUUCAUUAAAAAUAUAGAACAAGAAUUAUACUCUUCAUAGAAUUUCUUUCACUAAAUUCAUCAGCCUCUUGAACCCUCUCCUGAGGGCGCCUUCUGUCCUCUGUUUUCUGUUACCAUACACUAAUAGACAAAAGCAUUCAGAAUGACAACUGGGACAUAUAUAAGAGUGAAAUAAUUGAAAAAUUAUGCUUUUUUGUUUGUCAUGUUAAAAUCGUAAAGUGCGUAAGUACUAUGAAAGAGAUUAGUUUACGGAAACUGAAGCCAAGGGUUAAAAAAAAAAAGGUGCAAAGAGAAUAAAGGGCAACGCUUAUGUAAAGAGACAUAAUUGUAUUGGUAGCACAAUGUCACGUUCAUACAGGGAUCAAGCAUAUUAUUUACAGGUGGUAAGGGCUAAGAAUUGAUGUAGCUAGAAUACAAAGAUAAUAAGGUAUGUUGUGCACUAUUUAUUUAUUCUACAAUCAAUCUUGACCCUUGAUGCUUGGCUCUCAAUCUUGCCCAUUGAUCUUCUCUGAUCUCUAAAACUUCAAGACCUUUCAAUCUUAUGCCUUAUUAUUGGUGUCUUCCAUGCUGUAGAUUUCAAAUACAAGCUUUCCCGCCAACUUGCCAAGUAUUUGUCCAUUGGUGCAUUUUAUCAAACAGUUUGGAUACUUAUACCAAACGCCUUCUGUUUUAACUCCCCCUCUCAAGCUCAAGCAUCUGGGAAGACAUUAAUAAGCUUGUUUCUCAAGUAUAUGUAUCUGAAAAUUAAAUUUUAUAAAUUAUAUUCGGACUCUACAUUUUCUAAGGAACAUUGGUUUGGCUUAUAAGCUUAUUAUACUCAGGCUUGGUAGGAUUAUCGGUCGGUAGAUGACCGAGUGUUAGAGCUUUCGAAUUUAUGCCAAUUAAAAAAAAAAAAAAAAAGAAUCUACAUAAGUUUUCAACUGGGCUAUUACCACAAUAAACAUUUGGUAAUCAUCAAUUUCACUAUUAUUCGCUUUAUUAUGUUUGUUUCUUUCAGUAUGUUAAAAGAUUAUGUUGUGAAUUUGUUUUACAGGCCGCCCGUAAGUCUGCGCCCACCACCGGUGGUGUUAAGAAGCCUCAUCGUUACCGUCCUGGAACCGUCGCCCUUCGGUUCGUUCUCUAAUUUAAAUUUCCGUUGUAUAGCUUUAGUUGUGGGUAAUUUUGUAUAGAGAAAUUCGCAAGUACCAGAAGAGUACCGAGCUGCUUAUCAGGAAACUCCCAUUCCAGAGACUUGUUCGUGAAAUUGCUUAGGACUUCAAGGUACCUUGUUAUUGUUUUGGUUGUUAUCUUUGUUAUCUUUAAAUUGGGUUCCCAAGAUUUCUUGAUAGACGGUUAAUGGCUAUUUUGUUGCCUGUUUUGCAGACUGAUCUGCGUUUCCAGAGCCAUGCAGUGCUGGCCCUGCAGGAGGCAGCCGAGGCUUAGGGUAUUUCCAAUGUAGCACUAAACUUAACACCAAAUCACAUUUUACACCAUUUUUGGUGUAAAAUGCUUCUCCAAAUGUAACACCAAAAUGGUGUAAUGAAUAGCAUUGCACCAAAUAUGGUGCAACACUAUUCAUUUGCACCAUAUUUGGUGCUAGGAAAAAAAAUCUCAAAUAUUCUUAUUACUUUAUCUUAUUUAUAUAUAUGUCCUAUUUUAUAUAAUAUUUUAAGUUAUUAUUAUUAUUGUUAUUUUUUAAUUUUUGAAUAUUAUACUAAUAUUUUAAAUAAAAAAUAUUCAACACAAAAAUUUAUAAUAAAAAUAAAAUGCCAAUAACAUUAAUUACUAGAUUACAUAUUACAAAAUUAAAUUAACACAAAUUAAAAAAACUACUACUACUAGCAUAAAUUAGAACAAUUAUUUAGUAAUGUGGGAGAUCAUUAUUAGAUCCUCCAAUAUCAUCAAAAUAUUUUUCUAUAUUAAUGAAUGUUUAAUUUUCAUAAUGCACUUAUUAUUGUUAUUGUAUUUUUCUAUAUUAAUGUAAUGUUUAAUUUUUAUAAUGUACUAAUUUAGUUAAUUAAAUGCAAAUUUAAUAAUUUUCUAUAUUUUUUUUGUUAAUCGAUAUAAAAUUACUUAUUACUUAAUUAUCUAUAUUAAUAGUAAUAUUUAUUGUGUUAAUUGAAUUAAUUCUUGAGAAUUAAAAGAAUAAAAAGAAGAAUAUUCUUUUUGGUGUAAAUGGGUUGGAGAUGAAAUAAUAAUUUAAAGUGAAAAAUGUGUAUUUUUUGUGUUGGUGUUAUACUAAAAUGGUGUUAUGCAUUGGAGAUGGCCUUACCUCGUCGGUCUCUUUGAGGACACUAACCUCUGCGCCAUUCACGCAAAGCGUGUCACUAUUAUGCCCAAGGACAUACAGCUUGCCCAUAGGAUCCGUGGCGAGCGUGCUUAAGCGCAAUUAGAGCUGGCAAAAUGGGUCAUCGGGUCGUGUUCGUGUCGUGUCAAAUUUAGGUCGACCCAAACCCGACCCAUUUAAUAAUCGUGUCAAAAUAUUGAGACCCAACCCCGACACGGAAAAAUAAUCGGGUUACCCAAUAACCCGUUUAAUAUCUAUAUAUUAAAUAAAAGUUACAUCAAAUAUUUACACACUAUCAUACAUACAUAUGUACAUAAAUACAUACAUACAUAAUUUAUCGAUAUUAUAAAAUAUACAUAUCUACCAAUAUAUUAUACAUUUACACUAUUGAGGUUUUAAUUAUAUAUAUAUAAAAUAUUAUAUAUCAAUAUUAUAAAAUAUACAUGUCUAUUAAUUUUUACACAUUUACACUAUUGAAGCUUUAAAUGUAUGUAAAAUUUUAUAAAUAAAACACUGUUUAUAUUCACCAUUUUAAAGAAUAAAAAAAAAGAACAUCUCUAAUAUUUGAGUUUUAAUUAUAACAAUAUGUAAAUUAUUUUAAAAUAGAAAAUAUAAUCGGGUCAUUGAUCGGGUAAAUGGGUCAAGAAUUUUAACCCAAACCUGACACGGAAAAAAAUCGUGUUGACCCGGACCCGACCCAUUUAAUAAUCGUGUUAAAUUUGACGACCCAUACCCAUUUAUUUAUGUCGUGUUCGUAUCGGGUAAUCGGGUCGUGUCAAAUUUUACCAGCUCUAAGCGCAAUUGCCGCUUGCUUCAAUUGAAUGACUGGAAAGGGAAGGGGGAAGUUGUAAUGUGUUAAUUUGUAUGUGGGGUUGGUGGGGACGGCGUCGCUUUUUCUUAGACCUUUUUUUUUCUUUUUCCUCCCUUAAAAACAGUGAAAUUACUUAUACUGGUUUUUCUAUUUUACAUUUUGAAUAUUAUUAAUUAAUAUAAUUUAAGAUAACAAUCAGGGAUAAAACAAUCAUUUUUUAUUCAAGAUCAUUUUAUCAAUAUUCUGUUAAAUAUUCUCACAAUUUAACUUUAUCCUUAACAAAAAUUUAACUUUUUUUUUUUAAAACUAACGGAACCAAAUCCUAUAUAUAAAUGUAUAGUAUGCAUUAAUAAAUAAAUAAAACUUUGACGACCGGAGGGAAUGAAUAAAUAAAUAGAUAAAACUUUCGAAGCUCGUGAAUGUGCUAUUUUUGUUUUUUUUAGUAAUUGUUUAAUUGAAAAAAGAAAGCUUCGGGAUUUAUUUUUGACGGGACGGCUGAGAUUUGUUGACCUUCUAGAGAAUGAGAACAGAUUUUCAAUUUGUUGAUAAGUAUUCCUACAGUCCAGCCCAAAAGUACCGGCUCAAUGAGUUCGGUCAUGUUUGGUAACAGGUAUCCAUCACUUUCAAAAUCCGGUCCUACCAACGUAUCGGCUUUCACUGGCUGUCGUAUCAUCCGUGAAAGCAUGGGAGAGUGAGGCUACUCCAAUCUCUACUAGAGAAAUUUUAGAAUAUAUCUGUUGUAUUAUAAUUAAUUGAUGCAUGUAUGAUAUGUGUAAUUGAGUUUAAUACAAUCACCAUUUGUAUAAUAAUUUACAAAAUAAAUGCACACAUAUCAUGACAUUAUUUACUUAUUGUACGAAUAAUAAAUGCACACAUGUCAUCAUUCUUUGGUAAACAAAUUCACAAUAUAUAUUAAUCUUUGUGGAAGUUAUGUCCAAAAAAUAAAUAUUGUAAAAAAAUUUUAAUUACUAAUUUGUUGGACAUUAAUAAAAAAAUUUAAUAUAUUAACUCCUCAUGGAGUAUUAAAAACAAUUAAUAUAAAUUUUUUUGUUUCUAAUUUACUUUUUCAGUUUAAAUUGAUAAUUUAAUUUUUCUUUUUAUUAAUGUCUAAUAAAAAAGAAAUAUUAUUGUACGAGUGUAAUAUUGUAAAAACAAGUCAAAAAGAACAAAAAGUAACAAUAAGGGUGUCAAUAUUUAAUGACAAUGAUAUUUUGAGAUAUUUUUUAAAAUAUAGGGAUUAAAUAUGUAUUAAUCUCAAAAUAUAGGGAUUAAACGAGAUUUUACCAUUAUUAAUUGUAGUCAUCUUUUUAUAAAUUACAAUUGGAGGAAGUUGGUUAAUGUUGUUGACACGCACGCACACACGCACACACGCACACAUAAAGAUUUAUUGGAAGUGCUUAUGCCGACUCGAAGUUGUGGGAAUUAAUGCAUGUAUUGAUUUAUUGGGAGUGUUUAAAUGAUUUUGUGAUUUACUUGAUUGAUUGAAUAUUGUUUGAUUGCUUCAUAUCCAUUCUACAAAGUUUAUUUCUUUGUGAAAUUUCAACGACAUAUUUUUUUUAAAAAAAAAUAAUAAGGGUGUUAUAAAUAAUUUUAAAAAAUAUAUGGACUAAUUAGAACUAAUUACUAGGUAAUUAACUUGAUCUGUACAGGGUGAAACAACAUUUAUCCUAAUUGUAUCAUGACAAAUACUUUUCCGAUUAGAAUUAGGAAACCAUAGGUUUAUUGAAUUUUUUUUUUCCUCUGGAGAAACGGAUUAGAGAAUUAGAAAGCAAUCCUAAUGAUAUAAUUAUCAGGUUUAAAACAGUGCAUAAACAGUGAAAAGCUAAUUAGUCUGUAGAGUAAUUUGCUAAUUGUUACCUCCUCUCUAUGCGCGCUGAAUAAUUUGUUGCAUGCAAACUUUUUAUUUUAUACAAAUCAUACGUACUGUAACAUUGGAAUUGAUGUAUAAGCAAAAAUACAAGAAUAUUUAUGUCAAUAAAAAUAGUUUUUUCGUUCCUUUUUAAAUAAACACAACGCGAUGUUGCUCUGCUCUACAUUUUUGCUAUCAUUUUAUUCUUUUUUUUUUUUUUUGUGGGCUUCUUAAAGCCUCAAACUUUGAUAACCAAAACUUCAUCGACCUAUGAAAAAAUCUGCAGAUUAGUUUUCAUUAUCGGAAUAAUUGUUUGAGAAUACGAAAACAAAAUAUAAAAUAAGAAAAUAGGGGGUUAAAUUUGGGGAAAACAAAAAAAACCAAUUGGGAAUUUUUUUUCUUUAAUUUUUGUUUUACUUGAUUGAGAUUUCUCCUUAGUCCUUACAGUUUUAAGUUUGGAUGCCGUAGGGUUAGUAAUUUAGUACUUCCUUUGCAAGCUGAGUGCGAGAACGAAAAUCUUUAAAGAAAUUAAAAAAGAGUAAAAAAAAGCAUACCAAUAGGUAAUUAUAAAUAACCAUAAAUAAACAUAAACAAAAUGUUUAUGAAGUAAAUUACAAAUGCACAUAUUAUUUUUUUGUUUUAUUUCUUACUUGUCUAUUUUAUUUGCUGCUUGAUAACCCGUAAAUACUAAUCUAGUACUGCUAAUUUCAGACACAAAAUGUUUAACUCUAGGCUGUAGUUUUACUCAAAAUGAUGACCACUGGCUUCGCACCAUUUAACCAGCAUACAUUUCUACAAAUUGAACAAGGCUAUUGAUUUUCAUUAUUAUUUUUUAUUUAUUUAUAAAUUACUAUUUUAAUUUUCACUUUUUAUUGGGUUGUUUAACGGAUUAGUGAAGUUGGUGGUCGUGAUGCACUCACAAGGUACAAUUUUAUUUUAUAAUUUCAAAUUUGUAUUUUAAAAUGCAGGUACAUUAUGUAUACAUAAUUAUUGAUUUUCGUAUGUGGGUGUUUUGAAAUAUUGCUAAAAGACCAAACUUUAAUAAACUAUUUUUCAUCUUUUUUUUUUCCUUUUUUCCUAGAGUUUGAGUGAUAUCCUCAUUUUAAAUUCAUGUGGAACAAAAGCUAAUGUAUGCACAAAAUUCUUUUAUUUUUUCCUAGAAAAAUGGGUAAGAGAAGAAGAUUUUUCUCUUGAAAAAGAAAAACUAAUACGAUGCAAGCAUAGGAAAGAGGUCAGUGUUUUGGAUUAGAAUUUAGUAUUGAGCUGAAUUUUAUACUAAACUCUUUUAUGGUACUGCGAUUAAUAAACUCAUGAUUUGCUUUUGCUUUUACUUCAAGUGAAAGAAAGAGGAAACCUUUUGUUUUUUGUUUGAUUCUUGACUAUAAAAAGAUUAACCAGCGCACACAAUCUUACUGUAGUCCAGACCAUCCAGCUGUGAUGACUCUAGUUUUUUGGUUACAUUAGCUUUAGUGGAAAGGAGGGCCAAUUUAACAAAGACUAUAUUUGGUGGCUUACUAUAAUGCUUAUUCUCAGGGAAUCUAAUGUUAUAAGAUGAUUUAAUGAUCUUCUAUGAUUGUGAGUAGUAUAGUAUAAUUGAAAAGAGCCUGGGCUCCUAUGAUGAAUAUAUAAUAGUAACACAGUACUGUGAUUGAAAAAAACAAAGUUACAAUAAACUCUUCAUUUAUUCAUUGUGGAGAUUGAAUGGCAAACAGAGAAUAAAAUGAAGCAGAGGAAUCUCAUUGCCAGUAAAAUUGACCCUCUUUAAUGUUAUAUGGCACAGGUGUGUGUACAGCAAGAGCAAGUUACUUGCAGUUUUUAUUGUAAAAUAUACAGGUUAUGACCAUGAUCAUUGUAAGGUUUUGAUGAUUUUAGAUGCUUUUUUAUUUUUUUAAAUUGUGACACCUUUGAUUUAUGGUAGUUUUGCAGAAGAAAAAAAUAUAUAUAAAAAUUAGGAGGGAUGAGUUAACUAACGAUUGCAAUAAUAUUUUUAUGGAAAUUCUUGGUUUUUAUGGAAAUACUCUUGCUGAAAUUCUAAUUUUGACUUUCAACUCUUGGUUUUUAUGGAAAGUAAAAUGACUUAUUUGUUAUAUUCAUACAAUCCACUCUACAUAAUGAUUUCAUUUUAAUAAAUGCUUGAUGAUCUCCACUGAAAAACUACUUCAAUUCUUUUGUUUUAUUUAACUUUUUGGUUGUUGAAAAUAGCCUUAAUUUUCAAAUAAUUGGAGAAAGAGUAAAGAACGUUUAACAAAUUUAUGUGCCAAAAAUAAAGGAGAAAUUGAAGAGAAAGGGUGCUUGCAGAAGUGGGUGCAAAGAUAAAUCAGUCCGUAAGAAUUAUUGUGGUUAUUAAGUUUUUGGCAAUAUAAAAAUUUUUCAGCAAAUAAAAAUUGAUUUUUUCCGAUUUACUAAAAAAUUAAUUAAAAACUUCGGUGAUAGCAUUUUUUAUGGGUGCAUGUACACUCCCUUUAAAAAAAAUAUAAUAAUUAAUACUUAAUAUAGUAUUAAAUACGAAAAUAUCAAUAUUUGACUACACAAAUUUAUAUCAUUAGGUCCUUAAAAUUUAAAAUUGAAGACAAAAAAUGAAAUAUAUAUAAAUUUCAUUCUCACAGGAAAGGAUCCUCUUAUAAUCUUAAAAUAUUUGAGCUUUGAAAGAUUUUUUAAAAUAAAUGUACUUUUAUUUUUGUACAAUCAAUAUUUACUUAUUUAUUAUAUUUUUAUUCAUUAACUAUCAAUCAUGUGAGUAUAUUUACUCAGAAAUAUCAUAUCAAGGAAGAAUCUUGAUCCCACGCACACACAAAUAUGUUAAUUUCUAUACGCUUCACUUACCUGUAGAAUCAAUUAUCUAAAAUGCAAGUUUGUGGCCACAAAAAAAGCCAAAGAAAGAAGAUAAUAACAAUUGACUUGUAUAUUAUACUCAUACAAUCCACUCGACAUAAUGAUAUCAUUUUAAUAAGGCAAUGGCUGAUGAUCUCCAUUGAAAAACUAAUUCAAUUUUUUUGCUUCAUUUAACUUUUUGGUUGUUGAAAAUAACCUUAAUUAUCAAAUAAUUGGAGAAAGAGUAAAGAACAUUUAACAAAUUUAUGUGCAAAAAAAAAAAGGAGAAGUUGAAGAGAAAGGGUGCUUGCAGAAGUGGGUGUCAAAGAAAAAUCUGUCCAUAAGAAUUAUUGCGGUUAUUUUUUGGCAAUAUAAAAUUUUAUAGCAAGUAAAAAUUAAUUUUUUUCCGAUUUACUUAAAAAUUAACUAAAAACUUCUCCGACAGCAUUUUUAUGGGUGCAUAUACCCACCCUUUAAAAAAUAAUAAUAAUUAAUGCUUAAUAUAGUAUUAAAUAUGAAAAUAUCAAUAUUUGACUACUCAAAUUUAUAUCAUUAGGUCCUUAAAAUUUAAAAUUGAAGAUACGAAAGGAAAUAUAUAUAAAUUUCAUUCUCAUGGAAAGGAUUCUCUUAUAAUCUUAUAAUAUUUGAGUUUUGAAAUUUUUUUGAAACAAAUGUAAUUUUAUUUGUGUACAAUCAAUAUUUACUUAUUUAUUAUAUUUUAAUUUAUUAACUAUCAAUCAUGUAAGUAUAUUUAGUCAGAAAAAUUAUAUCAAGAGAGAAUCCUAAUUUCACGCAAACACAAAUACAAGACAAAUAUGUCAAUUUCUAUACUAUUCACUUUCCUGUAGAAUCAAUUAUCUAAAAUGCAAGUUUGUGGCUAUAGAAAACUCGCCAAAGAAAGAAGAUAAUAACAAUUAUGGGAAAUGAGUUAUUGUGUGGUUUACCAAAUCUUCAAGUCCAACCAUGCAAAGUUAGCAAGCCGAGGACAGAACAUAAAUCAAGGAAAAAGAUACUUCUCAUUGUGAUUGUUUUGCCAUUGAGUAUUGCUCUAACGAUAGCAAUCACUCUAGCUCUCAAAUAUAAGCUGAACGAAUGUGGAAAAAGAAGCACAGUGUUAUCAAAUGAUUGUAUCUUGUCAUCACAGGCAACACUAAGAAGGUUUUCAUACUUAGAACUUUUACAAGCAACAGAUAAUUUUACUGAAAACAACAUAAUUGGCAGAGGAGGUUUUGGUUCCGUUUAUGGAGCAAGACUUGAAGAUGGGAUGAAGAUUGCAAUAAAAGUGUUUCACCAGCAAUGUGCAAGCGCAUUGAAGAGUUUUGAGGCUGAAUGUGAAGUGUGAAAAAAUAUUCGCCAUCGAAACCUGAUCAAAGUUAUCAGCAGUUGCUCGAACGAUGAUUUCAAAGCAUUAGUCCUAGAAUACAUGUCCAACGGGAGCUUGGGGGAUUGGCUGCAUUCUAGCAAUUACGUGCUGAAUAUAUUUCAGAGGUUGAACAUAAUGAUUGACGUUGCAUCAGCUUUAGAAUAUCUCCACUUCGAUCAUUUACCUCCUAUUAUUCAUUGUGACUUAAAACCUAGUAAUGUAUUGUUGGAUGAAAAUAUGGUUGCUCAUUUGAGUGAUUUUGGCAUAGCAAAGCUUUUAAGUGGAGAAGAUGAGUCUACGAUGCGAACAAAAACCCUUGCCACUAUAGGUUAUAUGGCACCAGGUUUGCUUUAAACAACUUUUUUUUUAGUUCAUUUUAAAUUUUGCAACUUAUUGAUUUUUACGAUCCUCACAUCAAAAUUUUAUUGAUUAUUUAUCUAAUUGUGAAAUUAAUUUGAUUUAUAGAGUACGGCAUAGAAGGAGAAGUAUCUACAAAAAGUGAUGUUUACAGCUAUGGGAUUAUGUUGAUGGAAACUUUUACCAAGAAAAAACCCACAGAUGAAAUUUUUGUCGGAGAAUUGAGCUUAAAGCGUUGGGUUAAUGACUUGCUUCCUACUUCAUUAGUGGAAGUUGUGGACAAAACUCUGCUAAGUGGAGAGGAAAAACAUUUUUCCGCAAAGGAGCAAUGUCUGUUGUCUAUCUUUAGUUUGGCUCUGGAGUGUACAAUAGAAUCACCGGAAAAGAGGAUUAAUGCAAAAGAUAUUGUUACCAGGUUACUCAAGAUAAGAGACACAUUGAGUAAAAGGAUCAGAAAUUUAAGUUAAUUUCGUUUGCUUUCAUUGAUAGUUAAUCUGAAUUCAUGUAAUAAGUGUAGGAAUCUUAUAUCUUUUCCUUUCAUAUAUUUUUUUUUCUUGAGAAAACUGUUGUAGUCAUCUUGUUUCCAUGGGCAGAGUUGAUUUACUUCUUCCAAGAAAUGCUACUGAUGACCUUUGUUUUAUGGCAAUCCCUAUCUUACGUGCAUGUAAGAUACAUCCCCUUCACAUGAAUAAUGUGUGAGUCCAAUCCCUAUCUUAUAUGCAUGUAAGAUACAUCCCCCUCACAUGAACAGUGCAUGUGUGGGACCCACACACUGUUCAUAUGAGGGAGAUGUAUCUUGCAUGCAUGUAAGAUAGAGGGAUCCUUGUUUUAUACUUUCUCUUUUUUUUGCAUGUGGUUAGGUAGAACAGUGGUUUGGCUGCAGGCUAAGAAGUCUAACUACACUAAAAGAAUAUGAUUUAAUUUAUUAAACAAAACUUCAAGUUCAAGAAAAGUAUUUCACUGCCCCCAAUGCUUUGGACACCUACUGGUAGGUUUGUACGUGUCCUCAACUUUUUUUUAGAGCACAAACUUCGAGUCCCAUGGAGAUUCAAACAUUCCUUUCUCGCAUCCCGAGCACUAAAUGUUUGGAAAUUGGUGGGUGAAGCAGAACCGCAGCUAAUAUGAAAUUGGAAGAAAAUAAAGAACAAGCACAAAAAGAGAAUACCAGAAUUACGUGGUUCGGCUUUUAGCCUACGUCCACGGGUGAAAACAGAAGGAAAUAUUUUACUAGUAAAAAGAAGUUACAAGUAUUGUAGUAUUUUAGCUCACUUCCCAAAAUCCCAAUGCACCCAAACUCUCAAAACACCAAAACAAGAGCUUAUAAUUUCAAGCUCUCUAAACUCUCUCUAAAUACAAGAAAACUCUUCUCAAAAUUGGAUAAGCAAAUGAGGGAAUGAGCCCCUCUAUUUAUAGACAAAAUCUUGGCUACAAUUCACUUUUUUUUUAAAAUUAUUUAUUAUUGUUCAAAAUUUCAACAUUCAAAGUUUGAUAUUCAAACUUUGAAUAUCUAGAAGUUUGAAUUUGAUAUUCAAAGUUCGAACAUCAAGACACCCAAUCUUGACAUUCUCCCACUUGGAGAUUUGAUUGAGAACCAAACAAUCUCCACACCAUUCUUUCUGCUUUGCCAUUGCCAUGUUGCUUACGUUUCUGCUAGGCCAUACGAGGAUCUAUUCCAGACAAACUUGUCAGUAUUGAUUGGCUUGGUCAAAACAUCUGCUAGGUUCUCCUUCGUAUGGAUUUUCUGUAAAUCCACACUUCCGUCUUCUACUACUUCUCGAACGAAGUGAUGUACUCCUAUGUGCUUUGUCCUGGAAUGAAAGGCUGGAUUCCUUACAAUGUGCAAGGCACUCUGACUGUCACAAAACACAGAAAUUUUCUCUUGUUUGUGCCCGAGCUCCUCCAAUAAUCUUUGUAUCCAAAUAGCUUCCUUGCAAGCUUGUGUAGCUGCCAUAUAUUCUGCUUCUGUUGUAGAUAAAGCCACAACAGUCUGUAGUUUCGAAACCCAGCUUACAGCUGCUCCCGCAAGUGUAAACACAUAACCAGUAGUGGAUUUCCUUUUAUCAAGGUCUCCUACAAAAUUUGAAUCCACAUAGCCCCUGACAGUAAACUCUGAUCCUCCAUAACAUAAUACAACAUCUGAGGUUCCUCUGAUGUAUCUCAGAAUCCUCUUCACAGCUAUCCAAUGCUCUCUACCAGGAUUCGCCAUGUAUCGACUGACUGCUCCCAUUGCUUAUGCAAUGUCUGGUCUAGUACAUAUCAUAGUGAACAUCAAACUUCCCACUGCUGAUGUAUACGGUACUCGAGACAUCUCCUUCCUCUCUGCUUCAUUGCUAGGACACAUACUUGAGGAUAAUUUGAAAUUAACAGGAAGUGGGGUAGAAAUUGACUUACAAUCUUGCAUGUUGAAGCGCCGCAAAAUUUUCUUCAAGUAAUUCCUCUGCGAAAGCCAAAUCUUCCUGUUAUUUCUGUCUCGGUGAAUUUGCAUCCCUAGAAUCUCGUUUGCUGGUCCCAAGUCCUUCAUUUCAAACUCCCUAGCCAACUGUGCCUUCAAUUCUUGGAUUCGAUCUUUGUUGAGACCUGCUACCAACAUGUCAUCCACAUACAACAGCAAAAUAAUGAAAUCAUUAUCUUCAAACCUCUUGUAAUAUGCACAAUGGUUUGAACUGAGUCUGUUGUAUCCAAGGCUCAUAAUGAAGGAAUCAAAUCUCUUAUACCAACACAUCGACGCCUGUUUGAGACCGUAUAGAGAUUUAUUCAACUUGCAAACCAAUUUCUCCUUUCCUGUUUCUGUAAAACUUUCUGGUUGGAGCAUAUAUAUUUCUUCUUCAAGUUCUCCAUGAAGAAAUGCAGUUUUCACAUCUAAUUGCUCUAGAUGUAAGUCAAAUGUAGCACACAUCACCAAGACUACUCUGAUUGUUGUGAGUCGAACCACCGGAGAAAAUAUCUCGUUGAAGUCAAUACCUUUUUUCUGAGCAUAUCCUUUCACCACCAAUCUCGCACGAUACUGCUCCACUUGGUUAUUGCCAUCACGUUUGAUCUUGUAGACCCAUUUGUUUCCAAUGGCUUUUCUUCCACGUGGUAGUGGUACAAGUUCUCAUGUCUUGUUCUUGUGUAGAGCUUCAAUUUCUUCCUGCAUUGCUGUCAUCCACAAAAUAACAUCUGAGCUGUUUAAAGCUUCAUGGAAAGUUGAAGGCUCUCCAUCUUCUGUUAGAAGAUAGUAUGCAACAUUGAUCUCUGUGACAUACUCCGAGUGCCACGUUGGCGGUCGUCUCUCACGAGUUGACCGACGAAUUUCUUGAGCCUCGGACUCGACUAGUUCUUGUUCCUCGUGCUCUGGUGCUGCUUCAGAAGAAUUUGAAUCUUCUGAAUUAUUUUUCACAUAUACCGGUACAGUUUCUGGCUUUUCUUUUACAGUGCUAUCAUCCUCAUCUUUCCUUUGCAAUUGAUCUUCUAUAAAAAUAACAUCUAUGCUGAUGACGAUCUUGUGGGCAGUAGGAUCCCACAGACGAUACCCUUUUACUCCAUCAGCAUAUCCCAAGAAGAUACAUCUUCUAGAUUUUGCAUCCAGUUUUGUUUUUUCUUGAGCAUUGUACAUCACGUACACAGGACAUCCAAAUGCAUGUAGGUAGGAAUAAUCAGCUGGCUUUCCAGUCCACAUCUUCAUCGCUGUCUUCAGCCCAAUUACUGUAGAUGGUGAUCGAUUUACUAUAUAACAGGCAGUUUUGGUUGCUUCUACCCAAAAUGAAUUGGGUAGACCAGCAGUCCUCAACAUAGCUCUUAUCCGUUCUGUAAGAGUUCUAUUCAUCCGCUCUGCCACUCUAUUUUGUUGAGAAGUAUAUGCCACCGUGAACUGUCUUUGAAUACCUUCUUGCUUACAAAAAGCAAAAAACUCGCUGUCUAUAUACUCUCUACCAUUAUCUGUCCUCAAGCACUUGAUCUUUUUACCAGAUUCAAGUUCUACUGCGUUUUGUAUUCUUUAAACACUGGAAAUACAUCUGACUUUUUCUUAAUUGGAUACACCCAACAUCUUCGGGAAUAAUUAUCAAUGAAAGUCACCAUGUACUUUGCACCUCCCAUGGAUAUAUCCGGUGAUUCCCAAAUAUCAGAAUGAAUCAAGUCUAUAAUGCAUUUACUUCUAGCAAUAGAUCUACUGAAUUUUAAUUUAUGCUGCUUACUUGUAACACAAUGCUCGCAAAAUGGUAAACUUACCGAUUUGAGCCCCGGAAGCAAUUUUCGCUCAGAGAGAAUCUUCAAUCCUUAUUCUAACAUGUGGCCAAGUUUGAGAUGCCACAUCAUCGUUGACUCUUCUCCAUUUGACGCGACACACGCAUCAGCCUCUUGUAGUGUUUCUCCUUUAAGCAUGAAUAAAUUAGCACCGAUCUUUUCUGCCUUCAUCAAUACAAACGCACCUUUAACGAUCUUCAUAAUUUCAUUCUCCACAUGAGUUUUGUACCCAUGACUAUCCAUUUGUCCCAAAGACAAAAGAUUUUUCUUCAGGCCGUUGACAUGUCGUACCUCCCUAAUUGUGCGAAUUGUACCAUCAAAUAUUUUUAUUUUGAUAGUACCAAUACCAGCGAUCUCCAAGGCAUGAUCAUUACCCAUAUAUACAGAUCCUCCUGAGAUAGGUUCAUAUGUGUGGAACCAUUCUCUCCGAGAGGUCAUGUGCCAGGUAGCUCCUGAGUCUAUAAGCCAGACAUCAGAUAGUCGUUUUCUGCCUUCUGAAACAGUUGUUGUUUCGCUGUAGAGAAUUUCGCCAUCAUCCGAGGUACUUACGACACAACUCUGAGCAUUUGAUGACUCAAGUUCUUUGCCCUCUCUUCUCUUCUGGUUACUCCAACACUCUUUCUUGACGUGCCCUUUCUUGCCACAAUUGUAGCAUUUAACAUUCUUCUUACUUCUAGAUUUUGAUCUACCAUGAUUUUGACUCCCAUUGGGGCCACGUUCCGUUGAUCUCCCUCUCGUCACCGAUAGCGCCUCCGCUUGCUGUGAACUUGCUUGUCUGUUUUCCUUAUUUUUCCGCCUGCUUUCCUCAUUUAAUACGAAGGCUGCAACAUCGUCGAAAACUAGACUGUCCACUGGAUUGUUGUUCGUUAAGUUGAUGAUGAGUUGAUCAUACUAAUCUGGUAGACUUUAAAGUAGAAGCUCUGCACGUUCAUUCUCCUCUAUAUUAUGACCCAACGUUGUAAGUUGUGAAAAUAGAGUCUUCAAUGUGUUGAUGUGGUCGGUCACCAUUAUAGAUUCCGCCAUUUGAAGAGUAUAGAGUUUCCUCUUCAAGAAGAUUUUGUUGUGUAGUGACUUGACCUCGUACAAUUUUGUGAGAGUAUCCCAAAUUUCCUUCGCUGUAUUUUUCUUUGCCACACUGGAUAAUACUCCGUCUGCAAGUGCCAAGUGUAGAUCAGAAAUAGCGUUGCCAUCUAUCUCGUUCCACUUGUCAUCAAUUAUCUCCAUGGGCCUUUCUCCAAUUGCUGCCAAGUAAUUAUUUUUCCUCAAUACAGCUUUCAUCUUCAUUUUCCACAACGAAAAAUUAUUUCCGUUAAAUUUCUCAAUUUCAUACUUUGCUGCCAUUUUGUUGAUAACUAUUGUACACAAACUAGUGUAUCACAUUGAAUAGUUGUGAGUAUGUGUAAAAAUGCACACCAGGAAAGUUUCCAGGAAAGACUGGAGGGGUCACAAUGGUCCCACUUAAAACUCAGACUCCUUAAGCUCUUAUCACCUUUGUGACAGAACUUUCCUAGACAUGUACAAAACCACACAGUUGCUUUACUCACACCACUAUUCCCUGCUUUGCACCGCCAAAUUCUUGGAUCGCUCCUACCGUUUUACGUGAAUAGUACUGUAUACGUGAACAGUACCGUAUACGUGAAUAGUACCCCUUACGUGAACAGUACCCGACUCUAAAAAAUAUAACAAAUAGCUCUGAUACCACUGUUAGGAAAUUGGUGGGUGAAGCAGGACCGCAGCUAAUAUGAAAUUGGAAGAAAAUAAAGAACAAGCACAAAAAGAGGAUACCAGAAAUUACGUGGUUCGGCUUUUAACCUACGUCCACGGGCAAAAAUAGAAGGAAAUAUUUUACUCAUAAAAGGAAGUUACAAGUAUUGUAGUAUUUUAGCUCACUUUCCAAAAUCCCAAUAUACCCAAACUCUCAAAACACUAAAACAAGAGCUUAUAAUUUCAAGCUCUCUAAACUCUCUCUAAAUACAAGAAAACUCUUCUCAAAAUUGGAUAACCAAAUGAGGGAAUGAGCCCCUCUAUUUAUAGCCAAAAUCUUGGCUACUAUUCACUUUUUUUUAAAAAUUAUUUAUUAUUGUUCAAAAUUUCAACAUUCAAAGUUUGAUAUUCAAAGUUUGAAUAUCUAGAAGUUUGAAUUUGAUAUUCAAAGUUUGAAUAUCAAGACACCCAAUCUUAACACUAAAUUCAUCAGACUGACAACUGGGACAUAUAGAAGAGCGAAAUAACUGGGACAUAUACAAGAGUGAAAUGUUUAGAGCACGCUAAGUUCGAGUGAAAGAGAUUAAUUUACGGAAACUAAACCCAAGAGAAUAAAGGACAACACUUAUGUGAAGCGACAUAAUUGUAUUGAUAGCACAAUGUCAAAUUCAUACAGAGAUCUAGUAUACUAUUUACAGCCGGUAAGGGCUAAGAAUUGAUGUAGCUAGAAUACAAAGACGAUAAGGUAUGUUGUGCACUAUUGUUUUAUUCUACGAUCAAUCUUGACCCUUGAUGCUUGGCUCUCAAUCUUGUCCAUUGAUCUUCUUUGAUUUUGGACACUUCAAGACCUUUCAGUAUCAUUCCUUGUUGUUGGUGUCUUCCGUGCUGUAGAAUUCAUAUACAAGCCUUCCCGCCGACUUGCCAAGUAUUCGUUCAUUGAUGCAUUUUUAUCAAACAGCUGGGCUACUUAUGCCAAACACCGCCUGGUUUAACUCCCCCUCUCUAGCUCAACUAUCUGGGAAGACAAUUAAUUGAGAUAUGAAUCAGAAAAUUAAAUUUUAAAAAUUGUAUUCGGACUCUACAUUUUGUAAUGAACAUUGGUUUGACUUGUUAUACAUUUAUGCGUACAUAAUUAAUAACCGAUUCUCAAGUGCGGACAUUCAAGAGCACUGCUUAAAGACCAAAUAUUUUGAUUUACUAUUUUUUGUCUUUCAAUUUUCUUUUAAGUUCUGAUGACGUCCGCAUUUUAAAAUCAUGUGGAACAAAGGCCUGAGGUGCAUAUAAAAUUCUUUUAUUUUUCAGAGGAAAAUGGGUGAGAGAAGAAGAUUUGGCAAAAGAAUUGCAACGGCAUUUGAAACUAGUCUUCGUCUUUUAAUUCUUUUAUAUUUGUUUUUGUUAUUGAUGUUAGCUUGGAUGUGUGCGCGUGUGACUGAAUUCAACUUCUAUUUGUUUUUGUUAUUGUUAUUAAUUUUAUUUGUUUUUGUUAAAUUGGAUCACAAAAAAGGGUGGUCCAUUAUCAAAUCAACACGGUUUAAUUAUUAUUAUUUCUAUGCUUUUUUUAUGAACAAAUAUAAAAUAAAAGGACAUAUACACCCCAAAUUUUAGUGCAAUAGUCAUCAGCAUCCCUAAAUUUUUAAAAAAAGACAUCAAGAUCAUUUUUUGAUCUUAAUACUCUUAUACGGUACCUCUAUUAUUCCUAAAAAUUGACUCUAAUGUUUUAUAAUAAAUAAAAAUAAAAAAUUAAAAUAAAUGUAAUAACAUAUAAUUUUAAAAUAAUUUCAAUAUUUAAAAAAUAUUUUUAACAUUUUACAAUCUAUUAAAUAUAUUUUAUUAUAUUAAAGUAAAUUUUAUAAUAAAUAGAAUCAUAUUAUUAAGAUAAAUGCAUUAAAAUUUAAAUUAUUUUGAAUAUCAUGUAAGAUAAUAAUUUUAACAUUACUAGUAUGUCAGAAUUUUUUUUUUUAGUUGUAGAAUGUAUUUAGUGCAAAUAUUUAUUUCAAAUCUCUACAAUAAAUAAAAGAUUAAAAUAAAUAUAAUAAUUUACAUAUCUAAAUUUAUUAAAAUAUUUUAAUAUUGUUAGUCUACCGCAUAGAUCACAAUAUUUAUAUAACAUUUGUAUUUAUUAAAAACUUUAAAAUCAAUUCUUUUGAAAAUAAUAGAGGUAAAGGGUAUAAUGGUCAAAAGGGGGACUUUGUACCCCUUUCUGAAAAUUUGAGAGUGUUGGUGAUCAUUUCUCCAAACCUUCAGGGUGUAGAUGUCCUUUUCCCAUAAAUAUAUGAGAAAAUUGUCAUACAAUAUCUGAAUUCUGAAGUAACAAGAAUCACCUUUAUGAAAUCAUAUUGCUUUCCAUGAUAGACUGUUACCAUUUUUCUAUAAUAGAUUGAAUUUAGUAAAAAAAUUGAUUAAGAUGUCUACUCAUGGAGAGUGAAAUUUAUGUUCAAAACUAAUUUCACAUUAAGUAUAUAAAUGUGUGUGUGUGUGUGUGAUUUAAUUCAUUAAGCACGUGUAACUUUAAGUUGAAGACAUGCAUUCAUCCCCUCGCCAAUGAUUCAGAAAAUAAUGCAAAAAGAAUGAAGUACAAAAUUUAUACAUAUAAAGCGACAUAAUUUUAUUGAUAUCAUAAUAUCAUACUGAAAUUGGAACUGAGAAGAGGCUCUAUUAAUUAAGUAUAUUAAAUAUCAAUUAAAAAUACAAAAUGACAAAAGAAUAGCUGCUGGUCUAGAGGUGGCUUACUACAUUCAUACAAGAUCGUUUCUUGUUCUCUAAGAUGUGGAUUAUACUAAUAAUGCUAUGCAAACUUAUCCAAAGGUCUAUUAAUUAAUUCAUUAAUCCGACGGCUCGUUAGGUUGUCCUUUCAUCCAUACAGCUGCAUGCUUGUCUUCUUAUAUGCUGAUCUUAUCCUCUAGAUCUGUUCAGGCUGAGUGAUCUCGAUCUUAUCCUCUAGAUCUUAUGCGAUCACGACCUGUUGCUUGGUGAUGUCGAAUGCCUGGCCUUUACUUCUCUGAGCCAAUUGAUCAAACAAUUUGUUCAUUUUAUCGAACACCUUCACCAACAAACAUUUGAUUUACUUUUGAUGGCUUUUAAGUGCAUUUGAUGAUUAUUUUUGCUCCAACUUCAGAUAAACCAAACGCUAGUAUAUUAGAAGAAGAAAUUAACUGGCAGCUAACCAGGCCAAAGUAGCGACUCUAUAUAAAAAAUAUAUAUAUAAAAUAAAAAAUAAAAAAUGGGACUUUAUUUAAUUAAUUGUUGGUCUAAAGCUGUUGGUAUCCGUUGGCCACGUUUCUGAAGAGUCAUCUCAAAUCGAAAUUUUUAACGAACAAAGAACUUUGCUUUUUUCCAUUGUUCACAUUGCUGCUGGCUGCCGCCCGUGAGAUAAAAGUGCUACAAUCCAAAAUGUUCCACCAUCAUUUAUUCUAAUUUUAAUUUUCCAAUGGAAAAAAUUACAUAAUUAAAAUGGCUUCUAAUAUCAUUUCCACACCUCAAUAUGUGUCACUAUCAGAAGGUUGUUUUCGUGAUUCAUGGUAAAUUUGGAUUACAGCACCUGUACUUUCUGAUGGUUCAUUAUUUAUUCUCAGGAAUCGAGUCUCCUUACAUUCACUACAACAAAUAGUUAUAUUACCGACCAUAUAUUUUUAAGGGUACCAUUUACUCUUGAUAAUAAGUACGUUUUACAAAGGUAUUACACUGUCGUCGGAUAAACGUAGAAACUAGUAACUAUUUUUCCAAGGGUAAUUUGCCCCUCGAUGGUAAUGAAUAUUUUGUCGGAAAAGUCGAAAUUACACUGAUUUUUUUAAAUGAAUUGUUUUUUAUUUUGAAAUAAUAAUCAAUAAAGAAAACCCAAAAAAAUUACUUCAGCAAACUAACUAAAGACAGCGACUACUAUUUGAAACCAUUGCCUAUUUCAAAUAUAUAAUAUUUAAGAAAAAAACUCGGUUACAAAUAAAAUCACAAAUCAAUGAAGUUUACUCAAUUCACCGGAAAAAAAAAACCCUAGAAAUUCUAUCACAAUUCCCGCCGUCAGCAACGAUCUCUCAUUCACACCGGCACCAACCUCUCAUUCAUGGGGGAACCGAUCUCUCCUUCUGAUGUCAGUAUGUCAAAAUUCCUUUUAUUCGAUUUGCAGAUACGGUCUGAAUCUUCUUAUUGAUUUUCAAUUUCAGCUUAAAAUUAGUCGAGGCAUCUUCAAUUUGCCGGCAAUUUCAGCCACGAUGAUGAUGAUUAAACCACAACCUGUGGGCUACGGCGACCAAGACGUCAAGCUUAAGGCUCAACGAUCGAUUAAAGAACCAAAUCAUCGGUAGCUAGACGAAGAAGCUCUCGUUCCUCAAGGUUGAUGUCGUUCUUGCCGUUUGCAGAAGCCGUAUCGGCCGAUAUUACAGCCUAGCAGGUUCACAUGUGGCUUCAAAGCCGUCUAAGCCAUGCUAGACGCCAGCCUAUUUCCUGAUUUGUCUCUGAUAUUUUCUCGUAGAGAUGAACAAGUGAAAUUUCAAAUCUAUUAUCUUUCUCUUUUGGUUUUAUUAUUGCAUAUUUUUUAAAUUUUUAAUCUUUUUAUUACUGAUUUGGGGAGCUUAGUGUUCAAUUUGUAUGAUCACAUAAGAGGAUCCUGUGAUAUUUAUUUAUCUGACAUUUACAUUUUAAUGUUCAUUACUGAGUAAUGAUCUAUGUUUGAGUUUUUGAUCAUCAUCUGCUAACUGAUUUUUUCUUUUAAUUUCAUGAAUUAUAUAUAUAUAUAUAAUUUCAUAGCUCUUUAGUAUAUGGCUAAGAGCAGAGCACAUCUAAUUUUGAGCCAUAUAUGAUGCCACUUGUUAUUUAUUAAUUAAUAGUAGAGUUAAUUAAAUUUAAAAAAAAGAAUUGAAAGAUAAGAAGUAACAUAGAAUUUUUUUUUUAAAAUCGAAUAUCAUUUUAUUGUAGUACAUUAGCUCUUGUUUAAUGAUUAUAUUUAGUUAAUGGAUUCAUUCAUUAGUUUGUUCAGAAAUUGGAGUUGCUAUAUUUUGAUCCAAAUGAAAAAUAAAAACUUAUAAUGAAGGAUGGAUGGGUGUCAUUUUCCCUUAUAGUUUUUAUAUUGCUUCGUAGAUGAUUGUAUUUAUUUUUUAUGCGAUCAAGCCUCAAUUCUUGUAUCUUUUAUGGCACCAUUUUAAUAGAACUUGAUCGAUACUUGCAGUUUUUCUGCCAAAACAAUUAUAGGGCGGCAUACAAAUUUUGUAGAGGUUACUUUGUAUAGCCUAAUUCAAGAUUUCUUUUUUCUUUGACUUUUGACAUGCAAUUCUUAUUUUGACCAUUAAAUGGAAAUUAAUCAUGCAUUUUCUCAGUAGUGUGAUGCUUAUUUGGCUUUUGACAUGCAAUUCUUGUAGAGAUGAUGCUUUUGGGAUUCAUUUCACUCGUACUCACUAUCAGGUGUCAAGGAAGCUCAUGUGAGCCAAAUAGUCAGCAAAGCAGAGGAUUAUAACAGCAGCAACUUACAGCUGCGAGUUGAUGAUUUGGACUGCCAGCUGGCACCUGGUGGUUAUAUAAUUUCUUGUACUCGUAACUGAUUAGUUGUAGUUUGUUAAUAAGCUGCUGCAUGAUUAGCAUGUGAGAUUAGUUUAGCUAGUAUGGUUAAUCAGUUACGUGAGUAUAUAAAGCAAAGGCAGCACAUUUCCUCUGUAAUCUUGUUGAAAGAAAUAAAAACAAAUUCUCAGAUUCUUAUCAUUUUCUCUCAAUAUUUCUUAGUCAUCAAACAAGCUGUUUUGUCACUUGGUAUCAGAGCCAAGAUAAUGGCGUCUGUUAAUCUAGUUACUUCAAAUCAGAUCCAAAAUACUCCCGCUGUUUCAACUAAUAUUUCAUUCACUUUCAAUACACCAGUGAAGCUUGAUCAAGCUAACUAUCUCAUAUGGCGAUCUCAAGUGCUUGCUUCAAUUCGUGGCAACAGACUUGAAAAGCUUAUUGAUGACUCGAUUACUCCUCCUCCAUCUCACAUUGCUCAAAGAGUUGGAGAUGACGUCAGAUCUGUGGAGAAUCCAGACUUUAUAUCUUGGAGAUCUCAGGAUCAAGUGCUGCUUGGAUGGUUACUCUCUUCAAUGAGUGAAGGAAUCAUCAGUCUAGUCUUCAAUCUGGAGACAUCACGUGAGGUUUGGAAAGCUGUUGAGGUACAAUUUGGUUCUCAAUCCAAAUCACGACUGUUACAUCUAAGAUAUAUGAUGAAUUCUACUAGAAAGGAUGAUAUGAAAAUCACAGAUUACUUCAUUAAAAUGAAAAACAUAUCUGAUAAUAUGGCUGCAGCAGGAAGUGCCUUGAGUAAUGAUGACUUAAUUUUGCAUGUGUUGUCUGGUUUAGGACCAGAUUAUAAUUCAGUAGCUACCUAUAUAACUGGUCAAGUAGGAACUGGAAAAAUGGAUCUGAAUGAAGCUUAUGCAAUGCUUUUAACUCAAGAAGUUAGGAUUGAACAACAGUCUCAUAUGCUAGCUGGUACAGAUAUGAAAAAUAACUUUGAAGCAAAUUUUGCUCAAAACAGAGGACCUAAGAAAGGAAACAUGUUCAAUGGAAAAGGUUUUGGUGGUUAUGGCUAUAAUUCUGGUUCUGGAAAUAACUAUAACUCAGGCUUUAGCAAUAAUGGUUAGUACAAAGGAAACUUUGGUACUGAGUUUGCUGGUACUGGUUUUAACAAUCAGUUCAAAGGAUACCAGUCCAGUAAUCAUGGAGGGGGAGGAGGAGGUAACUGGAAUAACAACAAUGGACCAAGUAACUUUAACAGUGGCAAACCAUCUGUGAAUCCUAAGCCACAAUGGAAUGCAUCAAAGCCUACCUGUCAAAUUUGCCUCAGGCCUGGACACACUGCAAAUAUUUGCUGGAAACUUGAAGAGUUUAUUACUUCAGGUGCUUACAAACCACCACCAAAUAGAGGACCUAAGGCAGCUUAUCUGGCUAACAUGGAUGCUCCAGUUGACAACAAUUGGUAUCUGGAUAGCGGAGCCACACAUCACCUCACAAAUGAUAUGAAUAAUGUGAAUGGUGUUGAACCUUUUGCAGGUAAUUCCAAACUUAUUGUUGGAAAUGGUGUUGGUUUGUGCAUAACACACAUAGGUUCUGUUGUUCUAAGAAUGCCUGAUGAUCUGAAUUAUUCUGAUCUUAAGCUAAACAACAUUCUACUUGUUCCAAAAAUAACCAAAAACCUGAUAAGUAUUUCCCAAUUAACCAAAGAUAAUAAUGUUGUGGCUGAAUUUACUGAUAGUUUCUGUUUUGUGAAGGACAAGGUGAAGAAUUCAGUUAUGCUACAGGGCAAAGCUGAAAAAGGUUUAUAUAGAUUGUUGUGUGUUUCCUCAACCAAGUCCUCUGCUUCACAGUCAAACCAAGGUCUUCUUACUCAUGUCGAGUCAGCUGUUUCAAAUCAGCCAAUUUCAAUGUUUUCAACUGUUGUUUCAAAAUUUCCAAAUAAAACUGCUUGCUGUUUGCAUACAGAAGCACUAUGUUGUCAAACUCCUAGUUGUAUGUUGAAUACUAUGGUAUUACAUCAGAGACUAAGGUGCUUAGUCAUGUAAUCAAUUCUUGUUCUUCCUUAAAGAAUGUCAGUGGUAAUAAAACAAUCGAUUCCUGUGAUGCUUGUAAGAUGGGAAAAAUGCAUAAACUUCAUUUUUCAAUUACUGAAACCAAAACCAAAAAUCCUUUGGAACUUCUACAUACUAAUCUAUGGGGACCUUCUCCCACACCUUCUAUCCAAGGAUACAAAUACUAUGUUAGCUUUGUGGAUGACUUCACAAGGUUCACCUGGAUUUUCCCUUUGAAAACCAAAGCUGAUACAUUUCAAGUGUUUAAAAUCUUUAAAGCUCAGGUGGAAAAACAAUUGGAUAAGCCUAUUAAAUGUCUUCAGUUAGAUUGGGGUGGGGAAUACAGAUCUUUUGUUCAUUUUCUUCAUGAAACAGGAAUACAAUUUAGACAUUCAUGCCCUUAUACACACAAUCAAAAUGGUCUUGUAGAAAGAAAGCAUAGGCACAUCACUGAGUUGGGUUUAACUUUACUUGCACAAGCUAAAAUACCCAUCAAAUUCUAGUGGGAUUCUUUUCAUACAGCCACUUACAUUAUUAACAGAUUACCAACUCCUGUUCUUUCCAUGAAAACUCCCUAUGAAUGUCUCUUUCAUUUGCUACCUGAUUAUCCUUUUCUCAAAACUUUUGGUUGUGCUUGUUUUCCAUUCUUAAGAGAUUACAAUCGUCACAAGUUUGAUUUCCAUACAUCCAAGUGUGUCUUCCUAGGAUACAGUCCAUUACACAAAGGUUACAAGUGUCUUCAUCCAUUAGGGAAAACUUAUAUAGCCAGCCAUGUUCUUUUUUAUGAAACCUCUUUUCCAUACUCUACUGAUUCACAUUUUUUGAAGUCCUUGCCACCUAAGGUGUCUGACUUCCAAUACAAUUCUCUACAGUUUUACAAUAUUUCAGUUCCUCAUAGCAAUCUAAAACCUUUUGAAGCUGCUGCAGCAGACACUGAUUCUCAUACUUCUAGUUCUAAUUACAAUAUCAUGUCACCUUCCUUCUCUACUCAUCCUGUUUCUUCUACUGAUACCAUAUCCUCACCUAUUAUUUACACCACAUCUCCUAUCACAACUCCAAACACUACAUCUUCACCCAUCAUCCAUCACCACUCUCCAGAAUUUCCUAUAACACAUCAGGUUCCUUUACACACAUCACCUUCCAGACCAUCUUUCUCCUCUGCUCAUCCUAUGAUUACCAGAGCUAAAGCUGGUAUCUUCAAACCUAAGGCAUUCUUAACAGCACAUAAUAGCUUAGAGCCUUCUAGUGUUGAUGAAGCUUUAGCUGAUCCUAAGUGGCAAGCUGCAAUGCAACUGGAAUAUGAUGCACUUAUUCAAAACAAAACCUGGAGUCUAGUUCCAAUGGAUCCAGCUUAUAAACUGGUGGGUUGUAAGUGGGUUUUCAGAACAAAGUAUAAUCCAGAUGGCUCAGUCUCUAAGUAUAAGGCUCGGUUGGUUGCUAAGGGUUUCCAUCAGACAGCUGGGGUUGACUAUUCAGAAACUUACAGUCCUAUAGUUAAGUCUUCCACUGUCAGAGUUAUACUGAGCUUAGCAGUCAUGCAAGACUGGAAUGUUAGACAAAUAGACAUCAACAAUGCCUUUCUUAAUGGGGAUCUCACUGAAGAUGUGUUCAUGCAACAGCCAGAGGGUUUUGUUUCAGGGGGAGGCUACGUCUGCAAGCUAAACAAAGCCCUUUAUGGUUUAAAACAGGCACCAAGGGCCUGGUAUGAUAAACUUAAGGGCUGUCUUACUGAUUGGAAGUUUACAAACGCUAAGGCUGAUACCUCACUGUUUAUUAGGCAUGACAUUAAAGGCAUAAUCUUUGUUUUGAUCUAUAUAGAUUAUAUUCUAGUCACAGGACCAGAUUCAGUCUUGCUGGAGGCUUUCAUCACAAACUUGAGUAAAGUAUUUGCCUUAAAAGACUUAGGUCUGGUUUCAUACUUCCUUGGUAUAGAAGUCAGCUACACAGAUCAUGGAAUGCAUCUCUCCCAAACUAAGUAUAUCAAGGAUUUGCUAGCUAAAGCAUCAAUGCAGAACUGCAAAGAGACAGAAACUUCUUUCAGCACAGGCUACAAAUUAGAAAGAACAGCUAAAGGUCUUUUGGGUGCAGAAUUUGAAAAUCCAACUCUCUACAGAAGUAUAGUUGGAGGACUUCAAUACUUGAUCUUAACCAGACCAGACAUUGCCUAUUCAGUACAUAAACUUAGCCAGUAUCUAUGUGCCCCAACUCUCCAACAUUGGUUAGCUUGUAAAAAGGUGUUGAGAUAUUUACAAGGAACUAUUACACAUGGUCUUUAUAUUCAGCAAGAGGGGACUUUGGAAACAAUUGGCUUGACAGGGUAUUCAGAUGCUGAUUGGGCGUGUGAUAUUGAUGACAGAAAAUCCAUUGGAGCUUACUGUAUUUUCCUUGGCAAUAAUCUAGUUUCCUGGUCUUCGAAAAAGCAAGCUAUUGUAGCAAAGUCUAGCACUGAAAGUGAAUACCGACCAUUGUCGGCAGCAAGUUCAGAGCUUACUUGGCUACAGUCCUUGUUUUCUGAGCUGAAGAUUAUCAAGUUGCCAACUUCUGUUCUCUGGUGUGAUAAUCAGAGUGCAGGUGAUCUAGCUAAAAAUCCAGUAUUUCACUCUAAGUCCAAACAUAUAGAGCUGGAUGUUCAUUACAUUAGAGAUAAGGUUCUGAAUAAGGAGUUAGAAGUAAGGUACAUUCUCACUGAAGAGCAAGUGGCAGAUGUUCUUACUAAGCCUCUGUCAUUUCCAAAAUUUAGUUAUUUUCGUUCCAAGCUCAAUGUGAUCAACAGACCCUUGAGCUUGAGAGGGGAUGUCAAGGAAGCUCAUGUGAGCCAAAUAGUCAGCAAAGCAGAGGAUUAUAACAGCAGCAGCUUACAGCUGCGAGUUGAUGAUUUGGACUGCCAGCUGGCACCUGGUGGUUAUAUAAUUUCUUGUACUCGUAACUGAUUAGUUGUAGUUUGUUAAUAAGCUGCUGCAUGAUUAGCAUGUGAGAUUAGUUUAGCUAGUAUGGUUAAUUAGUUACGUGAGUAUAUAAAGCAAAGGCAGCACAUUUCCUCUGUAAUCUUGUUGAAAGAAAUAAAAACAAAUUCUCAGAUUCUUAUCAUUUUCUCUCAAUAUUUCUUAGUCAUCAAACAAGCUGUUUUGUCACUUCAGGCAUAGGUAUAUUUCUAAAAUAUUUCUUCCUGCAAAGGUUGCAGACACUAUGUUGCUGUGCAAGGCUGGUGGUAUGCACGAGACAGAGGAGUAAGUACUUGCUUUGUAGAAGAUUUUAGCUCGUCUUAAGAAUUAUAUAUGAAUUAUUUUUGCUAAAAGACAUAUUCUAACUAGUUUUAUGUUUAAUUGACAAAGUGUGGAGGUUCUAAAUGGCAGUGAUCAUCAUUAUGAUAGUGUGGUUCCUUUGGAUCCUUCCAAAAAUAGUCUGAACAAUGAAUGUGGUAUAAUCUAUCUCUCACUGAUCCUUGCUGAAAUAUUUUAUUAUCAUGUAGCCUAUGAAGUUAAAUUUUAUGGUUUGAAGAAUAUUUUUUAGUUUAUUUAUUAUAAUUGAUCUGCUAUUGAACUAUUUCUCAUUAUAAAUAAUGACAAACAAUAUCUACGGCUGUUGUUACACUACAAAUCCUUUGAUUGAGAUGCAUAUUUGUAUAAAUGGUUAGGCAUUGUAAUCACUUCACUUCUCAAUCAACAUCAAUUACUGAACACAAUUAAAGGUUUGUUUAAGUUACUCAUUCAUGCGUUUCAACAUUUUAGAUUAAAAGGUUUGGUUACUGUUGAUAUAAAUGUUUCUGCUUUUGUAUCGAAUGGGUGCGGUUGUUUCAUGUUUUCUGUAAGGUUGCCAAGAAAGGGAAAGAUAUGAAAUAAAGUUUCCAGUUUUGCUUUGUUUUCAUUUUGCUUUCUAAUUAACAAAGGGGAGUGAAUUCCGUCGGCAAGUGCAAACUAAACCUAAAUUAUCAAAUUUAUUUAUUAUCAUCAGGUCCUUAAAAUUUAAAAUUUAAAUUUAAAUCUUGACGGCACUUUAUAUCAUUAGGUCCUUAAAAUUUAAAAUUGAAGACACAUAAUGAAAUAUAUAUAAAUUUCAUCCUCAUAGGAAAGGAUCCUCUAAUAAUCUUAAAAUAUUUGAGCUUUGAAAGAUUUUUUAAAACAAAUGUACUUUUAUUUUUGUACAAUCAAUAUUUACUUAUUUAUUAUAUUUUUAUUCAUUAACUAUCAAUCAUGUGAGUAUAUUUACUCAAAAAUAUCAUAUCAACGGAGCAUCUUGAUCCCACGCACACGCAAAUCUGUAAAUUUCUAUACGCUUCACUUACCUCUAGAAUCAAUUAUCUAAAAUGCAAGUUUGUGGCCACAAAAAAAGCCAAAGAAAGAAGAUAAUAACAAUUGACUUGUAUAUUAUACUCGUACAAUCCACUCGACGUAAUGAUAUCCUUUUAAUAAGGCAAUGGCUGAUGAUCUCCAUUGAAAAACUAAUUCAAUUUUUUUGCCUCAUUUAACUUUUUGGUUGUUGAAAAUAACCUUAAUUAUCAAAUAAUUGGAGAAAGAGUAAAGAACAUUUAACAAAUUUAUGUGCAAAAAAAUAAAAAAAAAGGAGAAGUUGAAGAGAAAGGGUGCUUGCAGAAGUGGGUGUCAAAGAAAAAUUGGUCCAUAAGAAUUAUUGAGGUUAUUUUUUGGCAAUAUAAAAUUUUUAUAGCAAGUAAAAAUUAAUUUUUUUUCCAAUUCACUAAAAACUUCUGCGACAGCAUUUUUUAUGGGUGCUUAUACCCUCCCUUUAAAGAAAAAAUAAUUUAAUGCUUAAGAUAGUAUUAAAUACGAAAAUAUCAAUAUCUGACUACUCAAAUUUAUAUCAUUAGGUCCUUAAAAUUUAAAAUUGAAGAUACGAAAAAAUUGAAGAUAUGAAAGGAAAUAUAUAUAAACUUCAUUCUUAUGGAAAUGAUUCUCUUAUAAUCUUAUAAUAUUUGAGUUUUGAAAAUUUUUUAAAACAAAUGUAAUUUUAUUUGUGUACAAUCAAUAUUUACUUAUUUAUUAUAUUUUAAUUUAUUUAUUAUAUUUAGUCAGAAAAAUUAUAUCAAGAGAGAAGCCUAAUUUCACGCAAACACAAAUACAAGACAAAUAUGUUAAUUUCUAUACUAUUCACUUUCCUGUAGAAUCAAUUAUCUAAAAUGCAAGUUUGUGGCUACAGAAAACUCGCCAAAGAAAGAAGUUAAUAACAAUUGAGCAUUGAUAGCAAAACUAAUGCAUCAUUUUCUUCUUGACUUGAUGAGAUGGCGCCAUUACAAAAAAACAAGUACCUUAAUUGACGGGCACUGAGUGAUGUGAAUACUACCAGCCAGUUCAUCUCUUCCAGUCUUGCUUAAUCACAAUCACAAACACCACGAGAUCGACAUUUGCAUUAUAUAUAUCUUCAGCAAUCGAAACACCUUGCAUUACCAAAUUAACCAGUAACAAACAAAGCAAUGUUUCAUGGAGAGAAACCUUAGUCUCAGUAUGAUCAUUGUGUCAUUAACCCACUGCCUGCUUCUUUGCUUGGUUGAUGCUGCAGCAGCAGCAGCAGCAAGCAGCAAUAUUACCACAGACCAACAAGCUCUUCUUGCCCUGAAAGAUCAUAUAACUUAUGAUCCGACCAACAUUUUUGCCCAUAAUUGGACCUCGAAUACCUCUGUUUGCACCUGGAUUGGCAUCACUUGUGCUGUCAAUAGCCAUAGAGUCACAGCCUUAGAUAUUUCUCAAUUCAAUCUACAAGGCACCAUCCCUCCUCAACUUGGAAACCUCUCUUCACUCACAACGCUUAAUCUUAGUCAUAACAAGCUUUCCGGAAGCGUUCCCACCUCCAUCUACACCAUGCAUACGCUAAAAUUUCUUGACUUCACUGAUAACCAGCUCUCUGGUUCAGUUUCUUCCUUCGUCUUCAACAUGUCUUCAAUAUUAGACAUUCGUUUGACCAAUAACAGACUUUCUGGUGAGCUUCCGAAAAAUAUUUGCAACUAUCGUCCUUAUUUGAAAGCCCUUUUUUUGGACAAAAACAUGUUGCAUGGCAAAAUUCCUUCUGCUUUAUCAAAGUGCAAACAACUGCAACAAUUAAAUUUGCAGUUCAAUAAUUUAUCCGGUGCAAUACCAAAAGAAAUCGGCAACUUGACCAUGCUCAAAGAGAUAGACCUCGGCUACAACAAACUCCACGGUAUGUUCAUAAUACUAUCUAAAUAUUUUAAUUUCUCACUUGUUAAUUGUCUUGAAUAUCUUAGAUAAGAUCUUGUAAGUGAGAUUUUUUGCAUCUAUGUUAAUUUACCAGGUGAGAUACCCCACGAAAUCGCUAAUCUUCGAAAUCUAGAGGCUUUAGUGCUAGGAAUGAACAACCUAGUUGGUGUGGUAUCAGCUAUAAUCUUCAACAUGUCAUCACUGAAGGUACUUAUCCUCAUCAAUAACUCUCUCUCCGGAAGUCUCCCAUCAAGAAUGGACCUUUCACUUCCAACUAUUGAGCAUCUUAACUUGGCACUUAAUAGAUUUUCUGGAACCAUUCCUAGUUCCAUCACCAAUGCUUCUAAGCUCUCCUUUCUAGAGUUGGGAGGAAACACAUUUUCGGGCUUUAUUCCAAACACAAUUGGAAAUUUAAGAAACCUUGAGUGGCUCGGCUUGGCUAAUAACUCCUUGACAUCUUCAACCUCAAAAUUGAGCUUUCUUUCCUCUUUGGCAAAUUGCAAGAAAUUAAGAUCCUUAAACUUAAUAGGCAAUCCGCUUGACGGCUUCCUUCCAAGUUCAAUAGGUAAUCUUUCCAUGUCUUUGAAAAUACUUCUCAUCGCCAAUUGCAGUAUUAUUGGCAAUAUUCCUCAAGCAAUUAGCAAUUUAAGCAACUUGCUGGCCUUAGUAUUAGAACGCAAUAAAUUGACUGGACCAAUUCCAAUUACAUUCGGCCGACUGCAGAAACUCCAAGGCUUAUAUCUUGCAUCCAAUAAGUUGGUAGGUUCAUUCCCAGAUGAGCUUUGCCAUCUAGGUAGGCUGGCUGUAUUGGCCUUACUUGACAAUAGGCUUUCAGGAUCUAUACCUUCAUGCGUAAGUAAUCUCACUUCUCUAAGAUCUCUCUAUUUAGAGUCCAAUAGGUUUACUUUUGUCAUUCCCUCAACUUUCUGGAGCCUAAAAGACAUCUUGUUCUUUGACUUUUCAUCAAAUUUCUUGGUUGGUCCUCUUUCUUUAGACAUAGGAAAUUUGAAGGUGCUUGUAAGAAUAAAUUUAUCAGAAAAUAACUUAUCCGGUGAUAUCCCAGCCACAAUUGGAGGACUGAAAGACCUUCAAUUUAUGGACCUAGCAUAUAAUAGAUUGGAAGGCCCAAUUCCUGAAUCAUUUGGUGACUUGACAAGUUUGGAGGUUUUGAAUUUGUCAAAUAAUAAAAUCUCUGGGUCUAUUCCAAAAUCCAUGGAGAAACUCUUUUACCUCCGAGACUUAAAUCUCUCUUUCAAUGAACUAGAAGGUGAGAUUCCUAGUGGAGGAAUUUUUGCCAACUUCACAGCUGAGUCAUUUAUGGGAAAUGAGUUAUUGUGUGGUUUACCAAAUCUUCAAGUCCAACCAUGCAAAGUUAGCAAGCCGAGGACAGAACAUAAAUCAAGGAAAAACAUACUUCUCAUUGUGAUUGUUUUGCCAUUGAGUAUUGCUCUAACAAUAGCAAUCACUCUGCCUCUCAAAUCUAAGCUGAUCGAAUGUGGAAAAAGAAGCACAGUGUUGUCAAAUGAUAGUGUCUUGUCAUCACAAGCAACACUAAGAAGAUUUUCAUACUUAGAACUUUUACAAGCAACAGAUAAUUUUGCUGAAAACAACAUAAUUGGCAGAGGAGGUUUUGGUUCCGUUUAUGGAGCAAGACUUGAAGAUGGGAUGAAGAUUGCAAUAAAAGUGUUUCACCAGCAAUGUGCAAGCGCAUUGAAGAGUUUUGAGGCUGAAUGUGAAGUGUUAAAAAAUAUUCGCCAUCAAAACCUUAUCAAAGUUAUCAGCAGUUGCUCGAACGAUGACUUCAAAGCAUUAGUCCUAGAAUACAUGUCCAACGGGAGCUUGGGGGAUUGGCUGCAUUCUAGCAAUUAUGUGCUGAAUAUAUUUCAGAGGUUGAACAUAAUGAUUGACGUUGCAUCAGCUUUAGAAUAUCUCCACUUCGAUCAUUCAACUCCUAUUAUUCAUUGUGACUUAAAGCCUAGUAAUGUAUUGUUGGAUGAAAAUAUGGUUGCUCAUUUGAGUGAUUUUGGCAUAGCAAAGCUUUUAAGUGGAGAAGAUGAGUCUAUGAUGCGAACAAAAACCCUUGCCACUAUAGGUUAUAUGGCACCAGGUUUGCUUCAAACAAUUUUUUUUUGAGUUCAUUUUAAAUUUUCCAAAUCAUCGAUUUUUACGAUCCUCAUAUCAAAAUGUUAUUGAUUAUUUAUCUAAUUGUGAAAUUAAUUUGAUUCAUAGAGUACGGCAUAAAAGGAGAAGUAUCUACAAAAAGUGAUGUUUACAGCUAUGGGAUUAUGUUGAUGGAAACUUUUACCAAGAAAAAACCCACAGAUGAAAUUUUUGUCGGACAAUUGAGCUUAAAGCGUUGGGUUAAUGACUUGCUUCCUAAUUCAUUAGUGGAAGUUGUGGACAAAACUCUGCUAAGUGGAGAGGAAAAACAUUUUGCCGCAAAGGAGCAAUGUCUGUUAUCUAUCUUUAGUUUGGCUCUGGAGUGUACAAUGGAAUCACCGGAAAAGAGGAUUAAUGCAAAAGAUAUUGUUACCAGGUUACUCAAGAUAAGAGACACAUUGAGUAAAAGGAUAGGAAAUUUAAGUUAAUUUCGUUUGCUUUCAUUGAUAGUUAAUUCAAAUUCAUGUAAUAAGUGUAAGAAUCUUAUAUGCUUUCCUUAGAUUUUUUUUUUUUUUUGAGAAAACUGUUGUAGUCAUCUUGUUUCCAUGGGCAGAGUUGAUUUAGUUUUUCCAAGAAAUGCUACUGAUGACAUUUGUUUUAUACGCUCUCUUUUUUUGCAUGCGUUUAGGUAGAAUAGUGGUCUAGCUGCAGGCCAAUAAGUCAAGCUACGCCAAAAGCGUAUGAUUGAAUUUAUAAGAGUGAAAUAAUUAGCAAAAAGAGUUUAGAAUGACAACUGGGACAUACAUAUAUAAGAGUGAAAUAAUUAAAAAAUAAUGCUUUUUUGUUUGUCGUGUUAAAAUCGUAAGUACCGAAGUACUGUGAAAGAGAUUAAUUUACAGAAACUGAAGCCAAGGGUUCAAAAAAAAAGUGCAAAGAGAAUAAUUGUAUUGGUAGCACAAUGUCAUAUUCAUACAGAGAUCAAGUAUAUUAUUUACGGCUAGUAAGGACUAAGAAUUAAUUGUACACUAUUGUUUUAUUCUACAAUCAAUCUUGACCCUUGAUGCUUGGCUCUCAAUCUUGUCCAUUGAUCUUCUCUGAUUUUGGAGACUUGAAGACCUUUCAGUAUUAUGCCUUGUUGUUGGUGUCUUCCAUGCGGUAGAACCGACGACUUGCCAAGUGUUUGUUCAUUGACGCAUUUUAUCAAACAGUUGGCCUGCUCAUAGCAAACAGCUCCUGUUUUAAUUCGAUGUUAUACGGGUAUUUCAUUUAUUUGAGUAGGGGUUAGGGGUCAAUUGGAUACAAAUUCAAAAUUAUCCUUACUUGAGAUGGUGAUAAAAAUUGGGGAUUUAAUUUGGAUGUGAUUAGCUACAAAUAUUAAGCUCAUACAUUUAAUUCAAAAUUGGAGGGCUGAUAUAUGUGCAUCAUCGUGCACGUUAUAGUGACACUGCGUCACCAUCCCACAACCUCUCCAAUGAAAAAUUGACAUGCAUCUUGUGCGCUUCUGAUCAAAAUCCUGAAAAUUAAUCACAAAGUUAUACUUUUAUUAUAAAAAGAAUAAAGAAACUCCAAGAAAAAAAAAAUAGACUUACAUAAAUAGUUUGAGUAUUCUAGAUUCCAAGUUGUCUAUAUUAGCUUGAUCUUUUUAUAAAUAGUCAUCUUCGAAAAAAAAUUCCACCACCAUAUAUUUUAAUUUUAUGUUAAUUAAUAAAUAGAAAAAAAAUCAUUUUAGAAUUAAUUAAAACAUUAUUUAUUGUUGCCAAAAAAAAGGAAGAAUUUAGUGAUAAGAAAAAAGUGUCUCAAAUAUACGUUAAAAAAAUUAAUCAUGGUGGGUUCGAUUGAUUGAAUUUUUUUUUUUAUCUUUUUCUUUUUUAAGAAUUAAGACAAUUGGAUUGAUUGAGUAAUAAUAAAAUAUAUUUAUUUGGCAAAUGGCAGUUAGGCUUUCUUCUGAUGCAGAUUAAUUAGAGAGAAUAUAUAACCAUUUUAAGCUCGUCAGAUUCGGAACCUGCUUAUCUGUCGUGUGGGGAUCACUUCCGUGUCUUAUUUUUCUACAAAAAUCUAGACCAUUGGAUUUCCCAUUAGUCAAUAGAUAAAUGUUUGAUCUUGAUUCUUGAUUAAGAUCGAAGUUUGAUUCUAACCAACAUGAUGUCUGAUUCAGAUUGCGAAGCCAGCAAAUUGAAAGUAACUUGUUCUAUUUUGAUAAAACAUUCUCAUAGUAAAGUGAAUUACCAUCCAACGAUCCAACUCAUGUUUUCAAAUUGUAAAUUGCAAAUCGUGUGUUUGCCCCAUUACAGAGUUUCUUCAAUCUGAAAUAGAGAAUCAUUUGUGUUCUAGAUUAAUCGUGGGUCUAUAUCCAAAUCUAAAAAUUGACUAAAUUCUUAAUCCUAACAAGAAAAAUUGAAGAUUAAAAACAACUAAUUUGGUACCAUACCACUAUUGUAACAUAGGUAGAUCCUCUAUUAAUUGGAGUAAAGAUUGAAUUAUCUCAUUUAUUAAGGUUUAUCAAAAUCUUGUGUCAAAAUCUAUUAAUGAUAUAGGUUCAAGGAUGAAAGAGUCACUUCAUUACUUUUGAGUUCCCAAAUAGAUGAAUGGGUGUUAUUUUUGGAUUCCGGAGAGUCGAAAAUAUUAGGAUAGGUGCUAAAUCGAAUUAAGUUGUAGAUAAGAUAGAAAUGGAUUUGGAGAGAUUGGAAUCCUAGGUAAUCCGGUGCACGUUGUCGUGUUAAAUUAUCGUUGACUUCACGUUGACUGAAGCAUUAUUGGAAGAAACAAGUUUAUUGAUGUGAGGCCUUUGAGAUUGUAAGUGUUAAAUCUGAGAAGAAUACCCACACACCCAUUAUCCUAUUACUCUUAUAUCACAUGAAGAGAAUUCAACAUUUGAUUCACACGGAAAAAAUUUGUGAGGAUUGUGAGGGUUGAUGGAAUAUAAUUUAGAUACAAAGUGUUUACCAGUGCGAUGCUUCGCAAGUGUUCUUGAAUCAAUAUAAACUCACAUUAUUUUCAUAGUGAUUGUUUCAUCUGCACGUGGAUAUAAUCACAUGUCGAGAUUUUUUUCCUUAAAUUAUGGUCUUAUUUAGUAUUGAGGUGUUAUAUCUUUUAAGGUACAAUUAUUGUUGGAAAAAAGUUACAACUAUCAAAUAAAAUUAAUACUAUGUGCUAAAUAUAAUUGUUAAAUAAUAAUUUUGACAAAAUUAGUGAAGUUAUAUAGAUUUUUUUUCAUCAUCCAAGUAUAAAAUCAAAUCAACUUAACUUCUAAGUUAUAUAUCGGUUACUGUUUAUCAUAUGUUUUAGUUCUGUAACUUUUAAGUUAUAGUUACCCAACCUCAAUUCUAAACAAGACCUAUAAAGAUCAAAGAUUUCCUCAUUAAAUUAUAUGUCUUGUGAUUGCUUAUUUAAUUUAUAUUUUUGUUAUUUAUCUUUAUUAAUUAUAAUCAUCUUUUUAUAAAUUAAAAUUGAAGGAAGUUGAUUGAUGUUGUUGACACACACGCACACACUCACAAAGACAUAUUGGAAGUGCUUACGUCGACUCGAAGUUGUUGGGAAUUAAUGCAUGUAUUGAUUUAUUGGGAGUGUUUAAAUGAUUUUGUGAUUUACUUGAUUUAUUGAUUGAAUAUUGUUUGAUUGCUUCAUAUCCAUUCUAGAAAGUUUAUUUCUUUGUGAAAGUUCAACGAAAUAUGUUUUUUUUUUUUUAAAUAAGGGUGUUCUAAAUAAUUUUAAAAAAUAUAUGGACUAAUUAGAAUUAAUUAUUAGGUAAUUAACUCAAUCUGUACGGGGUAAAACAACAUUUAUCCUAAUUAUAUCAUGAUAAAUACUUUUCCGAUUAGAAUUAGGAAAUCAUAGGUUUGUUGAAUUGUUUUUUUUUUAUUUUCCUUUGCGGAAACGGAUUAGAGAAUUAGAAAACAAUCAUGUUGAUGUCAAAAUCUGAUCUAGUCGGUUAGCGACUUAAUAUCAUAUUACUGCACCAGUAUUAAAUUUAUUUGGUAGAGAAUCGGCUGGUCAAUUGUCAAGAUGUCCUGCAAUCACUAGCGAUUAACCUACGAAUAUAUGAAAUUAUAGAAGACGGUAAGAGGCACCGGAAGUUUUUUCGUCGUGAACCUUCUGACGCUCAAGUCAGUUUAUAGGUUUACGAUAAUAAAAAUAAAUAAUUUCUAUUUAAAACAAAAAAUAGAGUUCAAAAGCUCAAAAAUAAAACCCAAUCCCAAUAUGAAAAUGAAUAUCUUUUUUUUUAGCUUGGCCGAAUCCUUCUGCCUCCUAAAGAAACAUAAUAGAGAAGCCGGUAGCCAUGUUCCCUAGGUAACGCCCCACUCCCCUCUUUUAUUCCUCCCCCUCUCUUCUGUUUCCUUCUUUUGCUCACUAUCCUUUAUAAUUUUUUAUGCUUGUCUUCCCAAAAUAGCCUUUGAAUACACAAGUAAAUGUCUAGGCUUUGGUGAGGAUAGUUUGGUUAUUGCAUUUUACAAGUAAGAUGAGUGGUGGAGAAAAAUGAGGAGUGCAUAUAACUCUUCAGCAAAUCCCACCAACAAUUCCAUUUUCUUAAUUAAUUAAUCUCCUUUUUUAUCCCCAAACAAAUCCUAAUGAUACUAUUAUCAGGUUUAAAACAGUACAUAAAUAGUGAAAAGCUAACUAGUCUGUAGAUUAAUUUGCUAAUUGCUAUCUCCUCUCUACGCGCUCUGAAUAAUUUGUUGCAUGCAAACUUUUUAUUUUAUGCAAAUCGUACGUACUGUAACAUUGGAAUUGAUGUAUAAGCAAAAAUACAAGAAUCUUUAUGUCAAUAAAAAUAGUUUUUUUUUCCUUUUUAAAUAAACACAACGCGAUGUUGCUCUUCUCUACAUUGUUGCUAUCUCUUUAUUCCCUUUUUUUUUUUUCGGCUUCUUAAAGCCUCAAACUUUGAUAACCAAAACUUCAUCAAACUUUGAAAAAAAUCUGUCUGGUUAGUUAUUAUUAUCGGAAUAAUUAUUUGAGAAUACUAAAACAAAAUAUAAAUAAGAAAAUACGGGGUUAAAUUUGGGGAAAACAAAAAGGCAUGUUGGAUAGAUUACUAUAGUUUAAGGGAAAAAAAAUCCAAUUGGGAAUUUUUUUCUUUAAUUUUUGUUUUACUUGAUUGAGAUUUCUCCUUAGUCCUUACAGUUUUAAGUUUGGACUCCGUAGGGUUAGUAAUUUAGUACUUCCUUUGCAAGCUGAGUGCAAGAAUGAAAAUCUUUAAAGAAAUUAAAAAAGAUUAAAAAAAAGCAUACCAAUAGGUAAUUAUAAAUAACCAUAAAUAAACAUAAACAAAAUGUUUAUGAAGUAAAUUACACAUGCACAUAUUAUUUUUUUGUUUUAUUUCUUACUUGUCAAUUUUAUUUGCUGCUUGAUAACCCGUAAAUACUAAUCUAGUACUGCUAAUUUCAGACACAAAAUUUUUAACUCUAGGCUGCAGUUUUACUCAAAAUGAUGACCACUGGCUUCGCACCAUUUAACCGGCAUACAUUUCUACAAAUUGAACAAGGCUAUUGAUUUUCAUUAUUAUUUUUUAUUUAUUUAUAAAUUACCAUUUUAAUUUUCACUUUUUAUUGGGCUGUUGAACGGAUUAGUGAAGUUGGUGGUCGUGAUGCACUCAUAAGGUACAAUUUUAUUUUAUAAUUUCAAAUUUGUAUUUUAAAAUGCAGGUACAUUAUGUAUACAUAAUUAUUGAUUUUCGUAUGUGGGUGUUUUGAAAUAUUGCUAAAAGACCAAACUUUAAUAAACUAUUUUUCAUCUUUUUUUUUCCUUUUUUCCUAAAGUUCGAGUGAUAUCCGCAUUUUAAAUUCAUGUGGAACAAAAUCUAAUGUAUGCACAAAAUUCUUUUAUUUUUUCCAAGAAAAAUGGGUAAGAGAAGAAGAUUUUUCUCUUGAAAAAGAAAAACUAAUAUGAUGCAAGCAUAGGAAAGAGGUCAGUGUUUUGGAUUAGAAUUUAGUAUUGAGCUGAAUUUUAUACUAAACUCUUUUAUGGUACUGCGAUUAAUAAACUCAUGAUUUGCUUUUGCUUUUGCUUUUACUUCAAGUGAAAGAAAGAGGAAACCUUUUGUUUUUUGUUUGAUUCUUGACUACAGAUGUUAGCUAUAUAGAGAGUUGAGGUAGCAGCCUUAAGUGAUGGUGAUAAAAAGAUUAGGCAGCGCACACAAUCUUACUGUCGUCCAGACCAUCCAGCUGUGAUGACUCUAGUUUUUUGGUUACAUUAGCUUUAGUGGAAAGGAGGGCCAAUUUAACAAAGACUAGAUUUGGUGGCUUACUAUAAUGCUUAUUCUCAGGGAAUCUAAUGUUAUAAGAUGAUUUAAUGAUCUUCUAUGAUUGUGAGUAGUAUAGUAUAAUUGAAAAGAGCCUGGGCUCCUAUGAUGAAUAUAUAAUAGUAACGCAGUACUGUGAUUGAAAAAAACACAGUUACAAUAAACUCUUCAUUUAUUCAUUGCGGAGAUUGAAUGGCAAACAGAGAAUAAAAUGAAGCAGAGGAAUCUCAUUGCCAGUAAAAUUGACCCUCUUUAAUGUUAUAUGGCACAGGUGUGUGUACAGCAAGAGCAAGUUACUUGCAGUUUUUAUUGUAAAAUAUACAGGUUAUGACCAUGAUCAUUGUAGUUAGGUUUUGAUGAUUUUAGAUGCUUUUUUUAUUUUUAUUUUUUAAAUUGUGACACCUUUGAUUUAUGGUAGUUUUGCAGAAGAAAAAAAUAUAUAUAAAAAUUAGGAGGGAUGAGUUAACUAACAAUUGCAAUCAUUGCAGUAAUGUUGAUGAGUGAUACAUCAUUUGAAAUUUACUUGUCAGUUGCUAAAAUGAUGAAAAAAAACAAUAAACAAUAGCAGUAAUAUUUUUAUGGAAAUUCUGGGUUUUUAUGGAAAUACUCUUGCUGAAAUUCUAAUUUUGACUUUCAACUCUUGGUUUUUAUGGAAAGUAAAAUGACUUGUUUGUUAUAUUCAUACAACCCACUCUACAUAAUGAUUUCAUUUUAAUAAAUGCUUGAUGAUCUCCACAGAAAAACUACUUCAAUUCUUUUUUUUUAUUUAACUUUUUGGUUGUUGAAAAUAGCCUUAAUUUUCAAAUCAUUGGAGAAAGAGUAAAGAACAUUUAACAAAUUUAUGUGCCAAAAAUAAAGGAGAAAUUGAAGAGAAAGGGUGCUUGCAGAAGUGGGUGCAAAGAUAAAUCAGUCCAUAAGAAUUAUUGUGGUUAUUAAUUUUUUGGCAAUAUAAAAAUUUUUCAGCAAAUAAAAAUAGAUUUUUUUCUGAUUUACUAAAAAAUUAAUUAAAAACUUCGGCGAUAGCAUUUUUUAUGGGUGCAUGUACCCUCCCUUUAAAAAAAAUAUAAUAAUUAAUACUUAAUAUAGUAUUAAAUACGAAAAUAUCAAUAUUUGACUACACAAAUUUAUAUCAUUAGGUCCUUAAAAUUUAAAAUUGAAGACACAAAAUGAAAUAUAUAUAAAUUUCAUUCUCAUAGGAAAGGAUCCUCUUAUAAUCUUAAAAUAUUUGAGCUUUGAAAGAAUUUUUAAAACAAAUGUACUUUUAUUUUUGUACAAUCAAUAUUUACUUAUUUAUUAUAUUUUUAUUCAUUACACUACUAGAAAAAUGGUCUUUUGUGACACUUGUCUUCUGACACUUUAUUAUAAAGUAUCAGUAAUUACAUAUAUUUGGGGCAUUUUCCGUGUUUAACAUAUAAGUAUCACAAAUUGCUAAUACUAUGGUGUCAGUAAAUUUAAUAUCACAGAUUCGUGACACUAAAGUAUUAGUAGUUAAAAAAAUAAAAUUUUAAUUUUGUAUCUAGUAAUAAUCGCACCGAAGACCCCGAAGCCAUAACCUUUUGCUUUUAACCGCUAUACCACUCGGCCACAAAUUGCAUUUUUGAACUUAUAAAUUAAUAAAUAAAUAAAUAUUAAAACUUAAAACCUAAAACCUAAAAAUUUUUCAUGUAUGGUAUGUGUGAAACCUAAAACCUAAAAAUUUUUGUUAAGUCAAAAAUCUAUCUUAUGGCCGCCGAAGCUUUCUUCCUUCUCUCUCCUUCCCUCUCUCUCGCUCUCUUUCUCUCUCGAACAAUGAUCUACCUUGAAAGCCGCCUCCGUCAACACCUUGAAAGCCGCCGUCCUUAAGCUAAAAUAUCCCUGAAAAGAACCCAGAAAGUGCUGUGAAGAAUUUGGGCAAAGCUAAGGUUUGAAAGUCCGAAUCAGUGUUGUGGUAACUCUUUGCCUCAUUCUCUAUUCUCAUUGUUUAAGUAUUUAUCUGUUAAUUGAUUGAUGUUUAUUGAGUGCAAAUGAGAGCUUGCACUUGUUUGGAAAUCCAGCCAUCUAGGGUUUUUGUUGCUUAUAAUCUAAUUUAUUGUUUAAUAAAAUAAAUAAAACGCAGCUUUAUUAUAGGUGGAAUUCAGUUUAUUAAGUGAAAGAAUGAUUACAAUCGGUGAUUAUGGAUUUAGGUUGAAUGCAAUUUGUUAAUUAAAAGAAUAAUGGUAAUCGACAGUCAUGGGUUUAGUAUGUAUUAUAUAUUUCGUUUAAUGGUGUGUAUGAAAACCCAAAACCUAAAAUUUUCUUAAGUAAAAAUCUCAGUUCUCCCUCACAACCUAUAAGCCCAUCACUCUCUCUCUCUCUCUCUCUCCCCUCUUUCUAGCUAACAACCCAAAACUUAUUGUGAAACCGCCAUUUCAAUCUUUCAAAGCUCAUUAGUUAGCUGGUCAUUGUGAAAAGUAAGGUUAUUGUUUGCUUUAUGUCUAAUUUACUUUAAACAUGGGGAUUGAUGAUAUUCGAGUUGCUGAACACUUGAUUUUGAGGUGAAAGAUUAAUUAAUAGUUUACAAAAUUAUGCUGAAAAUUUGAGGAUUGAUAGACUGUUGUUGUGAACUUGGUUGUUUCCGAACUUGACUAAAUGACUUUCAAUUGAUUUGAAAGUUUGAUUAAACUAAGUUUAAAUGAGAACAUUUUAAUUCUGGAAAUUUUGGAAUGAAUUGGGUCUAUAUUUGAUUUUGAAUGGAUUUCUCAAUAUGGUUGGUUGUUGUCCAAUUUUAUUAGAAAUUACAUAUGUACCAUGUUUGAUAUUGCAAACGUAUAGUUUAACAUAGUUAGAAUAAGCUGAAAUUCAGAUAAACUACACUUCUAUUUGCAUACUUCGAAUCUGGAAAAUUUUAUUUUGAUUGAACCUGUAAUUUAUUUUUAAUGAUUUUUCAAACUCUGCUGCCUCUGCAGUAACUUCUUUUGACAGAACUGUUCAUUAAUCUUUGAUCCUAUCAAACACCAGCCUACUGAUAUCGGAAUAGCCUCAAAUUUUAAUAUGUUGUUGACUUAUAUGUCCACUUAAAAUCUAGAAAGUAUCAUUCUAAUAUAUUUAGUAUUUUAAAUUUAAUAAAUAUUCAAACACCUGCUGCUACUUUUACAGUUUCAUAUGCAAUUUUAACUUAUAUAGUUUUAUCAUGUGAGAAGCAAAUGUAUGGUUGUCCAAAUGACUUGGAAAUUUUUUUUGUGGUGCAUUGAAAUGUCUAAUUAUGUUUUGUAAGUUUCAUAGCAUUCCAAAUUGAAUUAAAGAAAAUCUUAAAUUCAAGUUGUCAAUGUUUCCUAUUAAAUCUUAUUAGUGAUAAAUCUACUAACUUGCAGUACUUUUCAGGAAAAAAAAUGUGUCAACACUGUGAAUUGCAAUGGGAGAAGAAAGUACUAAAGGCAUAAAUCUUUUUUCAUUAUAUUUGGGACUAUUCUUAAAGGUUAGUCUUUUCCUUUUUCCUUUUUUUCUUUUUUAUUUAAGGUAAUCAUAUUCAUUUUAAUUUUAAUUACAAUCAAUUUGGCGUUGUUAGACAACUCGCACCAACCAGUCCAACAGCAAAUGAAGAUAACAUUUUUGAAAUGCAUUCAGUUUUUGACAAUAGCAAAAAGAAAAAGGAAAAAUGAUACUAGUUUAGGCUUUAGGAAAUUUGCACCAUCAUUCUUGCACUGCAGCUGCCUCUAUCUCGGUGCUCUCGGAGAAGUAAUCUUGCUUGAUUUUGCGUGAUAGUUGAUACAAGCCCGUCCUAGCCAUUACAAAAUUGACACUAAAAAGGUUCUAGUUUUUCAUAUUGUAGUUUGAAAAGUCUGCAAUGUUUGCUAUGCUGAUGCCCCAUUUGAAUGUUGGAGCCCAAAAAUGAAUGGUUUUAGGACCAGCCGGGUGGUUCCAAAAAGCUAGGAGCUUGUUAGCUAUUCUUUUUAAUUGAACUAAUUUAACUUAAAUAUUAGCCCGAUUAUUGAUUUCUAUGGUUUGCCAUUGAUUUGAGUUUGACAUUCUUGUUUUGUGUUGGUUUGAGUUUGACAUCCUAGUUUAAGACUUUGAAGGCUUCCAAGAAAUGAUUUUGGAUGAUGAGCAAAUGAGUAAUAGUUUGAAAAUUAAUUUACUGUAUCAAAUAUAUACUUAGUGUAGCAUAUUAAUUUUAAGAACUAUGGAUUAUUCCUUGAAUAUUCUAGUAAAUGGUUAUGUUAUAUAUGCAUGUCUUAAUAUAUAAUAAUUAUAUUUUGAAGUUUGUUUUUUUUUUUUUCCCUUUCUAGGUUUAGGAAAAAUGUUUAAAGUGAUUUUGGGUUAUGAUGUCAAUCAAGUUAAAGCAACAUUACUUGUGAGUGGAAAUAUAUAAUGAUUAUAUUUUUAUUCUACUUUUUUUUUAUCUUCUUAAAGUUUUAUAAUUAGGCAAAAUUAAUGAAUACUUAAUUACAAUUUAGGGUGAUAUUCUUUAAAUGGUUCACAUGAAUAGAUUUAAGUAGUAUAAUAAAUCUCAUACUCACUUUAUAAAGGCUUAACUAAGUUUGCAAAUAUUAUUUCUUUUAGUAGUAAUAAUUUUGGAUCGAACUCUCAAAUUAUUGAAAUAUUUUAUGUCCAAACUUUAUUAUGCCUAAUAUAAAUAUUGAGAUUCAUAGUUAUUUUAUGCCCAGUUUAAGGAAACUGUAGUUUGAGGACUUAUUUUUUGCCUUGUUAAAUAAACUUUUAGAAUGAAUAAAUUGAGGAAAUGAGUGGUGAUUUAUUUAUAAUAGAGCAUUUGUGAUAGCUUUUAACUAUGCACAAAAAUCAUUUGGUAUAUGUAGAUAGAGUAACAUGCUUGUGCUGAAAGUAGAUAUUACAUUGAAAACUUCUUGUCUACUAUAGUUUGCUAUAUAUAUAACCUUUACCAAAAGAGAAUAAUUGAGUUUAUUUAUAAAUAGCUUAUGAGGAUUUUUUUUUUCUUUCGAACAAAAUAAUUUUAUUUCUGUUAAUUGUUGUUUCUCUAAUGGCUGGAUAUUGGCAGCUAAUUUUUUUUUUCUUUUCCAUGUAUUCAUAUGCAGCUUUGAUCAAUGUGUUUGAAGUGUUUAUUCCUCAACUUCACUUAUAUCAUAACCCAUACAGUCUAUUGAAUGGAGAAGCUGCUGGCGUGAUAACGCAAUUAUACUACUCAUAUUCAAACAGUGAAAGACAAUCAUCCUUCUCAAUUUAGCUUCUAGAUUUAUUAAAUUUAGCCACAAGUAGUAGGUAUUUGAUUGGAUGGUAGAAAUUUUUAUGUAUUGAAUUUGGAUUAUUGAGUUAUGAGAGUAGGAUAUCUCAUAUUUUUGUUAUUGAAGUUUUGGAAUUUGUAAUAUAUACUAAUAAUAUUUAAAUGUGAAAUGAAAGAUUUUGCGAUAUAAAUCAAUUUCUUUUUGUUAUUUUGUGGUGCUUUUUAAUUUUACCAAUAAAUCAAUAGACAAUGAUCCAAUUCUUUUUUUUUUUAAAUAAAUUAACUAGUGAUACUAUGGUAACAGUAAUCAUAGACACUAAUAAAAUAUCAAUAAUUACUAACACUAUGGUGUCAUAAUAUUGGUGAUACCGUAGUAAUAGUAAUCACUGACACCACUUACAAGUGUCACUAUUUUUCUGACUCCCAGAUUACUGGCACAAUUAACAAGUGUCAAUGAAAGUAAUUUCUAACACUAUUCUAAAGUCAGUAAAUACCAUUUUUCUAGUAGUGUUAACUAUCAAUCAUGUGAGUAUAUUUACUCAGAAAUAUCAUAUCAAUAGACAAUCUUGAUCCCACACACACGUAAAUAUGUUAAUUUCUAUACGCUUCACUUAACCUGUAGAAUCAAUUAUCUAAAAUGCAAGUUUGUGGCCACAAAAAAAGCCAAAGAAAGAAGAUAAUAACAAUUGACUUGUAUAUUAUGCUCAUACAAUCCACUCGACAUAAUGAUAUCAUUUUAAUAAGGCAAUGGCCGAUGAUCUCCAUUGAAAAACUAAUUCAAUUUUUUUGCUUCAUUUAACUUUUUGGUUGUUGAAAAUAACUUUAAUUAUCAAAUAAUUGGAGAAAGAGUAAAGAACAUUUAACAAAUUUAUGUGCAAAAAAAAAAAAAAGGAGAAGUUGAAGAGAAAGGGUGCUUGCAGAAGUGGGUGUCAAAGAAAAAUCUGUCCAUAAGAAUUAUUGCGGUUAUUUUUUGGCAAUGUAAAAUUUUUAUAGCAAGUAAAAAUUAAUUUUUUCCGAUUUACUAAAACAUUAACAAAAAAACUUCUGUGACAGCAUUUUUUAUGGGUGCAUAUACCCUCCCUUUAAAAAAAAUAAUAAUUAAUGCUUAAUAUAAUAUUAAAUACGAAAAUAUCAAUAUUUGACUACUCAAAUUUACAUCAUUAGGUCCUUAAAAUUUAAAAUUGAAGAUACGAAAGGAAGCAUAUAUAAAUUUCAUUCUCAUGAAAAGGAUUCUCUUAUAAUCUUAUAAUAUUUGAGUUUUGAAAUUUUUUUGAAACAAAUGUAAUUUUAUUUGUGUACAAUCUGAAAUGGCCCAAAACGUCAUAAAACUUUUCAAAUAGGUUCAAUUUCAGAACUUCCUAAAAAUAGUCGUCUUUCCCCAACUUUCUGAAAUUAUGAUAUAGCCCCAAAGAUUUUAUUAUUUCGCACAAAGGUCCUUUUCAACAUAAUACCCAUAUUUUUCAAAGUUCUCAAAACCUUUCACUUUAGUCCAAAAUAUUCAUAAAUUAUAGUAUGGCCCAAAACAUUUCAAAUGUUUGUAAAAACGUCCAACUCUGAAAUUUAAUACUUAUUAAAAACAAAGAUUUCAAAUCUUAGCAUUUAAAUCCAAAUUACUCAAAUCGAUAAAAUACUUUAUUUUAUAAAAAUAAAACCUUUUAGUUUAUGAAAAGUAUUUAAUUAAAUUAAUCUCUUGAGCUUCUCAAAUGCUAAAUCAUGCAUCAAUUAAAUCAUACCGGCUUUACAAGAAUUUAUCGCACUAAUUUGUUCGUUGAGCUCUAAACUAUAUUCUUGAUGUCGCCGUUGUCCGCUGAGUGUCUUCAAUCUUGAUUUCACUUGAUUCACUUGCAUAAAUAUUAUCCUUAAAAAACUAGUGAAAAUGUGAAAUACAAUAUUUAUUAAAUCACUCAAUACAUAUGUUUGUUAUCAUCAAAAUUACAUUAUGUAUAGCCCUUUAGGCUAACAAUCUCCCCCUUUUUGAUGAUGACAAACAUCUCAUGUAUUUUGACAUUUAUACUCCCCCUUAAUACAUGGCAUAUAUAAUUAAACAUAUAAAUCAAAUUCAAAACAAAAACUCCCCCUGAAUAUUUGAUUUAUGAUAAUUUGUAAGCUCCCCCUUAAUAUUUCAAAACCAUGCAUAAAUACUUGAAAUACAAAAUACGUAUUACAUGUCUUCAUAUUCAAAAUACAUGACUUCUCCCCUUCAUCAUCAAAAUUACUAGAAAUUCAUGCGAAGAUCGAUAAUAUGUCAAUGGUUAAUCAAGAAACAUAUAAUAACCAAACAUCCAAUUAACCAUUAAAUGAUCAUGAAUCAUCAUGCCAUCAAAAGAAUGUUCUAAAUGCAUAUUAUCCAAAAUCAUAUUGUAUGCUCCCCCUAAAUAUAUGGCCAAUUAAAAAAUUUAACCAAAAUGAUAUUAUCCAAAAACAUAUCAUAUUUAUCUCUCCCUUCAUAAAAAAUAGAUAGAUGCAAUCGAAACAAGAGCAUAAAAAAUAAUUCGAUAAAGAUAUUACCAAUUUUGUGCGAGCAAAAAUUUCGGCAGAGUCUCCCCUUAAAAUGAACAAAUCCUUAAAUAUACAACAUGGUUAAAAACACUUCCAUAUAAGCUGAAACAAUUAUAACAAACCAACAACUCCAUUAAUUCAUCAAGCAAUACACAUACAAUCAUCAAUCAUCAAAAGUACUAUAAAUCCAUGCUUAUACCAAAAAGAAUAUCUCAAUGAUUAAUCAAGAAGCAUAAAAAUAAAGCAUGCAAUUAAUCCAAAGAGUCAUAUUCAUUCUAAGAAUUCAGAAAAUAUCAUCCAAAUAUAAAUUAUCCAAAUAUUAAACAACCAUCAUCCGUAAUCCACAAUUAGAACAAUUAUGCAUAUGAAAAUGUAGGCGCAUAAUAUAAUAAGGAACCAUGGUAAUUUAAAAUACCCAAAAAUGCACAAAUUCGGUUUUGGAAAAUAAUUAGUGAAAUGAAUGAUUUUAAACCGAUUGUAUUGAUCCAAGAGAUGAUUUAAGAUAAUGGAUGGUGUUGAUUGGAUCAAAAGUGGACUAAAAAGAGUUUAAAUUGGAAGAGAAAGAAAUGGGUAAGUUAGGUUUUUUGAUUUUGGGUUUUAUGUGGAGAGAUAAUGAAAUCAAGUUUUGAGAGUGAAAAUUGAAGGAGUAAUGGAUGAAUAAUGAGUUGGAUGAUUGAUUUUAGCAAGAGAAUGAGUGAAAGAUGAAGAAAUUUGAGAAAGAAAAUGGAGAACACUAUUCACGCGUGAAUGAAAUGAGAAUGGAAUGAUGAAGAACAAGUGAAGAAAUCAUGAUGGAGAAGUGUUUAAUGAAGAUAAAAUGCAUGGGUAUUAGUUUGAAUGGUUGAUUUGGGCAUGAAAAUGGAUGAAAAAAGAAGAAAUUGAAAGUGAAAAUGGAUGGGUUGCUCACGGUUUUGAGUGAAAGAGAGAACAUGUGCAGAAAAUUAACAAAGGAAGAAGAAGAAGCAAAAAAAAUUUUCCCAACCCGUGACCAAGCGGCUAGCCGCUUGCUCUCGGGUUGGGGACAGUUUCCAAGCGGCUAGCCGCUUGGAACAGGCGGCUAGCCGCCUGUUCCAGCUGCACUCAAGUUGAUUUCCGACUAAUUUCGAUCAAUUUUGUGACCAUUUUGUGAUCCUGAAACAUCUCAAGAGCCAAUUUAAUGCAUGAUUCAUGAUUUUAAACAUCUAAAAGAUGAUUAAUUCAAACAAAUAAUCCAUCCAACAAGCAUAUAUUCAUGAAGCACAUAAGCAUUCAAAAAUUAAUAAAUCAAACACCACAUAUAUCUAACUUGCUCAAACACUUCAUAAACAUUAAUAAUCAUCAAGCAAACGAUUUUAAUAGAUUCAAUAACAUAAAUAGAGAUGUUAAUGCGAAAAUUUCAUCAUCCCAAGUUCAUGCCGAAUUUUUGAAAAUUGUUCUUCGCAAAGGGGUUUUGUAAAAAUAUCGGCAAGUUGUUUUUCCGUAAAGAUAAAUUCUAAUGCAAUAUCACCUUUUUGAACAUGAUCUCUCAAGAAAUGAUGCCUAAUCUCUAUAUGCUUGGUUCUAGAAUGUUGAAUGGGAUUCUUUGAAAGAUUUAUGGUGCUAGUAUUAUCACACUUGAUAGGAAUUUGUUCAAGAUUAAUACCAUAGUCUCUAAGUGUUUGUUUCAUCCAAAGUGCUUGUGCACAACAACUACCUGCGGCAAUAUAUUCCGCCUCAGUAGUUGAGAGUGUCACCGAAUUUUGUUUCUUACUAAACCAUGAAACAAGUGAAUGACUAAGAAAAUGGCAAGUUCCACUAGUACUCUUCCUAUCGACCUUGUGACCAGCAAAAUCGGCAUUCGAAUAACAAGCUAAAUCUAUAUGAGUUCCUCUAGGAUACCAAAGGCCAAUAUCUAUGGUUCUACUCAAAUAAUGAAAAAUUCUUUUAACAUAAAGCAAAUGAGAUUUCUUGGGACAUGAUUAAAAUCUUGCACACAAACAUACACUAAACAUGAUAUCGGGUCUACUUGCAGUUAAGUAAAGUAAGGAUCCAAUCAUACAUCGAUACUUUUUAAUAUCAACCACUUUACCUUUUUCAUCUUUAUCAAGCAUGAUUGUUGUACUCAUUGGAGUAUUCUUGGUAUUUGAUUCAUCAAUACCAAAUCUCUUGAGCAAGUCUUUGACGUACUUAGCUUGGUUGAUGAAGAUCCCCUCAUUGGUUUGUUUGAUUUGAAGUCUAAGAAAAUACUUCAAUUCUCCCAUCAUGCUCAUCUCAAAUUCCUUACUUAUACAAGAGGAAAAUUCUUUGCACAAAGAUUCAUUAGUAGAACCAAAAAUAAUAUCAUCAACAUAAAUUUGAACAACAAGUAUAUCUUGAUUUUUAUUUUUAAUAAAGAGGGUAGUAUCUGCUCUUCCCAUCGAAAAAUCGUUAUCCAAUAAGAAAUUUUUAAGCCUAUCAUACCAUGUUCUAGGUGCUUGUUUUAAUCCAUAUAAUGCUUUUGAUAACUUAUACACAUGAUUUGGAAAUUUCUCAUUUUCGAAACCAGGGGGUUGUUUCACAUAAACUUCCUCCAUAAUAUAACCAUUUAGGAAAUCACUCUUGACAUCCAUUUGAAAUAAAAUAAAAUCUUUAUGACAUGCAAAUGCUAACAACAUCCUAAUGGAUUCUAAUCUAGCUACAAGUGCAAAAGUUUCAUCGAAAUCGAUUCCUUCUUCUUGGUUGUAUCAUUGAGCCACUAAUCUACCUUUAUUUCUUACAACCACACCGGAUUCAUCCAUUUUAUUUCUAAAUACCCAUUUAGUGCCUAUAAUGGAUUGAUGUUCCGGUUUAGGAACCAAUUCCCAUACUUUAUUUCUCUCAAAUUGAUUUAACUACUUUUGCAUUGCCAUAAUCCAAAACUCAUCAUUUUCCGCAUUCGCAAAAGAUUUUGGUUCAAUUUGAGAAAUAAAUGCAGCAUGCUCACAUGUGUUUCUAAGUGAUGAUCUAGUUGUGAUACCUCUUGAAGGAUCACCUAAAAUUAAAUCCUUAGGAUGAGCGGAAACAUACCUCCACUCCUUGGGGAGUGUUUGAGAACUACCUUCUUGUUGCUCCAGCUCCAUAUUUGUUUGUUCUUCUUGUCUAUCCUCUUGAUUUUCUUGUGGUGCAUUCUCUUGAUUCUCUUUUGAUGAUUCUUCUUGUAAUUCUCCAUCUGCAUUAUCAUUAACAACUCCUUUCUCCGCAGAGGAGGGGUUAGAUUCAUCAAACGUAACAUGCAUGGAUUCUUCCACAACUAAAGUUCUUUUAUUAUAAACUCUAUAAGCUUUGCUUGAGUUUGAAUACCCGAGAAAGAUGCCAACAUCAGAUUUUGGAUCAAAUUUAUCAAGAUAAUCUUUUUUGUUUAAAAUAAAACAUUUGCAUCCAAAAACUUUGAAAUAACCAAUGUUGAGUUUUCUAUCUUUCCAAAGCUCAUAGGGAGUUUUAUUGAGAUGAGGUCUAAUCAACACCCGAUUUAAAACAUAACAAGCGGUGUUGACGGCUUCGGCCCAAAAAUAUUUUAGUAAUGCAUUUUCAUUUAACAUGGUCCUAGCCAUUUCUUGAAUAGACCUAUUCUUUCUCUCAACAACUCCAUUUUGUUGUGGAGUCCUAGGUUAUGAAAAUUGAUACUCAAUGCCAAAAUCAUUACAAAAAUUUUCAAAUGCAUGAUUUUCAAACUCUCCACCAUGAUCACUUCUAAUACAAGUAAUAGAAUAACCCUUUUCAUUUUGAACCUUUUUAUAGAAAAUUCUAAAUGCAUCAAUGACAUCAUCCUUAUUAGCUAAGAAUAAUACCCAUGUGUAUCUAGAAUAAUCAUCUACAAUUACAAAUGCAUAAAAUUUGCCACUUAAACUAGCAUAUCUAGAGGGUCCAAACAAAUCUAUGUGAAGUAAUUGAAGAUGUUUUAAAGUAGAGAUAUGAUUCUUGUUUUUGAAAGAGGUUUUGAUUUGUUUUCCAAAUUGACAUGCUUCACAAAUUCUAUCCUUUUGAAAACCAAUUUUUGGAAGACCUUUAACUAAAUCGUUUUUCGAAAUUUUUGAAAUUAAAUCCAUGCUUGCAUGUCCUAGUCUUCUAUGCCAUAACCAACCAUCAUCAUGCAAUGCCGAAAAACAUUUAUCAUGAGUAGAUGCACAUUCUAUAUCAAUCGUGUAAACAUUGCCACAUCUAUUUCCCAUAAACAAAAUUUUCCCAUCACAUGCAUUCUCAAUAACACAUCUUGAUUUAUCAAAAACAACUUUAUAACCUUUGUCACAUAGUCGACUAAUGCUAAUCAAAUUGUGUUUCAAAUUUUCAACAAAACACACAUUUUCAAUUAGAGUUGAAGAAAUUUUACCAACAUUUCCAAUUCCGAGAAUUUUUCCUUUUGAGUUAUCUCCAAAGGAUACAUCUCCACCAUUUUCGAUUUUGGUGAAACUUGAGAACCAUGCAUAGUUUCCUGUCAUAUGCCUAGAACAUUCGCUAUCCAAGUACCAUUUAUUUUUCUUUUUCUUCAAGCCCGGCAAAGAAAAUCUUAUGUCUUAGGUACCCAAACCUUUUUGGGUCCUUGAUCGUUAGCAAUGGUUCCUUUUGGAACCCACACACAUUUGACACCAUUAUAUGCAUUCCUUUUUACGGGACAUCUAUAUUUCAUGUGGCCAUUUUAAUUACAAUAAUGACAAAAAAUCUUAUGAUCAUUUGUGGAGGUAGCUUUAACAAAAUAAUUCUUAUAAUCUUUUGCUUCAAGUUAGGCUUAUACCCAAGUCCUCCUUUAUCAAAAACACAUUUUUGGGAGUUAAGCAUGUUAUCCAAUAUCUUUUACCCAUUUCUAAAUUUUAGAACAACAUUACUAAGUUCAAUAUUCUUUUUCUUGAGCAUUUCAUUUUCCUUUUUCAAAUCAUCUACAUGUGACUCUAAAUGCUCAUGUAAAGUGCUAGAUUUUUCAUUUAAUAAUGCAACUCUAUUAUGCAAGGUUUUAUUCUCUAAUUCUAAUCCUUUAAUCUUCUCAUUCAAUGACUCAUUGCAUUUUUGCAUGGCAUCCUUUUCAUUUGUAGAUUCUAGCAAUUUCUUUUUAAGGCAUGCAUUCUUUUUACUAAUUUUCAUCAACUCAUCAUGCAUUUCUUUAAAAGCAUCAUAUAAUUCAUCAUAGGUUGGAUCACUUACCUCAUUGAGAUCAUCAUCAUCUCCUAGUGCCAUAAGUGCUAGGUUUGAUACUUCUUGCGACUCAUCUUCAUCACUUGAAUCUUCAUCGCUAUCAUCCCAAGUAGCAACCAUAGCUUUCUUCUUGAGUUUGUUGAGAAGUGGGCAUUCCGAUCUUAUAUGGCCGGGCUUCUUGCAUUCAUAGCAUAUGAUUACCUCUUUCUUCUCCUUUUGGUUUUUGAAAUUUUUGAAUUUUCUUCGGUCACCGGGUUUCAUGAAAAAAAUUUUGAACCUCCUUGCUAGCAUAGCCAACUCCUCAUCAUUUGGCUCACUUUCCCCAUCACUCUCAUAUUUGGUGACUUUGAGAGCAAUGUUUUUCUUCCUUUCCUCAUUUCCUCUUUCAGCUGCUAAAUCUUCCUCAUAAAAAUAAGAAAACCAAUUAAAUCAUCAAUAGGUAAGAUAUUCAAAUCUUUAGCUUCCUCAAUGGCAGUCCUUUUUGGUCUCCAUUCCUUAGGUAACGACCUAAUGAUUUCUUAACUUUCUCGCUAUUUGAAAAGGUCUUUCCUAGAGCUCCUAGAGUGUUUACUAUAUCCGUAAAUCUAGUAUACAUAGAAUACACACUCUCAUUUUAUUCCAUUUGGAACAAUUCAUAUUGCCGAGUGUACCUACUAAUUUUAGACUCUUUCACUUGAUUCGUGCCUUCAUAAACAACUUCAAGUUUGUGCCAAAUUUCAUUAGCACUUUCACAACUAGACACUCUAUGAAACUCUUUCUUAUCGAGUGCACAAAGCAAGGCAUUCAUGGCUUUGGAAUUUAGAGAAGCUUUUCUCUUUUCCAAUUCAUUCCAUUCCCGUGAAGGUUUCGGAAUGUCUUCCCCAAUUUCAUUUUUAGUCAAAGGCAUAAAUGGACCAUCACAUACAACUUCCCAAAUUUCAUAAUCUAAUGCUUGUAAGUAAAUUCUCAUCAUAGUUUUCCAAUACGGGUAGUCAUUUCCGUCAAAGAACGGUGGCCUAGUUGUGGAUUGUCCUUCCCUAAAGAUUGAAUCAUUUUGGGUUGCCAUGGAUCUUUUACUCUAGACGGUUAGUCCUAACAAGAGAACCAAGCUCUGAUACCAAAUGAAAUGCAAGUAACGCAACCCAAGAGGGGGGUGAAUUAGGUUUUUAAAAUAAAUGCAAUACGAUUCGCACAAUAAAUCAAUCUAAUGCCUUAAUGAAAUAGAGAACAAUAAAUUCAAACAAGCGUAAAAAUAAAAGAGCAAGGGAAGAGAAAAAUGAACACGUGGAUUUUUACGUGGUUCGGCAAUCCCCGCCUACGUCCACGCCUCCAAGCCAACCAAGCUCGAGAAUUUCACUAUCCAAGCCUCCCAAGGCUUCAAGUUUUUACAAUUGACUUCCAAGGUGUCAAUGAACCUUUACAACCAAGAGAUUAUCUCCCCAAUCUCUUCACUCCAAGUGUUUCCCACACUUACACACUCACAAUUUGAUAAGAAAUGAAAAUUACAACAAAAACUCUCUUUAAGAGUGGAUAUGCAACUAAUAGCUCAAUAAUGAUUCAAUCAAUGAUGAUUUGUGUUUUGGAAGCUCAAUAUAUGUUGUAUGAUCUUAUAUUUGCGUGCAUUAGUUCUUAGAAUGAAGUUUGAGUUGAGUUUUUAUAGUGAAAGCCCAAAAACUAGCCGUUAUAGGCAAAUUCCCGCGCCCAAGCGGUUAGCCGCUUGAUUAUCUGGCUAGCCGCUCAGGAACAGUGAUAUUACCAUUAUCUUUAAAUUGCUACAGUACUACUGUUCACUAAAAUUACACUUUAGCCCAAAAUUUUCUAUAAUUAUACUUUGGCCCAAAACGUCAUAAAACUUUUCAAAUAAGUCCACUUUCAGAACUUCCUAAAAAUAGUUGUCUUUCCCAAACUUUCUGAAAUUAUGAUAUGACCCCAAAGAUUUUAUUAUUUCGCAUAAAGGUCCUUUUUAACAUAAUACCCAUAUUUUUCAAAGUUCUCAAAACCUUUCACUUUAGUCCAAAAUAUUUAUAAAUUAUAGUAUGGCCCAAAACAUUUCAAAUGUUUGUAAAAACGUCCAACUCCGAAAUUUAAUACUUAUUAAAAAUAAAGAUUUUAAAUCUUAGCAUUUAAAUCCAAAUUACUCAAAUCGACAAAAUACUUUAUUUUAUAAAAAUAAAACCUUUUAGUUUAUGAAAAGUAUUUAAUUAAAUUAAUCUCUUGAGCUUCUCAAAUGCUAAAUCAUACAUAAAUUAAAUCAUACCGGCUUUACAAGAAUUUAUCGCACUAAUUUGUUCGUUGAGCUCUAAACUAUAUUCUUGAUGUCGCCGUUGUCCGUUGAGUGUCUUCAAUCUUGAUUUCACUUGAUUCACUUGCAUAAAUAUUAUCCUUAAAAAACUAGUGAAAAUGUGAAAUACAAUAUUUAUUAAAUCACUUAAUACAUAUGUUUGUUAUUAUCAAAAUUACAUUAUGUAUAGCCCUUUAGGCUAACACAAUCAAUAUUUACUUAUUUAUUAUAUUUUAAUUUAUUAACUAUCAAUCAUGUAAGUAUAUUUAGUCAGAAAAAUUAUAUCAAGAGAGAAUCCUAAUUUCACGCAAACACAAAUACAAGAAAAAUAUGUCAAUUUCUAUACUAUUCACUUUCCUGUAGAAUCAAUUAUCUAAAGUGCAAGUUUGUGGCUACAGAAAACUCACCAAAGAAAGAAGAUAAUAACAAUUGAGCAUUGAUAGCAAAACUAAUGCAUCAUUUUCUUCUUGACUUGAUGAGAUGGCGCCAUUACAAAAAAACAAGUACCUUAAUUGACGGGCACUGAGUGAUGUGAAUACUACCAGCCAGUUCAUCUCUUCCAGUCUUGCUUAAUCACAAUCACAAACACCACGAGAUUGACAUUUGCAUUAUAUAAAUCUUCAGCAGUCGAAACACCUUGCAUUACCAAAUAAACCAGUAACAAACAAAGCAAUCUUUCAUGGAGAGGAACCUUAGUCUCAGUAUGAUCACUGUGUCAUUAACCCACUUCCUGCUUCUUUGCUUGGUUGUUGCAGCAGCAGCAGCAGCAAGCAACAAUAUUACCACAGACCAACAAGCUCUUCUUGCCCUGAAAGAUCAUAUAACUUAUGAUCCAACCAACCUGGUUGCCAUUAAUUGGACCUCGAACACCUCUGUUUGCACCUGGAUUGGCAUCACUUGUGAUGUCAAUAGCCACAGAGUCACAGCCUUAGAUAUUUCUCAAUUCAAUCUACAAGGCACCAUCUCUCCUCAACUUGGAAACCUCUCUUCACUCACAACACUUAAUCUUAGUCAUAACAAGCUUUCUGGAAAUGUUCCCUCCUCCAUCUACACCAUGCAUACGCUAAAAUUUCUAGACUUCACUGAUAACCAGCUCUCUGGUUCAGUGUCUUCCUUCGUCUUCAACAUGUCUUCAAUAUUAGACAUUCGUUUGACCAAUAACAGACUUUCUGGUGAGCUUCCAAAAAAUAUUUGCAACUAUCUUCCUCAUUUGAAAGCCCUUUUUUUGGACAAAAACAUGUUUCAUGGCAAAAUUCCUUCUGCUUUAUCAAAGUGCAAACAACUGCAACAAUUAACUUUGCAGUCCAAUAAUUUAUCCGGUGCAAUACCAAAAGAAAUCGGCAACUUGACCAUGCUCAAAGGGAUAUAUCUCGGCUACAACAAACUCCACGGUUUGUUCAUAAUACUAUAUAAAUAUUUUAAUUUAUCACUUAUUAUCUUUCGUGAAUAAUUUAGAUAAGAUCUUGUAAGUGACAUUUUUUGCAUCUAUGUUAAUUUACCAGGUGAGAUACCCCACGAAAUCGCUAAUCUUCGAAAUCUAGAAGCUUUAAUGCUAGGAAUGAACAACCUAGUUGGUGUGGUAUCAGCUAGAAUCUUCAACAUGUCAACACUGAAGGUAAUUACCCUCAUAAAUAACUCUCUCAGCGGUAGUCUUCCAUCAAGAAUAGACCUUUCACUUCCAACUAUUAACGAGCUUAACUUGGCACUUAAUAGAUUUUCUGGAACCGUUCCUAGUUCCAUCACCAAUGCUUCUAAGCUCACCUUGCUAGAGUUGGGAGGAAACACAUUUUUGGGAUUUAUUCCAAACACAAUUGGUAAUUUAAGAAACCUUGAGUGGCUCGGCUUGGCUAAUAACUACUUGACAUCUUCAACCUCAAAAUUGAGCUUUCUUUCCUCUUUGGCAAAUUGCAAGAAAUUAAGAUCCUUAUCCUUAGAACGCAAUCCACUUGGCGGCUUCCUUCCAAGUUCAAUGGGUAAUCUUUCUAUGUCUUUAGAAACACUUUUUAUCGCCAAUUGCGGUAUUAUUGGCAAUAUUCCUCAAGCAAUUAGCAAUUUAAGCAACUUGCUGGCCUUAGUAUUAGAAGGCAAUAAAUUGACUGGACCAAUUCCAAUUACAUUCGCCCGACUGCAGAAACUUCAAGGCUUAUAUCUUGCAUCCAAUAAGUUGGUAGGUUCAUUCCCAGAUGAGCUUUGCCAUCUAGGUAGGCUGGCUGAAUUGGCCUUACUUGACAAUAGGCUUUCAGGAUCUAUACAUUCAUGUGUAAGUAAUCUCACUUCUCUAAGAUAUCUCUAUUUAGGGUCCAAUAGGUUUACUUCUGUCAUUCCCUCAACUUUCUGGAGCCUAAAAGACAUCUUGUUUUUUGACUUUUCAUCAAAUUUCUUGGUUGGUCCUCUUUCUUUCGACAUAGGUAAUUUGAAGGUGCUUCUAGGAAUAAAUUUAUCAGAAAAUAACUUAUCGGGUGAUAUGCCAGCCACAAUUGGAGGACUAAAACACCUUCAAAUUAUGGACCUAGCAUAUAAUAGAUUGGAAGGGCGAAUUCCCGAAUCAUUUGGUGAGUUGACAAGUUUGGAGGUUUUGAAUUUGUCAAAUAAUAAAAUCUCUGGGUCUAUUCCAAAAUCCAUGGAGAAACUCUUUUACCUCCGAGAGUUAAAUCUCUCUUUCAAUGAACUUGAAGGUGAGAUUCCUAGUGGAGGAAUUUUUGCCAACUUCACAGCUGAGUCAUUUAUGGGAAAUGAGUUAUUGUGUGGUUUACCAAAUCUUCAAGUCCAACCAUGCAAAGUUAGCAAGCCGAGGACAGAACAUAAAUCAAGGAAAAACAUACUUCUCAUUGUGAUUGUUUUGCCAUUGAGUGUUGCUCUAACAAUAGCAAUCACUCUAGCUCUCAAAUCUAAGCUGAUCGAAUGUGGAAAAAGAUGCACAGUGUUGUCAAAUGAUAGUGUCUUGUCAUCACAAGCAACACUAAGAAGAUUUUCAUACUUAGAACUUUUACAAGCAACAGAUAAUUUUGCUGAAAACAGCGUAAUUGGCAUAGGAGGUUUUGGUUCUGUUUACGGUGGAAGACUUGAAGAUGGGAUGAAGAUUGCAAUAAAAGUGUUUCACCAGCAAUGUGCAAGCGCAUUGAAGAGUUUUGAGGCUGAAUGUGAAGUGUUAAAAAAUAUUCGCCAUCGAAACCUUAUCAAAGUUAUCAGCAGUUGCUCGAACGAUGACUUCAAAGCAUUAGUCCUAGAAUACAUGUCCAACGGGAGUUUGGAGGAUUGGCUGCAUUCGAGCAAUUACGUGCUGAAUAUUUUUCAAAGGUUGAACAUAAUGAUUGACGUUGCAUCAGCUUUAGAAUAUCUCCACUUCGAUCAUUCAACUCCUAUUAUUCAUUGUGACUUAAAGCCUAGUAAUGUAUUGUUGGACGAAAAUAUGGUUGCUCAUUUGAGUGAUUUUGGCAUAGCAAAGCUUUUAAGUGGAGAGGAUGAGUAUGUGAUGCGAACAAAAACCCUUGCCACUAUAGGUUAUAUGGCACCAGGUUUGCUUCAAACAACUUUUGUUUUUAGUUCAUUUUAAAUUUUCAAACUUAUUGAUUUUUACAAUCCUCACAUCAAAAUUUUAUUGAUUAUUUAUCUAAUUGUGAAAUUAAUUUGAUUCAUAGAGUACGGCAUAGAAGGAGAAGUAUCUACAAAAAGUGAUGUUUACAGUUAUGGGAUUAUGUUGAUGGAAACUUUUACCGAGAAAAAACCCACAGAUGAAAUUUUUGUUGCAGAAUUGAGCUUAAAGCGUUGGGUUAAUGACUUGCUUCCUACUUCAUUAGUGGAAGUUGUGGACAAAACUCUGCUAAGUGGAGAGGAAAAACAUUCUGCAGCAAAGGAGCAAUGUCUGUUGUCUAUCUUUAGUUUGGCUCUGGAGUGUACAAUGGAAUCACCGGAAAAGAGGAUUAAUGCAAAAGAUAUUGUUACCGGAUUACUCAAGAUAAGAGACACAUUGAGUAAAAGGAUAGGAAAUUUAAGUUAAUUUCGUUUGCUUCCAUUGAUAGUUAAUCUGAAUUCAUGUAAUAAGUGUAGGAAUGUUAUAUCUUUUCCUUUCAUAUAUUUUUUUUCCUUGAGAAAACUGUUGUAGUCAUCUUGUUUCCAUGGACAGAGUUGAUUUAGUUCUUCCAAGAAAUGCUACUGAUGACAUUUGUUUUAUACUUUCUCUUUUUUUGCAUGCGUUUAGGUAGAAUAGUGGUCUAGCUGCAGGCUAAUAAGUCAAGCUAUGCCAAAAGCGUAUGAUUUAAUUUAUUAAACAUAACUUCAAGUUCAAGAAGUGUUUCUCAUUGCCACCAAUGCUUUGGACACCUGUUGGAAGGUUUGUUGUCCUCAGCUUUUGUUUAGAGCAAAAGUUCGAGUCCCAUAAAGGCUCAAACAUUCCUUUCCUUCUGUCCCAAGGGCGCCUUCUGUCCUCUGUUUUCUGUUUCCACACACAAAUAGCCAAAAGAAUUUAGAAUGACAACUGGGACAUAUAUAAGAGUGAAAUAAUUAAAAAAAUAAUGCUUUCUUGUUUGUCGUGUUAAAAUCGUAAGUACCGAAGUACUGUGAAAGAGAUUGAUUUACAGAAACUGAAGCCAAGGGUUCAAAAAAAAAGUGCAAAGAGAAUAAUUGUAUUGGUAGCACAAUGUCAUAUUCAUACAGAGAUCAAGUAUAUUAUUUACGGCUGGUAAGGACUAAGAAUUGAUGUAGCUAGAAUGCGAAGAUGAUAAGGUAUGUUGUGCACUAUUGUUUUAUUCUACAAUCAAUCUUGACCCUUGAUGCUUGGCUCUCAAUCUUGUCCAUUGAUCUUCUCUGAUUUGGGAGACUUGAAGACCUUUCAGUAUCCUGCCUUGUUGUUGGUAUCUUCCAUGCUGUAGAACCGCCGACUUGCCAAGUAUUUGUUCAUUGAUGCAUUUUAUGAAACAGUUGGCCUGCUCAUAGCAAACAGCUCCUGUGUUAACUCCCCCUCCAUAGCUCAACUAUCUGGGAAGACAAUUAAUUGAGCUUGUUUCACAAUUAUAUGAAUCUGAAAGUUCAAUUUUAAAAAUUACAUUCGGACUCUACAUUUUCUAAUGAACAUUGGUUUGGCUUAUAAGCUUAAUAUGCUUAGGCUUAGGCUUGGUAAGAUUAUCGGUCGGUAGAUGAACAAGUUUUAGAGCUUUCGAAUUCAUGCCAAUUAAUUUUCAACUAGGCUAUUACCACAAUAAACAUUUAGAAAUCUAAAUUUGUUCAUUAUAUAUUCUGAUCAGCACUUGAACAUCCAUGCAGACUCCUAUUAAUUAUAUCCUCUAAUGGAGAGAACUCAUUGCCUCAGAAUGAUCACUGUGUCAUCAACCCACUGCCCGCUUCUUUGCUUGGUUGUUGCAGCAAGCAACAAUAUUACCACAGAUCAACAAUAGUUUGUCCAUUUGUUUCAGUGAGGUCGUCAUUAAAAAUUAAUUUUCAUAUUGAUUUUCUUAAUUAUAAAUAAUACUAAUGAUAUUUCAUAGUUAUAAAUAUAUUAGAAUUAAUCGAAAUCAUUUUUUUAGUGCGGCAUGGCUAAAACUACCUUUUUUUUUUAUAAGUAAUUACUACUUUAAGGAAAAUACUUCUAUUUUCAGGGAAAAGUCAAGUACCCGUAGUUGUGAAGACUCGAGCUCACCCUCUUAUGAUAAAUCUUCAUAUCAAUUACAUAAAUAUCCUCUAAAUUUUUAGUUAACUAUUCAAAAUUCGAUGUUAUACGGGUAUUUCAUUUAUUUGAGUAGGGGUUAGGGGUCAAUUGGAUACAAAUUCAAAAUUAUCCUUACUUGAGAAGGUGAUAAAAAUUGGGGAUUUAGUUUGGAUGUCAUUAGCUACAAAUAUUAAACUCAUACAUCUAAUUCAAAAUUAGAGGGCUGAUAUAUGUGCAUCCUCAUGCACAUGAUAGUGACACGUGUCACCAUCCUACAACCUAUCCAAUGAAAAAUUGACAUGCAUCUUGUGCGCUUCUGAUCAAAAUCCUGAAAAUUAAUCACAAAGUUAUGCUUUUAUUAUAAAAAGAAUAAAGAAACUCCAAGAAAAAAAAAAGACUUACAUAAAUACUUUGAAUAAUCUAGAUUCCAAGUUGUCUAUAUUAGCUUGAUCUUUUUAUAAAUAGUCAUCUUCGAAAAAAAAUUCCACCAACAUAUAUUUUAAUUUUAUGUUAAUUAAUAAAUAGAAAAAAAUCAUUUUAGAAUUAAUUAAAACAUUAUUUAUUGUUGCUCAAAAAAGGUAGAACUUAGUGAUCAGAAAAAAGUGUCUAAAAUAUAUGUUAAAAAAAAAUCAUGGUUGAUUGGACUGAUUGAAUUUUUUUUCUUUUUCUUUUUUAAGAAUUAAGACAAUUGGAUGGAUUGAGUAAUAAUAAUACAUAUUUAUUUGGCAAAUGGCAGGGAGGCUUUCGUCUAAUGCAGAUUGAUUAGAGAGAAUAUAUAACAAUUUUAAGCUCAUCAGAUUCGGAAGCUGCUUAUCUGUCGUGUGGGGAUCACUUCCGUGUCUUAUUUUUCUAGAAGAAUCUGGACCAUUGGAUUUAACAUUAGAUAAAUGUUUGAUCUUGAUUCUUGAUUAAGAUCGAAGUUUGAUUCUAACCAACAUGAUGUCAGAUUCAGAUUGCGAAGCAAUCAAAUUGAAAGUAACUUGUUCUAUUUUGAUAAACACAAGUUCUAAUAAAAAAAUUCUAAGUGUAUAUAUAUAUAUAUAUAUAUAUAUAUAUAUAUUUUUUUUUUUUUUGUGUUCAAUUUAUCUAGUCAAAUCUAUUUUUAAAUAUUUUAUUAACAAUGAUAUGAAAAUAUUCGAACCCCUUCUCAUUGUAAAGUGAAUUACUAUCCAACUACACCAAAUAAUGUUUUCAAAUUGUAAACUGCAAAUCGUGUGUUUGCUCCAUUACAGCGUUUCUUCAAUUUAAAAAAGAGAAUCAUUUGCGUUCUAGAUUAAUCGUGGGUCUAUAUCCAAAUCUAAAAAUUGACUAACUUGAUUUCUAUUAAAUUCUUAAUCCUAACAAGAAAAAUUGAAGAUUAAAAAUGACUAAUUUGGUACCAUACCACUAUUGUAACAUAGAUGGAUCCUCUAUUAAUUGGAGCAAAGAUUGAAUUAUCUCAUUUAUUAAGGCUUAUCAAAUAGAUGAAUGGAUGUUAUUUUUGGAUUCCGGAGAGUCGAAAAUAUUAGGAUAGGUGCUAAAUCGAAUUAAGUUGUAGAUAAGAUAGAAAUGGAUUUGGAGAGAUUGGAAUCCUAGGUAAUCCAGUGCACGUUGUCGUGUUAAAUUCUCGUUGACUUCACGUUGACUGAAGCAUUAUUGGAAGAAACAAGUUUAUUGAUGUGAGGCCCUAGAGAUUGUAAGUGUUAAAUCUGAGAAGAAUACCCACACACCCAUUAUCCUAUUACUCUUAUAUCACAUGAAGAGAAUUCAACAUUUGAUUCACACGGAAAAGAUUUGUGAGGAUUGUGAGGGUUGAUGGAAUAUAAUUUAGAUACAAAGUGUUUACCAGUGCGAUGCUUCGCAAGUGUUCUUGAAUCAAUAUAAACUCACAUUAUUUUCAUAGUGAUUGUUUCAUCUGCACGUGGAUAUAAUCACAUGUCGAGAUUUUUUUCCUUAAAUUAUGGUCUUAUUUAGUACUGAGAUGUUAUAUCUUUUAAGGUACAAUUAUUGUUGGAAAAAAGUUGCAACUAUCAAAUAAAAUUAAUACUAUGUGCUAAAUAUAAUUGUUAAAUAAUAAUUUUGACAAAAUUAGUAAAGUUAUAUAGAUUUUCUUUUAUCAUCUAAGUAUAAAAUCAAAUCAACUUAACUUCUAAGUUAUAUAUCGGCUACUGUUUAUCAUAUGUUUUAGUUCUGUAACUUUUAAAUUAUAGUUACCCAACCUCAAUUCUAAACAAGACCUAUAUAGAUCAAAGAUUUCCUCAUUAAAUUAUAUGUCUUGUGAUUGCUUAUUUAAUUUAUAUUUUUGUUAUUUAUCUUUAUUAAUUAUAAUAAUCUUUUUAUAAAUUAAAAUUGAAGGAAGUUGAUUGAUGUUGUUGACACACACACACACCCACACGCACACACUCACAAAGAUAUAUUGCAAGUGCUUACGUCGACUCGAAGUUGUUGGGAAUUAAUGCAUGUAUUGAUUUAUUGGGAGUGUUUAAAUGAUUUUGUGAUUUACUUGAUUUAUUGAUUGAAUAUUGUUUGAUUGCUUCAUAUCCAUUCUAGAAAGUUUAUUUCUUUGUGAAAUUUCAACGAAAUAUGUUUUUUUUUUUUAAAUAAGGGUGUUCUAAAUAAUUUUAAAAAAUAUAUGGACUAAUUAGAAUUAAUUAUUAGGUAAUUAACUCAAUCUGUACAGGGUGAAACAACAUUUAUCCUAAUUAUAUCAUGAUAAAUACUUUUCCGAUUAGAAUUAUGAAAUCAUAGGUUUAUUGAAUUGUUUUUUUUUAAUUUUCCUUUGCGGAAACAGAUUAGAGAAUUAGAAAACAAUCAUGUUGAUGUCCAAAUCUAAUCUAGGCGGUUAGCGACUUAAUAUCAUAUAGCUGCACCAGCAUUAAAUUUAUUUGGUGGAGAAUCGGCUAGUCAAUUGUCAAGAUGUCCUGCAAUCACUAGCGAUUAACCUAUGAAUACCUGAAAUCACAGAAGACGGUAAGUGGCACCAGAAGUUUUUUCGACGUGAACCUUCCAACACUCAAGUCAGUUUAUAGGUUUACCAUAAUAAAAAUAAAUAAUUUCUAUUUAAAACAAAAAAUAGAGUUCAAAAGCUCAAAAAUAAAACCCAAUCCCAAUAUGAAAAUGAAUAUCUUUUUUUUUAGCUUGGCCGAAUCCUUCUGCCUUCUAAAGAAACAUAAUAGAGAAGCCGGUAGCCAUGUUCCCUAGGUAACGCCCCACUCCCCUCUUUUAUUCCUCCCCCUCUCUUCCGUUUCCUUCUUUUGCUCACUAUCCUUUAUAAUUUUUUAUGCUUGUCUUCCCAAAAUAGCCUUUGAAUACACAAGUAAAUGUCUAGGCUUUGGUGAGGAUAGUUUGGUCAUUGCAUUUUACAAGUAAGAUGAGUGGUGGAGAAAAAUGAGUGCACAUAACUCUUCAGCAAAUCCCACCAACAAUUCCAUUUUCUUAAUUAAUUAAUCUCCUUUUCUAUCCCCAAACAAAUCCUAAUGAUACUAUUAUCAGGUUUAAAAUAGUACUGCGAUUGAAAAAAACAAAGUUGCAAUAAACUCUUCAUUUGUUCAUUGUGGAGAUUGAAUGGCAAACAGAGAAUAAAAUGAAGCAGAGGAAUCUCAUUGCCAGUAAAAUUGACCCUCUUUAAUGUUAUAUGGCACAGGUGUGUGUACAGCAAGAGCAAGUUACUUGUAGUUUUUAUUGUAAAAUAUACAUGUUAUGUCCAUGAUCAUUGUAGUUAGGUUUUGAUGAUUUUAGAUGCUUUUUUAUUUUUUUUAAAUUGUGACACCUUUGAUUUAUGGUAGUUUUGCAGAAGAAAAAAAUAUAUAUAAAAAUUAAGAGGGAUGAGUUAACUAACGAUUGCAAUCAUUACAGUAAUGUUGAUGAGUGAUACAUCAUUUGAAAUUUACUUGUCAGUUGCUGAAAUGAUAAAAAAAACAAUAAACAAUAGUAGUAAUAUUUUUAUGGAAAUUCUUGGUUUUUAUGGAAAUACUCUUGCUGAAAUUAUAAUUUUGACUUUCAACUCUUGGUUUUUAUGGAAAGUAAAAUGACUAGUUUGUUAUAUUCAUACAAUCCGCUCUACCUAAUGAUUUCAUUUUAAUAAAUGCUUGAUGAUCUCCAUUGAAAAACUACUUCAAUUCUUUUGUUUUAUUUAACUUUUUGGUUGUUGAAAAUAGCCUUAAUUUUCAAAUAACUGGAGAAAGAGUAAAGAACAUUUAACAAAUUUAUGUGCCAAAAAUAAAGGAGAAAUUGAAGAGAAAGGGUGCUUGCAGAAGUGGGUGCAAAGAUAAAUCAGUCUAUAAGAAUUAUUGUGGUUAUUAGUUUUUUGGCAAUAUAAAAAUUUUUCAGCAAAUAAAAAUUAAUUUUUUCCGAUUUACUAAAAAAUUAAUUAAAAACUUCGGCGAUAGCAUUUUUUAUGGGUGCAUGUGCCCUCCCUUUAAAAAAAUAUAAUAAUUAAUACUUAAUAUAGUAUUAAAUACGAAAAUAUCAAUAUUUGACUACACAAAUUUGUGUCAUUAGGUCCUUAAAAUUUAAAAUUGAAGACACAAAAUGAAAUAUAUAUAUAUAUAAAUUUCAUUCUCAUAGGAAAGGAUCCUCUUAUAAUCUUAAAAUAUUUGAGCUUUGAAAGAUUUUUUAAAACAAAUGUACUUUUAUUUUUGUACAAUCAAUAUUUACUUAUUUAUUAUAUUUUUAUUCAUUAACUAUCAAUCAUAUAAGUAUAUUUAGUUAGAAAAAUUGUAUCAAGAGAGAAUCCUAAUUUCACGCAAACAAAAAUACAAGACAAAUAUGUCAAUUUCUAUACUAUUCACUUUCCUGUAGAAUCAAUUAUCUAAAAUGCAAGUUUGUGGCUAUAGAAAACUCGCCAAAGAAAGAAGAUAAUAACAAUUGAGCAUUGAUAGCAAAACUAAUGUAUCCAAUUCUUCUUGACUUGAUGAGAUGACGCCAUGAUGUAAACACAAGUACCUAAAUUGACCGGCACUGAGUGAUGUGAAUACUACGAACCGGUUCAUCUCUUCCAGUCUUGCUUAGUUACAAUCACAAACACCAUGAGAUCGACAUUUGCAUUAUAUGUUAGGAAAUUGGUGGGUGAAGCAGGACUACAGCUAAAAUAAAAUUGGAAGGAAAAUAAAGAACAAGCACAAAAGAGAAUACCAGAAAUUACGUGGUUCGGCUUUUAGCUUACGUCCACGGGUGAAGACAGAAGGAAAAUAUUAUACUAGUGAAAAGGAGUUACAAGUAUUAUAGUAUUUUAACUCACUACCCAAAACCCCAAUACACCCAAACUCUCACUCACUAGACUCACAAGAGCUUUAUAAUUUUAGGCUCUUAAAAUCUCUCAAGCUCUCUCUCCUUCUUAUUCUCUCACAAAUUGAAUGCUUUAGCUCUUCAUCUGCACUUCUAUCUAUAGCAAAAUAGUGGCCAAGAAAAUCAACGAUUUUAGCCCACUAAUUAUGGCUUCAAUUUCGUCAAUCCGCGUGUAUGAAUUUUGUGGGCUAUGUCCUCCAUUUUCUUUGAUUUGCUGGCACCAAAGUCAAGCACCAAAUUUGGUGCUGACUUUUAAGUGCUUGCUUUGACAUUAUAUAUAUCUUCAGCAAUCGAAACACCUUGCAUUACCAAAUAAACCAGUAACAAACAUAGCAAUCUUUCAUGGAGAGAAACCUUAGUCUCAGUAUGAUCACUGUGUCAUUAACCCACUGCCUGCUUCUUUGCUUGGUUGUUGCAACAGCAGCAGCAGCAAGCAGCAAUGUUACCACAGACCAACAAGCUCUUCUUGCCCUGAAAGAUCAUAUAAUUUAUGAUCCGACCAUGGACAGAGUUGAUUUAGUUCUUCCAAGAAAUGCUACUGAUGACAUUUGUUUUAUUCUUUCUCUUUUUCUUUUUUUGCAUGUGUUUAGGUAGAACAGUGGUUUGGCUGCAGGCUAAGAAUUCUAACUACACUACAAGAAUACCUUUCCAACAUCUACUGGUAGGUUUGUACGUGUCCUCAACUUUUUUUCGGGGCACAAAAUUCGAGUCCCAUGGAGACUCAAACAUUCCUUUCCCACAUCUCGAGCACGCUAAAUUUAUCAGACUGACAACUGGGACAUAUACAAGAGUGAAAUGUUUAGAGCACGCUAAGUUCGAGUGAAAGAGAUUAAUUUACGGAAACUAAAGCCAAGAGAAUAAAGGACAACACUUAUGUGAAGCGACAUAAUUGUAUUGAUAGCACAAUGUCAAAUUCAUACAGAGAUCUAGUAUACUAUUUACAGCUGGUAAGGGCUAAGAAUUAAUGCAGCUAUAAUACAAAGACGAUAAGGUAUGUUGUGCACUAUUGUUUUUAUUCUACAAUCAAUCUUGACCCUUGAUGCUUGGCUCUCAAUCUUGUCCAUUGAUCUUCUCUGAUUUUGGAGACUUCAAGACCUUUCAGCAUCGUGCCUUGUUAUUGGUGUCUUCCGUGCUGUAGAAUUCAUAUACAAGCUUUCCCGCCGCCGACUUGCCAAGUAUUCGUUCAUUGAUGCAUUUUUAUCAAACAGCUGGGCUACUUAUGCCAAACACCGCCUGGUUUAACUCCCCCUCUCUAGCUCAACUAUCUGGGAAGACAAUUAAUUGAGAUAUGAAUCAGAAAACUAAAUUUUAAAAAUUGUAUUCGGACUCUACAUUUUGUAAUGAACAUUGGUUUGAAUUGUUAUACAUUUAUGCGUACAUAAUUAAUAACCGAUUCUCAAGUGCGGACCAAAUAUUUUGAUUUACUAUUUUUUGUCUUUCAA